rnacentral:lncRNA from 1 species
GACAACCAUUUUGGAGAUAAGGGUUCCCUUGAAAGCCCUCCAAGCAGUGGCACUGGUAGCCAUUUCCAUUCUCAGCAUCUGUACAAUUGGAGUUCUCUUGGCACAUGUAGGUCGUUGCAUUCUUCUUUGCAUGAUCGCAUGUUUGAUCUGGAAUUAACCAAUCGACAACUAGAGGGACCAUAUCAAAUGGCGGCUCGCGCAGAUUGUCCGUAGAGAAGUUAAAGAAGCCGUCUUGGGCAACGAAGGCGUAUCCGCACGGAUUGAAAUUCCAGAUGCCGACAUGAUUGUUGUAGCUAGUGACAGAGAUGUUGUAUUGGUAGGCGUCUCGAGGAAUGCUAGUCUCGCAGCAACCGAUGCCCGAGCACGACCCAUUAAUCACGUCCGAGAUACUGUCGCAUGACGACAAGCACCCCGUCGCAUACUUGCUUCCUUGUUGGCCGAUGAAGGUCGCGUACGUGUCGCAUCCCACGGCGAUAAAUUUGUUCUUGGCAGAAGAUAUGGGGAAUAUGGGAAGAGCGAACUCAGGAUCAUUAUUGUAUAUGGAUGUGCCGGACGAAUUAUAACAAUCUUUGGCUACAAACACCAUUACACUAAUCUCGUGACUCUCCAUAGAUAUAUUGAGUAGUCGGAAAUUAGAAUCUUUACUGUACAUACGAGGAGUGGGAGGAUCAGUCGAGUCGUUGCAAAAGAUGAGGAAAGACUCUGAUUCUUCUUUGAAGUAGCAGUCGUCGCCGGCAUCAUUCAUCCCGAAUGGGUACGCGAAGGUGAGGUUGCCACAUCUGUUCGCGCAUCCGGGCUUUGUUGUUUGGACUACAUCCGCAGUAACUACUGAGAAUAGAGCCACCAAUGAGCACAACAGCAGCACAACUCUCAAGGGAAGUCUAUGGAGCAGCAUGGAUCCACCCAUAUUCUUCCUGAAAUGAGAUGAUAUUUUGCAACGAGAUGAUGAGCUUCAUAGCCCGAUGACAACCUUUAUAAGCGAUGAUGGAGCUUCUCGAAAGCUAAAUAGUAUAUGCAUUAUUCAUAGUCCCCACUAUGUUGAUUGUCUUCGCGGUGAUUACAUCAUUACUAAUCAAUCAUACGGUUUUGUCCACUCUCUAUGGCUCUUCACUAAAGAAGCCUUGACAAGCCUGUCGUGAUUCACGUUGUGGCAUCGCAAUCAUUCGUAGGAAUUUCCAAACUGACUUGCAAAUAAUAAAAGUCGUGAUUAGAUAGAUAUUUUUUUCUUUUCAAUCUCAGAAUUAGUUUCAAUGGGUGGUGCUCAUAAACUAUUGCAUGCACAUCUCUAAUGUAUGAACUCCUUAAAUAUUUGUACAAAUAUAUCAACAUCAUAUUUAAAUCUUUAUGCGCAGAGUAAUAUUUUAAUUUAUGCUAUGUACAAUUAAAAAAAAAAAAUUAGGUACAUCGAUGGUAAGUACUAAAGAUUAGUUAGAUAAGGCAAGGAACUGUUGAUUCGGGUCGGUUCGAAUUUGAAUUUGAAAAUCAAAAUAGCACCAAACAACCCAAAUAUAGAAGAUGAAUUAGAACGGAAUUUGCGGUGUUUAGAUAUGAUUUGCUAAGUAAAAGGACUUCAAGAGUCCAAAAUUGAUUUUGAGAAUUUUCUCAGAUUCGCCUAUAAAGUUUCAAGUAAAUCCUAAGUCAAUGCGAUCAGUUUUCUUGGCAAUUUCUCACGCACGAGAGUAUGUCUCAUCAGGGUGCUUUCAUUAUCCUGCCAAGACUUGAAAGGUCAAGCAAGUAUGAAGCGUAUGCAAUGGGAGAUCACAACGCUAAAAUUCGUUAAAGGACUCAUUGCCCUCGAGGAAAAUUUAAGAGGUUUUAUAAUACAAAUUAUCAAGAAAAAAAUUCUAAACCAAUUAUACUUGUACAAAUUCAGUCAUAAAAUCUUCAAUUGUGCUAAUUAAAACUCAAACCUGUUGAAAGUUUACCAAUUUAAUUUUUUUGAUCAAAUUUGACCAAAAAUCGCUAUAGUAUAUAAUUUUUAUAAUUUUUGGGAAAUUGAUUUGGGACUUUGGGAGUCUAAAAUUGAUUUUCAGAAAUUUCUGAUGGUCGAACUAAAGUUCCAGGUAAAUGCCAAGUCAAUGGGGUCAGUUUCCUCGACAAUUUCUUAUGUAGCACAAUAGGUAACAUCAGAAUUUGUUACUGCCUGUCAACUUUGACUGCGUCAUUGAUAGAUGCAGGGUGCUUUCAUUACAUUGCCAAGACUUGAGAAGUCUAGCAAAUCAACGGUAAGCGUAUGCAAUGGGGGAGAGAUCACAACCCCAAAAAAGAGAAUGAGAAAGAAGAAAAAUCAAGUUGGGGAUUGUCUGCAUGAAAUGUGUUUCAAGUUGGAUGGAUUUUAUAAUCUGAAAAUUUGUAUUUUCCUAUUUCUAGUCUGUAUAUAUGCAUUCUAAAACGGAGUAACCGGUAGCUUCAAAAUAAUUAAUCAACUAGCUUCAAAGAGGUAAAAUAUCAACUUUUUUUAUUGUUGUGUUACAAAAUUAAGAUGUUGAAAUAAGAUUCCGUUAUGUACUUUUAAACUAAGAAAAGAUACGUCGCAUGUGGAUAUUUUUUUCCUUUUUCUAGGCUAACAUUUCCAACUAAUAUGGAUUGUGAAGGGAACAUUGUCCAAAUAGUCCUAAACCAAUUUAGUCCUAAACUUUUCAAUAUUGCCAAUUGAGUCAUAAACAUUUUCAUAUUUUGCCAAUUCAAUUCUAAACAUUUUUUCACUUCUUGCCAACUGAGUCCAUUCAACCAAUUUUGGCUAAAAAUUACUAACGUGGACGACCGGUGCUAACGUGGCACUUUUUAAAUAAAAUUUUUUGACAUUUUUUUUUAAUGGUUUUUCUACUUUUUUUUUUUUGGUUUUGAAUCUAGUCGGCAAAGGUUGUCGGCCAACCCUCGCCAGCCACAAGUGAGGGCCAACGAGCGAGAGCUGAUCAACCCCUACCAACUCUGGGCGAGGGCGCACAAGCCCUCGCCUAGAAAUAACGAGGCUUGUGACACCCUCACCAAAUCUAGCAAGGCGAGGGCUUGGCGACCCUCGCUGGCUCCAAGCAAGGGGGGUGACCUCGCUCAAGGCCUUUGCCUAGUUAGAUCUAGCGAGGGCAAUGACCCCGCUUGAGGCCUUUGCCUUGCAUGCCCUCACCUUUGCUGGCGAGGGCGUCGCGACCCUCAACCAAAGCUUGCGAAGGGCACAGUACCCUCACCCAAAGUUGGCGAGGGUCAACUGGCCCUCACCUAUGGCUAGUGAGGGUUGCCGACCCUCGCCUAUGACUGACACUAGCCCUCACCUAUGGCCAAGGCCGGCCAAAUUCGAACCCCCCCCAAAAAAAAAAAGCAAAAAAAAGUUAAAAAAGAAAAAUCAUAAAAAUUCAAAAUAUUAUUAAAAUAUGAUUUUAAAAGUGCCAUGUCAGCACCGGCCAUCCAUUUUAGCAAUUUCCAGUCAAAAUUGGCUAGAUAGAUUGAAUUGAUAAGAAGUGAAAAGGUUUAUGAUUGAAUUAGCAAAAUUGAAAUAUUUAUGACUGAAUUGAUAAAACUGUAAUAGGUUGAUAACCUUUUAGAUAAUUUUCCCAAUUGUGGUUGAUACGCAUUUGUGGAGAAUUAUCAGCAUCAAGAAUUUAAUUUUUCUUUUCCUUUUUCUGGUCUAGUGACUGUAGUUAUUAGCUUAUUUUAAGCUGUGGAGUUAACAACAGCAGGUCCUGGAGACUUUCAUGAGACGAUUCCACUACAAAUCCUUGUGUGACAAAGUCUUUGUGCGGUGCGAUGCGAGUUAAAAUUUUCCAAAUGCACGAUUUAUUUGACAUAUAUUUCUUCAAUCUUUCGUCGCUGCUCAUCCAAAAAAACAGGCCGUUGUGGGCCAAAGACUGGUGCACAAUUGUCACAGAAGAGCUGCUCUUACUUUCCAAAUAAUCCGUGGGAAACAAUAAGUCUUGGUCUUCUCCUUUCCCAAUUGAUUUUUAUAGUAUGGUACAUUGGGGAUGUUACUUCUGCGCAGGGCAAAUUUUUUCUUUUGAGGCGUUGAUUAAUGCAAAAAGUGAAAGUUGAUAGCGAAAGAAGAAGACCUAACCUCUCUCUUUCAUCAAGAAAGAGACUUCUUGUUUAACUCUAUAUUUGAACAAUUCCAAAACUUAAUAAUGCACCUUAACUCUCAGUCGUCGGGCAGCAAUUAUCAAUGAAAAAGGCACACUAGUUCGUAAAUUUCAUCAGUUAAUUUACAGUAGUAUAUAAUUAUCUUCGGCAAUGUCUCUCUACAAAUCCUUAGAAUUCUUUGGAGAGACUAAUUGAAAAUCCCAGCCGCCAACGUAAUUGGACGAUGCAUUGAGAGAUGAUGUGCAUCCAAACUCAAUAACUUAUUAAUGAGGGCUUUGACACUCUCCAUCAUAAGCAUCUACAAACUUUUCAAACGGGUUCUUUGCCAACUAAUAAACUAAGUACCAUUGUCAAAUUUCCAAUAGAAAUCUAGCCGUAGGAAAUUUUUUCAACACUCAAAAAUUGACGCAUGAUGCCUACAUGGGCAGGUCGAAUUACUUCGAUAAUCUAAAUCUAUCAGUAAGAAAAUCGACAUUAUUUGGAGUCUUUUCUUGGGUAAUAGUAAAAUUGUAUCAAUUGAUAACAGAGCCUAAAUCUGGCUGGUCCAACUGAUUUGAGAGGACAAGUGCAACAUCUCCAACAAGAAUUGGAGCAAUCUUGAUUGUUAAUGCCAUGCCCCGAACUCCAAGCGCACGCACAUCUCUCGGCGGUCGAUUAAAAAUUUGCGAUGUCCGAGGACGCGUCGCCGACCCAUUCUUUUUAUCUUUCAAUUAAGCAAAUGUGAGUGAAUUAAAUACACCACCCAGUCAAAUUUGACCAAAAAUCACUAUAGUAUAUAAUUUUUAUAAUUUUUGGGAAAAUGCUAAGUCAAGGCGGUCGGUUUCCUUGGCAAUUUCUCAUGUGCAACAAUGUAUCUCGUCUGGAGUUAUUGCCCACCAACUUUGGGUGCAUCAUUGAUAGAGAGUAUAAAUGAGACAGGAUGCUUACUGCACCAAGACUUGAAAAGUUAAGCAAGUACUAAGCGUAUGCAAUGGGAGAUCACAGCUUGCACCAAGACUUGAAAAGUUAAGCCAGUACUAAGCGUAUGCAAUGGGAGCUCACAGCUUGCACCAAGACUUGAAAAGUUAAGCAAGUACUAAGCGUAUGCAAUGGGAGAUCACAGCUUGCACCAAGACUUGAAAAGUUAAGCAAGUACUAAGCGUAUGCAAUGGGACAUCACAGCUUGCACCAAGACUUGAAAAGUUAAGCAAGUACUAAGCGUAUGCAAUGGGAGAUCACAACUAGAAGUGAUUGGUUCUUGGAUGAUUUGGUUCUCACCCUGAAAAUCAAGAAUUGGACCAAAAGGAUUCUAAAACCAUGAAUUGAACCAGUGCCCCUAAAACUAAACCAACCAAUCUAGUUCAGUUCCUACGUGGAUCAUGGAACUGGUGGCAUGUUCAAAUUUUUUUUUUUUACUGUUAUUUGUCAUUAAUGUUCAAGACGAAUUGAAGAUGUUCUUGAUAACCAAGACAUUUCUACAAUCAGCGAAUUACGUGUAGCAUUGUAGGUUUCACAUAAUUUUUUUUCCAAUUUGUGGCAAAACUUGGUUAGAAUGAGUAACUAUUGUUUAUGUUUUGAUUUGUUCUUGUCAUCUUACUCACAUGCAUGAGUGAAAUAGGAGUUGUGAGACUUGUGCUUGUCUGCAUGCGUGAGUGAAGUCCGAAAUAUGAGAUAGAUUAGGGGUUUUUUUACAAAUUAAAGGAAAUUAAAAAAAAAAAUUGGUCUAACCCAUGUGGGCAAUUCCAUGCCUGAAAUUGAGAAUCAUAUUGAAAUUCACUAGUUUCGAUUUUAUAGAAUUGAAAACUAGAUUAGUGCCCCCAGGAACCGCCCAAAACUAGCCGAUCUAGUCCCAUUUAAGUGGCUCCUUUUGCUUACCCCUAGUCAUAACUCUAAAAUAGAAGAAUGCCGAAGAAAAAUCAUGAAGAGCAAACUGCUUUGAGCUGGCGAUUGGUGAUGGGGUUUACACUCCUAGGAGUGAAAUUUCUAUUGCAUUCUGGAAAAGAAUAACGCAUAUUUCAGAGUGAUUAAUCAACUAGUUUUAAAGAGGUAAAAACUAAACAUUUGCCAUUGCCGUGCUACGAAAAAUAAGAUUCUUAGAUAACAUUUCAUUCUAUACUUUUACAUUAAGAUAAGAUACGUUGAAUGUAGGUUUGUUUGUUUUUUUUUUUUUUUUUUUAUCUUGGUUGUUGGCCUAGGAUUUCUAAUUAAAAAUAUGGACUGUGGUGAUACGUAUUUGUGGAGAAUCAUCAUUCCAAGGAAUUUAUUUUUCCUUCCAUCUGGUAUCCGUGUUGUAAAUCUUUUGUUGCAUUUCCAUAAUUUUGAGGAAAACACCAUCUUGCUGACAUCGUGGUAACGAAGAAAAACGCAAUCAUUAUUGCCAAAAGUCAUUUUGAAGAAACUAGGCUAAUCGAAUUAGGAGCAAAAUAGUGUCUCAUAUUGGACCUUAGUGUAAAUGUGACUUAAAUCGGAAAAAGUAAAAAAAAAAAAAAAGUAUUAAAUCUAUUGUCAUGAUACCAAUUCAGCUCUUAACCUUUUAAAUAAUCAAUUUAAUUCUAAACAUUUUCAUAUUGACACCAAUUUAGUCCAUCCAACCAAUUUAAGCCGAAAAUUGCCAAUGUGAACGCCAGCUGUCCUACGUAGCAUGACCGAUACUGGCGUGGAUAUUUUUAAUAAUAUUUUAAUAUUUUUUGAAUUUUUAAAAUCUUUUUUGCUUUUUCUUUUUGCCAGUGGCCAUUGCUAGCCACCGACCAUAGCCAUGGUCGGCGAGGGUUGGCCUUGGUCGGCCUCACCAACCAUAGCCAUGGUCGGUGUGGCUGGCCUUGGUCGACCUCACCGACCACAAGCAAUGGUUGGCCUCGUUGGGUCGCCCUUGAGCGAGGGCAAGCGCCAAUCGUCCUAGCGAGGCCCCGUCACCAGAUCUAACGACCAACCAUCACACGGGUGAGGGCGAGGCUAGUUGGGCCUCGCCAUCACCCACGUGGGGCUCACCAAGCCUCAUCCUCGCCCAAGCGAGCCUUGACGAGGCCGACCCUUACUUACACGAGGUGCAAUGAGGCCACCCUAGCCUAGGAGAUGGUCGGCCUCCUCAAAUCUAGUGAGGGGGCCUCACCUAGCCACACCUGGACGGCCGACACUCCCCCUUGACCACACCCUUGCCCAAAGAAAUUACCAUCGGAUAGUUGCAUAUAUGUCGCAUUGCUAUGUAUACAAAGAAAUUACCACUAUGCAAGGCGCCUAUCUAAGCAAAAACAUACGUUCUUCAUUCAAAUUAUUUGAUGGCAAAUUGAAUAUUAGUAUUGUGUUGCUGAUUGGAGAGCUUACCUUGUACUCUAACGAUUAUACCACACAUAAAUAGAUAAUGUUUCCUUUCGACAGAUUAGUUCUAGAAUAUAUAGAAUUAAUGAGUGUAAAAUCUUUUAACACACUGUCAUAAGAGCUAUGUGGCAGAACGUCAAUUAGAUAUAACGAAUGUGACUGUCCAUCAACAAAUUAACCUAGCCCGAACCAGUCAACCUACCCUAGCUAAAAACUAUUGAUUCAGGUAGGUUCCGUUUCGAUUUGAAAUCUGAAAAGAACAAAAUCUAACCAACCUAUAUAUAGCAGAAGAACAAAAUCUGCAAUGUCCAAAUCUACACAAUAGAAAACAUAAUCCUCAAAUCAAAUUACAUUUUCAGUUCAAAGUAAAACCACAGAUAUGGUCUGAGAUCUGAUCAUUGCUAACUAAAAGGACUUUGGGAGUCUGAAAUUGAUUUUCAGACAUUUCUGAUGGUCGACCGAAAGUUCCAAGUAAAUGCCAAGUCAAUGGGGUCGGUUUCCUCGACAAUUUCUUAUGUAGCACAGUAGGUCGUAUCAGAAUUUGUUAUUGCCCGCCAACUUUGACCGCGUCAUUGAUAGAUGCAGGGUGCUUUCAUUACAUUGCCAAGACUUGAGAAGUCUAGCAAAUCAACGGUAAGCGUAUGCAGUGGGGGAGAGAUCACAACCCCAAAACAAGAGAACGAGAAAGAAGAAAAAUCAACAAGAGCAGAGUGGUUUGAGCUGGGGAUUGUCUGCAUGAAAUGUGUUUCAAGGUGGAUGGAUUUUAUAAUUUGAAAAUUUGUAUUUUCCUGUUUCUGGAUUGUAUAUAUACAUUCUAAAAAGGAGUAACCGGUAGCUUCAAAAUAAUUAACCAACUAGCUUCAAAGAGGUAAAAUAUCAACUUUUUACAUUGUUGUGUUACAAAAUUAAGAUGUUGAAAUAAGAUUCCGUUAUAUACUUUUAAACUAAGAAACGAUACGUCGCAUGUGGAUUUUUUUUUCCUUUUUCUAGGCUAACAUUUCCAGCUAAUGUGGAUUGUGAAGGGAAAAUUGUCCAAAUAGUUCUAAACCUAUUGCACUUUUGUCAAUUUAGUUCUAAACUUUUCAAUUUUUCCAAAUUGAGUUCUAAACAUUUUCACAUUUUGCCAAUUUAGUCAAAAACAUUUAUACUUCUUGCCAAUGGAGUCCAUUCAACCAAUUUUGGCCAAAAAUUACUGAUGUGGAUAACCGGCGCUGAGAUGGCACUUUUUAAUAAUAUUUUUAAAUAUUUUUAUGGUUUUUUACUCUUUUUUUUUUUGAUCUAGUUGGCAAAGGUUGUUGGCCAACCCUCGCCAGCCACAAGUGUUCGUAAAAUUCUAAAUGCAAAUGAACAUGUCGAACAAGUAAUAUAAUGAUAAAAAAUAAGUAUCGUCCGACGAAGAUCGAUGAUUAAUAGACUAAUUAAAUACUAAAAUAAAUUAAUUCUAAAAUUUAUCUAACAUAUCAAAAUAUAAUUUAGAAUAAAUUAAAAACAAAAUUUGAAGACUAAAUGUAGUAAAUCUAUCAGAUAAAUAUGUUAGAGUAUCUAAUUUGACCAUAACCACUAGAUAUGAAUUUCAGAUUGUUGUGGGUUCAAGAACGAUAUCAAACAUGUGAUAGUGGAAUUUCCUAAUCUAUUUAGCAAACCUAAUCAGCUUAUUAAUCCACUAUAUCUCCAUGUAAAUUAAAAUAAACUUGAGUGCAUUAAAAAUUAUGAAUAUUCCUAGCUUACAGUGAGUCUUUUAGAUCACCUUAUCACUGAAAGUUACAUAAAUAAUGCGGUAUAUCUCUAUCCACAUUUCAUUCAUGGUUAUAUAUUAUAAUGAGCAAUUGUAUAUUAUCACUUCUCAGUCUCAAAUAUAUACAUCAGAUCAUUCAAGUGGUGGCCAGUCACUCAAAAGCAUUAAGCACAAUAAUAUAUAAUUCACAUGAAUGAAAUCAAUUGCAAAACAUAAAAAUCAUAAAAUUCACAUCAUCCUGGUUAGGCUACAACGUACGUCUAAAGGUUAGCACUGCUCUACUUUCAUAAAAGGUGAAUAAGAUAUAAGACAUGAAGAGUAUCUGAGGCAAGAUGGGUGAACAAAUCGUAGAGGUUCUUUAAGGCUUGGAUGGACUAGUAGAAGGUGAUUAGUUUUGUGGAACUAGAAGCCUGACAACAUGCUUGGAGGAAGUAGCAUGUAGAAGGUCAACAGUCAAUUCAACGUGAAGGGUGAAAAGACUUUUUUUUUGGGUUAUGCAUUAAAUAGUAAAGCAUAUAGAUUUUCUAAUCUCGGUAUUAAUCCUAUUUUUGAAGCAAUUGACGCUGAAUUUUUGAACGUUUAACAAUAAAAGAUACUAAGUCUCUCGAAAUUGACAAAAUAUUAGGAAGUUAAAGUUUCUCUUUAGAUAAAGGAAAACAAGUUAUAAUUGAACAAUAUCCUUCUUUUCUAAAGAAUCUUCCUCAAUCAAAGAAAAACAAGUCUAUAACGGAUGCACACAUAUGGAAGAUGGCAUUGGAUGAUGAGAUAAAAUCUAUCAAGCGAAAUAAUACAGGGUCAUCAACUAAUCUUCCUCCUAACAAUAGAACUAUACGUAAGGCAGGAUUCGUGGCUAAAAGGUAUUGUGAAAAAGGAGGACUUGACUACUUUGAUGUUUAUUCUCUGGUAACAAGGCUUACAACAAUUAGAAAAAUGAUGGCUUUAGGUUCAAAAGUAGUUUGGUAAUUGAUCGAAUGGACGUUCAAACUGCCUCUCAAAAUGGUGAUUUAGAUGGAGAAAUUUAUAUCCACAGGGCUAUAUAGAAAUUGGUCAAGAAGAUAUAGUUUGUAAAUUGAAUAAAUUUUUGUGUGGACUCAAACAAUCACCUAGACAAUAGUAUAAAAAGUUUAAUGGAGAAAUUGAAUAUUUUGAUUUUAAAGCCAGUAAAGCUGUGAAUUGUGCUUUCGCAAAAGUCACAAAUAACGGUUGUGUUGUUAUUACUCUUUAUAUUAAUGAGUUACUUAUUUUUGGAUCAAAUUCGGAAAUUGUUGAGAAGACUGCAUCUUACACAUAUAAUUAUUUUAGACUUCAAAAGAUUGGUAUUGUGGAUGUGAUUUUGGGAAUUAAGGUCAAAUCAGAACUGGGCCUUUUGCUUUUCAUCGCCAAUCAGAAAAUAUAAUAAAUAAAAUGUUUUUGACUCAAUCACAUUUUAAGAAAAAAGCGCUUAGUAGAUUAGGUUUUCCUAAUUGUGAAACAAGUGGUGUGCCUUUGGGUCCUAUUGAGUUAAUAUAAUGAUAAAUCAACUGAUCAAGAACACUAUGCUAAGAUAACCUGAUGUCUUAUGUAUGCUAGGAAUGCCACAAGACUUGAUAUUGCACAUGCGGUAGGAAAAAUAAGUUGAUUUACUUCUAAUUUUUUAUUUACUUAAUUUUCAGUGCAUCUCAUUUGAAGGUAUUUGACAAAUUAAUGCAAAAAUUUAAAAGAAGAAAUUAUUUGGGCUGAGUGAUUAUUAAGAAAUACUCUCUUUUCUGCAUACUCCUUUGCGUCCUAUAACGAUCUAUUGUGACAAUAAGGCAACGAUUUACAUCACCAUAUUGGGAAAACGGUGAAGGAAGGUAAAACUUGUAGUUGAGUACAUGCCAAUCGAGUCAAUGUUGGCUGAUCCUCUUACAAAGAGAUCAAUUUGUGCAAACCAAUCAAAAGCUUUGAAGGAGAUGCGACUAGCACCAAUCAUUUAAGGAUUCGCUGAUUGUAGCCUUCUCUUUGUUUGUAUUGCAUAUGAGUUGAGAGUUUAGUGGAAAUUUAAAGGUAAAUUGUCCAAUUAGUCCUAAAUCUAUUAUAUGGAUUAAAAUAGUCAUAUGAUCAAUUUUCGCCGAAAAAUCUCAGAAAUGGUGGUGUGAAUGUAGGAUGACUGGUGAUAAUUGAACUGUCCCGGCAACAAUCUUAGAUAAAAAUUGAUCAAAAGAAUUAUAUUGGAAGUUUGAGCAAUGGUUUAGAAUUAAAUUGGUAUAGUAAGACAAAUUAUGACAAAAUUGACAUUUAUAUAAUAAGUUUAGAAUUAAUUGGGUAAUUUUUCCAAAAUUUUAAUCAAUUGAUUGAUAUGUUGACGAUUACAUUUCUUGUGCAGAUUAGUGGCUAAUAAUAUUUCGCCAAUGAAUCCAUAGCACAAUGGAGCAAAAAUGGUGGUUCGAAUGCUUAUGAUGGAAUUUUCUUUUAUUAGUCUGGCCUAAUGUACAAAGUGGUCCGUGAACUUUUAAUGCAUGUUUAAUAUGGUCCUUGAAAUUUAUGAAAAUGUUCAAUGUUAUUUGUGGUCUAUUAAUGGAAGGGCAAUAUUGAAUAUUUUCAUAAAAUUCAAGGACCAUAUUAAACAUGCAUUAAAAGUUCAGGGGUUACAAAUAAAUUAAAAGUUCAAGAAACACAUUAGACUAAUUGAAUAAAUUAAAAUUUUAAGGAUUAUAUUGUAUAUUGGGCCAAAGUUUAUAGACCAUUUAUGUCAUUUUCCCUAUGAUCUAUAAUGCACUGCCUUUAAAAGUUUGCUCACCGCGUCAACGUACCUUUUUUUCCGAGAUAAAAAGAAGAAAAGGAAAAAUUGCUAGGACAAGGAAAAAGAAUUUUAAAGGAAAAUUAAUAUAAAUGGUCCAUAUACUUUGACUCAAUGUGCCAUGUGGUUCUCAACCUUUUAAUUUAUUUGAUGUGAUCCUUAAACAUUAAUCCAAUGUGCAAUGUUAUUUUUGAAUUUUUAAUUUUUUCAAUGUGGUCCAUAGACUUUUGGUACAUGCUCGAUUUAGUCAAUGGACUAUAUAAAAAUGUUUCUCUGAAGUUAAAUUAAUAAAAAUAUAACGUUGAACAUUUUCAUAUAGUUCAAGAAUUAUAUUGAACAUGUACCAAAAGUUCAAAGAUCACAUUGAACAAAUUAAAAUUUAUUGGACUAUAUUAAAUAAAUUAAAAAUUGAAAGAUCACAUUGCACAUUAGAAUAAAAUUCAUAGAAUAUUUGUGUUAUUAUUCUGAUUUUAAAAAGACUGCUAAUUCAGAAACAACUUUAUGGCCAAAAAGUAAGGCAUCUAAUUCUUGGGGACACUAAAAGUAUUCAUUUGAACCCGCGAACAUGGAGGUUGUGGCCUUGUGUGACAGCAAAUCUCCAUCGGAGUUAGCCAACUACGGUCGUGACCUCCAUGGCUGUGGCUCUCUCUCUCUCUCUCUCUAAAAAUCCAUCCAUCGGCUGGAGACGAGGCCCAUUUGUUUUUGAGAAAACAUUUUCAGUUCAUCAAAAAAAAAAAAAAACUGUUUUCGAUUUCCAUAUUUGUAUUUUCGCAAAAGCAUGUCUAGUAUGAAAUUUUUUUGGAUAAGUGCACUAAAAACCUUAAAACUAGCCAUGGAAGUGCAAUUGAAUUCUAAAAUUUACAAAAAGUGCAAUCAAGUUUUAAAGUUUGUGUAGAAAUGCUCUUAAAAUUUUUAUCCAGUUAGUAUAACGUAAUUUUCAUUCAGCAAAAUUGCUCUUAAAAUGUCAAUUCACUUAAUGGAAAUAUUACAAUAAAAUUAAAAGUCAUAAAAGGGGAAAAAUAAAUCCCAUUUUAUGCGAGAUUUAACUGUAGUUUAUGUAGCAUUAUUCCCACUUCAAAAAAUAAAAAAUGGUGACACGAAAUUGAAGAAUCUCUAAGAAAAUUAAAUUAAUGUAGCUUAUAGAAGUAUAAUAAAAUAUUCAUUUAAUUUGACAUUAAAGAGAAUUGAGAAAUCAAUCAGACUAUCAACAGAGAAAAGUUACACUAAAUCCACUUAAUAUAAAAAUAAAAACUAAAGCUUUUGCUAAGAUGCAAUGGUAAUUUUUCGUAAUCCAAGGGCACAACAGUAGUUAACCCGCUACUUUAUGGGUAACUAGUACGGCAACCCACCACCAAUAACCCCCGCUCAAGAUAUAAUGUGGUAAAUAAAGAAAAAUCACUAAUAAACUGUUUUCAGCCCCGAUCAAACCUUAGAUUCAAUGUUUUUCAGGGAGAAAUUUAAACAGCAAGCAUGCUCACCAAUAAUUAAAAUAAUCGUCAGGAAAAAGAAAUGCACUUUAGUAUGUGUAAAAAUUGCAUAUCAUAUCAUUUCCUAAAUUUAAUUUGUUUUAUCUUUGUCAUAUAAUCUUUGUUAUAUGUAAAUGCCUGUUUAUUUCUUCCAUAACGAAACACUUAACCAAUAAACUAUCAUCCUCUUGAACUGCCGUGUCCAUCUUCCGUCAUGUCUCUUUUGUUUACCAUUUCUAAUUUGCAUCAUAACCAAAUUGUUCUUGUGUUGUUUCCUAAGCAGAAUCUAUUUUAUUAAGGUCUCUUUUUAUGUACCAUGCUGUGAAAGUUAGGCGUGCAAUAAUUGCCCUUUCCACGACAUUCUCUAAAGGGAAGAUAAAGAUAGACUCGAAUUUAAGCAGAUCCUUAAAAGGUUCAAGAAUAAUAAACAUGUGAGAGAUUCGUCAUAAGGUGGGAGAUCCUACAAUGUCGUCCUUGAAUUCCCUCUUUAGAUAAGAUUUUAGAGGGGAUGGCGAAGGUCAAUAUCAUGUCGAGAUUUUGAACGCCGAUUAGGUAGACAUAAUAACCUUGUGGGCUUGAGAUGAGAGGGGACAGGUGAAAUGCCUACCGCUGGGUUGGCACGGCCUUACGGCCAAGUCAUCUUAAAUAGGCGUGCUGCCAGCCCCAGUACCUCCAGUUAAGUAGUCAAGUGUGCUGGAUGUCACGCACCUCCCCCAUAAAUGUUGUGAAAUUUAGGCGUGCAAUAAUUGCCCUUUUCCGCACAGCAUGCAUCCAGCGGUUCCAAUUAUAGCACGACGGGUCUUGGACCCGUAGAUGGCAAGAACUCAGACAGACAUUGUUCCAAGCAGAGAAAUUAUUGGGUACGUCUCACACUCCAACUUGGCAAACAAGAAGGCGAUGAGAGCGCAACACGUGCCCUCAUGGGACCCAAAUUCUGGAGAGAAAAAGAGGCACCAAUUUGAAAAUAUUUUCAGUCCUGGUUUUCUUUCUUCACGCCUCUCUCUCUACCCUCGCUCUCUUUGCCCAACAAACUCCCUCUCUCUCUCUACACCCUCCCUCUUUCUGACCGGCGAACCACCGCGAGCAACUGACGAACCAGGAGGAUCCUAGUGAGACAACCGGGAGCAACCGACUGACAUGCGACCUCCCUCUCUCUCUCUCUCUGCCCUCCCUCUUUUCGACCGGUGAACCACCACGAGCAACCGACGAACCAGGAGGAUACCAGUGAGACGACUCUCUUUCUCUCUGCCCUCUGGCGUGCGACCUCCCUCUCUCUCUCUCUCUCUCUGCCCUCCCUCUUUCCGACCUAUGCAAAACAAGCGUUGAAAGAUGGUUUUUGGGCCAAAACAAGCGUUGAAAGAUGCAAAUGAUCAAUGUGUCCUCCUUUUCAAUGAAGUUCAGAAGGCAUGGAAGGUCUCCUAUACUCUGCAGUCAGAUUACUUGUGCCAUUCCAUGUGGGAUAAGUACAUUGAAUUUGAACUAUCCCAGCAACAGUGGAGCUAUCUCACUCAGAUUUAUGUGCAGACUCUGAGAUUUCCUACCAAAAAGUUACAACAUUACUAUGACAGGUAUUUCUCUGAGCUUCAUCCUUACAAAUAGAUUUUAUACAAAAGGAGUGAUAUGAUGUUAAUUUUAGGCCUUUUUCUGUUGACCCAUUAUCUUUUCCAUUUCAUGUCAAGUUGCAUUGUCUCUAAACCUUCUUGAUUUGAAGUCUUUGUUGGAGAAACGUUUGCUAGUAAUGCACUGUUCAUUCUACUCCAUGGUCUGAUAGCAAACACAGCAUAUUGGUACCUUAUUUCUUAAUUUUUGGUGAAAGAAGCCUAUUUUGUGAGAGUUUGAACUGUGAAGUCUAGGUAAAGCACCUAUUCUGCAUAGUAAUGGGAAAGUGUCAAACUUGUAAUAAGUGAUAAUGCUUAGGUGGAACCCUUUGUGUUGUUUAUAUGGCCAAUAUUCAUAUAUUUGGCCAUAGAUCACAAUUUGCAGCAAUUUCAUUCAGAUUCCUAUAUACAUGAUUGAACAGGAGGUCUGAAUCCUAGCUUUUCAUGCUUUGCUUAGUGCAAAUGACGUGCUGCAUCUUUUGGGGACACACUUCACCAUAAGGAAUGUAAUUGAUAUGAACACUAGUUUGAUUACAUAACAGCCAAGUCAGAGCAUAGAUAAGUUGUAUUUAUGACUAUAAUUUGUAGAUUUGGCCAUAGAUAGCAAGUUGUAGCAACUUCUUUCAGAUUGCAAUAUAUGGUUCAACAGGCGGUUUGGAUCCUAGCUAAUGCUUUGCUUAGUGGAAGUCAUAUCCUUGCUGCAACUUGAGGAACUCAAGUUGGGACAACGAAUGUAAUUGAUACAAGCAAAAAGCUAUAUUACAUAAUAGCCAUGUCUGAGCAUGUGAAUUUCCUGCCAUUUUUCUUAGCACCUAACAAACCUUCAUAUAAACCAUUAACACGUGAUUGAGAGCUCUAAAAUGAUCAUUGACUUUCUCAGGGAGAAAAAUAGCACCUCUUUUGGUUGAAUUAUAAGAGGACACUGAAUCAUUAUUUGCCUGCCUUAUUAUGUUCAUUAAUAAUAAUUGAAGGAUAAUUGAGUGACUGCAAAAUAUUGAAAAAUUUGAUCUGCAUAUUCAUGUACGAUACUAUCAAUUCUGUGUUUGGUAAGAUCAUGGCAUGAUGCAAUGGAAAGUUAUGACUUGUACUUCAAUUAUCUUGAUGGCUACAUCUAAAUAAGAAUUUGCAUGUUCUGUCUUUUAAUAUUGUACGGCUACGCCUGUUCCUUAAAGAUGAACAAGACACCCCAAUUCCGAUGGAUGCUCUCUCAUAAGUUGCCUCACCAGGUCACCUCCUUUUUGGAGGUGGCAAUUCAUAGUCGAUUUUAUGUUCCAUUUACUGUGUUAUGGCAUUGUCUCUAUGUUGAUCUCAGGAAAUAUAGAAAGGACAAGAGAAUACUUUUCACAUGUACCUGCUAUGCUUUUGGAUAUUUAUUUUGUUCUAUGUUGUUAACUUCCUUUAUCUUUCUUCUUUUACCUUUUCAGCUUUAAGAAGUUAGUUACUGUUGGGAUUGUCAGAUUCCCAAAAACCGGAUUCGACACUAAAUUGAACCCCUAAAACGAAUGCGGAAGACGACCCGGGAAAAACACAUGCAUCACCAAUCCUAAGACACAUCACAGAAUUGAACGUACCUUAUUAGCCACAGAUUAAACACCGACGCCGAUAUGAAGAAGAGAAACUGAUCCCGUUCGAUUCGAUGACGCGAAUUUGCCUUGAAGGGAAGAGAGCGUCGCCUUUUGCUUACUGUUUUUCUUUUGGAGGUGUUUCAAGGGAGAGAGGGAAGGAGGAACGUACGUUAUGCCAAAAGGUACGUUCCUCCCUCUUUAUUUCUCCUUUAUAUACAUCCCCUCCAAAAAGAAACGUGUCCCUUCAUCAUAUCCCUUCAUCCAUGGGCCCUAAUCUUGUGGGCCAGACUUUUAAACCCAACAUGGGCGGACGGGCCAACUUAGGCCCAUCACAAUAAUUAAUAAAACCAUUAUUUCCCACUCGCACAUGGUGGGCUGAACAGGAUUCUCUUUAUCUCUCUUCAACAUUCAUACUGGUGAAUAAUCCGUGCGACCAGCAUACUUUGAGAGCUCGUUGUUAUACAUCUAUCAUGAAUAUAUAACAGCUCAUAAUGAGCAUCACACUCUGAGUAGAUUUAGUAUGCAGUACCCUAGAUCGAUCAAUCACAUUUAUAUCUCUCUUGAUCUCUUUUAAACAAUGAUAUAUAUAUAUAUAUAUAUAUAUAUAUAUAUUGUAUUCACAAUUAUGAUUAUCUCAAAGACAGUCAUAAUUGGUCGAUCAGUGAAUACAAAACUAUAAUGUGAUUCUCCAAAUUCGAUCUUCCUCUUUCCUUCAAACUCUUAAUCUCAGUUCAGUUUGCUUUUCUAGAAAUGUCCCAUUAGAUUGAAUCAACUCAUGACCAUUGGCAACAUCCUAAGAUAGCAAACACUAAAUAGAAAUCUUGAGAAUAAGUAAAAGUCAUGAGGGUACUAAAAUUGAGGAACUCUUUUCCUCAAGAGUCUCACACGGCAUAAGAGUUGAGAUCAAACUUUUGCCACUCUUAUUGGUCGUCUCAUGCAUACAUAGUAUGAAAUACGUAUUACGGUAUUAGCUCAUUUCCCAUUGAGCGUAUGUCUACAUCUUCAAUACCGUACAGAUGAUAGUUCAAACAUAUCUAAUAUCUAACUUGAGUUCACAUAUCUAUUCAUUCACAAAAUUCAUCAGAACUCACAUCUAACAUCAUAGACAAAUAAAGUAAAAUAUGUGGGUUAUAUUACUUUCGGACAUAGUAAAUAUUAUGUCAUCAUCUUCACACUUAGCUAAGGCGACAAAUAUAUUUUAAGCUUGAGCUCUCGAUUAUCACCUAGAUAAUAAACUUAAAAAACGUCUCAUCUCUAUUUAUCACAUAGUAUAUAAAGGCAAUUACCCGUGUGAGUUGGCCAAUCUUAUAUCUGUCCGACAUACUUUCUUAACUUAAAGUAAUGCACUGAGCAUUAAGAUGCAUAAAGAUCAAACAAAGAUUCAUAGACAUUAAUAAUGAAAAAACACUAGUUACUAAAUGUGAACAACUUAGGGAAAUUACAAUCUAGUACAUCAGACUCUAUGCAAUCCUAGAGAUUUUACAUGACCACAAAACACAUAUUUAGGUAUUGGCUUUGUCAUUGGAUCUGCUAUCAUUUUAUGUGUAGAUAUGUAUUGUAAGUUCACAUUCUUUCGUGCAAUCAUAUCUUUGACAAAGUUAUACUUAGUAUCUAUAUGUUUGGUCUUGCCAUGAUAUUUUGGAUCUUUUGUGUAUACUAUAGCUGCUUGGCUAUCACAGUUAACCAAUAAUGGAUUUGUAGCUUUCUCAAUAACACCUAAAUGAUCCAAAAAUCUCUUAAGCCAAACUCCUUCUUGUACCGCUACUGAUAAUGCCACAAACUCAGCUUCCAUCAUGGACAAGGCUAUAGACGUUUGCUUCUUACUGCUCCAUGAUAUGGCGCCAUUGUUCAAUAAGAAAGCAAAUCCAAAGGUAGAUUUUCUUUCAUCUAAAUCUCCUCCCCAAUCAGCAUCUGAAUAGCCUUCAAGUCGCAGAUCCUUUCCUUGGUAAUUCAACUUGUAAUCAGCAGUUCUCUUCAGAUACCUCGGUAUUCUUUUAACGGCCUUCCAAUGUGCUUGACCUGGGUUGGAUUGGUAUCUACUCACCAUUCCAACUGCAAAACAUAUGUCAAGUCUUGAUUGAUCUUUGGAUCUUUUGAUAUGAUCACAAAUUGAUCUUUGGAUCUUUUGAUAUAUACACAAUGAUCCUCAUCUAUCAUUGUAAAAUCAUAUGCCAUUAUGGCAUUAUGAAAACGUAUAUACGAUUGUCUCGAUGACUGCUUAAGACCGUAUAUCAAUCUCAAAAGUCAACAUACCUUUCCAUCUUGGCCUUCUUUAGUGAAACCAACAGGUUGUUCCAUAAAUAUUUCUUCCUCUAAUUCUCCAUUGAGAAAAGUGGUCUUUACAUCCAUUUGAUGUAACUCAAGAUCCAUACUAGCCACUAUUGCCAGAAUAAUGCGAAUCGAAGUAAAUCUCACUACAAGAGAAAAUGUUUUUUCAUAAUCAAUUCUUUCAUGUUGAUUAUACCCCUUCACCAUAAGGCAAGUCUUAUGCCUUUCUAUCGAGCCAUCAGUUUUUCACUUUAUUUUGAAAACCUAUUUAUUCCCAAUAGCUUUGCGUCCUUUUUGGAAGAUCAAUCAGUUCCUUGGUUUGACUUCAUUGACUCAAUCUCCUCUUCCAUUACAUGAAUCAAUUUUUCCUUACUAGGGCAACUUAAAGUCUCAUUAAUAUUUCUUGACUCAUCCUCAUCUUGCGGAGCAAUCAUAAAAGUUUCCCCUUCAAUGUCAAAACGUCGACGGUGAAUACUUUUGCGACUUGUUCGCCGUAUGGGAGAUUGUGCAUUUUGCACAUUGUUCCCCAUUAUGCUCCCACUAGGAUUAGAUAAUGUUAAUGUCGUCUCAUCAUGUGGUUGUAAUUGAGAAUGAGUUGAAUUCGAUUUAUCAUUUCUCAUAUUACUCCCACUUGGACGAAUUCCAUUAAUAUCAUUAUCUUGAUCCAAGGUUUUAAAUAGGGAAUAAUCUUCCCCUAUUUCCCCAUUCUUGGGAAAUUCAUCCUCUAAGAAUGUGACAUCCCGUGAUUCAAAUUUAGUCAUACUCCCACUUUCCUACUCACCUAUGAACACAUAUCCUUUCGAGUGUUCGGAGUAUCUUAUGAAAAUACUAUUCUUUCCUUUGGGACCUAAUUCCCAAACUUGUGGGAGGACUCAUGAGUAUAGGCAGCACAACCCCAUGGCUUAAGAAAACUUAAGUCUGGUUUUCUACUUAUUCAUAACUCAUAUGAAAUGGAAGUAACUGAUUUGGAAGGCACUCGGUUAAGUAUAUAGGCAGCAGUUAACAAUGCAUCACUCCAAAAUGUGAUAGGUAAGUUAGCAUGUGCCAUCAUGGACUUAACUACUUUCAGUAGGGUUCUGUUUCUUCUCUCUGCAACACCAUUUUGUUGAGGAGUAUAUGGAAUAGACAACUGUUUUUCUAUUCCUUUCUCAUCACAUAAUUUUCUGAACUCAUUAGAUAAAUAUUCUCGACCUCGAUCGGAUCUCAAUGCUUUUAUUUUCUUGUCUAAUUGAUUUUCUACCAAAUUCAUAAAUUUUUUUAAACAACUCAAUGCUUCAGAUUUAUGAGAAAUCAAAUAGACAUAUCUGAAUCGAAUAUAAUCAUCUAUAAAAGUGAUGAAAUAAACAGCCCCAUGCCUUCCUCUCAUAUUCAUUGGACCACAUACGUCAGAAUGGAUUAAAUGCAGAGGAAAUUAAGCUCUUUUACCUUUUUCAAAUGGUUUCCUUAUCGUUUUCCCUACUAGGCAAUGCUCAUAUAUUGGCAAAUCGACUUUUUCAAUGUUGCCCAACAAGCCCUCUUUGGCUAGUCUAUUCAUACGUUGUUGGCUAAUAUGACCAAGUCUAGCAUGCCACACAUUCACAUUAUUAUCAUAUGAAUUAGGAGACAUGAGAAGGGAAUAACAAACAUUUGCAUUAACAUAGUCAAUAUCUAAUACAAUGAAACCAUCCAGAAAAUAACCACAAUCAUAGAAAUUUGUAUCCAAAAACAAAUCCACAUCUCUAUUAUGGAAGUUAAUAUUAAAACCUAGUUUAACCAACACUAAAAUAGACACUAAAUUCCAACGAAUCUCCGGAGCAUACAAUACAUCAUGUAGGAAGAAAGUGCAUCCAUCACGCAUGUUCAUUUGGCAAGUGCCAAUUCCUUUUUAUUUAACUCUGGAGUUGUUUCCCACAUAGAUCCACUUAGUUCCAGUUGGUACUCAUCGGAAUUCUACGAAUGAUUCUCUAUCCUUCGCUACAUGGUCUAUCGCUCCUAAAUCCACAGUCCAUAAAGGAUUAGACUCAGUUAAGAAUACAGAAUUCGACACAUAAGCAAAGUUCUGAAAAGUACAAGGGGUGUAUACCUUCUUUGGCUCACGACAGUCAUGAGCAUAGUGACCAUUCUUGUCACAAUUGUAAAGCUUCACCAUUGUAAGCUUAGGUUUCUUCCCUGAAGGACCUGCUUCAGGGAAGAAACAAGGGAUGUAUACCUUCUUUGGCUCAUGACAGUCGCGAGCAUAGUGACUAUUCUUGUCACAAUUGUAACACUUCACCCUUGUAAGCUUAGGUUUCCCUUUAUCGAACCAGUUAGGACGUUUGCACUUGGAGCUCGAAGCUCCAUGUGAGCUAGAACCAACAUGAUAGAUUUUAACUUCCGGCUUAGCCGCCAAGAGGCGGUCCUCUUCCAGCUCAAGAUGAUGCACUGCAUCCUCAAAGAUUUUGAUAUUUUCAUUAUAAGUCAUGUGCACCUUCAUAUGCUCCCAACUCUGAGGCAAGGAACGAAUCACUGCUUGCACUUGCUGCUCAUCAGUCAGGAAAUGGCCAGCAUUUUUCAGCUCAUUAAUCAUGUUUGACAUCUUUCUAAGAUGUUGCUUCAUGGUCUGACCAUGAGGCUUCUUAUAAGAGUUAAACCUAAUAGUGAGUUGUCUCAGUCUAGUCACCGAAGUAUGACCAAAUCUUGCUGCCAAUGCUUCCCACAUUUCCUUGGCAUUCUCAAAACGCCUAAACUCUCGCAUGACGACAUUUUCCAUGCUACUCAACAACGUAGUGCGAGCAAGAGAGUUCUUUCUUUUCCAUGCAACAAAUGCUUCAUUAUCUCUCUUGUGAUGUGCAGUGUUUCAUUCUUCAGGUUCUACCAUGGUCAGGUUAAGAGCUUCUAAUGCCUCUUGCUCUUCCAGCACAUAUUGGAUUUUCAUGUGCCAGAUUUCAUAGUUGUCGCCAUUGAGCUUUUCACCUUUGUUCAGCUCAGCAACUAUGCUCUUUGUAGCUGAAGCCAUUGAUUUGAACACAUUAGACAUAUAUGCACGAAUAAUUAAUGCCUAUCAUUUAUGCAUCCAUUUUGCACAAACCCAUCAUAUUAAUGAACAAUUUCAAGUAAGGUUUCAGAAUCAAAAGGUCACUAUGUUUCCAAUCAUCCUCCAAAAAUCCUAAUUUAAAAAUAUCAUUAAUAUAAUUAUCUUAUACAAAAUAAAUUCUAUGAAGCUACAAAAACUUCUAUGAACUACCAACAGCAAUCAACAAUAACAGAAAGCAAAUAAUAUUUGACAUCCAAUAGAAUAAUAAUGCUUUCACAUAAUACAACUAACAUAUCAGUUGCUACAUCAACAACAAUCAGGUAGUAAACAUUGCAUAAGAUGUCCACAAAGCACACUAAAUAAAGACCAGCCAAUACAUCUAACACCAAGUCAAUACACGAACUAAGAAAGAUCAUCUUUUGUUCAAUUUCUUGAUCUUUUCCCUUGUAAUAAUCCAGUAAUAAUCAUCUAUAAAAUCCAUCACAAUUUUCCUAUAUGAAGCGGCUCUAUUAACAUCCCAUAUGCGAUUCAACACUCCUUGCCAUUCUGGUGGAAGAGUGUUCAUGAAAAAUCGCACCAUCUUAGACUGUGACAAGGGACGACCAUUCCAUAUGACCUUUUGAAUUUUCACGUUGACUUCAAUGACGUGAUCGAUUAAGUCACCACUCUCCCAUCGAUGAUCAGUCAGCUCAGCUAUCAACGUAGAAAGCCUUUCUUUUUGUUCAUCGGUAAUUACACGAACAUGUGUGCACAACCUAAGGGGAGGCAUUGUUCCUGCAACAAAUGCAGAACAAAUAAGGGAUCACAUAUAAUCCACAUAGACUUAAUUGGAAAAAGAAACACAUUAUUUUCCUCUCUCUCUCUCUCUCUCUCUCCUUUUUUUUUUUUGUCAACAGUCAAAGUUAAUGGUCAAAGUCAACGGUCAACGGUUAGCCGGGUCGAGGUCAACGGGCGGUCGGGUCGGACCGAUCGAAUCGGACGGGCUGGACGGAUCGUUUGGCCCAGUCGGAUAAGUCGACCGGCAUGUGCCCCGCGUGUGCCGAGAUGACGUCACGAUGACGUCAUCCGGUGCAUGCGCAGCACGCGCCAGCACCACGCGCGUGCGUCGCACGCGCCUGUGGGGUACCGAAUCGAUGCGUUGCGCCGAUGACCCCCGUUUGUUCUGACCACGUGUGGCGAUGCGUCCAGCGGCAAUCUGCCACUCAUUUUUCUCGUCUUAGUGAGGGCUUCCUUCCUACGCUUUUAGAAAAAAUUUUUGACUUACAGAAAACCAAAAAGCCAGGCGAAUAGAAUCGGGUGUCGGGAUUUUUCUGCCCCUUAUCGGUGUCGGCCGAUUUUUUACAAAACUUCAAUAAAAGAUUAUUCAUAAACAUGAAAGGAGUCGGGAAAACAUGAAUUGGGGCUCUGAUACAAAUGUUGGGAUUGUCGGAUUCCCAAAAACCAGAUUCAACACUAAAUCAAACCCCUAAAACGAAUGCAGAAGACGACCCAGGAAAAACACAUGCAUCACCGAUCCUAAGGCACAUCACAGAAUUGAACGUACCUUGUUAGCCACGGAUUAAACACCGACGCCGGUAUAAGGAAGAGAAACUGAUCCCGUUCAAUCUGAUGACGCGAAUUUGCUUUGAAGGGAAGAGAGCGUCGCCUUUUGCUUACUAUUUUUCUUUUGGAGGUGUUUCAAGGGAGAGAGGGAAGGAGGAACGUACGUUAUACCAAAAGGUACGUUCAUCCCUUUUUAUUUCCCCCUUAUAUACGUCACAUCCAAAAAGAAACGUGUUCCUUCAUCAUAUCUCUUCAUCCAUGAGCCCUAAUCUUAUAGGCCGGGCUUUUAGGCCCAACAUAGGCGGACGGGCCAACUUAGGCCCAUCACAAUAAUUAAUAAAACCAUUAGUUACCAUUUGGAAAAAGGAGAUGGUAAGCACUAGUGAGCCUGACUUGGAAUUCAACCACGAAAGUGAGAUCCAGAGUGAAGUGCAAAUAUCUUAUAAAGAUGAGGAAAUUGCCAAUGUGGUUGGAAACUUGUUGGGUUCAUCCAAUGGCCUGGAUAGGUCAAGGGCACUUCACAAGUACAUGAAAAUAGGAGAAAAGCUUUACAAGGAGUCACACCAAAUGGAUGAAAAGAUUUGUGGCUUUGAGUCAUGCAUUCGGAGAUCUUAUUUCCAUAUGAAGCCCCUGGUUACUAAAAGUUGCUGCAUAUUUUUUUGAAAUUGCACACCAAUACUUGCUUCAACAAGUGAAUAUAGCAAAAUAUCUCUUAUUUUAUUUUUCUGACACAAGAUGUAUCCCCAAUUCUCCCAUUAGCUAACACAUAUUCUACCUACCUCAUGCGAAAAUAAGGAAAGACUACAAGAGGACCAUCCGUAGUAUUUCUCUCGGCCCUUCCUCAACAACUUACUAGAAACUUCGGAUAGAAACUGAAGUUGCGAGAGUGAAGAUGGUCUUCUCAACGUAGACGUUGGAGCACGCAAUCACUCACCUUUGUAAGACAAAAGGCAAACAAUUAACUCCUUCUACGGUAAGUUCCAUCGACGCUCAUUUGUACUUUAAUGAAGCUUACAAUUUGAUCACUGAACUUUGACUUCCAAUCACCGAAUCCAACUAAAUUUGAUUCAUUUUCAGUAGAUGCCUUCAGCCCAUCAACAUACUCCAACUAGCCUUUGAUCUGCAUCACGUUAAAAAAAAAAAAAAAAAACCGGGUGGCCGGCAUUAGCCAAAGCAGAAAAUUGACCAGUUCAGGGAACAAGAACAUCGCCUCCAAAGCUUCAAGGCUAGAGUACAAGAUUGGGUAACAUUUGUUCCCCAAAGCUAUGCCACUGCCACCUAAUUCAACUAAGUCCUAAAAUAUCAGCAAAUUAUUUUGAUUGAGUUGCGUUAAAUUAUUUUUUCAUUUGGUUGGUAAAUCACAUUGAAGAUUAUGUUAAUUCAUCCCAGAGCAUGCUGAUUUCUUUUGUUUUACUGUUUGCAAAAUUAAAUGCACAAAACAGAGUGCUAACAGCCUACCCUCAAAUGAACUAGAACCAUACUAUAUACUUAGUAAAGAGAGAACAAUAUAACAUUCGAAUAUCACCGCAAACCCAUUAGAGGAAAACACGCAGGCCAUCAGAGAAAAAGAGAGAAAAACGAAAUUACCUGGAUGUGGGAGAGGAGGGCUAGGGACUCAACCAAGGAGGGCGGGCGAGCAACUGGCGGGAUCGUGAUGCCGGCGGAACUGGAGAUCAACAGGCCGAUGGGUGUGAGGUGGUCGGGCGCCAACAUUCCAGCGUACAAGACAAGCCGGUGUCGGAUCUGGAGCUAGAGGGGGGGCGCGGUGGUUCGUCGAUCACGCGCUGGUUCGCAGCGAAGAGAGGGAGGGCAGACAGAGACACAAGGGGAGAGAAAGAGCAGGGGACAGACAAGUCAGGGCCAAAUACGGAGCCAGACGGGUGGCGCGGUGGUUCGCCGAUCGAAAAGAGAGAGGGUAGAGAGAGAGAGAGGGAGGUUGCACGCCGGUCGAUCGGAAGAGGGAGGUCGCAUGUUGGAGGGUAGAGAGAAAGAGAGGGAGGUCGCAUGCCGGUCUGUCGAAAAGAGGGAGGGCAGAGAGAGAGAGAGAGAGGUCGCACGCCGAUCAGUUGCUCGUGGUCAUCUCGUCGGUAUCCUCCUAGUUUGUCAGUUGCUCGCGGUGGUUUGCUGAUCGGAAAAGUGAGAGCAGAGAGAGAGAGGGAGUUCGUCGGGGAGAGAGAGCGAGUGUAGAGAGAGAGAGGCGCAUGAAAGACCUAAAAACCCUAGCUACAGUACAGAAACAUUUUCAAAAUGGCGCCUGACCUUAUGGGUCCCACGAGGACACAUGUCGUGCUCUCACCGCCUUCUUAUUUGCCAAGCUAGAGCGUGAAACAUAUCUAAUAAUUUCUCGUUCCUCCCGCGCCUCUUGCCUUGCCUCGAUAAGGAUAGCACCGCUCUUACCCUGGGCUCAGGCUAUGCUGCGUGACUGUCGUCGUAGCGCGGGGUCACCCAGACCCUCACCCUUAUCGAGCGAGGGUCAAGCCUAGUCAAGGACACUCACAAACAAAAACGGUCAUAUCAAAACCACUGGACGAAUGGGGGUCAACCACUGGACGAAACGAACUUCAGACAACAUGCCCAUUCCACCUCUACCUUUGUCUGCAUCCUCUUCACCAUUCUCAUUUGGCUUUUUGUCCGGCGUCCGGCAUUCCCCAUUCUGUCCGACUUUCCUCCUCUGUUUAUUUUCAAAAUUCUCGUACGCCUUCUUCGCCCUGCGUAUUGCUUGAAUCCCAGCGUCACAUUUUCUACAAAACCAUUUUCCCCUUGGAAUUGAGGUGCGUGGCGGUUUCAUGCAGUAGAUAUGAUAAGCUUGAUCACAACCAUCACACAAAACAAUUUUGUCAUCAUCUCGAUCCGUGAGGAAGCCUCUACACAAACAAGAAGGACAGUACCAACGAGAACUGUAGGACUUCAACUGCUUGGUUGUCAAGCACCUCCUAUGAUAAUACUUAUUGGGACAAAAAGGAUGCUCGCACAUCCUGAACUUCUCCCCGUUUUCAAUCUCAUGCCCGCAUAUUUUGCAUGUACUCGAGACUUUGGUCUCUUCAAAUGGGUUAAUCCCCAAAUCUGAGCUGCAAUUUGCAUCUUCCAACGUAGUAAGAGCCUCUUCAUCAGCAAACCCAUUGGCAGCACUCCUGGAAGCAUUCAAUUUCUCGCAGACAACACAGUUGUCAUGGGGAGAAGUGAUUCCGCUUUCCGUGCAACUAGCACAGUACCAACUUCUUGGUGGAAUCUCUUUCACUGCAGGCUCAAUGCGAGAGACAUGGUAUAUUUCCUCACAUGAAUCACAAACUAAACAUUCCAUUCCAUCAGCCUUCAGUUCACAAUGCCGACAGGUUCUUCCAUUAUAUGCACCACAUUCCUCUGUUUGCUCCAAUUUAGCAUCAACGAGAGCAUCCCUCCCAGAGACCUAUUCAAAAUAAACGACUUGUCAAGUCAUAUGCAGAAUUGACAAAAUCAUCAUUUCAAGAACUCUGGUCUAAGAGGAUUCGAUAUGAUCCUGAUAAUAGCUUCUGCUAAAGCUCGAGAUGUACUAAUCUCAUAGUGCAAAUACCAUAAAACAUAGGGUGAACAAACUAUUAGGUUCAUCAAUGAGUUUCUAAUUCAUAAAAUACAAAGUUAAACUCCUAGACAGAGGCAUCAAAGAUUACAAAAGGAAUACAAUAGCAAUGAAAGUAUAAAAUAAAAAGCAAACGGAUUAAUUUACAGAUUAAUUCGAUAAAUAAAUAGAUAAAAAGCACACGUUCCACGGCCUAUAAAGAAUGCCAUCAAUUUACAGAUUAAUUCGAUAUCAAAAUAAGUAAUAAACUCAAACAAACCUCAAGAAUACGUACUUUCUUCUCCCAUGGUACUACAAUGUACUUACAGUUUUUAAGGUCUUACUUUUUUUAAUCGAUGUCAUUUAAAGCAUGCACGUGUAGAGAGACUUUUUGGUUUAAUUAUAUACGUGUCUAAAUAAGUCUAAAUAACUCAAUAAAGGUCAUAUCUCUAUGACCAGCUAUAUCCCUUUCGAUGACAUGAAAAUGGUAAGGACUCGUGGCUUCGAAGAAUUUUUUUUAAAAAUGGCUUAGUAUAACUUCCUCUUUUUUUCUCGUGUCAUCUUCUUGCAUAGAUGUUGUCAAAUCACUAGUAAUGAACUUGCUAUCUUCGACUACGACGACGACCAAAAAAAAAAAAAAAAAAACUUGCUAUUAGGAUAAUACCANNNNNNNNNNNNNNNNNNNNNNNNNNNNNNNNNNNNNNNNNNNNNNNNNNNNNNNNNNNNNNNNNNNNNNNNNNNNNNNNNNNNNNNNNNNNNNNNNNNNNNNNNNNNNNNNNNNNNNNNNNNNNNNNNNNNNNNNNNNNNNNNNNNNNNNNNNNNNNNNNNNNNNNNNNNNNNNNNNNNNNNNNNNAAAUCCUAAAACUAUAAUAUGGCAGCUAAUUUAGUUUUAAACAUUUUAAUUGUGUCAAUUUAAUCCUAAAUUUUUUGACAACUCAUCAAUUAAGUCAUAAACCUUUCGAUUGUGUCAAUUUAGUCUUAAAACUUUUAUUUAACCAAUUUCCAAUAUAAUCCUUCUAACUAAUUUCAGCUAUAAAUUGCCGAUCUAAUAGUCUAGUCAACACNNNNNNNNNNNNNNNNNNNNNNNNNNNNNNNNNNNNNNNNNNNNNNNNNNNNNNNNNNNNNNNNNNNNNNNNNNNNNNNNNNNNNNNNNNNNNNNNNNNNACUUUUCCCAGGCAAGUUGCCAAAAGAUUUAAGACCGAGUAGGCUGCUGUACAAGAGGUUUAGAAUUUUUUAGGCAAUUUUUCCUAUGAAUAAGGACAUUAGUCUCAAGUGAUCUCAAGUGAUUUUGCCUUUUUUUCCUGGGUUGAUUUAGUACUCCUUUUGGGUACACAAUUGUUCCUUCGGAGUCAAGCCAGCAUAGAAAAGUUUGCUAAGAAAAAAAAACUCGGAGCGCUUGCAUUCAUCUACGACAGCAUAAAUAGAUAAAUAGAUAGAUAUAUGUCAACUAGAAGUUUCAAUGAAACCUUUGUCGCGCCGAAACAUGAUGAACCCUUGCCCUAGCAGUUGUCCUCAACCAUGAGACGUUUUUUUGAUAAAUUUUUAUCUUUUUUUUCAACAACAUAUGCCAAUCUGCAUAUGUCUUUCUAGGGAAGUUGUGCCUCUUUUUUUUUUUUUUUGGCAAUUUAGCUUUUAGUUCUUGUUACAAUUUGCACUUAGAAAAUUCAAACAUAUUAUAUUUUGCACUAAAAAAUUCAUGCAUAUCUGCGCAAAGACCCUAUAUGAAACUAAAGUUUGAAACUUUUUUAAGAGCUCUUACUAGACACAAUUUGCCCAUGACGAGCUUAAUAUGGAUAACAAUAGAUCCGUUGUAAUGCAAUGUGUAGAUAUUUGCACUUAAUUAAUUUUGCACAUAUCUAUCGUUGAGGCCUAAUAUGAAACUUAAAUAGUUCAACAAUUUUGAAAAACUUAGAAUCAAUACAACAUGUCCAUGAUGAGUCCAACGUGGGUAUCGGAACGCAAGGCACAGGUACACUAUGCCUCUUGAACUUAUAUCUAGUUCCCGACCUAAUAUAAAUUUUGGAUAAAACAUGAUGAAGACAUCACUUAUAAACUUGAUUCGUGCUUAUGUAUAUGAUCUAUUGAGCUUACUUGAAAAGUAUAUGAGAAUCAUUGUAAAAGUAAAAGAAAUAUACAUGUCAAUUUUGUGUUUGCUAUAAUAAAUUCUUCUUUUAUUAGAAAUAAACUUAGCUAUUGAUAAGCAUAACAUAAGACAUAUUACAAGACAAAUGUUAUUGAGUUGGGGAGCCGCGAAAUACAAGUAGACGAAAGAAAUCAGUUGAAGUGGUAUGAAGUACAAUUGUCAAAAUAAUUACAUCAACAUUUUCCCUUGUAAAACCAAUAUAAACAUAUUCCUUAUGCUCAUUGAUUUACAUAAACAUUUUUAUUUUUAUUUUGUUUAAAUCGCCUUAUUGCAAAAUAUUAGGAUUACAAUCAAUGGAAAGUAAUUACUGAUACAAUACGAAGAAAUGGGAAACACAUAUACGUAGAAAUAUACCAAUAUCUCAAGAUUGAAGUACAUGGCAGAUAAAGCAUCGACAGUAUAUUUUUAAAACAAGUAAUUUGGGGUAUUUUGGUAAGAAGCUAUUUUCUUGAUAUAAUAGUAACCCUAGUGAAAAGCUAAAGGAAAAUUAACGAGAAAUCAAGAAGAGAUAAUAUAGUCAUCACUGAUACUAGAUAUACAAAAAGUAAAUUAAAGGGUUCAUGAAUCUAGUAUAUUUGUUUCUGGGCACUUCAUCAACGUUAUUCUGCAACUUGUGUAUAAAGGCAAAUAAAGGGAUUGCGAUGUCUUGUAUCAUAGAAAUUUGGAUUGAGACAACUGAAUGCAUCUUUAUCUCGGCGAUAAGAGUGAUUGAUCCUCCUGCACUGAAGUCAGCUCUACCUGUGCUUCCAAUUGCAUCGACAUUGGAAUCACACUCGAAACACAGAUAGAUCCAGUUCUAAUGCGAUUGAUCUCUUCUUCAUUUUGUCGGGCGACCAUGGGAUUUCGUAGUGAUCGUACUCGCUCCAAUUCUGUCGCCACUUGCUUCAUUGUAGGCCUGUACCUUCCAUGAAGUCGUAAGCAUCUUUUCACCAAGUUAGACACCGCAAUAAUUUCUUCAUUCUCGCCAUGGUCUAAUACCUCCUUAUCAAGAACAUCAAACAAGCGAUUCUCUUGAAUCGAAAUGAUGAAGUACGAGGCUAGAUUUCUAUCCUCUUCUGCCGUUAGUUGAAAAAUUGGCCGUUCUCCAGUUAGUAACUCGGCAAGGACAACUCCAAAGCUAUAGACAUCGCUCUUGUCCGUAAAUUGACUUGUUUGAUAGUAUUCGGGGUCCAAGUAUCCGAAGGUUCCUCGCACCUUUGUGGUCAAGUGUGUUUGGUCGAUGGGAAUCAAUUUGGAAGCUCCAAAAUCUGCCACUUUGGCUUGAUAUUUUUCAUCCAAAAGUAUAUUUGUUGACUUGAUAUCACGAUGAUAAAUCGGCAUGGCCGCAUCAAAGUGCAAAUAUGAAAGAGCCGUGGCAACUUCAUUGGCAAUUCUUAAUCGCAUUUCCCAUGGGACGGGAAAUUCUUCGUUUGGAUCAUGAAGAUGGCGGUAGAGAGUUCCAUUGGGGACAAAUUCAUAUACCAGAAGAGGGACUUCACUCUCCAAACAAAAUCCUAAUAGUUUGACCACAUUUCUGUGAUUGAUUUCAGAGAGAAUGACGAUUUCAUUAACGAACUGUUCAACUUGUCGUGCAUCAAUAACUUUGGAUUUCUUGACCGCAAUAAUUGUUCCGUCUAUCAACAUUCCCUUGUAAACAGCUCCUUGACCACCUUGACCCAAUAUUCGAUUCUUAUUGAAAUGGUCUGUAGCCCUGUCUAACACCGUUAAGGCAAACAACUUGCCUUUCUCCACAUGAUUGUCUUCAAUAGAAGUUAGGCGUUGUUGCAACAAAAAUCCGCCAUUACGUUUAAAGAAAUUUUGUUUGAGCUUUGCCUCACGCCUUCUUUUGAUGUAUUUGUUCAACCACCAACAAAGCAAAAGCAACAUUAUGGCUCCGGCACCCGUGCCUGCCCAUGUGUCCAAAAAGGUCAACGGGAAUUGCUACGUCAUCAUCAACAAAUUAGCUUCCACUAAUUUAACAAGUGCUUUUAAGCUUUGAAGAGAGAGAGACUAAAAGGAGGAUUAGCUCAACAAAAUAAUUCGAAAAUAUUAUGCAUCAUUUAUGGGUGAGAAACAAAGAUACAAUCAAAUUGCUAAAAGCAAAGACCAUGAAAUUACAAAUAAGAUUAUCCAAUAAGUCAUAAAUUUAUUAAACGACAGUCAAUUUAGUCAUAAAUCUUUCAAUUGUUCCAAUUUAGUCCUAAACAUUUUGACAAUUUUUCAAUUUAGUCCUAAACUUUUUAACAAUUUGUCAAUUUAGUCCUUUCAACCAAUUUUAGCCGAAAUCGCUUAUUAUCCUACGUGGCACGACAAGUGCUAAUGUGAAAAAAUUUUACAAUUUUUUUUUGCUUUGAUUUCAUUUUUCUUUUUUCUUUUUCCCUUUUCCUCUCUGUCGGCCUUGAGCGAGGGUCGCAGUUGCUGGCUCAAGUGAGGGACGACUGUGCCUAGGUUGCCAAGGGCAACCCUUGCCAACCCAAGCCCAGUCUACCCUCACCCGAGGCCGUCGACCUUCGCCAACCAUCAUCGAGGCUUGAUCAUGGCCGAUGGAGGGAAAAAGGGAAAAGGGGAAAAAAGAGAAGAAAAGAUAAAGUUCAAACAUAUUUAAAAGAAAAAAUUGCCCACAUCAUUGCCAAAAGAAUUAAAUUGGCAUGUUAUCAAAAGUUUUAAGAUUGAAUUGACAUAAUUGAAAAUUUUAGAAUUAAAUUAGUAAAUUUCCAAUAUAUUUAAGAAUAAAUUAGCACAAUUGAAAGAUUUAGAGCUAAAUUAAUCACCGUAGAAUAAUUUGAGAACUUUUUGGAUAAUUUUUUUUUAAAAAAAAAGCGCGUGCAAAUCCACAAUGCAAUUAGUGGCCUUCUUUCAACCAAAAUAAUAAUAACAAUAAUAAUCAAUCACCUCCUUAAUUUAGCCGCUUACUUCAUUUGAGAAAUGGGGGACUCCAAAAAAAAAGAAGCAAUUGCAGAGGUACUUGGGGAACGCAAUGGGGAGGGGCGGGGUUUACGCCCCUGUCCGCGACUUAAAACUAGUAGAGAUGUCCAUACGCACCUCAUGCCUCAUGCAGGACAAGUUUCUUUAUCCCAUCACCAUUCUCCCGAUCAUGUCAAGUUAAAAAAAAAAAAAUUCUAUAGGCGCAAUUCAUGAUUGUAAGAAUAUAAAAACGACGCAAAAAGGACAGGGACAAAAGAAAAUUGGACAACUACACCGGACCAAGGAAAUGGGACAUGCCUGGAUUGCACAAAAUAAAAUAAAAUAAAAUAUAUUAGUAAUCAGUUGUUCCUUUUCGAUCUGAGCUGUGCCGCCAUAAAUGUCGUUGGCGUCGCUGCUUGCUGCUGUCAAGAGACCACCCCAUGGAGGUUACGACUAUCAGUGAACAUCGUCGAGGGACUCUCUCUCUCUCUCUCUCUUUCUAAGAUUUGAGGUCACGCGACCAAGGCGGUGUCGCACUCCUAAGGCGGCAACAGAAACCACCGCGGUAUAAGGUUGUCUGCGUCGCCAUUUUCUCCCCUCAUUUUCUUUUACUCUAUUUCUAGCCUGCUCUCUUUCUCUAUGGGUUUAAUUUCUUUCUUCAAGUACUUUCUUUUUUUAUUAUUUAUUUGAAAUUUUUCUGUUCAGUUUUGAGUUCUCUUUAUCGUGACAGAGAGAUCAGUUCAUCAUCAAAAUCAACUGAUUUAAAUAGUGCUGUUUGAGACAGACACCCAAAUAACAUGAAAGAACAUACCAAAUAUAUUAUUAUGCUGAGAGCAUCUUAUGAUAAUCGAAAUGAUUCAAUGUAUUAAUCGGAUUAAACGUGCUUAAUUCUUUUUCAGCAACAAAAGGAUAAGUGAUUGAUUUUAUUAGUAACAAAUUGAAUUAUUUGAGAUGACAAUAUAUAAAUUAUCAAUGUAGUUCACAGACACAACUAAUUCAAAGAGAAAGAUUUACAUCCAAUAAAUCUCGAUAACUAAUAGCAAAAGAUGGAACAAUGACACAAGAACAACAUUUAAGAAAUGUGAAUAAUUUAUAAGAUAAAAGAAGUUUUAUGAUGAAAAAAUAUUGAGCAAUGUGUUCUACUUACUAACCUGGCACCAUGUAGAUUAAGCUAAACCACUUUUGAUGGAUGAUAGCAGUACAACCUUUCCCAUCUUUUCUUCCAUCUCCUCGGGAUCCCAUUGGACAUGAACAAUUAUACGUUCCCGGCAAGUUCGUACAUAUUCCAUUGCAGGGUUGUGAAAUCACGCAUUCAUUGAUGUCUGUAGGAAUAUUUCCAAAUAUAAGAAGCAAAUCUGACACCAUUUCAAUUGGAAGAAACUUGAAAAAGUAAAUAAAAUCUCAUGGUUCAGCAACACUUUCAAUUGUGAGAGGACAUAUUGAGUCAAUUUGCUUUUUCUAAUAUCAUGAUACCUCACCACAGUUUUUAAAUGAUGGGUCGUUAUCUCAAGAGCCUAAGCUUAACCAAGCACUUAGAUCUUCGUUACGAAUAGAAGAUUCAAGAAUUAUCCAACAAAAUUGUGCCGUUACCAACUAGAAUAACACAUCAUAUAGAAAAGAAUUCAAAAAUUACUGUCUAUAAAUACAGAAAAAUUCUGGAUGUAUUAACAUCAGUGCACGAAAUUGAUUUACAAGCUAAUUUGACCGACUCAUAUUGAGGGUUCACUAUAGAUCAUUUGUUUAUAAACUCAAUUGCAGUCGACCACCUUAGUUUGUAAAACAAUUGUACGGACUAAACUUAGGAGAGAAGAAUGUCUAGCUAUAUGAGGAAGGAUUACUGUGAAAAUUUACAAAUUAUUGCUAAGGGCUUCAUAGGUCAUAUUAAAUUUCAAGCAAUGAAAAUUCAUGCUACUGAAAGAAGAGAAAUGAUCGUGUUCUGCGGCCUAGAUUGUUAUGAUUUUUAAGAUUAUAAAUUUUACGUGAUUAUUACAAGAAUCAUUGAAAAGAUGUAUCAUUCAUGAAGUCAAAAUUUGGUCCUCUGACUUAAAAGUUUCGAACAAUUCCUUUCUCUAGGUUUUUCAUGCAAUUGGAUCCAUUUAACAUGCUCGCCCGUAUUGAAAUAAUGAUCCACGAUUCUAUACAUGAACACUUGUUCGGAUGGUCUAAUGAAAAGACUUGAAAAGGUACCUUGACAACCAUUCUGGAGAUAGGGGUUCCCUUGAAAACCCUUCAAGCAGUGGCACUGGUAGCCAUUUCCAUUCUCAGCAUCUGUACAAUUGGAGUUCUCUCGGCACAUGUAGGUCGUUGCAUUCUUCUUUGCAUCAUCGCAUGUUUGAUUUGGAAUUAACCAAUGGACAACUAGAGGGACCAUAUCAAAUGGCGGCUCGCGCAGAUUGUCCGUAGAGAAGCUAAAGAAGCCGUCUUGGGCAACGAAAGCGUAUCCGCACGGAUUGAAAUCAGAGAUGCCGCGAUGAUUGUUGUAGCUAGUGAGAGAGAUGUUGUAUCGGUAGACGUCUCGAGGUAUGCUAGUCUCGCAGCAACCAAUGCCUGAGCACGACCCAUUAAUCACGUCCGAGAUGCUGUCGCAUGAGGACAAGCACCCCGUCACAGACGUGCUUUCUUGUCGAGCGCUGAAGGUCGCGUACGUGUCGCAUCCCACGGCGAUAAAUUUGUUCUUGGCAGAAGAUAUGGGGAAUAUGGGAAGAUAGAAGUAAGGAUCAUUAUUGUACAAGGAUGUGCCGGACGAAUUAUAACAAUCUUUGGCUACAAACACCGUUACACUAAUCUCGUGACUCUCCAUAGAUAUAUCGAGUACUCGGAAAUAAGAAUCUUUACUGUACAUAUGAGAAGUGGGAGGAUCAGUCGAGUCGUUGCAAAAGAUGAGGAAAGACUCUGAUUCUUCUUUGAAGUAGCAAUCGUCGCCGGCAUCAUUCAUCCCGAAUGGGUACGCGAAGGUGAGGUUGCCACAUCUGUUCGCGCAUCCGGGCUUUGUUGUUUGGACUACAUCCGCAGUAACUACUGAGAAUAGAGCCACCAAUGAGCACAACAGCAGCACCACUCUCAAGGGAAGUCUAUGGAGCAGCAUGGAUCCACCCAUAUUCUUCCUGAAAUGAGAUGAUAUUUUGCAACGAGAUGAUGAGCUUCAUAGCCCGAUGACAACCUUUAUAAGCGAUGAUGGAGCUUCUAGAAAGCUAAAUAGUAUAUGCAUUAUUCAUAUUCCCCACUAUAUUGAUUGUCUUCGCGGUAAUUACAUCAUUACUAAUCAAUCAUACGGUUUUGUCCACUCUCUAUGGCUCUUCACUAAAGAAGCCUUGACAAGCCUGUCGUGAUUCACGUUGUGGCAUCGCAAUCAUUCGUAGGAAUUUCCAAACUGACUUGCAAAUAAUAAAAGUCGUGAUUAGAUAGAUAUCUUUUUCUUUUCAAUCUCAGAAUUAGUUUCGAUGGGUGGUGUUCAUAAACUAUUGCAUGCACAUCUCUAAUGUAUGAACUCCUUAAAUAUUUGUACAAAUAUAUCAACAUCGUAUUUAAAUCUUUAUGCGCAGAGUAAUAUUUCAAUUUAUGCUAUGUACAAUUAAAAAAAAAUUAGGUACAUCGAUAGUAAGUACUAAAGAUUAGUUAGAUAAAGCAAGAAACUGUUGAUUUGGGUCGGUUCGAAUUUGAAUUUGAAAAUCAAAACAGCACCAAACAACCCAAAUAUAGAAGAUGAAUGAGAACGAAAUUUGCGGUGUUUAGAUAUGAUUUGCUAAGUAAAAGGACUUCAAGAGUCCGAAAUUGAUUUUGAGAAUUUUCUCAGAUUCGCCUAUAAAGUUUCAAGUAAAUCCUAAGUCAAUGCCAUCAGUUUUCUUGGCAAUUUCUCACGUACGCGAGUCUGUCUCAUCAGGGUGUUUUCAUUAUCCUGCCAAGACUUGAAAAGUCAAGCAAGUAUGAAGCGUAUGCAAUGGGAGAUCACAACGCUAAAAUUCGUGAAAGGACUCAUUGCCCUCAAGGAAAGCUUAAGAGGUUUUAUAUUACAAAAUUAUCAACAAAAAAAUUCUAAACCUAUUAUACUUGUACAAAUUCAGUCAUAAAUUCUUCAAUUGUGCUAAUUAAAACUCAAACCUUUUGAAAGUUAACCGAUUUAAUUUUUUUUGAUCAAAUUGACUAGAAAUCGCUAUAGUAUAUAAUUUUUAUAAUUUUUGGGAAAUUGAUUUGGGACUUUGGGAAUUAAAACUGAUUUACAGAAAUUUCUUAUGGCCGAAUUGAAGUUCCAAGUAAACGCCAAGUCAAUGGGGUUGGUUUCCUCGACAAUUUCUUAUGUAGCACAAUAGGUCACAUCAGAAUUUGUUACUGCCCGCCAACUUUGACUGCGUCAUUGAUAGAUUCAGGGUGCUUUCAUUACAUUGCCAAGACUUGAGAAGUCUAGCAAAUCAACGGUAAGCGUAUGCAGUGGGGGAGAAAUCACAACCCCAAAACAAGAGAAUGAGAAAGAAGAAAAAUCAACAAGAGCAGAGUGGUUUGAGCUGGGGAUUGUUUGCAUGAAAUGUGUUUCAAGUUGCAUGGAUUUUAUAAUCUGAAAAUUUGUAUUUUCCUGUUUCUAGACUGUAUAUAUGCAUUCUAAAACGGAGUAAUUGGUAGCUUCAAAAUAAUUAAUCAACUAGCUUCAAAUAGGUAAAAUAUCAACUUUUUAAAUUGUUGUGUUACAAAAUUAAGAUGUUGAAAUAAGAUUCCGUUAUGUACUUUUAAACUAAGAAAAGAUACGUUGCAUGUGGAUUUUUUUUCCUUUUUCUAGGCUAACAUUUCCAACUAAUAUGGAUUGCGAAGGGAACAUUGUCCAAAUAGUCCUAAACCAAUUUAAUCCUAAACUUUUCAAUUUUGCCAAUUGAGUCAUAAACAUUUUCACAUUUUGCCAAUUCAAUCCUAAACCUUUUUCACUUCUUGCCAAUUGAAUCCAAUCAACCAAUUUUGGCUAGAAAUUACUGACGUGGACGACCGGUGCUAAAGUGGCACUUUUUAAAUAAUAUUUUUUUGAUUUUUUUUAUUAUUAUUAUUAUUAUUAUUAUUUUGAAUCUAAUCGGCAAAGGUUGUCGGCCAACCCUCGCUAGCCACAAGUAAGGGCCAACGAGCGAGAACCAACCAACCCUCACCAGCUCUGGUCGAGAGCGCACAAGCCCUCGCCUAGAAAUAACGAGGCUUGUGACGCCCUCACCAAAUCUAGCAAGGCAAGGGCUUGGUGACCCUCGCUGGCUCCAAGCAAGGGGAGUGACCUCGCUCAAGGCCUUUGCCUAGUUAGAUCUAGCGAGGGCGAUGACCUCACUUGAGGCCUUUGCCUAGCAUGCCCUCACCUUCGCUGCCUCACCUUCGCUGGCGAGGGCGUCACAACCCUCGCCCAAAGUUGGCGAGGGUCGACUGGCCCUCACCUAUGGCUAGUGAGGGUUGCCGACCCUCACCUAUGACUGACACUGGCCCUCACCUAUGGCCGAGGCCGGCCAAAUCCGAACCCCCCCCCCCCCCCAAAAAAAGCAAAAAAAAAGUUAAAAAAAAAAAUUCAUAAAAAUUCAAAAUAUUAUUAAAAUAUUAUUUAAAAAGUGCCACGUUAGCACCGGCCAUCCCUGUUAGCAAUUUCCAAUCAAAAUUGGCCGGAUAGAUUGAAUUGAUAAGAAGUGAAAAGAUUUAUGAUUGAAUUAGCAAAAUUGAAAUAUUUAUGACUGAAUUGGUAAAAGUGUAAUAGGUUGAUAACUUUUUGGAUAAUUUUCCCAAUUGUGGUUGAUACGCAUUUGUGGAGAAAUAUCAUCAUCAAGAGUUUAAUUUUUCUUUUCCUUUUUCUGGUCCAGUGACUGUAGUUAUUAGCUUAUUUUAAGCUGUGGAGUUAACAACGGCAGGUCCUGGAGACUUUCAUGAGACGAUUCCACUACAAAUCCUUGUGUGACGAAGUCUUUGUGCGGUGCGGUGCGCGUUUGAAUUUUUCAAAUGCACGAUUUAUUUGACAUAUAUUUCUUCAAUCUUUCGUCGCUGCUCAUCCGAACAAAACAGGCCAUUGUGGGCCAGAGACUGGUGCACAAUUGUCACAGAAAAGCUGCUCUUACUUUCCAAAUAAUCCAUGGGAAACAAUAAGUCUUGGUCUUCUCCUUUCCCAAUUGAUUUUUAUAGUAGGGUACAUUGGGGAUGUUACUUCUGCGCAGGGCAAAUUUUUUCUUUCGAGGCGUUGAUUAAUGCAAAAAGUGAAAGUUGAUAGCAAAAGGAGAAAACUUAACCUCUCUCUUUCAUCAAGAAAGAGACUUCUUGUUUAACUCUAUAUUUGAACAAUUCUAAAACUUAAUAAUUCACCUUAACUCUCAGUCGUCGGGCAGCAAUUAUCAAUGAAAAAAGCACACUAGUUCGUAAAUUUCAUCAGUUAAUUUAUAGUAAUAUAUAAUUAUCUUUGGCAAUGUCUCUCUACAAAUCCUUAAAAUUCUUUGGAGAGACUAAUUGAAAAUCCCAGCUGCCAACAUAAUUGGACGAUGCAUUGAGAGAUGAUGUGCAUCAAAACUCAAUAACUUAUUAAUGAGGGCUUUGACACUCUCCAUCAUAAGCAUCUAUAAACUUUUCAAACGGGUUCUUUGCCAACUAAUAAGCUAAUUACCAUUGUCAAAUUUCCAAUAGAAAUCUAGCCGCAGGAAAUUUUUUCAACACUCACAAAUUGACGCAUGAUGCCUACAUGGGUAGGUCGAAUUACUUCGAUAAUCCAAAUCUAUCAGAAAGAAAAUCGACAUUAUUUGGAGUCUUUCGUUGGAUAAUAGUAAAAUUGUAUCAGUUGAUAACAGAGCCUAAAUUUGGCUGGUCCAGCCGAUUUGAGAAGACAAGUGCAACAUCUCCAACAAGAAUUGGAGCAAUCUUGAUUGUUAAUGUCAUGCCCCGAACUCCGAGCGCACGUACAUUUCUCGGCGGUCGUUUAAAAAUUUGCGACGUCCUGCGACGCAUCGCCAACCCAUUCUUUUUAUCUUUCAAUUAAGUACAUGCAAGUGAACUAAAUACACCACCCAGUCAAAUUUGACCAAAAAUCACUAGUAUAUAAUUUUUAUAAUUUUUGGGAAAAGGCUAAGUCAAGGCGGUCGGUUUCCUUGGCAAUUUCUCAUGUGCAACAAUAUAUCUCGUCCGGAGUUAUUGCCCACCAACUUUGGGUGCAUCAUUGAUAGAGAGUAUAAAUGAGACAGGAUGCUUACUGCACCAAGACUUGAAAAGUUAAGCAAGUACUAAGCGUAUGCAAUGGGAGAUCACAGCUUGCACCAAGCUAAGCGUAUGCAAUGGGAGAUCACAGCUUGCACCAAGACUUGAAAAGUUAAGCAAGUACUAAGCGUAUGCAAUGGGAGAUCACAACUAGAAGUGAUUGGUUCUCGGAUGAUUUGGUUCCCACCCCAAAAAUCGAGUAUUGGACCAAAAGGAUUCUAAAACUGAACCGACCAAUCUAGUUCAGUUCCUACGUGGAUCAUGGAACCGGUGGCAUGUUCAGAUUUUUUUUUUUUUUUUUUACUGUUAUUUGUUAUUAAUGUUCAAGACGAAUUGAAGAUGUUCUUGAUAACCAAGACGUUUCUACAAUCAGUGAAUUACAUGUAGCAUUGUAGGUUUCACAUAAUUUUUUUUCCAAUUUGUGGCAAAACUUGGUUAGAAUGAGUAACUAUUGUUUAUGUUUUGAUUUGUUCUUGUCAUCUUACUCACAUGCGUGAGUGAAAUAGGAGUUGUGAGACUCGUGCUUGUCUGCAUGCGUGAGUGAAGUCCGAAAUAUGAGAUAGAUUAGGGUUUUUUUACAAAUUAAAGGAAAUUAAAAAAAAAAAAUUGGUCUAACCCAUGUGGGCAAUUCCACGCCUGAAACUGAGAAUCAGAUUGAAAUUCACUAGUUUCAAUUUUAUAGAAUUGAGAACUAGAUCGGUGCCCCCAGGAACCGCCCAAAACUGGCCAAUCUAGUCCCAUUUAAGUGGCUCCUUUUGCUUACCCCUAGUCAUAACUCUAAAAUAGAAGAAUGCCGAAGAAAAAUCAUGAAGAGCAAACUGCCUUGAGCUGGCGAUUGGUGAUGGGGUUUACACUCCUAGGAGUGAAAUUUCUAUUGCAUUCUGGAAAAAGAAUAACGCAUAUUUCAGAGUGAUUAAUCAACUAGUUUUAAAGAGGUAAAAACUAAACAUUUGCCAUUGCCGUGCUACGAAAAAUAAGAUUCUUAGAUAACAUUUCAUUCUAUACUUUUACAUUAAGAUAAGAUAUGUUGAACGUAGGUUUGUUUUUUUUAUUUUAUUUUUUAUCUUGGUCGUUGGCCUAGGAUUUCUAAUUAAAAAUAUGGACUGUGGGGAUACGUAUCUGUGGAGAAUCAUCAUUCCAAGGAAUUUAUUUUUCCUUCCAUCUAGUAUCCGUGUUGUAAAUCUUUUGUUGCAUUUCCAUAAUUUUGAGGAAAACACCAUCUUGCUGACAUCGUGGUAACGAAGAAAAACGCAAUCAUUAUUGCCAAAAGUCAUUUUGAAGAAACUAGGCUAAUCGAAUUAGGAGCAAAAUAGUGUCUCAUAUUGGACCUUAGUGUAAAUGUGACUUAAACUGGAAAAAGUAAAAAAAAAAAGUAUUAAAUCUAUUGUCAUGAUACCAAUUCAGCUCUUAACCUUUUAAAUAAUCAAUUUAAUUCUAAACUUUUUCAUAUUGAUACUAAUUUAGUCCAUCCGACUAAUUUAAGCCGAAAAUUGCCAAUGUGAAUGCCAGCUGUCCUACGUAACAUGACCGAUACUGGCGUGGAUAUUUUUAAUAAUAUUUUAAUAUUUAUUGAAUUUUUAAAAUCUUUUUUGCUUUUUCUUUUUUCGACCUCCCUCUUCUUUGCUUUUUCUUUUUGCCAGUGGCCAUUGCUANNNNNNNNNNNNNNNNNNNNNNNNNNNNNNNNNNNNNNNNNNNNNNNNNNNNNNNNNNNNNNNNNNNNNNNNNNNNNNNNNNNNNNNNNNNNNNNNNNNNNNNNNNNNNNNNNNNNNNNNNNNNNNNNNNNNNNNNNNNNNNNNNNNNNNNNNNNNNNNNNNNNNNNNNNNNNNNNNNNNNNNNNNNNNNNNNNNNNNNNNNNNNNNNNNNNNNNNNNNNNNNNNNNNNNNNNNNNNNNNNNNNNNNNNNNNNNNNNNNNNNNNNNNNNNNNNNNNNNNNNNNNNNNNNNNNNNNNNNNNNNNNNNNNNNNNNNNNNNNNNNNNNNNNNNNNNNNNNNNNNNCUCCUCAAAUCUAGCAAGGGGGCCUUACCUAGCCACACCUGGACGGCCGACGCUCCCUCUUGACCACGCCCUCGCCCAAAGAAAUUACCAUCAGAUAGUUGCAUAUAUGUCGCAUUGCUAUGUAUACAAAGAAAUUACCACUAUGCAAGGCGCCUAUUUAAGCAAAAACAUACGUUCUUCAUUCAAAUUAUUUGAUGGCAAAUUGAAUAUUAGUAUUGCGUUGCUGAUUGGAGAGCUUACCUUGUACUCUAACGAUUAUACCACACAUAAAUAGAUAAUGUUUCCUUUCGACAGAUUAGUUCUAGAAUAUAUAGAAUUAAUGAGUGUAAUAUCUUUUAACACACUGUUAUAAGGGCUUUGUGGCAGAACGUCAAUUGGAUAUAACAAAUGUGACUGUCCAUCAACAAAUUAACCUAGCCCGAACCAGUCAACCUACCCUAGCUAAAAACUAGUGAUUCAGGUUGGUUCCGUUUCGAUUUGAAAUCUGAAAAGAACAAAAUCUAACCAACCUAUAUAUAGCAGAAGAACAAAAUUUGCAGUGUCCAAAUCUACACAAUAGAAAACAUAAUCCUCAAAUCAAAUUACAUUUUCCAGUUCAAAGUAAAACCACAGAUAUGGUCCGAGAUCUUAUCAUUGCUAACUAAAAGGACUUUGGGAGUCUGAAAUUGAUUUUCAGAAAUUUCUGAUGGUCGACCGAAAGUUCCAAGUAAAUGCCAAGUCAAUGGGGUCGGUUUCCUCGACAAUUUCUUAUGUAGCACAAUAGGUCACAUCAGAAUUUGUUAUUGCCCGCCAACUUUGACUGCGUCAUCGAUAGAUGCAGGGUGCUUCCCUUACAUUGCCAAGAAGACUUGAGAAGUCUAGCAAAUCAACGGUAAGCGUAUGCAGUGGGGGAGAGAUCACAACCCCAAAACAAGAGAAUGAGAAAGAAGAAAAAUCAACAAGAGCAGAGUGGUUUGAGCUGGGGAUUGUCUGCAUGAAAUGUGUUUCAAGGGGGAUGGAUUUUAUAAUCUGAAAAUUUGUAUUUUCCUGUUUCUAGACUAUAUAUAUGAAUUCUAAAAAGGAGUAACUAGUAACUUCAAAAUAAUUAAUCAACUAGCUUCAAAGAGGUAAAAUAUCAAAUUUUUUAAUUGUUGUGUUACAAAAUUAAGAUGUUGAAAUAAGAUUCCGUCAUGUACUUUUAAGCUAAGAAAAGAUACGUCGCACGUGGAUAUUUUUUUCCUUUUUCUAGGCUAACAUUUCCAACUAAUAUGGAUUGUGAAGGGAACAUUGUCCAAAUAGUCAUAAACCUAUUGCACUUUUGUCAAUUUAGUCCUAAACUUUUCAAUUUUGCCAAUUGAGUCAUAAACAUUUUCACAUUUUUGCAAAUUUAAUCCUAAACAUUUUCACUUCUUGCCAAUUGAAUCAAUUCAACCAAUUUUGGCUAAAAAUUGCUGACAUGGACAACCGGCGCUAAUGUUGCACUUUUUCAAUAAUAUUUUUUAAUAUUUUUUAUUUUUUAUAUUUUUUUAUAUUUUUUAUAUUUUUUAUAUUUUAUAUUUUAUAUUUUAUAUUUUUGGUUUUGGAUCUAGUCGGCAAAGGUUGUCAACCAACCCUCACCAGCCACAAGCGAGGGCCAGCGAGUGAGAGCCAACCAACCCUCACUAGCUCUGGGUGAGGGCACACAAGCCCUCGCCUAGAAAUAGCAAGGCCUCUGACGCCCUCACCAAAUCUAGCAAGGCGAGGGCUUGGCAACCCUCACUAGCUCCAAGCAAGGGGGGUGACCUCGCUUAGGGCCUUUGCCUGGCUAGAUUUAGCGAGGGCGAUGACCUUGCUUGAGGCAUUUGCCUAUCAUGCCCUCACCUUCACUAGCAAGGGCGUCGCGACCCUCACCCAAAGCUCGCGAAGGGCACAAUGCCCUCGCCCAAAGUUGGCAAGGGUCGACUAGCCCUCGCCUAUGGCUAGUGAGGGUCGCCAACCUAUGACCAACGCUAGCCCUCGCCUAUGGCCGAGGCCGGCCAAAUCCGAACCCAAAAAAAAAAAAAAAAAAAGCAAAAAAAAGUUAAAAAAUAAAAAUCAUAAAAAAUUCAAAAUAUUAUUAAAAUAUUAUUUAAAAAGUGACACGUUAGCACCGGCCAUCCACAUUAGCAAUUUCCAGCCAAAAUUGGCCGGAUAGAUUGAAGUGAUAAGUGAAAAGAUUUAUGAUUGAAUUAACAAAAUUGAAAUAUUUAUGACUGAAUUGGUAAAAGUGCAAUAGGUUGAGGACUUUUUGGAUAAUUUUCCCGAUUCUGGUUGAUAUGUAUUUGUGGAGAAUUGUCAUCAUCAAGAAUUUAAUUUUUCUUUUCCUUUUUUCUGGUCUAGUGACUGUAGUUAUUAGCUUAUUUUAAGCUGCGGAGUUAGCAACGACAAGUCCUGGAGACUUUCAUGAGACGAUUCCACUACAAAUCCUUGUGUGACGAAGUCUUUGUGCGGUGUGGUGCGCGUAUAACUUUUCCAAAUGCACGAUUUAUUCAUAUAUUUCUUCAAUCUUUCAUCGCUGCUCAUCCGAAAAAACAGGCCAUCGUGGGCCAGAGACUGGUGCACAAUUGUCACAGAAGAGCUGCUCUUACUUUCCAAAUAAUCCACGGGAAACAAAAAGUCUUGAUCUUCUCCUUUCCCAAUCGAUUUUUAUAGUAUGGUACAUCGGGGAUGUUACUUCUACGCAUGGCAAAUUUUUUCUUUCGGGGCAUUGAUUAAAGCAAAAUUUGAAAUUGAUAGCGAAAGGAGAAGACCAAACCUCUCUCUUUCAUGAAGAAAGAGCUUCUUGUUUAACUCUAUAUUUGAACAAUUCUAAAACUUAAUAAUGCACCUUAACUCUCAGUCGUCGGGCAGCAAUUAUCAAUGAAAAAGGUACAUUAGUUCGUAAAUUUCAUCAGUUAACUUACAGUAAGGUAUAAUUAUCUUUAGUAAUGUCUCUCGACAAAUCUUUAGAAUUAUUUGGACAGACUAAUUGAAAAUCCCAGCCACCGACGUAAUUGGACGAUGCAUUGAGAGAUGAUUUGCAUCCAAACUCAAUAACUUAUUAAUGAGGGCGUUCACGCUCUCCAUCAUAAGCGUCUACAAACUUUUCAAACGGGUUCUUUGCCAACUAAUAAGCUAAGUACCCUUGUCAAAUUUCCAGUAGAAAUUUGGCAAUUUCCAGUAGAAAUUUUUUCAACACUAACAAAUUGACGCAUGAUGCCUACAUGGGCAAGUCGAAUUACUUCGAUGAUCUAAAUCUAUCAGUAAGAAAAUCAAAUUAUCUAGAGUCUUUCCUUGGGCAAUAGUAAAAUUGUAUCAGUUGUGUCACGCCCCGAACCUCGAGCGUGCCAACAUCCCACCAUGGUCAUGCAAUUGCGACAUUCCCAGGUAGUGUCGCCGACCCCAUUCAUUUAUUAUUGCGCAAGCGGAACGUAUUAUAAUCCCCUGACAAUGAAAUACGGGAUAGAAAAGCAGGAAACAAUUUCACAACCAAUCACUUACAUAAACCAACGGAGUUAUAGAAGAAGGCCUAGAGCCAAAAAUCUACAAAAGAAUGGCUCUUAAAAAGAGGUUAUCUUACGACCUACAAGUCGUACACGAUCUCCAAUCCUUAUGACUUCGCCUCUCCAACUCCUCAAGGCCAACCAAAGCUAUCUGGCCGCUCCGUCCUCCAGGGACCUGAAAUGGUUAUUCAAUAACCACUGAGACAAUGUCUCAGCAAGUUCAACCCCCUAAACCCCUAUUAGAAAGAAAAUACGCCCAAGGGUGGCAUAGCCACAUCACACAGAGAACUUACCUCGCCUCAAUUCUUUCCUGCAGGUUAGCACAAUUUGUAUCACACAAUCUCAGGUAGUAAUAAUAAUUCAAACAAUUGGAACGCCAUCACUUUCAUAUAAAUCACGAUCGCACUUUGCACGCAUCCCAAUUAUUAUUCACUGCCACACAAUGGCAUAGCCUACUCGCGGGUCGGCUAUCUACUAACAUUACGGCAUUUCUAGAAGAAUGAAGGUCCAGUCGGUCCCGCCACUAUUGCGACCAAGCCACGUCAUUCUAUCGACGGCAUUUCUAGAAGAACAAAGGUCCAGUCGGUCUCGCCACUACUGCGACCAAGCCACGUCAUUCUAUCGAAGGCAUUUCUAGAAGAACAAAGGUCCAGUCGGUCUCGCCAUUACUGCGACCAAGCCACGUCAUUCUAUCGACGGCAUUUCUAGUAGAACAAAGGUCCAGUCGGUCUCGCCACUACUGCGACCAAGCCACGUCAUUCUAUCGACGGCAUUUCUAGAAGAACAAAGGUCCAGUCGGUCUCGCCACUACUGCGACCAAGCCACGUCAUUCUAUCGACGGCAUUUCUAAAAGAAUAAGGAUCCAGUCGGCCUAGCCACUACUGCGACCCGAGCCUUUCAACUAGCACAUGACAAUUCGAUACCGAUCCUUGGAUACUUUACAUUUCACUCACAUAAUCCAAUUACGAUAUUAGCCAUUAACAAUCCAAUUUCAAUGCCGAACUCGACACUUGGGAUUUUAUGAAUAAAAUCCAUAUUUAUCACAAUCAACACUCAAUUUGCCACAAUCAAUCAUUAAAUUCAGAUUCUAAAUACACAGCAGCGAUCGGCACGAAAUUCUGAGAGUUUAGGGUCCCGACGAAAUUUUUUGAAUUUUAAUAAAUAAUUAAUUUUAUUCGGAAAAUUAAUUAAAUAAUAAUAUCCAUAUUUUUCGCAAUCCACACUCAAUUUAUAAUAUCCAACCAUCAAUUUCAAAAUCCGAAUACACAGCAGCGAUCGGCACGAAAUUCUGAGCAACCGAGGUCAAAAAUAAUUUUUUCGUUUUUUUUAAUAUUAUUUUAAUAAUUUCGGAAUAUAAUAUAAUAUUAUAAAUUCCAGAAUUUCGAAACAUUUAAAUAAAUCAAAAAUAAAACCUAUUAUGUCACAUCAAUGUUUAUUAUUAAAUGAACUCUCUUAGCAUUUAAUUAAACAUGCUUUAAAUUAAACAAACCUCUUAAUCUAAGUCACAAUUAAAUAAACUAAACUAACCACCUAAGCUUAAUUAACUUAAGCUAAUCACACCUAAAGCAUAAUUAACCCUCUAAGCGAGGUUUAGUGAGUUAAACUCACCGGAUUAGCGAGCUGAGCGGACCAAAACGACGAGGACGACGAGGGGAUCGACUUUCUCCAAAGCGGGCCAAGCAUCCGGGCUCGGGAAGGCGGCCAAAACGGGCCAAACGUCCGCUGCAUACCCAUUUUUCUUGGCUGCUGGUUGGGGCCGAGAGGGAGUAGAUCUGGCGCCGGUUUGGGCGGAGGAACGGCGGAGGAGGACCGGCGGGGCUUGGGCGGGCGAGGCGGCGGCCAGGCGAGGCCUCACGGUGGCCGGAGGUGGCUAAUCCGCAGCCUACAGCAGCCCAUGGAGGCGAGGACGAGCUGGAUCUCGGCGGAUGAGGGCAGCAAGCCGGUGAGACCGGUGGAGCGGCGUGCGAGCAUCCUCGCACGGACGGGCGACGACCGUGACGACGACGGCGAACGGCGGUGGCCGCGAUGAACGAGCGGAAGGGGGCGUCGGGCUAGCUGGCCUGCUGCUGAGUGGCGAACGAAGGCUGGAGGAGGCGGAGGCGGUGCGACGACGAGCGAGCAUGGCGACGGGCAUGCGAGCAAACGGUGACCGCGACGGCGAGCUCCGGCGAACGAGCGGCGUCGAGCGGCGAAGGGCAGGCGUCCGGCCGGUUGGCUUGGUCCGGCCGAAGCUCUCCCUCCUCCUCUUUCUCUCUCUUCCAAAGGUUGAAGAAGAAGUUGGAUCCAUCUCCUCCCUCCACUUGUCAAAUUCUUCUUCAUUUUGGCCAACCACCAUGACAUAGGGUGAUGUCACCUUCCACUAAAAUUCAAAUCCCACACAACUAUCUUCAAUAGGUCCAAUUUCAUUUUCCGCCGGGGCCUAAAACUUGUGCAACAAUUUCUUCAAUUCCACUUAAUUCUCUUCCAAUUAAAUCUUAAUCCCACUUGAAUUAAAUCAAAUUGACCCCCAUUAAUUCAUUCAACACCUCAUUAAUCAAAUUGGUAUUUUUCCUUACCACUGUGGCGUACUUGCAUCCCAAUUUCAUAAUCUCUGGCUUCAACUGAAUGAAAACGGCCCUAUUAUCCAGUCGAAAUUAAAACCCGAAAAUCUGGAUGUCACAACUCUUCCCCUCUUAUAAAAAUUUCGUCCUCGAAAUUUAAACCUUUACCAAUUCUUAACAAUAAGGUGGAGGUACAGUCGUCUCAUAUAACCUUUUCUUUCUCAGGUUGCUCCUUCGGUACCAAUGCUGCCAAAUCACUACUAUCUUGCCCAAACCACUUCGGAUUCAAAAUACUAAACACUUGCCCACUUAAUUUUUUUUUUUUUUAAAGGUCUUUAACACAAAAUCUACGAAGCUAAACUGGCAAUUCUGAGCGGUCUCAAGACUAUCCCUGAUAAUUGCAACUGAAUCACUGAUUCUUGACCCAACUCUAGACCUGCAAUUUUCUGAUCUCUGAUCUCAUCUCAACUGACUGAAAUCCGAUACACUCUGCUCUGCACUGAUUAAAAGAAACUAUCUGACUAAUCUGCUGAAACUGGGAUCCUCUGGUCAAGAUCUGAUAUAACUCUGACACUGAUCUUAGCAAUUGCAAUCACUGACUACUGUACAGACCUUGGCCUGUGAUCUUUCUUUCCUUGACUUCAUCUCUGCAAUUGAAAUUCUACACUUUCUGCUAUGCAUUGAUUAAGAAAGAACCCUCUGAAAAUUCUACCAAACUUAUAAUCUAUGAUAUGGAUCCGAAAUAUAAUUCAUCCCCGGCACUCCAUGUUGGUGAAUUAUCUAAUGCUCACACACUUCGGUAUACCCACUUUGUAACAAGACAGAAUCUUCAAUUUCUGAAAUCGAAUUUAGAUUGGCGGUUAAUUUCACUCCGACACGCUUUUAGUGUGACCUAGGCUAUUGGGUAGUGUUCAGAGCUUUUUAGGACAAAUGACUGAUUUUCUUCGAACCACGAUGAACCCACUCGACACAUUGGUGACUCUCAAUUAUCGUGAAAAUCUCAAAGAUUCAAAUACGGGCACAGGGUACCAAAACGACAAUAAAAUCAAAUUAGUAUCAGUCGACGAGAGUUUUCCAAUUUAGUGGAGUCACCCUCGAUCGGUCAUUCAUCUCAGUCAAACCGACCUAUCUCUUAUCUUAAUUCGAUUUUUAACUGUGCCGUAAUGAUCUCUAAAGAUGAGCACGGUCGAGAAGUCGAUUCCUAGUCGAAUUCUCAAGUCUAUUUGCCUUAAAGUCCUUAAUAACUCACCCAACUAGUCUAGUUAUCUCGUAAGUGGCCAACUCAGAGAAAAACAUUGUAUUCGCGUCGAUGAAAUGCCCAAUUUAACCAAUCAAAAUCAGAGUCUGAAAAUCAGGAUGUCACACACUCAAAACAAGAUCUAUUCGUACUGUACCAAAGUGGACCAACUCCAUCUAUCGAUCGACUAUUAUUCUCAAAUGGUAUUAGUAAUCCCCUGAAUCCUUAGUAAGCUCGUCACAAUGUCCCAUUGUGAUAUCUUUUCAUUCUCACUUAGGACUCUCAAGUGAUGGUAAAAGUCGUCCUGGUUUACAUCACUGAACUUCCACUUACCGACAUCUCUGAUACUUGCAACUUGUUCAACGAUAUCUAUCUUCAUACCGAUCUACCAAUCUCGAUGAUGUAGAUUCUGACUCAUCUUCGUACUGUCUGGACAAUGCUGAAGUUACUAUGAUGAGCUUCCCAUAAGAUUUCUUCUUUAAUCUCUGUAUCGUCACUUACACACAAUUAUCCUCAGAACCUUAGCAUCCUAUCUUUAGAAAUCUGAAAAUCAACAUCUCUCUCAUCUGCAUUCUCUUAUAGAAUCUUCUGAAUUUCUGAAUAUGUCCAUUGAAGCAUCUUGAUUCUGAUCUGUACUCUCGGCUCAAUCNNNNNNNNNNNNNNNNNNNNNNNNNNNNNNNNNNNNNNNNNNNNNNNNNNNNNNNNNNNNNNNNNNNNNNNNNNNNNNNNNNNNNNNNNNNNNNNNNNNNNNNNNNNNNNNNNNNNNNNNNNNNNNNNNNNNNNNNNNNNNNNNNNNNNNNNNNNNNNNNNNNNNNNNNNNNNNNNNNNNNNNNNNNNNNNNNNNNNNNNNNNNNNNNUGUCUCAUGUUCAACUCCCGAUGUCUCAACUGACAGGACACAUAUGCACAAUCCUAUCAUGUUGCAUCAACAAGUAAUCAAAUCUUUUAAACGACGUAUCAUUGCAGAUCUCAUAACUUUCAGAACCAUAUGGAAUGGUCAGCACAGGUGCGGUAGUCAGCUUCUGCUUAAGUGCUUGAAAACUACGCUCGCACUCAUUUGUCUACACGAACUUCUCUUACUUCCUCAGUAGUCAAAUCAACUGCAACACUGACGUUGAAAUCCCUUCCACAAAACUUCCGUAAUAUCCUGCUAAUCCCCAGAAACUUCUAAUCUCUGCCACUGUAGUCAAUCUCGGCCAAUUGUUCACUGCUUUAAUCUUGGGCGAGCUCUACGGAGAUUUCUUCACCUGAAUUCACGUGACCUAGGAACGCAAUACGAGUCAUCCAAAACUCGCAUCUGCUAAGCUUAUUGUAAAAUCCAAAAGCACCCAAGGUUUGAAGUACCAUCCCCAAAUAUCUCUCGUGCUCAUCUGCACUCUUCGAACACACCAGGAUAACUUCAAUGAACACGAUCACAACUGAUUCAAGUGUCCCUAAACAUUCUGCUCAUCAGACCCAAACAAACAGCUGGGGUGUCCAUUAAACCGCACAGCAUUACAGUGAACUCAUAACUACUGUAUCGAGUGCAAGAUGCUAACUUUGGUAUGUCUUUCUUCUUGAUUCUCAACUAAUGAUACCUUGACCUCCAGUCGAUCUUGAAGAAUAUCGAUGCACAGACACAAAUGAACCAACUUUCCUCUUCCCUAAUAGAAUGGGUGUUCCCCAAGGUGAUACACUAGAACGUAUGAAUCCCCUAUUCAACACUUCGUACAUCUGCACCUUUAGUUCCUUUAACUCGGGUAACACCAUCCGGUAAGGAGCCUAAGGGACUGGCUCUGUUCCGAGUGCUAAUUCAAUCACGAACUCUAUUUCUCUUUCUGACAGCAGACUUGGCACUUCUUCCUAAAACACCUCAGAAAACUUAUGUACCACGAUUAUGUUCUCCAUAUCCGGCUCCCCAACUGACGCAUCUAUUACAGUUGCCAAGCAGAUUCGGUAACCAACNNNNNNNNNNNNNNNNNNNNNNNNNNNNNNNNNNNNNNNNNNNNNNNNNNNNNNNNNNNNNNNNNNNNNNNNNNNNNNNNNNNNNNNNNNNNNNNNNNNNNNNNNNNNNNNNNNNNNNNNNNNNNNNNNNNNNNNNNNNNNNNNNNNNNNNNNNNNNNNNNNNNNNNNNNNNNNNNNNNNNNNNNNNNNNNNNNNNNNNNNNNNNNNNNNNNNNNNNNNNNNNNNNNNNNNNNNNNNNNNNNNNNNNNNNNNNNNNNNNNNNNNNNNNNNNNNNNNNNNNNNNNNNNNNNNNNNNNNNNNNNNNNNNNNNNNNNNNNNNNNNNNNNNNNNNNNNNNNNNNNNNNNNNNNNNNNNNNNNNNNNNNNNNNNNNNNNNNNNNNNNNNNNNNNNNNNNNNNNNNNNNNNNNNNNNNNNNNNNNNNNNNNNNNNNNNNNNNNNNNNNNNNNNNNNNNNNNNNNNNNNNNNNNNNNNNNNNNNNNNNNNNNNNNNNNNNNNNNNNNNNNNNNNNNNNNNNNNNNNNNNNNNNNNNNNNNNNNNNNNNNNNNNNNNNNNNNNNNNNNNNNNNNNNNNNNNNNNNNNNNNNNNNNNNNNNNNNNNNNNNNNNNNNNNNNNNNNNNNNNNNNNNNNNNNNNNNNNNNNNNNNNNNNNNNNNNNNNNNNNNNNNNNNNNNNNNNNNNNNNNNNNNNNNNNNNNNNNNNNNNNNNNNNNNNNNNNNNNNNNNNNNNNNNNNNNNNNNNNNNNNNNNNNNNNNNNNNNNNNNNNNNNNNNNNNNNNNNNNNNNNNNNNNNNNNNNNNNNNNNNNNNNNNNNNNNNNNNNNNNNNNNNNNNNNNNNNNNNNNNNNNNNNNNNNNNNNNNNNNNNNNNNNNNNNNNNNNNNNNNNNNNNNNNNNNNNNNNNNNNNNNNNNNNNNNNNNNNNNNNNNNNNNNNNNNNNNNNNNNNNNNNNNNNNNNNNNNNNNNNNNNNNNNNNNNNNNNNNNNNNNNNNNNNNNNNNNNNNNNNNNNNNNNNNNNNNNNNNNNNNNNNNNNNNNNNNNNNNNNNNNNNNNNNNNNNNNNNNNNNNNNNNNNNNNNNNNNNNNNNNNNNNNNNNNNNNNNNNNNNNNNNNNNNNNNNNNNNNNNNNNNNNNNNNNNNNNNNNNNNNNNNNNNNNNNNNNNNNNNNNNNNNNNNNNNNNNNNNNNNNNNNNNNNNNNNNNNNNNNNNNNNNNNNNNNNNNNNNNNNNNNNNNNNNNNNNNNNNNNNNNNNNNNNNNNNNNNNNNNNNNNNNNNNNNNNNNNNNNNNNNNNNNNNNNNNNNNNNNNNNNUCGAUCCUGAGCUUACGAACCCAAAAAUACUUCCCAAAGACUUUAGCGCCUAAACCAUCCCAAUGAACCUAGGAUCAUUCGGUGCUGCUACACUCACAGCACCGACUUACAGCGGUACUCUCACACUCGCGCUGGUCUAAGCCUACGCUCUAUCUCAGGUACCAACUCUUGUUAGCGUCCUACCCCGAGGUAUAGGUCUUACCGACCUUCUCCAAGGAGUUCUCCACUCCUGGUCACUCAUCCUACAGGCUCUUUAUAGACGCCUGUUUUUCGAUUCCAACAUCAGGUUAGAAUUUGAGUGACCCCACAAACACACUAGCAAACAGCUAUCAAUCACAUGCAUCAGCAUAUUAAAAGCCUUUCCUACUAACUAUCCCAUGACUCAUCGCACCUUAUCACUCCAUACACAGACCAGGCUCUGAUACCACUUAAACAGGGAUGUCACACCUCGAACCUCGAGCAUGCCAACAUCCCACCAUGGUCAUGCAAUUGCGACAUUCCCAGGUAGUGUCGCCGACCCCAUUCAUUUAUUAUUGCAUAAGCGGAACGUAUUAUAAUCCCCUGACAAUGAAAUACGAGAUAGAAAAGCAGGAAACAAUUUCACAACCAAUCACUUACAUAAACCAACGGAGUUACAGACGAAGGCCUAGAGCCAAAAGUCUACAAAAGACUGGCUCUUAAAAAGAGGUUAUCCUACGACUUACAAGUCGUACAUGAUCUCCAAUCCUUAUGACUUCGCCUCUCCAACUCCUCAAGGCCAACCAAAGCUAUCAUGCCGCUCCGUCCUCCAGGGACCUGAAAUGGUUAUUCAAUAACCACUGAGACAAUGUCUCAGCAAGUUCAACCCCCUAAACCCCUAUUAGAAAGAAAAUACGCCCAAGGGUGGCCUAGCCACAUCACACAGAGAACUUACCUCGCCUCAAUUCCUUCCUGCAGGUUAGCACAAUUUGUAUCACACAAUCUCAGGUAGUAAUAAUAAUUCAAACAAUUGGAACGCCAUCACUUUCAUAUAAAUCACGAUCGCACUUUGCACGCAUCCCAAUUAUUAUUCACUGCCACACAAUGGCAUAGCCUACUCGCGGGUCGGCUAUCUACUAACAUUACGGCAUUUCUAGAAGAAUGAAGGUCCAGUCGGUCCCGCCACUACUGCGACCAAGCCACGUCAUUCUAUCGACGGCAUUUCUAGAAGAACAAAGGUCCAGUCGGUCCCGCCACUACUGCGACCAAGCCACGUCAUUCUAUCGACGGCAUUUCUAGAAGAACAAAGGUCCAGUCGGUCCCGCCACUACUGCGACCAAGCCACGUCAUUCUAUCGACAGCAUUUCUAGAAGAACAAAGGUCCAGUCCGUCUCGCCACUACUGCGACCAAGCCACGUCAUUCUAUCGACGGCAUUUCUAGAAGAACAAAGGACGGUCUCGCCACUACUGCGACCAAGCCACGUCAUUCUAUCGACGGCAUUUCUAGAAGAACAAAGGUCCAGUCGAUCUCGCCACUACUGCGACCAAGCCACGUCAUUCUAUCGACGGCAUUUCUAGAAGAACAAAGGUCCAGUCGGUCUCGCCACUACUGCGACCAAGCCACGUCAUUCUAUCGACGACAUUUCUAAAAGAAUAAGGAUCCAGUCGGCCUAGCCACUACUGCGACCUGAGCCUUUCAACUAGCACAUGACAAUUCGAUACCGAUCCUUGGAUACUUUACAUUUCACUCACAUAAUCCAAUUACGAUAUUAGCCAUUAACAAUCCAAUUUCAAUGCCGAACUCGACACUUGGGAUUUUAUGAAUAAAAUCCAUAUUUAUCACAAUCAACACUCAGUUUGCCACAAUCAAUCAUCAAAUUCAAAUUCUAAAUACACAACAGCGAUCGGCACGAAAUUCUGAGAGUUUAGGGUCCCGACGAAAUUUUUUGAAUUUUAAUAAAUAAUUAAUUUUAUUCCGAAAAUUAAUUAAAUAAUAAUAUCCAUAUUUUUCGCAAUCCACACUCAAUUUAUAAUAUCCAACCAUCAAUUUCAAAAUCCGAAUACACAGCAGCGAUCGGCACGAAAUUCUGAGCAACCGGGGUCAAAAAUAAUUUUUUCGUUUUUUUUUAAUAUUAUUUUAAUAAUUUCGGAAUAUAAUAUAAUAUUAUCAAUUCCAGAAUUUCGAAACAUUUAAAUAAAUCAAAAAUAAAACCUAUUAUGUCACAUCAAUGUUUAUUAUUAAAUGAACUCUCUUAGCAUUUAAUUAAACAUGCUUUAAAUUAAACAAACAUCUUAAUCUAAGUCACAAUUAAAUAAACUAAACUAACCACCUAAGCUUAAUUAACUUAAGCUAAUCACACAUAAAGCAUAAUUAACCCUCUAAGCGAGGUUUAGUGAGUUAAACUCACCGGAUUAGCGAGCCGAGCGGACCAAAACGACGAGGACGACGAGGGGAUCAACUUUCUCCAAAGCGGGCCAAGCAUCUGGGCUCAGGAAGGUGGCCAAAACUGGCCAAACGUCCGCUGCAUACCCAUUUUUCUUGGUUGCUAGUUGGGGCCAAGAGGGAGUAGAUCCGGCGCCGGUUUGGGCGGAGGAAUGGCGGAGGAGGACCGGCGGGGCUUGGGCAGGCGAGGCGGCUGCCAGGCGAGGCCUCACGGUGGCUGGAGGUGGCUGAUCCGCAGCCUACAACAGCCCAUGGAGGCGAGGACGAGCUGGAUCUCGACGGACGAGGGCAGCAAGCCGGUGAGACCGGUGGAGCGGCGUGCGGGCAUCCUCGCACGGACGGGCGACGACCGUGACGACGACGGCGAACGGCGGUGGCCGCGAUGAACAAGCGGAAGGGGGCGUCGGGCUAGCUGGCCUGCUGCUGAGUGGCGGACAAAGGCUGGAGGCGGCGGAGGUGGUGCGACGACGAGCGAGCACGGCGACGGGCAUGCGAGCGAACGGUGACCGCGACGGCGAGCUCCGGCGACGAGCGGCGUCGAGCGGCGAAGGGCAGGCGUCCGGCCGGUUGGCUUGGUCCGGCCGAAGCUCUCCCUCCUCCUCUUUNNNNNNNNNNNNNNNNNNNNNNNNNNNNNNNNNNNNNNNNNNNNNNNNNNNNNNNNNNNNNNNNNNNNNNNNNNNNNNNNNNNNNNNNNNNNNNNNNNNNNNNNNNNNNNNNNNNNNNNNNNNNNNNNNNNNNNNNNNNNNNNNNNNNNNNNNNNNNNNNNNNNNNNNNNNNNNNNNNNNNNNNNNNNNNNNNNNNNNNNNNNNNNNNNNNNNNNNNNNNNNNNNNNNNNNNNNNNNNNNNNNNNNNNNNNNNNNNNNNNNNNNNNNNNNNNNNNNNNNNNNNNNNNNNNNNNNNNNNNNNNNNNNNNNNNNNNNNNNNNNNNNNNNNNNNNNNNNNNNNNNNNNNNNNNNNNNNNNNNNNNNNNNNNNNNNNNNNNNNNNNNNNNNNNNNNNNNNNNNNNNNNNNNNNNNNNNNNNNNNNNNNNNNNNNNNNNNNNNNNNNNNNNNNNNNNNNNNNNNNNNNNNNNNNNNNNNNNNNNNNNNNNNNNNNNNNNNNNNNNNNNNNNNNNNNNNNNNNNNNNNNNNNNNNNNNNNNNNNNNNNNNNNNNNNNNNNNNNNNNNNNNNNNNNNNNNNNNNNNNNNNNNNNNNNNNNNNNNNNNNNNNNNNNNNNNNNNNNNNNNNNNNNNNNNNNNNNNNNNNNNNNNNNNNNNNNNNNNNNNNNNNNNNNNNNNNNNNNNNNNNNNNNNNNNNNNNNNNNNNNNNNNNNNNNNNNNNNNNNNNNNNNNNNNNNNNNNNNNNNNNNNNNNNNNNNNNNNNNNNNNNNNNNNNNNNNNNNNNNNNNNNNNNNNNNNNNNNNNNNNNNNNNNNNNNNNNNNNNNNNNNNNNNNNNNNNNNNNNNNNNNNNNNNNNNNNNNNNNNNNNNNNNNNNNNNNNNNNNNNNNNNNNNNNNNNNNNNNNNNNNNNNNNNNNNNNNNNNNNNNNNNNNNNNNNNNNNNNNNNNNNNNNNNNNNNNNNNNNNNNNNNNNNNNNNNNNNNNNNNNNNNNNNNNNNNNNNNNNNNNNNNNNNNNNNNNNNNNNNNNNNNNNNNNNNNNNNNNNNNNNNNNNNNNNNNNNNNNNNNNNNNNNNNNNNNNNNNNNNNNNNNNNNNNNNNNNNNNNNNNNNNNNNNNNNNNNNNNNNNNNNNNNNNNNNNNNNNNNNNNNNNNNNNNNNNNNNNNNNNNNNNNNNNNNNNNNNNNNNNNNNNNNNNNNNNNNNNNNNNNNNNNNNNNNNNNNNNNNNNNNNNNNNNNNNNNNNNNNNNNNNNNNNNNNNNNNNNNNNNNNNNNNNNNNNNCUCUAAACAUUUCAAUUGUGCAAAUUUAAUCCUAAAUCUUUUAAGAACUUAUUGAUAUAGUUUUAAACCUUUUAGUUGUGCUAAUUUAGUUCUAAACAUUAUGAUGAUUUGUUAAUUUAAUUCUAAAUAUUUUGACCGCUUGCUCAUUUAGUCAUUUCAACCAAUUUUGGUUGAAAAUCGCUAAUGUGGAUGUCGGUCGACCACCAGCCAUCCUAUAUGGCAUGGAUAAUGCUAACGUGGACAAAUUUUGCAAUUUUCUUCCUAUCUUUUUAUUUAUUUAAUUUUCCUUUUUCUUUCUCUUUGGCUUGUGGCUGACAAUCGGCCAUGGCUAACAACCGGCCACAAGCGAGGGCCGAUGAGGGUGUUGCGGCCCACGGUGGAUCUAGAGAAGGCUUGCUUGUGGCCUAGGAGAAGGCUGCCCUCAUCAGAUCGAACAAGAGCUCGACCUUUGCCCGACCACAGGCCAAAGAGAAAGAAAAGGAUAAAGAAACGAGAGGUAAACAAAUGGAAAUUUUUUGUUAAAAAAAUGCAAAAAGUAUCCACGUCAGUGCUAGCCAUGCCACCUAGCAUGGUCGCGUGCGAACUCUCCCAAUCCCAUUCCUCACACGACAUUAGAUUUUGUAUUUUAGUUCUUAACAACCUAUGUAUUUCUAGGAGUCAUCAUUAGCCUAUUGAGGUCGGCUAGAAACCUAUCAAGUCACAGUAAUGUUGUCUUGAUUCCUACGUAACCAGAUAUUUCUAGGAACAUGGACUUAUUUACGCCAAUGUUUCUAGUAGCGUCCUUGCAGUGUGAUUAAAAAUGAUCUUUUUAUGUGAAAAACUCAAUUUUUUACCAAAGUUGACUUUUGAUGAAAGGAUUGACCAAAAAGUUAACUCAAAAAUCAACCAUUUGACUUUUCUAGUUUUUAAUUAAAAGAUUAAUAGAAAAUUGCUUAACAAUGACAAGACAAAAGAAAGAAAUGAAAACGACACUUUUCUGUUCAAAAAACAAGCUCUGUCGCAAUCGAAAACCCUAACCUCGAGUUUUUUUCUUUAUCGAUGCAUCAACUAAAAAUCAAAUGUCAACAACCUUAAAACAUGUUUGGUUACCAAGUUGGUGAAUAGAGGGGUAAGAAUCUCAAACAAAUGAUUAGCCAUGUGGUUAGUCAAAUCAUUGUGUUCUUUAUACAUCCUUCUCAUGGUGGCCAUUAGUGUUGAAUUUGGGUCAAAUCCCUCCUCUAAUCCUUGGUAAAGUUCCGGGGAAUAUCACCAAAAUUCAAGCUCAAAUUAACAUCAUCAACAGGGUUUGCCUCCUGAUUGGAAUUUUCUAAACAAGUAGGCCUUUCUCCCACACGUUGCAGGGACUGAUUGUCCUCGCCACGCCAAUGGCAGUGCCACUCUCCUUGUCCCUUAUUCUUGCCAUAGACACCUCCUAGGAAUGGACCAUGAUGGUCCCACCGACGUGCCAAAAAAAAUAUUCGCAGGGGAAACAACUUCCUUGACAAAUAUCUUUUACCAAAGAGGCAAAUCUUGGGCCUUUUUUUAUGUAAAUCGGGUUUUGUGUCAUUUCAUAAAGGAAGCGACUAGUCUUACUCUAUAGACAAUAAAGCAAAGGAUAAAUAGGAGAUAAAAUGUGCAAUAAAAUGUAAAUGUGCAAUAACAAGAUAGCCAAAAGAUAAAUGUUCUUGUGUUCAUUUGAUUGUUAGGAAAAGGGUCCUUUACAAUUGUCUCUUUGGCUAUUUAUAGCUAAUCUCACAAGUAACUGUUCUUCAACAGUUAUUAUCUUCAAUUUCAAAUCACUUCUGGAGACUUCGGUACCACGCCAAUAAUUGCAUCACCUUAUCCAUAGUGUCAUGGGCACCAAACUCUCGAAAUUGUCUUCAUUUUUAUCGCUUUGAGCCGGAGCAAUUACUAAUUCCAAAUCCUCGGUAUCUCUUGUAACCCGCUAUUCUUCUCACGACUUGGGCUUAAUGGGCGUUCCUCUUUUCUAGGCCCAAUGAGCUAAUUUUCGCGCCAACAUCAGUUAUCCAUUAAGUAUGAAGUUUUGACAAAUUAUACCACAAGCAAUGCAUCACGACAGGUGAGUCCCUAAAAAAACUGAUAAAAGCAGCAAACCGAAACUGAGCGGUCUCGGAUGUGAACAAUGAAAAGAACUAUGUUCAGCAAAAAAAAAAUCAUCGUAAGGAACAAAGAAGUUCUUAAGAACCAAUUACAUUUUGACAAGAAAAUGCAGUAAUACUGUGUCAGAAACCGAAUGUUGUAUCAACGUACAAGAUUGUACUGAAGGCUUGCAACUUUUGGUACUAGUUCAGAACCUAAGGAUAUAAUCCUUCAAUCCUAGGACUUAAUAGGAUCCACACAUCUCCGGUCAAUCGAAGUUCGUCAUGAAUGGUUACCGAAUUAGAUUGCUGCUUCUUGGCUUUCGGUAGGAAUUCCUUUUCUUUUCUUUUUUUCUGUUGAAUACCAGAAAUGGUGCACACGGCACUCUUGCGCCAAAUAAGAAACAGAAUUCAUGGACUCGAAUUCGCUGAAAUAUUUGGCUUGAAGAUUUAUACAUCAAUCAUUUUCAAUGGCCGCAUUCUUAUGCUGGAUCAAUCAUUUUUUUNNNNNNNNNNNNNNNNNNNNNNNNNNNNNNNNNNNNNNNNNNNNNNNNNNNNNNNNNNNNNNNNNNNNNNNNNNNNNNNNNNNNNNNNNNNNNNNNNNNNCUGAAAUAUUUGGCUCGAAGGAUUUACAUUAGUCAUUUUCAAUUCCCCAUUCUAUACUGAUCAAUCAUUCUUUUAUCACCUCAACUUUAAAUUUCUAAUCCUUCAAUGAGAAACGUGCGAAAACCAGAAGAAUUUCAUUAUAAACCACAUAAGUACAUUUACGCGAUUAAAAUCGAGAGAUAUUUACUAACCGAGCUUUUGUAAGCUAGAAAUUACGAAGACCCUUUUUUUUAUUAUCUUCAUACGUGAGCUUUCUAGCGUUUAUGCUCCAAAAAAUGAGAUCCAAUUUCUUUUCAGGAAGGCAUACAUAGAUAAUAGACCCAUUAAACAGGUGGGUCGGGCUGGAUUUGGGUCGGAUCAUAAAUGGUCUAACCCAAAUCGACCCAUUUAACCUGUUUAUGACUCAUUUAUUGCUAAAAUAGUUUUAUAUAACACAAAUUUAAUGAACAAUUUUUAUAAUUUUAAAAAUAAUUAUUUUAAAAAAUCGAAUUUUAAUUAUUUUUAUUUUUUAAAUAUAAUUUUUCUUUUUCCUUUUUCUUUUUUCUUCUUCUUCUUCUUUGGUCAGUUACUGGCCAUGACAACGGUUGGUGGCCAGCCACAGGUGAGCUUGGAGCUCGCCUAGCUCACCGACGCCGACGAGCUCAAGUCUGCCAGGUCAACAAGACUCAAGCCUCGCCGAACGUCGGCGAGGCCUCCGCCUCACCAGAUCUGGCGAGCUCGAGUCUCGCCAGAUUGGGGAGACCUCCGCCUUGCCAGAUCCGGCAAGGGGCGAGCUCGAGCUCGCCCGACGCCAGUGAGCUUGAGGCUUGCCUAGUCGGUUGCUGGCCAUCGUCGUGCCAGCAACCGAAAGAAGAAGAAAAAAAAAUGAAAAAAAAAAAGAAAAGAAAAUCAAAAUAAAAAAAUAAUUAUAAUUUCAGUUUUUAUAAAAAAAAUAUUUUUGUAAAGUUAAAGAGAGAAGAGAGAGAUUGUGAGGUUUUGGGUGAAAAUGGAUUCUAAAUCCAACUCAUUUAAGACCCACUUAAAAACCAUCUAUCAAAGUCUUUAAACAACCAAAAAAAAAAAAAGUCUUUAAUUAUUAAACCCAUCUAACUACUUUUUGUCAAAAAAACAAGUGACCCAUAUAUGACAUUUUUAUUAUUUAAAUGGGUCAUAUAUGGGUCUAAGACCCAUUUUAACACCUCUAAUGUCUCUGCCAAAUGAUCUUCUGGGGGGAUCAAAUUGGACUUGGAGCAAGUUGAUGAUAAGGAUGCUGAGAUGGUUUUGAAUGGAAGGAUUUUGUCGGAGAAGGAAUGCUCGAGUCAAGCUGCAUAGCUAAUGUUUUAAGGAAUGCAUGGGCUGGUAUCGGUGAGAUUCCCAUAACCCCUCAAAUUCAUAGGACAUAAGGAAUGGAGGCAUUCCAGCCCAAACAUACUCCCAUCCUCGCCUCAGCAUAGAUCGUGCCAAAAUGAAAAUUGAAGUAACAUGCCUGCCCACGCAGGACUAGGACGCUGGUGGUGGGCCGAUGCUGGACCAAUGCUUUUGGCAGCGGUGGUGCUCUACGAUAUAUCGGCCUCCGUUCAUUCCAAUUGCGGGUGCGGUUCAAUCUGGAUUGCGGAUUGCUUCUUCAGGCCCCAGGCAAUGCCAAAAAAUGGCUUCGUGAAUCGACGGAGCAGACCUCCCACGGCCAUGACUAUGAAGUUCGCCAGCUCCGUCGGAGUGAAUCAACGCAGGUUGCGACGUCCAUGGCCCUGGUUCAUGACCAUAGCUGAAAUUAAAUGAGCGGAAACAACAGCUUUCAUUCCUAUUCUUACAAAAACAGGUCCGGUAUGAAAAUUUAAUGUAAGAACACACGUUUGAUAUGUCAUUUUUAUAUAUUCUUACACCUCGGUCUCUUUAUAUACUAUACGUGUUUAUUAAAAAGCAAUUAAAUAAUCCUUUUAGGAUGAUCAUCUUAAUGAAUGGGAAAUUACGGAAGUAUAGAUAUUUGUUUCAGUUGAAAUUACUGAAGUUUUCCAAAAACGAAUAGAUAGUUUUCCAAAAAAAAUGUGGGAAAUUACUGAAGUACGGCUUUCACUAAUGCAAAAAAUCUUCUUCUUUUUUAAUCGUUCUGUGAAGGCUGUAUUUCUUGUAAUUUUGCAAGUGGGGGGAUUACAGUGUUGUAAUAGAUGGUUGUGUCUGUAAGUGGAAGGCCGGAACACUAUAAAUUUAUCUUACAAUAUCAUCCAUCUCUUUACCUUUUUUAUUAUCCAUAUAUAUAUAAACUACUGCAUCUAUAUAACUAUGUUUCUUUUGCAAAAGCUAAUUUUCUCCCUUUUAUGAGAUGUUAUAAUUCUUUUAAAAUUCAGCUCCUUCUUGAGUUUUACAUUAGUAGUCAUCUCAAGAAUAGAGGAUUAUGUUGGUUUUGGUUUUGUUUUUGUCGUUGGAGUAAUCUAUUUUAUCCAUACUAAUAAGAAUUGUAUACCAAUACAAAAAACAAAAAAAAAAAAGAUUAAUACUACAAAAAACUCUAAAUUGAUAUAUUUAUGACAAAUUUAUUCUAAAUAAUUUUUUUGAUUAUUAAAAAUCCUAAACUGGUGCAAUGACAAUAAAUUUAUCACCCAUUAAUUUCUAUUAAAUUGAAUUAAUAUCACAAAAAACCAAAAAUUGGUACGCUUGUAUGACAAAUGAAGGAUAAGACUCCAAACUAAUAUAUCCAUCAAUUGUUAUAUGUCAUUCAACUUAUUAAUUGGACGAUAAAAUUUAAUAAAAACUCAUAGAAGAUGAAUUUGUCACAAAUGUAAUAGUUGAAAGUCUUUGGCUAUCAAAAAUUUAAUUUGAGAUAAAUUUAUAAUAAGUGUAUCAAUUUUUGUGGUAUUAAUCCAAAACUAUUUCCCUUUCUUUUUGAAAACAAGAAAACUAUUUACCGACUAAAAAAAAAAACUAUUUAUGAAACCUGACGUUAAGUGUGAAAAGAAAAGGCCAUGUGAUUUUUUUUUUUUUUUUUUGGUGGGAAAAAGCCAUAUGAUUAAAAAACUCAAGAAGGACACGAGACCAAAAGCUUCAGAUGGGAGUCCAUUUCUGAUUCUUAGUCGUCAUUCGAGUUCGCGUGUAUCGUCUUGCGGAAUCGCUUUGCCACCAUCGACCUCGUCCCGAGCUAGAAGCCCCUUCGACUUCAAUCGUAAUUUGUCGAAGACGAGGUAUAUUCUCUUCGAUCACGAGCUUUCCGAUUUCUUUGUUGACUGCGAAUUGUUCGUUCUUGGUUCGGUUCUUCGAUACCCAGAAAUCGUUCGAUCGAUAUUUGAUCAAAAGCAACAAAUUUUUCAUCUGGGUAUGCUUAACAGAUUGGCUUUGAUUGCUUUCGUUGCGUUGGUAGGUGAAUCUCUGCUCGCGGUACAUUUUCGUGCUUGAUUCUUGAGAAAUUUGCCCGGAUAUGAGAGGGGAGUGAUUUGGGAGUGGUGAGAAUGCACGAAUUAUAUACCCAAAUGUUCGGUGGGUAUGCUUGAAAGAUUGGCUUUGAGUGCUUUCGUUAUGGUGGUAGGCGGGUCUGUGCUCGCGGUACAGUUUCGUGCUUGUUUCUUGAGUAAUUUGCCCGGAUAUGAGAGAGAAGUGAUUUGGGAGUGGCGAGAAUGCGCAAGAUAUAUACCCAAAUGUUAGACAGCAUAAGGCAUGAUUUUCUUUUUUCUUUGAGCUUUUUGAUAUAUUGGUUCACUGUUGUUCAAUUUUUCAGUUGAAUUUGGUGGAAAUCAGAUUUCCUCUAGCAGCCUUAAUUCGGGAGGAUAUAUCAAAAUGCAGGUAUUACUGAUUACUUACAGCUACCAGCUCUUUGUUCCGCUGUUUACAUGCGAUGGGAGUGAAGUCUAUUGUUUUCAAAAUUAUGCACCCAGAAUGUGAUCAUUCUUAAAAUUUUUCUUUCUUAUGGCGAAAUUUACACUAGAUUAUCAUAUUUAUGUACUGAGUAAGUCAUUUUGCGAUGCCGGUUAUCCCAUGAAGCAGCAGAUUUGAUCUCCUUGCAAUUAUAUACGUGGAGGAAUUGCUUUCUGCUUUUUUCUUUAUGACCCCAGGUUGGUUGUGGAUCCUAAUGUCGACGUGUGCUUGUAUUUGUAGACAUUGAGGGCGAGGCUGUUCAAGGAAUACAAAGAGGUGCAGCGAGAGAAGGGAGCUGAUCCGGACAUUCAGUUGGUUUGCGAUGACUUGAACAUAUUUAAGUGGACUGCUCUUAUCAAGGUGAGAUUGAAUAGCUGAUGGAGGUAAUUGCCGAGGUAAUGGUGCUGUUGCUCAUGUAAAAGAUAUGGUGAUUCUCUCUUUCAUUAGGGACCAUCGGAAACUCCUUUUGAGGGUGGUGUUUUCAGCUCACAUUUGCUAUACCUGAGCAGUAUCCACUGCAGCCACCUCAAGUUCGUUUCCUGACUAAGAUAUUUCACCCCAAUGUGCACUUCAAGGUAUAAUUUUUUUUUGUAUAGGAAUGCUUAUUGAUGAUAACUUAGUUGGAACUAGUUGCAGUGCAUGCUAAUAGGUCGAAGGGUGAACUGAUUACUGUGUCGUUUGGUGAUCAAUGUUUCUUCUUGUCAAUACUUAUUAUGUUCAGAAUCAGAAACUUGAAAGAGUUGCUAGUUUUAGGGUUUUGUUUUAUUUGGCACUUGAAAAUAGAUAGAGGUGCAGAAGCUGAGAAUUGGAGACUUCUUUGACACUUUGUCAGGAAACAGUCUUGAUCCUUUUUUUUCCAAAUUCUGUUUCCAGAGAAUCUCUGCAUGAAUAGAUUUUCUGAUAACUACUAGCUUGGGAAAGUCAACAGAGAUACCUGAUGCAUAAAUAUGAGAUGCUGUAAAUGUUUGUUUGACUAAUAGAUUGACAUUUUAAUUUACUUUAUACAGACAGGGGAGAUAUGCCUUGAUAUUCUGAAGAUUGCAUGGAGUCCUGCCUGGACACUUCAGUCUGUUUGCAGGGCUAUAAUAGCUCUCAUGGCCCACCCUGAGCCUGACAGCCCACUAAAUUGCGAUUCAGGUAUCAAUGAGUUUUUUUUAUAAAAAAAAAAUAAUAUAUAUAUAUAUAUAACAUUUGUAUCUAAAAACUCAUUAUUCUUUCAUUAGUACAUAAACCUCAACCAGAAAUUUCCUUACCUAAAUUCUUUGUAACGCCUAUUAUCUAAGUGACCUGGUGUUUAAUAUUUGUUGCUUGCACCUCUUGCAAGGAGUGCAUACUCAUAUGCUUGCAUGUUCACUGUUUCAUGAUAAAAUGUGGCAGUGUCACUUCCUUAAUAAUAUCUAGUUGAAUGUUGUCUCACUUACAUUUAAACUAUGCAGAGUCAGAGCCAAGAGCCAAAAGUUGGUAGAGUCACCUUUCUUGGUAUAAAAAUCUUGAUUUGGGGUUUCCUCCACCUUCCCACCUUGUGAAUACCAUAAGAACAAGAACAAGAAGCCAUUGCACUUUAUGGAGUAAUAUUUCCUCCCCUCAGCCAAAAAGAGAAAAAUGAAAUUCCCUCUAUACCACCCGGUUACAGGAAAAGAGCAAAACUUUAUAGUGUAGUUCAUAUGAGAAUAAUCAUACUCCAUCCUCCUUGAUAUUGACAUAGACUAGUUGUAUCAGUGACGAAGAGGAGUGCCCUUGACAUCUUGCGGGGAUUCUUGAUAGGCUGCUUUUAGAACGAGGUGCAAGAGUGUCUUUGAUUGAACUUUUCUGGAAAUAACAAGGGUGAGACCUUUGUAAUCGUUUGACAAGUAUUGAGAAAGAGCGUGAGAUUUCAGUGGGAAUCUUUCAUGCUCCUUUUUUACAUUUUGUUUCCUAAUCCUAUCUCAAACGAUACUUCAUCUCAAAUCUUUAUUUCCAAUGGUCAGUUUGUUGGAUCGGAUAUAUAGGACAGUAGUGCUGCGACAAGUGAUAAUAGUUGGAUGUCUUUGCCUCGAUUGAGUAUUCACAUAAACGCGUUCUGUUGUUCUGUCAAUUACGCAUGAGAUUCUCGGGAUUAGAUGAAUUAGGUAUGAUAUGAUGCUUCGAUUUCAACUCAAACUCUAUCUGUUAAGAACCUUGAGAGCUAUUCAUCUUAAUCAUUCAUGCAGUCAAGCAUUCUCAGGGUUUGUUGAUUGCCUUCUGGUGGGCCAAUAUAUUAUAUGGCAUCAAAGAGAUAAUUUCAACAAUGAAGUGCUAGAGAAUGGUAAUAAAGAACAAAUGCUUGUCCUUGUUCAAUGUAACAGUUGAUGGUUAUUUUUUCCUAAUGUCCUGGUCCUGCUUGUAAUGGUCGUAGUGUAUUAGAAGAGAGAUCAUGUUUUCCUGAGGUAAUCCUUCAGAUGAGAAUGUGGGGCCCCUGGGCAGGACUGCCUGCUCUGCAUGAAUCCACUGUUGUGUCGGUCAUGUGCUGUCCUGAAUACAACUCUUCACUCUGCUCGACCAUUUGUGGUGUGGCAAACCUCUCGUUUCCUUUUAUUUCUCUCUAGGCAGCUCUCUUGCUCAUGUUGCCACUGAGCUCUUGGAAUCAUCUUUGAUGGGAAUUAGGCUCCUUGAAAGGCUAACUGUGAGAUAUCUUGUCUGAUUACUCAUGGGAGGAAAUAAAAGAUUAAAUAAAAGAAGCUCUCACUCAUCUGACAGGAAUUGUUCACAGCCAGUGAAAGAAUGAAUUUUGGUGCAGCUAAGAAGAUGAGAAUUAUAAAUAAAGCGCAUUUCCAGAGACUAUCAACAGUUGAUCUUCCUGAAUUUGAAUGAAAUUUAAAAGAAAAAUUCCCUUGGGGGUUGCCAAACUUGAAGGAGGUUCGUAGUUAACAUUAUUUUCUUUAUGUCGGGUUCGGUUGAAGUGAGUUUAUAUCCCCACCUCUCUCUCUUUCUCUCUCCAGGGUAAAUCCAUAACUCAUAGGUGUGGAACUUCUUCCUAGUAGUCAUCAGAAAUGCACAUGCUAAAUCUCAUAAGAAGGGAUGGCUUAUUAGUUCCAAUUUGAUCUUGUAAUCCAGGGAUGAAUCACUUCUACGUCAAGGAUUAGCUUUGAAUGAUGACUUGCAGCGUGUACUUGCCAAGCAUGAAGUCAUUGCUUCCGGAAGUUCAGUUCAGGCUGAGAAAACUCCGCCGGGACCUUCUGGCACCAUGACGGAUGUCAAAGGUCCUCUACUUGAUAUUGUAGAUAACAGCACAAAGCCUGAUGAAAGGUAACUGGUUCAUUAGUCAUGAUUGCAAUAUAUAAACCCCAAAUACUUGUUCUGUGGCAAAUUAUGAAGUUCAGCUGAAGUCUGUGAACUGAGCAGUGCUACUCUUAUGAUAAGUUGAUAUGGAUAUUUUUCGCUAAUUUUCUGCUGUUUGGUAAAACUUGGUGGAUAUUUAUACAUUGAGGCUCCAUUUGUUUCAUGAAAAAUGACUGGUUUGGAAAAUUUUUGCUGAAAAUGACCAUUUAUAUUGCUUACAGAAAGGAACGAAUGAAAAAUAUUCUCAUUGUCCACGAAAAUGUUUAGACACGAAUUGUUGUCAACAAUGAGAACAUUUUCUGUUGACUAAUUAUUUUAAGCAAAACAAGCUAUUGGUGAAAAUGUUUUCCAAAUUAUUUAUUUUCCGCAAAACAAACGUAGUGGAAAUUUAUCAUCUGUCUUUUGAUCCUCCAGUUGUCAAGACCUUGUCUGGUGCAACUUUUUUCACGGCAGAUUUGGCUGUGAAAAAGGUGUGUCUGCAGCUUUUAUGGACUGUUUGUCAAAUUCUUUACUGCUGUAGUGCCCUCAAAAUUGCAGCAGUUAUAACAGUUUCGAGAAAACUGCCUUGCCCAUUUUUGAGGUGUUGCAGCUGUAAAGGAUAUAUUCCAAACAUAGAAGCUACAGUGCUUCACAGCACAACCACCACAUGUGCUACAAUGCAGACACAGGCCCACAGCUUUACCAGGCAGAUCCUUAGUAGUACUAUUGAUGUGAUUUAGGUCUUGAGAGAAGAAGAAAGGAGAGAAAGGGAGAAAUGUACCAAUGCAUCUUGUACAUGUGCUCAUUAUAUACAUGCAAGUACAAAAUGAUUGAAGCAUGCUGCACUAAACAUUUAUCUUGUGGCUUAAAUUGAUCUAAGAUCUCAAAUAUUUGCUCUUGAAACUUUGUGUCUAAAAGGCUGAUUAAACUUUGGGAGAUUGCUGUCCAACAUUGUGCAUUCAGUUCUUGAGUUCCGAGUGUUUCUAUGUCUCCCAAUUUGCUCAUAGGAUCGCUAGGGAUCAUACUUAAAAAGCUAGUCUAGAUUGACAAGAGAGCAGCCAAUUUUUUGGGUUAAACACCUGCUGUCUCUCUCCACUUAUUACUUGAGAUUUACAUAAAGAUCGAUUCUGUUAGUGUUAUACAGAGAAAUUUAUUUGAUACAGGAUAAGCAUGAGUAUACAUAAGAAUUCGGAUUUACUAUAAUAGAAUGCAAAAUGAAGUUAUCACGACUUCAUGCAAAUUCUAUUCUAAUGGAAAAGAUUUACGUGGUAGAAUAAGACCAUUUAAAUUACAGACUUUGUAUAAAUAUUAUAUUUAAUAAUUGAAUUUUGUUAUAUUUUUGUGCUAUCUUAUGAAAGUUAAUAUGAAUAUUAUACUUGUUCUUGUGGAUGUGAUACUAUAUAAUCACUUAUUGAUAAUUGGCAUGUUAUAUCCUUAAUAGACUAAUAAUAAGAUACAAAAUAAGUUCCAAGUUCAGCAAACACCCAGGAUAGGGAAGUAAAACUGAAAAUCAUGUACAUAUGUGCAUUUUUACCUAAAAGUACCAGUAAUUUACUAUUAGAGGAUCGGUGAUGAUCUUGAUUUAAAUUUUUAACUAUUGAACACCAGUUUCUGGCCAAUUGAGCUAUAAGAAGUGGGAUUUUCUGCAGAUCAACAUCAAGUGCCGGUACAGGGUCCAGCUAAACUUGAUCCAAAAACGGACCUUCUCAGUGGAGAGGACUACAGCUCUCCUAAAGGCAGAGACUUCACUAGCACUAGUGCCUGUUGGACACCCACAGUCAACUGCAUCUCAGUCACAGCAGGAUGCACUUGUUCUUUUCGAUGUGUUUUCGGACAGUAACAACAAGCCCAAUACUAUCAAUACCCAGAGUGGCUAUCCAACUACACAAAGCAAUCCUUCUACUCCUCAAUUCCAACAGCAGCGGAAUCUGCAAGCUCCACAACUUGGGGUUUAUGCUAAUGGCAACAUGCCAAACAUGGGAUUGAACGAGCAUGAUCAAUCACCUUAUUCUCAAAGCUCUGUUCCUGUUUGGAAUGGCCAUAUUGCGCAGCAGCAACAGCCUCCCUCUCCUGUCUAUGGUGCACUUCUGCUUCUUCAUCAGUACCUGACAUUACUUUCUUGGUGAUGCAUAUUUUGUCAGUUGGCUUGUACUGUACAACCUUAUUUGGCAUGUACUAGGGGCAUGCUUGGUAUUCUUUUCCAGAUUACUGAGUUGCUAUGAGACUUAAGUCCUUUUGGCGAGCGUUGACCUCUUCUUUGUGGACAUAGCUGAACUUCUAACAAUCUUACAAUCUGUUGAGCCUACAGUUUUGUGGUGUUUCGCAGGUGCUCAAACUAGUGAUUCGCUACCACCACCCCCUUGGGAAGCUCAGUCAGUGGAAAACAGUCAGGUGAUGGGCACUCAGUACCCCCAACCAAUGCAAGGUUCACAGGUGGUCGUCCUGCAUGCACAACCUGCACUGAGUGGAUUGCAUCUCCAGGCACCUUAUCCAAUGGGGAAUGAGCAAGCGAUGGGCAUGUACUUGCAACCAGUCGCAGGUGGCCACAUGCCAUUGCUGAAUAGCCAGGUUGUUCCGAUAAACCAAAUGGUAGGACUUACCACCUCAGCCCAUCCAAGGAGGUCCUUAUAUGGGGAUGGUUCCUCAGCCAAUGCAAGUAGGUCAGAUGGCUUAUUUAUAUCCCCAGCAAAUGUAUGGCAGCCAGGUGGCAGCCUACGGCUAUGGCCAACAAGGUGCUCAGUACCUUGACCAGCGGAUGUAUCGGUUAGAGAUGACAGCAGCUUAAGGAACUCUUCAUACCAGGUGUCCACUUCAUCAUAUGUGACGCCCAUGAGGCCUUCAAAGCCAGAGGACAAGCUAUUCGGAGAUCUUGUUGAUAUGGCUAAAGUGAAAUCGUCUGCAAAAUCUACUCCAGGCAGAGCUGGUAGCAUGUAGCAUUAGUAUUUGCCAACCAUGUUUUGCUUGUUGAGCUGAUUUCUUUUGAUUUUCUUAUUUCAAAUUUUUCUAUUAUACAUAUUUGGCAGUUUCUUCUGUUUGUGGCCGUGUACUAGCACUGCUUGUUUGGCAUUGAGAUCAUGUACAUUCUUUGUAAAGGGAAAGAAAAGGAAAUCUCCUCGACCUUUUAUCUCUUAUCGGGGCAGAACCGUUAACAAGUGCAAGUCAUUAAGUUGAUAUAAUUCUUAUAGAAUUUCGUAGUUAGAGUUGGUGCUACAGCAGAUUUUUAUGAGAAUUAGAGUGUGCUGAGAGAAGAAUUUUUCAGAAUGAUACUAGGAUUUUCAAUCUAGCAUGAUUAUUGGCUUUUGAUUUUGAGCAUACCUUCAUCGCAAUGGGUUCUCUUAUCUUCAGAAGAUGUACUUGUCAGUGAAGGUUUUUUUUUUUUUUUUGGUCGAAACUGCUACUUCGAUUAAUACUUCAAAGGCGGAUUACAACUCAUAGUAAGAUUUAAACAUAGUAUAAGAUAAAGUUCAUACAGGGUAAAGUACCCAAUUAGGUGAAGAGUACCGGUGUUGAAGGAUUUGGCAAUCCAAUCCGCUGCCCGGUUCCCCUGUCGCGGUUCAAACAGUAGCGAAAUGUUCUUCAUCUGGGCCAGCAGGUAUUGACAGUCCAUAAUGUGAGGUUGCAAGGCCCAAGGGAUCUCACUACGGCCCAAAAUGGAGUCCACCACAGGGAGAGAGUCGCUGGAUAUGUACACGGCAGUUUCAGUUCGCGUGUUUGAAGUACUUUCAUUCAACUCAGUUCUAUUCUCCUUCAACCACACGAGGGCACGCCGGAUAGCUAGGGUUUCACCCAAAUUGGCCGAUUGGGCGCUGAUUUUCUCCGCAAAUCCCCCAAUACAUCUUCCGUCGGCUCCUCUGCAGAUUCCAGCAACUGAACUCCUCUCGCUGUGUUCCACCCAUGAGCAAUCCACGUUGAUCUUCAGCGUACCCGGCUCUGGAGGUACCCAGCUGUGUGGUUUUGCGGUACGUUCUUCCCUCCUUGGCUGUGAUUUCUCAUAUAACUUUUGUAACAAUCCCGCUUCGCUGAUGAGGUGGUGUUGUUUUACUUGCUUACCUUGAAAAAUCAUAUUGUUGCGUGCCUUCCAUAUGAGCCAAAGGGAAGUCGCAAAGAUCGCUUUUUGGCUUGCUGACCUAUCCAAGGAGAGGUAAUCACAUACCCAUUGAUCUACUCUUGUGAUAGCUGUUGGGGUAACAUCUAUUUCGACAUCAUAGUUCAGCCAGAUGUUUUUUGUCCAUUGACACAGGAUAAAUAGGUGUUCAGAUGAUUCUGGCCACUGAUGGCAAAAGGGGCAAGUGGGCUCAGGUAUGAUUUUCCUCCGGUAUAGAUUGAUUCGUGUUGGUAGACCUUCAUUACAUAGACUCCACAUGAAGUGUCUGACUCUGGGGUUGAUUUGGAGAUGCCAUAUUUCUUUCCAUAGUCUUUUCGGAGCUUGAUGUGAGGAUGACGCCUGUUGUCUUGUGGUUGCUGAUGUUUCUGUUCUAAGUUGCUGGUAUCCACUUUUAACAUUAUAGUUCCCCGAGUAGUGCCCUAUCCAUAUCAGACGAUCUGAUCUGGGAAUAAUGUUGAGUGUGGUUUGCCGAAUCUCUUCUGAUAUAGGGCUGUUGAAUAUCUCUUGUAUAAGUUGAUCCUUCCAUGUGCGUGUGUUUGUAUCGAUGAUAUUUGCCACACAUUGGGGGGGUCGUUUAUGUUUGUUGGUCCCCCAAUUGGUCCAAACAUUAGCCACCGAUCCUCUCUCAAGUUGAUAGAUUUACCAUCACCAACUUUCCAUUUAAGAUCAGGCCUUAGGGCAUCUCGGCCUACUAGAAUACUUUGCCAACCCCAUGAUGGUCUGGCACCCCUUGUAGCAUUCCAUAGAUUAACAUGAGGGAAGUAGAGGCCUUUAAAGAUUCUGCUCCAUAAGGCCUCGGGAGCUUGAUCUAGUCUCCAACCUUGUUUCCCCAGCAUCGCCUUGUUAAAGUCCACAAGGUCCCUAAAUCCCAUUCCCCAUUCCCCCUUGCUCCUUUCUCUUCUUCAAAACUUCCCAACUAUUCCAAUGAACACCUUUUUUUUCUGCAUUGCUCUUCCACCAGAAAGCUGAAAUUUUUCUUUCAAUGGCUCGACAAAUGGAUAAAGGAAUUUUGAAAAUAUUCAUGGCAUAUUGGGGUAGAGCCUGAACAACUANNNNNNNNNNNNNNNNNNNNNNNNNNNNNNNNNNNNNNNNNNNNNNNNNNNNNNNNNNNNNNNNNNNNNNNNNNNNNNNNNNNNNNNNNNNNNNNNNNNNUGCUCUUUCCAACCCUCCAGUUUUCUAUCUACUCGCGCCAUGAUCCAAUUAAACAUCUGUUUUCUAGUUUGUCCCCAAUCUGAUGGUAUCCCCAAGUAUUUUCCGGUUUUUUCUAAUAUGGGGACCCUCAUUUCAGCUGCCAUGUUUCUUUUCAAGUCCUGUGGACAACUUGCCCCAAAGAACAGCCCAGAUUUAUUGAGAUUAAUCAACUGACAAGAUGCGAAGCAAUAACAGUUCAGUAUAUUUGCAAGAUUCUGAGUUUCCCUGAUUGUUCCAUCCAGAAAAAAGAUAGCAUCAUCCGCGAAGAGUAGGUGGGAUAAAGUAGGACACUGAGAAUUCAGUUUAAUACCUUUUAAGCUCCCGUCUGUCUCAGCCUUGUGCACAAUGUUAGAAAGAACAUUGGCCAGAAUUAUGAAGAGAUAAGGUGAGAGGGGAUCCCCUUGUCUAAUGCCUCUAGUUGGCGCGAAACUUUCUCCUGCUUCCCCAUUAAUUAGGAUGCGAAAUUGAGCCGAGGAGAUGCAAAAUCUGACCAGACUAACCCAUUUCUUGUUGAAGCCCAUCUUUUCCAUACAAUCACAAAGAAAGUCCCACUCAACUCGAUCGUACGCUUUCUGCAUAUCCAGCUUCAGCACUGCUUGGAAUUUUUUGCGUCGUUUCCUCACUCUAAGUUGAUGUAGGACUUCUUGAACUAUGAAAAUAUUGUCCUGUAUUUGGCGGCCUGCAACGAAUGCACUCUGUUCUUGGGAAAUAAUGGAUGGAAGCCAAGGUUUGAGUUUGUUUGCCAUUACUUUAGUGAUCACUUUGUAAUUAAAAUUACACAAACUGAUGGGUCGGAAUUCAGUAAUGCUCUCGGGGUUGGCCACCUUGGGGAUAAGUGUGAUAAAUGUCUCAUUUAAUAUUUGAUCAAAGGAACCAUCUCUAAAGAAAGAGUCUACCAUUUGAAAAAUAUCUUCCUGAAUAAGAUGCCAUUGACUUUGAUAGAAGAGGCCACUCAAACCAUCUGGUCCUGGGGCCUUAGAUGCCCCCAUAUGGAAACAGCUUGCUGCACUUCUUUCUUUGUAAUUGGGCUUAUCAACAUGUCGUUCAUUUCUUNNNNNNNNNNNNNNNNNNNNNNNNNNNNNNNNNNNNNNNNNNNNNNNNNNNNNNNNNNNNNNNNNNNNNNNNNNNNNNNNNNNNNNNNNNNNNNNNNNNNCAACCAGCGGGCACUGCUCUAGGAUUGGCUGGUAGUAUCUAGUCCCCACAGAUGAAUAUAGAUCUUUAUAAUAGCUUGUGAUAUGCUGUUUGAUAAUCUAAGGUUCACGGCUCCAUACAUUCUCCUCAAGCCGUAACAUACUGAUUUUGUUUCUUUGUCUUCUUUGAAUGGUUGUUGCAUGAAAGAAUUUCGUGUUCUCGUCCCCCCAUUUGAGCCAAUUAAUUCUUGAUCUAAUGCCCCAAUACAUUUCUUCUUGACGCCAUAGAGUGCCCAAUUUCUCAGUUAUUCUGUUAUAUUCCUCCCUCAUAUUUGUCUGGUCUGUACUGUUUGUUAUCUGAGUAAGCUGGUUUCUGAGUUGAUCAAGUUGUAUUGAUGCAUUUUUAAAUGCUUUUCGGCUCCACUUUCUCAAUGCUUGGGUCACUUGUUCUGUCUUCUUAACCAGGUAUCCUUGCUGGCCAUGGGAUUUCUUCCAUGCCUUCUCCACUACAUCUGCACACUCAGGGUGAUCUAGCCAGUAAGCUUCGAAUCUGAAUAAUCUUUGAUGUGUCUUUGUAAGUGAGUGUAAGCAUAAUAGGAUAGGGCCAUGAUCAGAUCCUAUGGCUGGAUAUGCAAAAGCUUCAGCAUUAGGGAAGAGAAGUCUCCAUUCUAAAUUGCAAAAUGCUCGAUUAAGCCGUUCUUUGACUAGAUCCUCUCCUGCCCUGUUAUUUGUCCACGUGAAUGCACCCCCCCCCUGCUUUCCAUAUCUAUUAAAGAGCAUGAAUCAACAAAUUCCCUAAAUGUCAUCAUUCGAAAUAUUUCCACUUGACGUCGACCCACAUUCUCCCAAUUAUAUAACACUUCAUUAAAGUCACCUAAGCAAAGCCAAGGUAAUGAUAUCAUACCGUUUCUAGCUCGAAGUAGGUUCCAAAGAGAGACUCUCUCUUGAAAAUUAGUAGAGGCGUGUAGGAAGGAAAUCUUCAUUUGAACUCCAGUACUAGCAUCUGUGCAUACACUAUCAAUCAUCUCCGGACUGCUAUACUCCACUGUGAUGUGCACCGACUCAUCCCAAAAUAAGACCAAACCCCCCGCAAUACCUAUAGGAUUUAUAGCAAACAUAGAUGAAUACUUAAGUCUGUUUUUGAUUUUUCAACCACCUGGAAUUGAUUCUUCGUUUCCAUAAGAAAAACCAGAUUAGGUCUCUCACGAGCCACUAAGGCUUGAAGGUGCUGGACUGUCAAGGGAGAGCCUAAACCUUGACAGUUCCAGCUUAAUACUUUCAUGGCUUUCUUGGUAGCUCAUUAGGGCUAGCCACCAGAGCCCUUGCUGAUUCGCCUCCCCAUAUUUGAAUGGGUGUAUCCAGCAGCUGAUCCAUAUCAUCAAGAGUCAUUAGUGAGACCCUUUUUUCAUAAGGGGCAAAUCUUUUGAGUUUUUUGGGUGGUUGUUGCUUUGAACCAGAUUUGACUACCCUUAUAUCUUGCAUUGAACGCCCCUUUGGCUGUUCCGAACUCUGCUGAAUUAUUUUCCCUCUCUUCUGUUCAGCAUACUCAUCCAUAACUGACACUUCUGAAAUUAACUGUGUGGCAGGGUUGUAAAUCACCAGGGCUUGGCCACCUUCAGAAGAACUCUUCCUAUUCGAUUCCUCAUUAGACGGGAUGACAGGGGUCUCGGGAACCAUCUCAUCCUCAGUUAAGGUAAGAUCUAUCUCACCAUAAAAUGUAUCCCAACAAGGGCUGGAAUUUUUAAUCUCAGCUUUCAACCAAGAACCAUAGCGUCCAGGUUUAUCUUGUGGAAGUCCAAAAUUUUCAUAUGGUAUGGUCGGACAAUAGUUAGCGUAGUGACCAAUGUAACCGCAUGAAUAACAAAAGUGCGGUAGUCUCUCAUAUUUAAAGUCUAUCCAUCAAUUACGAUCCCCCACAUGGAUAAUCGUUCCAGUUUUAAGAGGAUGCAGAAGAUUUAACCUCACUUUUGCUUUACCGAUUUUCCGAGAUCCAUUGGUUCUCGCAUUUCCUCCACCUCUCCCAUUUUUCCAGCGAUCAUUCGGAUACACUCCUCCGCCAAUGCAGCUCUUGGAAGUCCCAUCAAAUGCACCCAAAAAGAGCAAUGAUUAAAUUCAUAGCAGUGCUCGGGAACGGUAGGAUCCCCUUCCUGUAAUACUAACAGAUUGCUUGAAAAAGACGAGGGGCCUGUUUGGAGUAUUCUUCUCUGAUCUACUGCUGACUUAAAGGAGAAAGCAAAGAAACCUGUUGUAUUACCUCACAUCUAACUUCAUCAACCUUCCAGGCCUUCUUCAUGGUUUCCCAGAAUGCUUGAAAAUUAGCAUUUGGUUUCGAAAAUAAUUUCCCAUAUAACAGAUAUUCAUCGGCCCGUUUAUCUCUCGCAGGAAUAUGGGCAUUCAGUUCAGUUAUGUCAUCCCCAGUCCAUAGAUCGCCCAUUCUUUGACAAAGGGCUAGCAGUCGGAGCUGGUUUUCCUGGGUACCCUCCAUGCAACUAAGAAACAGAGACCUCCGAAGAUGAGGAAGAUUCCGUGGGUUUCAAAGUCAAGUAAACAGGAAAGGGUUGGUUGGGAGUGAAGGGAGUUCUAUUCCGAGAAUACCCCAUGUUAGGUUUGCAGAGAGCUCAAUAUCCAUAUUAGGGUUUGGGAACAAGUUUACAAAGAUGAUAAUCAGGGGAGUAAAUUGGGGCACCACACACUAUUUGAUGGAUGCGAAUCAGGUUGAAGAAACGAAGCAGUCGUCACCCAUCAGGAUGGAGGAACACGCACCUUCAGCGAGGGAGAAAACCAUUGACGACAGGAGGGAUAUCACGGUGACGAGAGGAAAAGGCAUCUUCCAUUGCCGAGAAAGGAUUCGUGAUGAGAGAACUAGGGAACCAUCACCCACAGGGAUGGAAUAGCGCUCACCUUCAGCGAGGGGAAAAGCCAUCGACGGCAGGAGGGACGUCACCAUGACGGGAGGGAAAGGCGUCUUCCAUCGCCAGAGAGAAAUUUGUCAGUGAAGGUUGGAUGAGUGAGUUUGUAUAGGUGUGUGAACAUUAGAGGAACUCUUCUUCAGUAGGGGAAACUAUGUCUUACUGUUCUGAUCUCAUUAUUGUGAAAUGUAAAUUGCUCGGCCUUUAGUGGCGUUCAUAUUAUGCUAUACUUGGUAUCAUCGCUAUAUUUGUAGAACGUUUUGGCCGAAAGUUAAGCUCCGUCGUUUUUUAUAGAUCGUAUGUAAUCUUGGAUUUAGCAAUUCUCUGCAAAAUUUACGGUACAAGACCUUUCCUGGGGUGGCUGUCUGUUUUAUUUUUUUAAUUGCCCUAAAAAGAAACAGUGGUGUUGUUUUCCAUCAAUGAUGCAUCAAACUUUCAUGAUUGUGGCUAGAUAGACCUCCUAGAUUGACCCCAUGACAUUCACUUCAAGAUGAGGGGUGAUUCUCCCAUGAUCAGAGCAGGGACUGACUUCACUGCAGAGGUGACCCUUUCUUCACGUUUUUGCUUUCACGAUCGGGUACGAGGAGAAUGACUUCAUAGCGAUUCACGGGUACCAAGAUCCUGAGAGCGUUUGGAUGAGACCAUUGCGUAAACGGAGUGAAGACGUUAAAGUACCUAAAGAUGCUCCGGCAACGGCGAUGCUUCCAGGGAAAUUCUCGCAUGUGCCCGAUAACGCAAAGCAUCGGAUUCGAUGAGUUUUGCAUGAGGCUCACAUGCUCUAUGGUUCAUAUGUGCUGGGGGUGCAUCGGGUGUAUGAUGCAAAAAUGGCCCGUGAUGCGAAGACGAGAAACGAAAUACUUUACCCGUGAAGGAGAUACGUUUUUUGGUCAGACCGUGAAGGAGAUAUUAACGAUUAAGAAUCUUGACGUUUUUUUNNNNNNNNNNNNNNNNNNNNNNNNNNNNNNNNNNNNNNNNNNNNNNNNNNNNNNNNNNNNNNNNNNNNNNNNNNNNNNNNNNNNNNNNNNNNNNNNNNNNCUAUUAUCAGGCUCAAUUACAAGUUUCACCAACUGAGUCACAUGUAUAACGUAUUCAUACCUAAUGAUUUUCCGCAAAGUGGUGAUGAAAGGUUGUGUUUGAUUAAGAAACAUUUAAAAUUAAAAAUACGUUGAAUGAUUUUCUUAAAAUAAGUUAAAUAAUUUUCUUGUUUAUAAUUGAAAAGCAAUAAUAAACAUAUUCAAAGGGCAUAUAGAGUGCUGCUAGGAUUCAAGUAUUUUUACCUUCGUUUAUUAUUUUUAUAUUUUUUCUAUGCCACAUUAUCCAUAUUUAUUUAACACCAUUUCUGAGGAGCAACAUUUUCAAUGUUUAAAUGCUCCUUAAACCUUUAUAUAUUUUAUUGUUCCAUGAUAACUUUCACUCGUAACUUAUACAGUUAAAAUAGAUUUCAAUUAGCUAGAGCUAACAAAAGUAGCAUAUUGAUAACAUUGCCAAAUUACUCGAUUUUCAAUAAAAAAAAUUAUAACGUUAAACUUUUUAAUAGAUGUAAGCAAAUAACAAUUACUAAAAGACGAUUUUCAAAAACUCAGUUUUAUCAUAUGAUAUGAAUGGGAUCAUCAUGGAUAUAAUGAGAUGCAAUUGCCAUUGAAAUUGCACAAAAGUUUCAAAGGCUCUGAAACCCAAUUAUCAGUUUUGUGGCUAAGAAAGAAACUGUAAGAACAAUCAACAUCAUUUUUCUGAUUAUGCAAAGCAAAAGAAUAAAUAUAUAUAUCUCUCCUUUUAGAUUUGUGAGGAAUUCCCUUAUGAGGUUUUGCAAAAUGAUAAAUCGAUCAUAGGCUACUAAUAUGCUUAUUGUGGAAUCAACUUGUCAACUCACAAAUUAAUAUGUAGAUGGAGUAUGGAACAGGUACCUCUAGAGGUUGGUAGUGCUCUGCUUCCAUAGAAGGUGAAUAAGAUAGAAGACGUGAAGAGUAUCUAAGGCUAGAUGGGUGAACAAGCUGUAGAGGUUCCUUAAAGCUUGGAUGGACAAGUAGAAGUUAUUAGUUUUGUGGAACUAGAAGCCUGACAACAUGCUUGGAGGGACUAGUUGUCGAAGGUGAACAGUCAAUUCAACGUGAAGGGUGAAAAGACUUUUUUUUUUUUGGAUUAUGCAUCAAAUAGUGAAGCAUAUAGCUUUUCUAAUCUUAGUACUAAUACUUUUUUUUUGAAGCAAUUGACACUGAAUUUUUUAACAUUUAACAAUAAAAAUAGUAAGGGUUCGAAUAAUAAUCAUUUUGUUUCUUUAUUAUUUUGUUCUUGAGGAUAUGUUUGGAAAAAAAUCCAUUUGGUAAUUUUUUAUUUUAUUUCUACAACAAAUUUUUAACUCUGAAAGUCACAAAAAUGAGAAUUAAAAAUUUUCUAUUUUUCUAUUUUUGAAAUAAAAAUAAAAAUAAAAACUCUUAUUAUCGCUCGCCUUAGUUGUUGCCCGCUGGCCACUACCUAGAAAUUUUGAGGCUUAUUGAAUGAAUUUCUAUUUCGAAAACCGAAAUGAUGUUGCUAUCAAAUGCGUAUCUCUGCUAAAAAACUCAUCUAAGGAAUAUAAAUUGAAAAAUCUAUUUCCACAUAGAAAUUGUUUCCAAGAAUAGAAGAAUUAGCAUUCGCGCCCUUAGUUCGAAAUCAUCGAUUAUUUUUAAUGUCCAUUAGAUGAAUUACCAAAUUACUUUAGAACCAAAAGCCAUCAUUAUUUUGAUUUUUGUAAACCUUGUUUACCGGAGAAUAAACAUCAAAGUAAUCAAGUCCUCCUUUUUUACGAUACUUUUUAGCCAUCAAUCCUGCCUUAUGUAUAGUUCUAUUGUUAGGAGGAAGGUUAGUUGAUGACCCUGUAUUAUUUCGCUUGAUAGAUUUUAUCUUAUCAUCCGUUGCCAUUUUCCACAUAUGCGCGUCCGGUCUAGAAUUUGUUUGGAAAAAGAUUCUUUAGAAAGAGAAAGAUAUUGUUCAAUUAUAACUUGUUUUCCUUUAUCUAAAGAAACAAUUUCUUUUCCUAAUAUUCGUCUCUUUCGAGACUAUUAAACAGGGCGGGCUUAAACUAAGAUUUCAAGUAAGUUUUUACCUGAUUUUCUUAUGUUUGGAAAAAAAAAAAAUUAUUCAUCGACAUAAUGAGAUCCAUAUGUUCAAAAAAUCCUCCACUUCUUCCUAAAUUCAGAAGAACAGAAAAAACGAAGGAAACGCCCUCAAGUAAAGAAAGUCAUGACCUUAAAAAAGAAAAAAAAGGCAUGUACAUGAAAUCGUCCACUUCAAAACCUAAAAAGCUUGAGUGGUGUCGCCUCCUCCGACUACGAUGAUACCAAAAUAAGUUCAGAUCUUUUCACAGGCUAAAGUUCAUUAGUCUUACAGGGUAGGAUGGGUUACAAUCUGAAGCUGAAACUAGUACUGGCAAAGGCAUAAUGUACUCCAAAAUCGUGGACGUUACAUCAUUUACUUGAGGAGACUCACGAGCAGGGAGAGUCAAUUCCUUAUGACACCUUGGUUGGUCUCAUUUCUCAAUCAAAUUGCCAAUUCAAAGGCCAAAAUCGAGAAUCAAGCUAGUGUUGAUCAACCAGGAAAUUUUUGAGAUCGUGAACUAAAUCAAUUCUCGUUGAAAUCGACUUGGAAUAGAGCUGAUUGAGCCAGUUCCAAUUUUACCCGAACCUUUGCUCACCGCUAGUGUGGAAGGGACUUUCGCAAAUUAGCAUUAAAAUAAGCUUUUUGCUUCAUAAUGAUUUGACUAUAUUUGAGAACACACCUCAAGGAUGAAAAUUAUAAAAAAAAGCUUCUUAUCUCUUUCUGAAAAAAAAAAACACAUAUGAAAUGAUAUUUUCCAGAGACAUGGGGAAUAGAUGCAUAUUUUUUUUCCAAAUGCAUUAUGUUUGUUAUUUAUACAUUACAAAUAUAUGAUCACUCAUUCUACUCUUAUGGCUUUUGCUUUGUCAGGGUUUGUACUUUCGUCACUCUUUCGGUUGGUCUUUUUGCUUGAUCUCAGUAGUUUCUAAGUUAGAAAUCUAGAAUUGUUGGGAUGUUUGACCUACCGGCGGUUUGGUAAUGUGGAGGGAGAGUCAUUGAUCGCGAGUUUAAAUGAGCUGGAGGUUGAUUUUAAGUGCGAUUUGGGUUCGCUGUUUGGACUCGAGACGGCAUCGUCAGAAAAUCGAAGUGACGGGACCAGUCAGCAGAUGAUGCCUGAUAUCGGCACUUUAUUUACUUUGAAAAAAUCGACCGGCUAGAAAUUUAAUUUGAUUAUCUAAAGAAACUGCAUUUAUUCUCCCGUUUCAAUUGCUCGACUCGUUCCCAAAUCAACUACUGAAUUAGCUUUGCCCUCUGGAAGUCGGCCUAACCAUCCAUUUGUCAUCAAUGUCAGAUACCCGUAGCCUUUCUUCCCUUCUCAAGCCAAGGGCAAGAUUAAACUAUUUCCUCCCCUCCGUCCAUAAGACCGAUGAUCUUUUGCUCACUAGAGGCAAAAGUAAGAGUUAUAUUAAACCUAUCCAUCUAAUCAAAGAUAUAUUACACUUCAUAAAGUCUUUGAGAGCUAGAAGGUGAUGUAUGCAAAUCGUUAGGUGUUCUUGGCAACGUGCCGAUUGGACAUUGUCCAUGGAGAGGGUGGAUGCAUUUGGCGAAUUUGAGGUAUAUUGAGAUCCGACAGGAUUGAGAUUUGCAAGCUAUUUCUCAAAUUGGAUGGCGAUUGAAAUGAAUUUAGAUGUUGGUUUGGCAUUGGAAGCUCAAAAUUAAUGGCUAUUAGAUGAUUGGACAUGUAAGUCAUUUAACUUUCGGUUAACAUACCCGUGGAUUGUGCUAGAGUUGUUUCAAUAUCACAUCUACCUUCCUUUUUCUUAUUAAAUUUGUAUACCACAAUGUCUUAAUAUGUCCCUAAUACAUAUCCACAUUCUCUCGCCUGAUAAUUUAAUUUUUUCGGUAAUUAAGAUUUAAUGUGGUAAUGGAGCCUGACCAAAUGAAAACUUCAUUCGGCUGAUAUCUUAGUAAAACGGAAAAAUUAUCUAGAAAGUCCUAAAUUUAUUGAGCUUUUACCCAUUUAGUUAUAAACAUAACAAUUUUGCAAAUUUAGUUAUAAACAUUUUCAUUUUUUUAUCAAUUGAAUCCAUUUGAUCAAUUUUGAUUGAAAAUCAUUAACAUGAAAUCGGUAAUAACACAUAUGACGGUUGGCACGGUCAUGGACCAUAUUUUUUAUAUAUUAUAUUUUCAUUUUUUUUUUAUUUUUAUUUUUUUCCUUCCUUUUCUUUUCAUUAGUAGCUGGGUCGGUUGGCCUUGCCAUAUUUGGCUUGGGUGAAGUUGACUCUUGCCUAGGUGAAGAUUAGCCCUGCGAGGAUCGACUCUUGCCUAGGUGAGGACGAGCCCUAUGAGGGUCAACCUCGCCUGGGCUUACCUGGGUGAGGGCUCCCCUCGCUCGGCUGUGCCUCACUUGUGGUGGGUGAGGCCAACUUGCUUAGCCAUGGUUGAUGCUGGCCAUAGCCACCGCCAAUAGAAAGCAAAAUGGAAAAAAGAAGAAGAAAUAAAUUAGAAAUAAAUAAAUAAAUUAAUUAAAAAUAUUAUUAAAAAAUUAUCUACAUCAGCAUAUGUCAAUUGGCUAGCGUUGGCAUCAGCAUCAAUGAAUUCUGAUGCCGGAUGGAUUCAAUUGAUAAAUUGUGAAAAUAUUUAGGAUUGAAUUUGCAAAAGUGGAACAAAGUUAGGAUUUUUUGGACAAUUUUAGCAAAUACUAGGAAAGUCCCAAAUAAGGACCUAAAAUGCUUCCGCUUUCUCAAAUAAGGGCUUGAAAUGGACUUUAUUUCAAAUAAAAGUUUGAAGUGGCUAAAUCGUCUCAAAUAAGGGCUUGAAGUGGCUGGAUGCCUCUUAAAGGGUAACGGAGGUGUGUGAAGGGAGGCUUAAGCUAAGAUUUUGCUAGUGAGCAUAAUGGUAUAAGCCUACCUAAUAAUGACACUGACUGGUCGAAUAGAGACGAAAGAAGACCAUAGUGAUCCGGGAGUCCAGAGUGAAAGGGCUCUCACUUAACAGAUCAAAGGUACAUUGAGGAUAAUAGACUGAUGACUCCCAAGAGCUCUUAUUGAUAGACUUGUUUGGCACCUUGAUGUUGACUCAUCAAAUCCUGGAGGUGAAAAGGUUCCCAAGAGUUUGGUUGUUCAUUGAUCAAAGUGGAAGAAAAUAAACUGCCAUUUGCCUAGGUAAGAGUCUUAGUAAGAAAUAGAAAAGGAAUGGCUGCCUUUGCAAAGGAGAAGCUGCUUGAUCAAGAGGCAGAGGAGCCGCAUAACUUAAUUCACAUUUUCUUCUUGAUUAGAGGAGUGUAACGGCAUUGGAAGAGAGGUACAUCAGUUUAAAAAAAGAACCUAAUCUCUCAUACUGAAGGGCAUUUUCAUCUUUUAUUUUUAAAUUUUUUUUCAAGGAAAAUUUCAAAAAAUGAUCUGAGUGGAGCCAUAUUCUCAAAAGAGAGUCUAAAGUGGAUAUUGUCUUAAAUAAGGAUCUCAAGUGGCCAAUUUAGUUUCAAAUUAGAGCCUGACUGGCCAAAUCUUGCAUGUCCAAGGGCAUUCUCAUCCAAGUAGAUUUGUUUCUUUAUUAUUCUUUUCUCUCUUUGUUUCAUGUUUUAAUUUCAUUUUUUUCCCUUUCUCUACGCCAUCAUCUUCUGCGAUUUCAAGUAUAAAUGCGCUGGCAAAAUUUUUUGUCUAACUUCUUGCUAUGUCUCUCGCCCAGCUACAAAACGCCGCUUCCUGUUUCCUCACUACGCAGCCACAAAUUCCUAACACCCGCAAAAGAUUAAUUGGCGAUAUUCAACAACCGUAUACAAAAUAUUUCACAACCCUAUACAACUUAUGACUCGACACAAAACUGUUCGUCGCCCCCUAAAAACUUUUCCACAGGAAUCAUAUGUUGAUUCAACUACUCUUUGUUUCAGGGAACACGGGAACUGUGUUGUGCAGCACAAUCGUCCCUUGAAAGACCAUCAUCCGGCGAUUCCUUCUUAAUUGUUUCAACUGCAAAAGAAAUGAAUGUAUGAGACCGAGAGUUUCAAAUCUCCUGCUCAAGAGGGAUAAAUGAAUGCACGUUCACAAACCUCCUCUGGGGUCAUCUUGCCAAAACCAAAUCGGUUCAUCCAUAUCGAUUCUGCUUCCUCUGCAGCAAGAAGCACGAGAUUCGUCACAAUGAAUAAGCCUCCUCUGAGUUGAACUAAGAGAAGCGUUGCUAAUGGCUUGCGUGCCAAUGGAUGGAUGGUGUGGUCGACUUGGUUGAGGAAGAAGAGAACUUUUACGAGGCAUUGCUUGACAGCGACUAUUCUGUUAUUUAUGACUCUGAAAUGGUGGCAAAGGACCUCUCCACAUGGAAUAUAAGAAAAGAGCUCUUUGGUUUCAUUUCUUUGAAUUAGAUGGGGUAGAGCGAAGAUUGGUGAAGGAUAAAUUGGGCAACUAAGCACUUUUUUUGAGUCAAAAUUAUCCCGCAUCCUUAUUGACUUCUAAAAUCCCAGGUUGUAGGAGAAAAAACAUUUGUUAUCUUAAUGGUUUCACAGUGAAAGGAGGCACCAACAUGAAGAAGGGUUACGAAUUGUGCGGAUUCAACUUGAAAAGUAGAGCCAUCGAGCACGUUAUUACACUUGUCUUACAUGUAGCUGAUCGCCGUUGCCCCCUUGGAUGGGGCACUGGUUUAUCCCCUUAUCUGUAGGAGUUCACCGUUCUGCUAAUCAUGCUAUUUUUGAUUGUUUGUUAGCAAAAACAUAUUCAGAUAUCACUAUUGCAUGGUAAAGAAAACAAAUACAUGAAACAAAGAUAAAGAAAAAGAAAAAUAAACAAAAAAAUUGUACAUGGAUGAGAAUGCCCCUAAAUGGGAACAAGAUUAUUUGAGACUAAAUUGCCAACUUGAGGCCCUCAUUUGAGACAAUGUCAACUUUGGACCCUCUUUUGAGAAUACAGCUGCAAUUCAGACCUUUAUUUGAAAAUUUCCUUUUUUUUUCUUUCCUUUUUCUAUUUUUUUUCUUUUUCUUUGCCCCUUCCCUCAGCCAGCCAUUGUGGAGGUUGUUGGACUUGGGUGAGGACCACCUCGUCGGCAUGAGGCGAUGGUCACCAUCGCCUGGGCUAAUGCCAAUAGGUCCUGCCCUCGCCAGAUUUAGGAAGGGUUGCUGAGGGUUACACUCCCUGAUGUCAGGCGAGGGUUACUGUCGUUGGAUCUAGUGAGGAACGCCCUCGCCUGACAUCGGCAAUAGUGGCCCUUGCCUGAGGUAGGCAACCUCCAUCGGCCAUUUACGGUGAUGGCCAAGGGAUAGAAGAGAAAAAAAAAGAUAAAAGAAAAGAAAAGAAAUAAAGGAAAAAAAUAAAAAAAUAUAUAUAGUUACAAAUUUUUUGACCAAAAUACCCCUUCUCCGAUGGCCGUAAUAGUCAUUAGCAGGCUAAAGUCUCUUAUUUGAGACGAUUUGAUCAUUUCGGACUUUUAUUUGAGAAAAUGAUGACACUUGGACCUUUAUUUAGAAUUUUCCCUAUGUCUUAAUUCCAUUACAUUUCAUUUUUACUCCACCCUCAAAGGAAGAAAAUAUCCUCUAACCACACCCAAGAAUUUAUGGUGUAAUGUCACCGGUGGUAUCUGUUAUUGACAGCUAACUGUUUUGCCCCAACGUCUCCUCAUUUUCAAUUCGCCGGUAAAUCGGAAUUUAACCCCUAAGCAAAAACAUCUAUACUGUAUGUCUCGACUUCUCAUUUCUUAAGUUUUCAGAAACGACGGUCACUUUUUACUUAAAAUAGGACGUCCGCAUCGAAUAUUAAAUUAGGCAAGAUCUUUAAUUUUUGUGAACCAGUCCAUUGCGUUGCUCCAGGUCAAACCCACAAGCCCGGCCUCACCCCCCUUAGGGGAAAUGGCAUGUACCGCUCCAAGCAAGAAGAGAAUGAAGACAUUCAUGGAAGUUGAGCACGACCAAGAUCAGUCGAGGUUAGGAAAUGUUUCAAUGGAUUGCAUAAUUCUCUUCGCAACAAUGAAAAUAUGAUUCUUUAGGAUUAGAUCGGUAUCGAGCACACAUACAUACGUUGUGCAUUCUAUAUCCGGCCUAGAUGCAAUCAAGGGGAGGAGUGAACCUAGCAUGCUUCUAUGCAACUUUGGGUCCACAGGUUUACUCUUUUGAUAUUUGUUCAGCUUGGUAGAAUGAGGCAUGGAUGUGUCCAUCCUCUUCUAAUUCUCCAUACCGCAUUUAUUUACAAGUUCCUGGGCACAUUUUCCUUGGUGAAUGAAGGUCCCAGCCUUGGUUUAAAUUCAUUUUGCAUUACCUUUGCAAAAUCCUUGCGCAGAAUCUCAUUAGUAGAAAUUUUGCAUUUCAUAUACUUCCAUAAUUUUUUUUUUUCGUUUUAUCAUUACUAUUUCAUAUUACUGUGUAUCAUCAUCAUCAUCAUCAUCAUCAUUUUUCCCGUUUGAUUCUACUUAGAAAAAAAACAAAAACCAUUUGGUUGCGAUGCAAUAUUAUAUGACAUUAUAAUUGGCCAAAGUCAUGAUAAUGUAGUAUAGUUGGUUCUGAAUAUCUAUCACUAGUGACAAACAACUUUGACUAGUAUAUGCACGUUAGUUUACGCUAAUCCCUGUCAAUGAGCUGUAAGAAAGGCACCCUUCUUACAUUAUUCUAACGUCGAUUUGCAAACAUUUAUAGUACAUUGUUCUAACUACCUUUGUCGUCUGUAUCUAAGCUUUGCAUCGAGGCAUCUUCAAGCUGCAUCUUUCUUUCUAUCCUGUAGACACACAUCGUUACCCCAACUAAGAGGCAUUUUCAAGUGACAUCUUGGACAAAAAUGAAUGAUUUUAAAAUAUUUUCCAAAAAAAGAUAGGUCAUAUUGCUUGAAAUGAUUAGUUGAUAAUUUUUUAUUAAUGGCAAUAAUUUAUAUCUAAGUGAAAUAAUCAGUUGAUUUUAAGAAAAUAUUUCCAAAUCAUUUAUUUUAUGCGAAACAAAUAGAGCCUCAUUUUUUCCUACAGUUUACUUCAUUUUAUAUUUACUAUUUAAUGUUUAAUCUUCUACGCAUCUCCUUAUUUAUUUCUUUCAUGACGAGCCCUGUAGCCAGUAAAUCAUCAUACUCAUGAACUACAAUGUCCACUAUAUUAUCAUCUCUUUUUUUUUUUUUUUUUGGGGGGGGGGGGGGGGGAGCGGAGGGGGUUCGGAAAUUGAGACAGUGUCUUAAACAGGUAAACAAAACUGAUUCUACUUAGGAAACAAAUAAAAGCCAUUUGGUAAUGAUGCAAUUUAUAUAACAACAUAAUUGGUCAAAGUCAUAUUAUUGUAGUGUAGUUGGUUCCUAAUAUCCAAUCACUGACAAACAUGUAACUAGUAGUCAGGAUGCCAAACUCCUAAAAAUUGCCACCAUCAAUAGGCAUUGCUAAAACAAAUCAAUAGCACCUGUUUCAACUUAACCUGCGUCAACUGGCCAACAGAAUAGAGAAAACCAAACAAAGCUGAUAUGACCCUUCAGCAAUCGAGAAAUUACACUGCAACUUCGUUCACUAAUCACCAUCGAAUGAGCUAUAAGAAAGGCACCCUUUUUUCACAUUAUUCUAACGACAAUUUGCCAACAUAUAUGAGACAUUGUUCUAACUACUUCUGUCUGUAUGUAUGCUUGGCAUCAAGGCAUCUGCAAGUGGCAUCUUUCUUUCCUCCCGUAGAAACGCAACUUAUGUACCGCAAUUGAAAGGAAUACCCCCUAUUAAGUGAAAAAUUGCAUUUCAUUUUUUUUUUCUAAAAUGUAUUUGAUUUUAGGGUUAAUCCCACAAAAAAAAAAAUCCAAAAUUGGUACAUCUAUAACAAAUUUACCCAAAUUAAUUUUUUAACUACCAAAAAUCACAAACCGGUACACCUGUGACAAAUGAAGGAUAAAACACAAACUUAUACACCCACUAACUAUCAUGUGUUGUCUAAGUAAGCAAUUUGACAGUAAAAUUCAAUAGAAACUAACGGAAGGUAGAUUUGUCAUGGAUGUAUCAGUUUGGGGGUUUUUUCAUGAUAUUAACCUUUUGUUUUAUCACCACCGGCCAUGGUGGCUCCGCUGGGUAGGCUUCAGUCCUUUGAGGGAAGGUCAGGAGUUCAAAACCCCUGCAACGCAAGUUGCAGGGAGGCUGGCGGGCUAUUAGGUGAUUGCCGCGUGGUGCUGGGGUGGUGGUUUUCCCGCUAGCGUUACUUGGGGGUUUACGUGAUGGCUGUUCGGCCAAGGCGGUUCCCUCCAGCACAAAAAAAAAAAAGAACCCUUUUGUUUUUAUCUUUUUCUUUUUGAACGUUGUUAUUAUAUUGCAUUUCUUUGUUUAUUUUUUCACAACGAAGCACAUAACCAGUACACCGUGAACUAUGACGUCUACCGUAUUAUCACGUCUCAUUUUUUUCCAUUUGUGAUUUGAGGUUGUGAUGUAGUAUUAUAUAACAAUGUAAUUAGUCUAAGUCAUGAUAUUGUAGUAUAGUUGGUUAAUAAUAUCCCAUCAUUAAUAACAUACAACUUUAAUGAGUAUUGCUCGUUGGGUUUUCUUUUAUGCGUUUGUAUUAAUAGGAAAAAGAAAGUCAAGUGAAGUGUGCCUGAUCCCAAAUUUCAUUCAAAGCUUCUGGUGUUCUCUCAACAAAAACAGGUCUUCUUGUUGCGAGCAAAAGUAGAGCGGUCAUAUUCAAUUAGAAAAUUAUAAGAUUCACCCAAUUUAAGAUCGCGCUUAUAAUGUCCCUUAAUCACGACGAUUAACCGUUUCGCGCGUUCAUACCAUGUACAAGAGGGGGGCGUUAAUUUCUCGAUCGAUAAUCAUUGCAACCCUCGCGACAUUUUCCUCGGCCAGGGCCUCAUGUCCAAAAGUCCCGCUAAUUAUUGACUUUUGACUGUCGUUUGACUAACGCUCGAUUUUGACCCGAAUUCCGAAUUACAAACCUCAUUUCCGCAUCACCUGCCCCGUAAUAAUAUUUACGAAAGCACGAUUAUUAUCAGAGCCCCCGAGUAGAAGGGUAAUAAUUGAGACAUUUUUUUUUUGUUGAUUGCUAAAACGUAAUAAUUGAGAUAUGAUUCCGUAUGUAGUUUUACGAAACGUUGAAAUAAUCGGAAAUAAUUCAUGGGAAGUUCGCCAACCCGGCGGGACGAAUACCCUGCCGUUCUCUCCCUAUUGGCAUCAUUUUGUUUUUCUUUUAUAAAUUUCUAAUUUAAUUUUUCUUUUAAAUUUCGUGUGGACAUAGUCGCCGGAGCUCUCUCUCUCUCUUCCCCCAAAACCUUCGCUGUGCAUCUCCGCAGCUUUCAAUCAGUCCCCCAGUCGCACCUUCGGACUUCUCCUGAUCACCAGCCUUCGGAGCUUCGCUUCUCCUGAUCACCAGGGGAGCCGGGACUCGCCCUCGCCCAGGUGAGGGUUGGCCUCCCUAGUCCAUAGGCCAGAUCCAAUGAGGUUGGCCCUCGCCGAGGCUGCUCUCACCCAAGCAAGGGUCGGCCUUGCUCAGGCCAGAGUUGGCGAGGCCAACCCUUGCCGAGGCUCGGCCUCGCCAUGGCUAGGUAAGGCCAGUCCACCUGGUUGUGGCCAAUGGCCAGCCAUUGCUUGUGGCCAGUGGUUGAUCACCGGCAAAAUGAAGAAGAAGAACAAAGGAGAGAAAAAAAGAAAAAAAAUCGAAAAAUCGAAAAAUUAUUAGAUUGUCCACGUCAAUACCAGUGGUGUCACGUAAAUAGGCCGGCAUCCACGUCCGCAAUAUCUGGCCAAAAUUAGUCGGAAGGACUAAAUUAGCAUCAGGUCAAAACAUUUAGGAUUAAAUUGACACUAAUUUAAAAUGUUUAGGAUUCAAUUGGUAUCAUUAAAAAGUUUAUGACUAAAUUGGCAUAAACUUAAAAGGUUUAUGAUUGAAUUGACACCAUUAAAAUGUUUAGGACUAAAUUGGCACAAAUGCAAUAGAUUUAGGAAUUUUUUUUUUAUACUUUUCCCCAAUUAUUAUUGGAAUUGCACAAAAAUUUCAAAGGNNNNNNNNNNNNNNNNNNNNNNNNNNNNNNNNNNNNNNNNNNNNNNNNNNNNNNNNNNNNNNNNNNNNNNNNNNNNNNNNNNNNNNNNNNNNNNNNNNNNNNNNNNNNNNNNNNNNNNNNNNNNNNNNNNNNNNNNNNNNNNNNNNNNNNNNNNNNNNNNNNNNNNNNNNNNNNNNNNNNNNNNNNNNNNNNNNNNNNNNNNNNNNNNNNNNNNNNNNNNNNNNNNNNNNNNNNNNNNNNNNNNNNNNNNNNNNNNNNNNNNNNNNNNNNNAUUAGACGUGAAGAGUAUCUAAGGCUAGAUAGUUGAACAAGUUGUGAGGUUCCUCAUGGAUUGGAUGAACCACUAGAACGUGAACAGUUUGUGGACAUGGAAGAUGACAGGAUGCUUAAAGGGAACGGUAUGUAGAGGGUGAACUAUGAAUUCAACGUGAAGCGCCAAAAGACCUUUUCUUUUUUUUUCUAUGGAUUAUGCAUGUAAUAGUAAAGCAUAUAUAUUUUCAGGUCUCAAUGCUAAUAAUAUUUUUGAAGCAAUUGACGCUGAAUUUUUGAGCGUUUGACAAUAAAAGAUACUACGUCUUUCGAAACAGAAAAAAACUGGGAAGAGAAAUUGUUUCUUAAGAUAAAGGAAAACAAAUUAAAAUUGAACAAGAUCCUACUCAUUUUAAAGCCUAUUUUUCAGAUAAAGAGAAACAAUUACUUAGAGUAAAAGAAGAGGAAGAGAAAAGUUUUGGGACCUUUCUUUACUUAUGUUAUUGAUUUAGUGGAUGAUCAACAGGGUUAUAAUGAUGCCGAGUCUAGACUCUAGACCGGAUGCUCAUGUGGAAAAUGGCAAUGGAUCUUGAGAUAAAAGCAAAAUAAUACAUGUCAUCAACUAGUCCUCCUCCUAACACUAGAACUGUAGGAUCUACAUGGGCGUUAUAAGUAAAAGAAUGAAAACCGGAUUGUCCGAUACGUAAGGCAGGAUUAGUGGCUAAGAGGUAUAGCAAAAUAGGACGUGACUACUUCGAUGUUAAUCUCCGGUGAGAAGGCUUACAACCAUUGCAAUAAGAGACACGAAGACGACGAUGAAGGAGUGUACUCGAUGAAGGGGAAGACGAAGAAGGAUUAGAGUGCUUUGUGGGAGAGAAAUAGAAUGAGCCCUAUUUGUUUUCAAAUUAGGGCUAAUUGAAGAGAGAGAGAGAGGUUGUCAUAUAUUUUCCAGCUCGGGCAAUUUCACAAUAAAAAUUGACGGAAGUUAAUUGGAGAGGUAAAUAUGCCAAUCUAUAUCAGUUUGAGGUUUUGGGUGACUCAAAAUAUAAAGUUUGGGGUAAAUAUGUUACAUGUGGAUCAACUUUGGGAAUUUUUUUUUUUUUUUUUUGUGAUUCAAAAAAUUUAGUUUAAAGUAGAUACAUCCACAAAAUGUAACUGCUUAUAGUAUUUCGGCGAAGAGAAGCCUUUAACAUUUAAACAUUUCCAUAUAUAAGAGUUGCUGAUCCAUCAUCGACCAAUAUGCCUCCAUAGCGUCGGUGACCCUCGGAUGUCACUAUGUCUAUGGGCAACCUCAGAUAAACCAAAGUCGAGGAGAUCACCAUUAACUNNNNNNNNNNNNNNNNNNNNNNNNNNNNNNNNNNNNNNNNNNNNNNNNNNNNNNNNNNNNNNNNNNNNNNNNNNNNNNNNNNNNNNNNNNNNNNNNNNNNNNNNNNNNNNNNNNNNNNNNNNNNNNNNNNNNNNNNNNNNNNNNNNNNNNNNNNNNNNNNNNNNNNNNNNNNNNNNNNNNNNNNNNNNNNNNNNNNNNNNNNNNNNNNNNNNNNNNNNNNNNNNNNNNNNNNNNNNNNNNNNNNNNNNNNNNNNNNNNNNNNNNNNNNNNNNNNNNNNNNNNNNNNNNNNNNNNNNNNNNNNNNNNNNNNNNNNNNNNNNNNNNNNNNNNNNNNNNNNNNNNNNNNNNNNNNNNNNNNNNNNNNNNNNNNNNNNNNNNNNNNNNNNNNNNNNNNNNNNNNNNNNNNNNNNNNNNNNNNNNNNNNNNNNNNNNNNNNNNNNNNNNNNNNNNNNNNNNNNNNNNNNNNNNNNNNNNNNNNNNNNNNNNNNNNNNNNNNNNNNNNNNNNNNNNNNNNNNNNNNNNNNNNNNNNNNNNNNNNNNNNNNNNNNNNNNNNNNNNNNNNNNNNNNNNNNNNNNNNNNNNNNNNNNNNNNNNNNNNNNNNNNNNNNNNNNNNNNNNNNNNNNNNNNNNNNNNNNNNNNNNNNNNNNNNNNNNNNNNNNNNNNNNNNNNNNNNNNNNNNNNNNNNNNNNNNNNNNNNNNNNNNNNNNNNNNNNNNNNNNNNNNNNNNNNNNNNNNNNNNNNNNNNNNNNNNNNNNNNNNNNNNNNNNNNNNNNNNNNNNNNNNNNNNNNNNNNNNNNNNNNNNNNNNNNNNNNNNNNNNNNNNNNNNNNNNNNNNNNNNNNNNNNNNNNNNNNNNNNNNNNNNNNNNNNNNNNNNNNNNNNNNNNNNNNNNNNNNNNNNNNNNNNNNNNNNNNNNNNNNNNNNNNNNNNNNNNNNNNNNNNNNNNNNNNNNNNNNNNNNNNNNNNNNNNNNNNNNNNNNNNNNNNNNNNNNNNNNNNNNNNNNNNNNNNNNNNNNNNNNNNNNNNNNNNNNNNNNNNNNNNNNNNNNNNNNNNNNNNNNNNNNNNNNNNNNNNNNNNNNNNNNNNNNNNNNNNNNNNNNNNNNNNNNNNNNNNNNNNNNNNNNNNNNNNNNNNNNNNNNNNNNNNNNNNNNNNNNNNNNNNNNNNNNNNNNNNNNNNNNNNNNNNNNNNNNNNNNNNNNNNNNNNNNNNNNNNNNNNNNNNNNNNNNNNNNNNNNNNNNNNNNNNNNNNNNNNNNNNNNNNNNNNNNNNNNNNNNNNNNNNNNNNNNNNNNNNNNNNNNNNNNNNNNNNNNNNNNNNNNNNNNNNNNNNNNNNNNNNNNNNNNNNNNNNNNNNNNNNNNNNNNNNNNNNNNNNNNNNNNNNNNNNNNNNNNNNNNNNNNNNNNNNNNNNNNNNNNNNNNNNNNNNNNNNNNNNNNNNNNNNNNNNNNNNNNNNNNNNNNNNNNNNNNNNNNNNNNNNNNNNNNNNNNNNNNNNNNNNNNNNNNNNNNNNNNNNNNNNNNNNNNNNNNNNNNNNNNNNNNNNNNNNNNNNNNNNNNNNNNNNNNNNNNNNNNNNNNNNNNNNNNNNNNNNNNNNNNNNNNNNNNNNNNNNNNNNNNNNNNNNNNNNNNNNNNNNNNNNNNNNNNNNNNNNNNNNNNNNNNNNNNNNNNNNNNNNNNNNNNNNNNNNNNNNNNNNNNNNNNNNNNNNNNNNNNNNNNNNNNNNNNNNNNNNNNNNNNNNNNNNNNNNNNNNNNNNNNNNNNNNNNNNNNNNNNNNNNNNNNNNNNNNNNNNNNNNNNNNNNNNNNNNNNNNNNNNNNNNNNNNNNNNNNNNNNNNNNNNNNNNNNNNNNNNNNNNNNNNNNNNNNNNNNNNNNNNNNNNNNNNNNNNNNNNNNNNNNNNNNNNNNNNNNNNNNNNNNNNNNNNNNNNNNNNNNNNNNNNNNNNNNNNNNNNNNNNNNNNNNGCGCUGACAUGGCGGCCCUGGUCAAGGUCGAGCGAGGGCCGCGACCCUCGCCGGCGACUAUCGAGGUCUCGCGGCCCUCACCUCCGCCCUAGCCUCGCUAGCCGCGGGCGAGGCUGGCCUCGCCAAGAUCCGGGCGAAGCCGCCUCGCCGACGGCUUGGGAGAGGCCGGGUGAGGGCCGCGACCCUCGUUGGCGGCAGGCGAGGGCUUCACGGCCCUCGCCGGCCACCCAAGGAAAAAGAGGCAGAAAAGAAAAAAGAAAAAAUUAAUAAAAAAAUCAAUAAAAAUUAAUAAAAAAUUUGAAAAAAUAAUAAUAAAAAUCAUAAAUGGUCACCAGCCGACGUCCAUGUCAGCACCGGCCGGCCAAAAUUGGCUGGAUGGACUAAAUUGGUACCGAUAUUAAAAGGUUUAGGACUGAAUUGGUUCAAUUAAAAAGUUUAUGACUGAAUUAAUACCAAUGCAAUAGGUUUAGGACUUUUUUGGUACUUUUCCCGAGAAAACAUUGUAAUCUUCCUAAUUUGUAUUGAAUCGUUAUGCACAUGUAAUCAAUUAGUACAUGAACUUUUUGACUAAAUGAAAAACUAAAGAUCCACAAGACUAAUUAUCAUAAACAAACAUCAUGAGGCAAAGCAAAAAUCCUAUGCGAUGGACGGUGCAACCGUGAGUCAACGAGGGAGGAAAGCGAGCGGGGAAGAGGAAUGAGAAAGGAGGAUCACUAUGCGAGAGGAAAAACACGAUUCUAAGAUUAGAAAUCAAGGAAAAAAGGGUUUUGGACUUUUAAACUUACAAAACCAGUUCUCAAAUGAGUUCCCAAAUUGGUCUGGUCAAUUUGGUUCCCAGGUGGGCAUUUACUCGAAAUCGGAAAUCGGACCAGUUCAAAUUGGUUUUGAAUUUUGGGAAUUGGUUCUCGGACCGAUUUCAAUGUAGACCGGUUUCUGGACUAUUUUUGGGGUGGGCCGGUCUAGUUCUCAAGUAGACUUGGUCCGAUUGGACAUCCCUAAAAUUUCAUCUCUUUCCUCCCAACACAUGGGUGAGUCAUCUAUGUGGGCACUGUUUGGCAUCUUUUGUGGACUUGUAUCUAGGGGUGUGCAUGGUCUAGGCGAGCGGUUCCCGACCUAGAACCAGGAACCGCCCGCUAAUGAUUCAUUCCAAAAAAUUGAAAUCGGGAUCCACCUAUUAAUUGCAUGAAUCCACUCGGGAACCGGACCGCCGAUCCGAUUCGGUUCUCGGGUGGAUCCAUGGAACCGGUCUCACAAUAAUAAUAAUAAUAAUAAUAAUAAUAAUAAUAAUAAUAAUAAUAAUAAUAAUAUCAUUUUCUCAAAAGCUCCGAUCUUGACGGAAAACAACUUUAGUUUUCGAUCAAAAUUGCUGGUUCUUUGCCGCCUCACCUAUUCUUCUUCUCCUCCUCCUGCGGCCCUGCUUCUUCGUGUGCUUGCUUUAUGCCCACCAAUUGCUCGACGUUUUGUCAAGGUGCGCUUUGGAUUUUUUCCCACUUUAAUUAAUUUUUUUAAUUAUUUGAUUUGGGUUUGUUAAUUUGUAAUCAUUUUUUCAAUAUUAAAAAUUAAUAUAUUAUUUUAAUAGAAUUGGUUCGGUUCGGGUGGACAGAUCCACCCAUGGAACUAGGAACCGGAUUGGUACCCACCGAUUCCCAUGAAUUGGAACCGGGAACCGGACCGGUACCCAUCGGUUUCCAUGAAUUGGAACUGGAAACCAGAUCGGUACCCACCGGUUCCCAUAAAUUGGAACUGAGAAUUGGACCGGUUCCCUCAAGAACCACCAGUCUGGGCGGUUUCGGAUGGUUCGGGCGAGUCCCGGUUCUUUUGCACACCUAUACUUGUAUCUAUCAAAAGUGGACUUUCCCAUCAUAAACAUGCCGAACUGAUCACCUUUUGCAAAGUUGUUUGAUUCGUAGACACCUAAACAAAGGACAUGUUAGGUAGUCGUGAGGGGCCUCCCUGUCGCUGAUGACCAGAAUUUCUUCAACAGAGUCAUAAACUUUUAUUGAAAAGUGCAACUGCAUUCUAGAAUUGAGUACUGAAUAUCUUGCUGAAAAGUAUUCUACACCUUUUAAAGUGCGAUUUCUAGGUGAUAAACAAAAAAUGUUGAUAACAAGACUGACAAGUCGGUUGAGAGAUACUGAGCAAAUCUAUCACUUACAAUGGGUGUACAAGCAAAAAGUACGAACAAAUUUGCAUAGUGUCUCUCAAUCGGGGCUACAAGGCCAACAAGUUGGUUGAGAGACAUUAUGUAAAGCAUAGGUCGACCUUGCAAUGGGUGUUUCUCCCACCCCCUCCACCUUCACCGGCACUCACGGCUACUAUAUCGGUCUACUAAUUCUUCAAAUACCCCCUUACAAGGUGCGGUAGAGUCUACCCUCUCCACUUGAAGGGCCCCUUAAUCCCGAGCAUAAUUUUUUCUUCCCCACCUAGGAGGGAAUACUCACGAUUUUAGUCCUAGAGUUCACAUGAAGCAGUUUUAGGAUAUACUCGAGUCUAAGGUGCGAUUUCCAGGUGAUAAGCAAGAAAUGUUGAUAACAACGACUUCAAAUUCGAUAAUACUGGUUUUGAACAGUUAAAGAUUCCAUUACAUAAACCUUAUCCACGGCAUCAACGUACCUUUUUUAAAGAAAAAAAAAAGAAAAGAACAUAUUGCGGAGACUAGGAAAAUAUAUUUUAAAAAUAUGGCUGAUUCAGAAAUCAUAUUAUGGCAAAAAGAAGAAAGAAAAAAGUAAGGCAUCUGAUUGCAAGAGACAUUAAAAAUACUUCAUUUGGACCCGCGGUCAUGAAGGUCUUGGCCUCGUGGGGCUGCAGAUCUCCAACGGAGGUUGCGACUUCCAUGGCUACGGCUCCCUCUCUCUCUGAAAAUCAAUCCAUCGGCUGGAGAAGAGCCCGGCCGCCACGACCAUGGAGGUUGUAGUGCUCACACGACCGUAGAUGAAAAGUAUAUCUUCCUAAAUUAUUAUUCCAUAUAAAAAAAUUUCAAGUGAAACUUCAUUGAAAUAACCAGAGUCAAGUUCACUUACGACCCAUUUGAUAUGAGAAAACAUCUUUAGGUCAUUGAAAACAAAAACUGUUUUCAGUUUCCAUUUUUUUUUUUCACACAUUUGGUAUGAAAUUCUUUUGUUGGAAUUCGAACUAAGAAUGUGUUUGGUGUGUUUUGCAUAACAUAUCACAAUUUAUCAAUUUCUAAACUAUGAGCCUCCAGAAAAGGAAUCUAUUGAUUCUCUCACAAUUGGUUGGAUUGUAGGUGCAACAAUUUACUUAACAGGCGAUAUCUCUUUGGUCAAGUUGGGGAUGGCUCAAUUGCACCAAGGAAAAGAAAAGAAUCAUGCAUGCUUCAUUUGGAUCGAGGGAUAUAGCUCAAUUCGUAAAACUCUGCUCUUACAAUAAGGUCAUUGCGAAUACAGGUCUGGAGUUUCUUUAUAUACUACUGGUGUUUUUUUAGAAAACAAUGAUAAAUUUAUCUCACCAACCGAAAUUAAAUCUUUUAAGUAAUCCUUGCUUGGUGAUCAUCUUAAUAAGUGGAAAAUUACUUAAGUCAUCUACCAAUAUCUUUUUCUUCUUGGCUAAUUAAAAGAAUUUGUUUGCCCGUCAUUAAUAUUAAACAACAUUAGAAUUUCAGAAUUAUCUCCCAUGACAUUAUAAAAGACUAUGAAACAAAUUUUGAGGAGGAAACCUCUUUGAAGCUUCUUGUAGCUCCCGAUGGAAUUGAAUUAACCCGUUUAGCUUAAAAAAAUGCUUCAACCUUCGAAAAAGCUAGAGGACUUCGAAUAACACGGACAUUGCUUCCGUAAAUGACGGAUUUGUGUUCCAAAGAAUCCAAUCUCAUAUCCUCGUAACAAUUGAAAUUUGAUGGGACUGAACUGUUCUGGAGCUACGAUUUUUUUUUUUUUUUUUGUCUUUUUCAUAGCUCGUAUGCAUGAGCGGGGAGCCCUAUCUACUUGAAGCCUCAUGCCAUACUCAGCAAGUCCCAUGAUGUUCAAGCAUUUGUUUGUGCAAAUGACCCCAACUAAGAGCAGUUUUGGUGAGAUCUGAACAUGUGACUCCAAUGUAAAAAAUUAUUCACACAAUUUAACUUAUUAAUCAAGAAGAAUCAUAUCCAUAUAUGAUUGUAAAACAUCGAUAUUGAUAAGCACAUCAGAAUUAAAGCGUACUUGUUUGAGCCAUUACUUCACUUGAAGAAAAAUAGAUCACUCUCAUACCAGAGAUCUAUCGAAAUGCCAUAUUUUCCUUUUUAUAACAUAUUUCAGUAUAGUAGGUUUUAAUGGAAUUAAUGCAACUGAAAGGUAUAACCUAUCAUUUUAUAGGCUAGAGAGGGGAUCUAAUAAACUCUAAUCAAUAGCAUUUCAACUGGCCCUUCUCAUUAUGGGUUUCGAUUAAACACAAUUGCUUACAGUUUGCUGCUCAACUAGGCCUGUUAUCAAUAGAUGCUAAUACCUAAUUCAAUUAGAUCACUAUAUGGUUUAACAAAUAUUUGAAUAUUCAUUAAUCCGAUUAUUUAAACUAGAAAAUUAAUUAAUUAAUGUAAGCCCAUAUUAUAGAAAAUUUCCAACAUUCUCCCACUUGGGCUAUAUUAAUUAACUUAUUUAUAUUUUGAAAAAGAUUCUAUAUUAAAAAUGACACUAUCAGGUUAAUAACUGAAAAUUUUGUUUUAUGUGGCCACAACUUUAAAAAAUAAUAUUUAAAUAAUGACAUCUCAAAACCAAUCCAAUCUCAUAUAACCUCAAUAUAAGACUAUGGGGAUCAAUGUGUUAAAAAAAUACCACUACACAUGACCUUCCAUAAUCACAUAUAAUAAGCAUUAUAUUUUUAUGGAUCAUGGGUCUAGUAGUGUAGUAAGAAAUAAUGUCAAUAUGUAAUCAAAAUAUACACUAUUUUUUAUUGAUUCUCAAUGUAAUUUCUCAACGACAUGAAACUAUAUUAACAUAAUUUCUAAACAACAUGAAAUUACAUGACUAUGUUACAAUCAAACAUGAGAUCUCAUAAUCAAUGAAAUCCAGUCAUCUUUAAACUAAAAUUUGUUUAAAGAUACGAUUUUAUACUUCUAUUUCUUAGUCAAUAGGAGAAAGAAUAACAAUAGAAUCAAUAAUAAUGAUCAUUGAAAAUAAAUGCUUUAAUAGACAUCAUGAAAGCAUUAUUAGUUUGCAUAUAACUAUAAUAUAUAAAAAUACAAAUUAUAUAGCUCCUAUUAACAAAAAAAAUCAAAAGAAUCUAAAACACCUAUAUUCUUUACAUGUUCUUUAAACAAAAUGAGUCAUAAGCCUUUUGUUAGAGGAUCAGCCGACAUGGACUCCGUUCUAGUAUUCUCAAUCACAAUAUUUCCUUUUUUGACCAAGUCUUUAACAGUAUAAUAUUUUAUCAAGUUAAUAUUUCAAUCGUGGCAUUAUCGUUGUUUACAACAAGGUAACUGCUUGCCACACAUAAUGCAAUAAGAUGAAUUAUGGAUAAUAAGCAAUUCAACAAAAAUAAUUUGUAUAUUAUAAACUCCCCCUUAGACAGAGUGUAUAAUGCACUAUUAUUUUCCAUAGCAUGAAGUUUAUAAAGCAACAAUAUGGAGAAUUACAUAUAAUUGUCAAAGAAUCCAUCCCAUUUGGGGAGACAAAUUCUUUAAAUCAUACAUCUCUAUAAUAUUAAUAUAGAGGGGAAUUAUAUAUAAUUUUCAAAACAUUUAUCCCGUUUGGGCAGAUAAAUAUUUUUCAAUUAUACAUCCCCAUCUCUUAAAUUUGAGAAUUGAUUUUCAUGUUAUUUUCCAAACUAAUAUACACAAUAACCCCCUUUAGGUGAGUUAUUGUAUAUACUAAUUUUGAUCAAUAUGGAACUCCAAUAAAUUUUAUAAAUAAUGUUCCAUUUAAUCAAUGCCCAAAAUUCAUCUAAUAAUAUGAAGCACUUUACAACAUGUGCUUUUCAAGAACAUAUUGCAUUUAUCAAUCAAUAAUUUUUUUUUAAGGUAAACAUAAAUCCAAAUUGAGUUUGUAAAAGGAAUAUAUAAACUAAAACGAGCAUGUGAGCACACUGACACAUAGCAUGUGUACACACACAAGCACAUGUGUACCCGAAAAAAAAAGUAGUCACAUAGGCACUCACACACACAACAUGCGAGGAUGCCUGGCUGCAAAACAAUUGGCCACCACAUUGUUGCUAUCAAUUUUCUAGUCAAAACAUCUAGCUUUUCGCACAGAACUAAGAUCAAGAUGACAAUGAUCAUGAAAUUGAUCCUUAUUCAGAUUCGGCAUAGUUUGAUGAUUAAGAGGAUUAUCAAUAAAGAUUAACAACGGCAUGGCAUUUUCUUUCAUUUGUUUUUGUGGUCGCCACAAUGAUAGAAACUAAGAUCCUACUAAUUUACCUAGCAUUUUCAAGUGCUCUCUAGAGUCUGCACAUCCGAUGAGUUGCAGUCACUAGACUACAUCCAUUGGCCAAGAAAGAGUGCUAAAUCCAUUGGCCAAGAAAGAGUGCUAAAUCCAUGCUAGCAAAUUUCUGACCAUGAUGAAAUUGUUCAGUCAAAAUCUAAGCAAUUUUCCAGAAUUGGCUUCUUCCUUGUGUAUACUUGCUAAAUUUUUUAACUCACUAUAAUUUGUACUCUGAGUGGGAAGAAACGCUCACGUACAUUUAAAGGCAGAGAAGAGUCCUUAAAAAUCUUCAUGCCCAAAUGACAACAAACUCGAGAAUGUCAACAUAAUCUAGGCAAUUUUACAAGAUUCAUUCUUUGACCCCAUCAAGAAAUAUGAUCACAUCAUAUAAGUUAUCCCAAAACAUCGAUUUGAUUCUUUGAGUUGACCAAAUACUGCAAACAAACAGAUAAUGAAGUCUUGCAUAGCACUUUAGAUAAUACUAUUUACCACGAAAGGGAUUUACAGAAAUCUUUGGUGCUGGCUCAUUCUUUAUCUAUCAUAUAUUUCUAACGUAAUUUAGCCUUGUGCACUCCUAAAAGAACAAAAACAAACACACACAAUUUGAGUGAUUCUAAUUCGAGCACUCUAGCCAAUAUUCUACUCCAUAUGUAGUUUCAAGGCAAAGCCUCUAUAAAGAGGCACCACACACCUGCCGCUAGUAGUAAAUGAGCCCGAACCAACCUUUUCGAAACGUAUGGCGAUCCAAAUUGGAGAACAGAUAUUCCCUCUUAGUAUUCAGUUCUUGUUGAGCCGUAGCUAGGAUGAGCUAGGUAGUUACGCACUGCACUAAGAGACCAGGGACACUUGGGCACGACGUAUCUCGCGUUGAGCGACAUCAUCAAGACGUGAAAAACUCUAACCGAGCAAGACUUAAAAAAAAAAGAAAAAAACCAUCAUUGAAAAAGGGUUUCCUCCUCGAGCAAAAUUCAAAAGGAAAAGGAAGCUUAAUCUGGAAGAAAUUAGUCAUUUGCGUAGUAACGCCGAAGCAUCAUUCAACCUCCAUAUGUAAUGGUCAAUUGCAACAGUAUAUCAACCGUAGCUGCUGCAAUAUCUACAAUAACUCUCCCGUGCUAUCUAAAAUAGACUAAAGGCAGCUCAACAUUGGAGACUCCGAUAAAAGACAAGACAAUUGGAGCAAACGGAUCAUGGCCUUGCUCUGCCAUCACAGGCAAAGUAGAUGAUCACCAAAGAUCUAAAAUUACCAUCUCAAAAUAGCUCCAAAAUCCAAUCUUGAAUAAUAAUAAUAAUAACAAAAAAAAAAAAAAACACGAACUUCACGAGUCCACGAUUCAUCCUACGGACCCUUCUCCAUGUAUACAUCAAAAAACGAGACGGGCGACUGCCUCACGAUGGGGAGAAAUUACAAGUCCAAGAUGAAUCUUGCUACCGAAAAAUUCUACAUCCAUAUCCCAAAACAACAUGUCAACAACACCACAUAGCCCACUCUCCACAACAGUUUCCUUCAAUCAAGAAAUAGUUUUACCCAUUGUUGACACCUAAAUUUUGGCGAUCCGUUUAGUCAUUUAUCGCAUUAAAAAAUCAGGGAUUAAUUUUAACCCCAAAAAAAAAAAAAUUUAAUUCCAUAACAUAUGGUCAUUAGAAGCAUAUUUCAUUUAAUUGCAUAUUUGUUAGGCCGACGGUGAAUGGAUUUUGGUGAAUGGCUUUGAAUAUUGAAGCCAACAAGAGCAUUAAACUGUGGAUAAGUCGAUAAUUCCUCCAUGGUGAUUGAUAUUACACGGGUGUCCUAAAUUGUUAAAAGUCAAUUAAGAAAUUUCCAGCAUAUUGGCACCAACAUAUUUGUGCAUUUAAGGGAACGAAUGCAAAGGAAGGACAGCGUGUAAGCGGCCACCGAAUCGAACAUAGAGAAGCCCAUCCACGUGAAGGAAAAUUAUGCGCUUUCCCAUAAUUCGGUCAACGUGGGGAGCGAGAAAUUGACCAGCAUUAUUUUAAGAGGAAAGAUACGAGCAUAUGCACAAAGGAAAUUCGGAAGAUCAGCAUGAGAGGGGAAUGUUGGGCACGUUCUGCAUUGCGGGCAUGGAUUUGCAAAAAAUAUAUAUAUCGGCAUUCGAUCAAUAAAGAGGAAAGGAAAGAAAAUAUAUUUCAACGCAUGCCCAGAAGGAAACAGAAUAUGCUUUCUUUCCUCAUUGGUUUACGCCUUUUCAAUAUAAAUUGACUCAUUACGGGACAAAAGGGGGGGAUUCCAAAAUAUACAGAGAACACACGUGAGAGAGAGCAGAGAGAGGGAAACCUCGACCAGUUCUCGGCCGAGGUGAUCGUCCAAACCGGUGCCCACUUCACGGCCAGACCUGUGGCCGUGCCUCUGUCACCAACAUCGCCGUAUCGUGUUGCUGCCCUGCUGAGCUGUCGACGACAACCAAGCUAUUCCUUGCACGCGUGCCACCUGAAAAGCCGAUCGUGUUCGAGCUGCUGUGCUUGACUACGCUGCUGCUUUGGUUUCGUUGUUGCUGUGCGCUGGCACUUUUGCUACCUGACUCGUCGAUCCUCCACCGUUGAACGCUACCCCACCGAGUUGGCCGUCUUUUGUGCUUUAUUUUCAGGUUCCCGCGAGUCCCAGAGUUACUUGCGCACAUCUGAAUUACAUUGGUGACCGGCCCUGGACGUUCAAAUCUUCACGCCAACAACCCUCCUUUUUGCUGUUCAAGUCUUCUGGUGGACGUCCCCUGCUGUGCUGGUCAUCCUCGUUGACUUUGCUAAGCAAAAUCAGCGAAGCAUCGGUCACCACUCGAAAUUUGCCGUUGCUUACUGAGCGAGGCAGCAUCUUUGAGCAGCACGUCAUCUUGAACUGCCGCCCGUGAGUCAUCCCGCCAUCCGUCGUUUGACCGAACUUGAUAACGUGGUUCACGUGACGCCGAAUAUUAGGUAGGAAUCUUUUUUAAUUUGAUAUAUCCUUAUUGCCUAAUUUGUGGGAUUAUCUCGUUCGAAUAUUUAAAUGAUACCGUCAUAUCCACAAAAUAUCGAUUAGCCUUUUAAGUUGGGAAAUCUUCCUAAUUUCGCAACGUCCAUAUGAUUGACGGUCCAAUUUCAUGCUCGAAAUACGACCCGCAAUUGUACGGAAAAAUCACCAAUCCGAUCUCAUGCUCGAGAUAUGAUUCGUGAUUUUAUUUAAAAAUUGGCCAAUCCGAUCUCAUGCGCGAGAUACGAUUCGUCAAUUUAUUUCCCAAAAUUAAAUGGACAUUGAUGAUAUCUUGCUUGAUUUAUUGCCGUGCUAUCCUUGAUGCCUUUAUUUGUUUGUCCUCGUAAAAUAAAAAGCAUUUGAGUUAGAUUAGAUGCAUGUUAGGAUAUUACUUGUUUUAGGUUAUUUUGCAUGUCUAGAAUAGGAAAUUUAUUUAUUUCGAAUUUCUUAAAUAAAAAAUCAAAAACAUAAUUUAGGAUGUUAGAUUUCCGUUCCACUAGUUUAAAUUGCAUGUUUAAUUAUUCGGUAAUUAUUAAUUUCGAAAUAAAUAAUAAAAAAAGAAAAGGAAAAACAACAAAAAGUCAUCAUGCAUAUAUCAUGUAGAGUUAGGGGAUUCUUUGCACGUCAUUGCAUAUUAUGAUAGAAUGCAUGCUUAUUAGGAUAACAAAAACCAUGUGCACGUCAUAUAGAAUUAGGUUCAUACAAUGCACGUCAUUUAAUGAUUUUUGUUAGGUUCAUUUAAUUAGAAAUUACCCGUCAUUAGAACUAGGUCAUUAGGUUAAUUUAGAUUGCAUAUUUAAGUGUUGCAAUUCUUUAAUUUCGAAUCUCAUGGAAAAUACAAAAAAAAUUAUUUUUUAGAAUAAAUCCAUCUCAUGCUUCAGGAUAUAUUAAAUGUUUAUUUAUGUCAUAUCGCUUAGGUCAUAUAGCUAAGUCAUGUUGCCAUGCCAUAUCAUUUCAUGUUAAAUUAGUGAUAUGCAUUGCAUAAAGCAUGAUUCUCAUUAAUUAAGUGAAAAAAAAAAAGAAAUUGCGUGUUAAUUAGAAAUCAUAUUUAGGAUUGCUGAUGUGAAUUCUAAACUAAUAACGCAGAUGCUUUCGUUGCUACGAGGUAAGUCUUGCAAUUUAUUUAUUGCUUUACUUGGGUGUUAAAUUGGUGGUUUGCGCACCUGCAUGGUCACCUCACAUGUUAGGAAUUAAAAUCAAUCCAAACUGCUUGCCAAACAUUUUUCAAAAUAAAAAGAAAGGUACCGAAAGGGCGUUAGAGAAAUCUAGCGUAACCAAGUCCCCGUACCCAAAUCUCUGGUUCGUAGGAGUAAAGUAAAUCUCCCAUUAUUUUGCUUGGGUUUCUAAUCGACCCACCAAAAAUUUAAGCGACUCCUAAUUAAAAAUUAAUUGCAUGUUAAAAAUUUAAAUGAAAGUUGCGAAUUGGUAUGGGUUUGGGAGAGCCCGAGUUAAGUCUAGGCUUAACAAUCCAUUAGCUAAACCUUAGGUGGUUCACACCCCGAAAAAAAUUGGUCGCGACACCCAUCCUCUAAAAUCCGAGUAACUACGAACAACUCUUGCGACUUAAAGGCAUAAUUUCGACUACCCUCUAGUUUUAACAUUCGAAGCUCCAAUCUCAAAUUAUCAAAUUUCAAACUUGCUGCCCAAAUAGGUAGUGAGAUUUGAAUCUAGCCUAACACUACAAAGCAAGAACCGAACAAAUCGUCAACAGCUCUUCAGACCAAAAUUAUAUAUAAUUUUCUAUUCCAUCUAGUUUUCUGGUCUGAAUAUUCAGUGGUGGGUGCAGUUUGCAAAAAGAAGUGGGCUACUUACAUAGAAAAAAUCAUAUUUUGUUUUUGUAUGAUGCUUUACUUGCCUACGAACCUGAGAAUUGAUCAUCUCUUAGCUGAGUGAUAGUUUUUUGUGGUCAGCAAUAAUCAUAUAAUUGCACCGACUGGUUUGUUAUAUAUUGGAAAUAGCUAAAAUUCACGUGCAACAGUUUCUUACUAAGCAUAAAUUUGAUAUUGGGGAUUUUUAUAAAUGCCACUGAAAUGGAGAUAUUCUUCAAAAACAUUACUGUAAUUUGAUAGUUUGACCACAGUGUCCUCCAUGUGGAUCUGCUUAUUAUCCCAGCAGGAUAAAGUUUCUGGGAUAGUUUAUGUAUCAUUUAGAUUAGCGAGCAUGCUAGUCAAAUACCUUGAGCAGUUGGUUCUCUAUUAGUGGCUGGUGUCUGUUUCUUGUAUUAUACGAACUCUCCAUAUUGAAUGGAGCCUCUCAGCUUUAUUGAAAUCUUGGAAAAGUAAUAUGGUAUUCAUAGUGGUCCAUGAUGAAAAAGUUCUCACGGAGCAGACACUCGACAAAUUCCUUUCGGACAACAAGUAGAAACGAACGACGGAGGAACAGAGGAGAGAGGACCGAAGUACACGCAAUGCGUAUGGACUAAUCUACUGACACCAAUCGCAUCGAAACUUAGAGAUCAAGUCAGCAAAAUCGGCCGAAACCCUAAUCGCUCAUCCAAAAGGGAACAAACGAUCAGCUACAGUAAUCUCCAAACCAACCGUUGCUACCGUCGAAUUGAAGAAAAAAACAAAGGUAACGCUAUAAUGUAACUUAAAAUUCUAGAACUUUUUUUUUAUGUAUAGACCCUAGAAUUUCAAAUUUAAAAUUCUCACUCAAUUCUCAAUGAAAUUAUACAAAUUAUUUAUGGUUAGAAAGAUCUCGACGUUUAGAACGAAAACCCUAUGGUUUUAGGAUCAAUUGAGCAAAAAAUCCACAUGAAAAAAUAAUACCUAUAUUUGGCUCAAAGAGGAAAAUUUUGAAUUUUGUUCAUAAAAAAAAUUUGGGUUCUACAAUCAUAUAUGACUUGCUCUGAUACCACAUGUAACAAAUUAUUCACAUAAUUUAACUUAUUAAUUAAGAAGAAUCGGAUCUAUAUAUGACUAUAAAACACCGAGAUCAAUAAGCAUAGCGAAAUUAAAGCAUACCAUUGCUUCACUUGAAGAAAAAUAAAUUACUCUGAUACUAGAGAUCUAUCAAAAUGCCAAAUCUUUCUCUCUAUGACCUAUUUCAGUAUAACAGCUUUUAAUGAGAUUAAAGCAAUUGAUAGGUAUAACCUACAUUUUUAUAGAGAGGAACCUAGCAAAUCCUAAUCAAUAGCGUGUCAACUAGCCCUUCCCAUUACAAGAUUCAGUUAAACACAAUUGUCUACACUUUGCUGCUCAACUAAGCCCGUUAUUAAUAGAUGCCAAUACCCAAUUCAAUUAUAUUACUAUAGGGUUCAACAAAUAUCGGAAUAUUCAUUAACCCGAUUAUUUAAACUAGAAAAUUAAUUAAUUAAUGUAAUCCCAUAUUAUAGAAAAUUUCCCACAUCCAGCUCUCCAGUUCUCAAGAUAAUAAUAUUUGACUACCUGACUAUUUGAGCCAACUUUAACGGAUUGAACCUAUGGUAGACGUAAUCAGCAUUAUAUUUAACCUCUGUCGCAUUAUCUUAUUUGACAAACCAUGUCGAUAUUUUCAUAUUGGGUUUAAAAAAAAAAUUUGCUUUUUAUAAUAAAGGUUCAAAUUUAUUUAGCUUUCUUUUAGAUUCCAAUUUCUAACCCACCCAGGAGCACAAUCCACAGGAGAUGCACAAGAAGCGUAAGACGCUCUCGCUUUAUUAUUAUUUUUUCUUAAAAGGCAGGAUUAAAGCUGAUUUUUAGUCAUCAAAGUGUGUGAGUCAAAAGUAGCAAAGUCACUUUCUCUGUAAUGUAAUGGAAAUCACGCGUCCGCCUCCUCCUUGGCUCAUCCAUUUCCCGUGGAACUUACGCCAGUGUUCAUUCAAUUUAUCUUCGGAAAAUUUUAGGUGCACACUUCUGCUUUACACCAUUUUUGCACUUGAUUAUGAUAAUGUAUCAUGACAUCACUCCGCAUUAUGAUGUUUCGGUACUUAAUUACUAUGACCCGUCCUAAGGUUGUAUAUUACGACAUUAGCGUGUGUAUCGUCUCUUUUAUCUAUUUGUCCGGAUGCAUCUUUAGAAAACCAGAAACUAGGAGAUCACCAUUAAGGCUACUCUAUCCUCUGUUCGUUCUUCUCCUAUUCGUCCCUUCAUGCUUUCUCUAUAUUUGGCUAUCUCUUUAAGGCUUGAAUCCUGUUCAUCCUUCGCUAGGUACGCAAACAACGCGAGGAAGCGAGGAAGAUUAGAGUUUGGACAUUGCUUCCUAGCAAGCGGAUUUCAAUUAGAGAUGAAUGCAUUGGAUCAUGAAUCUUAUUGGGGAAAUCAUUGUCUUUAUUCGGAAAUUUCAUCUCUUUCCUCGAAUCCCACAACACAUAGGUGGGUCAUCCAUGUGGGCACUGUUUGACAUCUUUUGUGAACUUAUCUAUAUUAUGUGGACUUUCUCUUCAUAAAGAUGCCGAACCUACUACCAUUUGCAAAAUUACCUGAUUCUUUAGACCAAAAAAUAAAUGCUAUGUUAGGUGGUAGUGAGGGUCCUUUCUGUCGGUCAUGAGACAAAUUUCUUCAACAAAGUUGUAAUCUUCUAUGAAAAGUGCAACUGCAAGUUGGAAUAAAGUACCCAAAAUCUCACUGAUAAGUAUAAACAGAUUCAAUACCUUUGAAAGUGCGAUUGCUAGGUGAUUUAAAAAACCAAUGUUGAUAAGGACUUUUUUUUGAACCGCUUAUAAGAUGGACUUGAAAUCAGAAAACUGAUUAAACACUUAAGUUUCAACUAGAUAAAUUGUUGGUAAGAGGUGACUUAUCCCUCAUCGAAAGGAUGUAAGUGCCCAUGUUGAUAAGAUUUAACAUUAAUCAAUGAUCAUUAUUUUUUAUUUAUUAAUAUCCAAAUCAAUAAUUAUAAAGAAUUAACUAUAGUGUCCUAUUGAAAAGAUUUACAGUUAUUUUAUAUUUAUAUUUAUUUAAUUUCGAAUUUUGUUACUUUGGCUAGCGAUUAUCUCAGAUAUUAUAUCUAUUCAGACAUAAUUUCUUAAUUUUUGAAAGGUCGUGUAUCUUUGAAUAUAAUUUCUUAUUUUUUUGCUAUUAAUUACUUAACGUGUCUAUUCAAUAACAUCUUCUUCCAUUUUAGUUUCUUCCAAAAGAAAAAUACAACCAUUAUUUUCUAUUGUUUUCUUUUGAGAGAUCCUUCAAAAAUACCUAAAUUGUUAUUUGAUAUUGUCAUUGAGAUUUUGUUUUAUGUAGGAGGAUUUUUGCUAAUAACCACGAGUACUAUUAUGGGCAAAUAAUUCUUAAAGAAAGUAUUAUCACGCUUUAAAGUUUGAUUUCAUUGUUCUUCUCCAUCAAUGGAUUUUUUUCCAUAAUAUAUACUUUGCUUGCAAAUUGACGUACCUCUUUUCUUAGGAUAAGAAGAAGAAAAGGACAAAUUGCUGCGAUCAGAAAAAAUUGGGCAGGACAAGACUAACUUGAGAUUUUUUCACAUUAUUUAGGAGCUUCAUGCACUUGUGUGAAGGGAAUACAUUUUCUGCAUCCUAAACUUGACGGGAUUGUGCUUUUUUUGUCCUAGAAGUUAUAUUUUUAGGAGAAUUAUCAAAAAGUCCUAAAUUUAUUGCGAUUGUGCCAAUUAGAUCAUAUAGCUUUUUUUUUUGUUAAUUAAAUCAUAAACUAUUAAGAUUGUGCCAAUUUAGUCUAUCUUAUCAAUAUUGACCAAAAUUGCCUACAUGGAUACUGGUUAUCCUACAUAGCAUGGUUGAUACUGACAUGGAUAAUUUUUAAUAAUUUUUAAUAUUUUUUGAAUUUAUUUAUUUAUUUAUUAUUAUUUUCUUUUUCCCUUUUUCCUUUUUUUUCCUCUUCUCUUCCUUUUUCCUCUAGUCAGUCGGCGGACUUUGGAAAUCAGUGAGAGGUGAGGGUUAAUAGGGGCAAGCUUUGCCCGCAUCUAGCAAGGUCGGCCUCGCCCAACCAUUAUGAGGCCAACCUCACCCUCUGUGACAUCCCAAUUCUAUUUUUAAUAAAUUGAGACAGGCAUUUCAUUGGCACAUAUAUAGUUCUUUUCCCUGAACUGAUCACUCAUGAGAUAACUAGUCUAUCAGGUGAAACCGUUAAGAAAUUCUAAUGCAUCGGACUCGAGAAUUUGACUAGGAAACGACCUUGCCACCGAGUUAAUCUGCAAGGGUCAUUACGGCACAGUUAAAAAUCGAUUAGAGAUCGGAGAUAGGUCGACUUGACAGAGGCAUGUGAUUGAGUGUGGGUGAUUCCACUAGAUCGCACAAUUCUUGUCGAUCGGCACUAGACUGGCUUUUCUGUCGUUUGGGUACACUGUGUCCGUGUUUGAAACCUUGAGAUUAUCCCGACAACCGAGAGUCGCCAAUGUGUCAAAGAUGUACAUUGUGGCUUGAAUUGAUCAACAACAGGUCAAAUGCACGAAAAUUUCUAAAAGCUACCCGGUAGAUUAGGACGCGCUAGUAUCGUGCCAAAGUGAAAUUAAUCGUGAAAUUGAUAUCGAAUUCAGAAAUUGGAAGUCAUGGUGUGUCACAAAUCAUUUUAGGAUCAUUGACUCAUCUUCGGAAGAUUUUUCAUACAAUAAGAGUUUUUUAGCAAAGUAAUCAAAGCAUGGCUAAUUUGGUUCGGAAAAUUGGUAGGCUCGCUUUUGGCUGUACUUUUGAGAUCUAAGAGGGUUCUAUGGUCAAGUGAUUAUGUGAAUUGAAGUGUGGUGACAUUGGAUUAAUUUUAUGGACUUCAAUUGGACUCAAUUGGAAGAGAAUUGAAUGGAAUUGAAGAAAUUAUCACACAAGAUUCUAUGCCUAGGCGGAAAAUGAAAUUGAACUUAUUGGAUUAAGGUUGUGGGAGGUUGGAGUUAGUGGAUUGUGACAUCACAAGUGAUGUCAUGGGGGUAGGGCAAGAUUGGCUAGGAUGGCGACACAUGGAGGGUGGGGGAUUGAAUCCCAAAAACGUGGGAUGUCACUUCCCCCUUGUCUCCAUCAUCUUUAAGCUUGGAGGAGAGAGAGAGAGGAGGAGCGACCGUUCGAACCAGGCCAGCUCGACCCCCUUUGUUCGCCUCCUUCGCUUGCUCACCGUCCGCUCGUUUGCCGUCGUCGUCGUCACUGCCGCGGUCGUCGCUCGUCCGUGUGUUGCUUGCGUGAUGGCUUGUCGCUCCGUCAUCUCCCUUUCGCUCGUAAGACCAAGCCCCGUCGACCAGCCGCUACCCUUGGUCGUUCGCCUUCGCCGGAGCCUCCUUCGUUGUCGCUGUCGUCGCCCGACACCACCCCGAGCAACCGCUGUCUUUCCUCCACCGUUCCUCCUUUCGAACUACCACCAAGCCACCUCUGUUGACCUUUAACCAACAACAAGCAAAAAUGGGUUUCUCAGCUCGGUUUUGGCCCGUUUUGGUUGGCUUCCCGACCCCGAAUGCUUGGCCCAUUUUGAGGAAAGUUGUUCUCCUUGGCGUCCCCGUCGUUUUGGUCCACUUGGCUCGCUAAUCCGGUGAGUUUAGCUCACUAAACCUUUAUUAGAGGGUUAAUGAUACUUUGGGUGUGCUUAGUUUAUGUUAAGUGUCAUUAGGUGGUUAGUUUAAUUUAUUUAAGUGUAAAUUAUAUUAAGGUGCUUAAUUAACUUAAAGUGUGUUUAAUUUAAGGUUAAGUGAAUGUUUAUAUUAAUAUAAACCUUGAUGCGACUUAAAGGAAAUUAUUUUUGAUUUAUUUAAGUAUUUGUAAAUUAUUAAAUAAUUUAAUAAUAUAUAUUUACUCAAAAUUAUUAAAAUGUUAUUAUUUAAUUAAUUUUCGGAAUAAAUUUAAUUAUUUAUUAAAUUCCGAAAAUUUCAUCGGGAUCUUAUUUUCUCAGAAUCUCGUGCUAAUCGUUACUGUGUAUUCGGAUUUUGAAAUUGAUGGGUGGAUAUUAUAAAUUGAGUGUAGAUUGUGAAAAAUAUGGAUAUUAUUUAAUUAAUUUUCGGAAUAAAUUUAAUUAUUUAAUAAAUUCCGAAAUUUAUUUUGGGACCCUAAAUUCUUAGAAUUUCGUGCUGAUCGCUACUGUGUAUUCAAAUUAUGAAUUUAAUGAUUAGAUAUUACAAAUUGAGUGAUGAUUUGUGCAAUUGAUUAUUGAAUUGUUGGGUGCUGGUUGAAAGACUCGGUCGCAGUAGUGGCUGCACCAACUGGACCUUUAUUCCUUUAGAAAUGCCGUCAACAGAGUGACGUGGCUCGGGUCGCAGUAGAGGCUAGGCCAACUAGACCCAUGCUCUUUCGGGAAUGCCGUCGACGUAGUGACGAAGUUGCGCUCCAAGGGGGGGAGGCGAUGCAUGGCAUUAAUGUCAGUAGAUAGCCGAACUGCGAGUAGGUUAUGCCAUUGUGUGGCAGUGAAUAAUAAUUGGAAUGCGUGCUAAGUGCGAUUGUGAUUUAUAUGAAAGUGAUGGCAUUCCAAUUGUUUGAAUUAUUAUUACUACUUGAGAUUGUGUGAUACAAAUUGUGCUAAUUUGCAGGAAUGAAUUAAGACGAGAUAAGUCUUCUGUGUGAUGUAGCUAGGCCACCCAGGGUGUAUUUUCUUUCUAAUAGGGGUUUAGGGGGUUGAACUUGCCGAGACAAUGUCUCAUCCCGGUUGUGGGAUUAAAAUUUCAGGUCCCUGGUGGACGGAGCGGCCAGAUAACUUUGAUUGGCCUUGAGGAGUUGUAGAGGUGAAGUCAUAAGGAUUGAAGAACGUGUCCUGCUAGUUGGUUUUAGGAUAGUUCCCCUUUUGUCGAGCUGGUCUAUUUUGUAGACAGUCUAGUGUUGUAUUUAAACCUAUGUGUUUGUAAAUGAUUAUUUGGUAUUGUGAUUGAUUGCCUGCUUUUUUAUCCCAAGUUAAAUGUAGAUUUGUUUCACUUCCGCAUGCGUAAUGAAAUGAAUGGGUCGGCGACGUAUCCUGGGAACGUCGCAUUUGAAUGACCAUGGCGGGAUGUUGGCGUGCUCAAGAUUCGGGGUGUGACACCCUCACUAGUGGUUGGUGGGAACGAGCUUUGCUAGGGGUCAACAAGACUGCAUUGGCCCUUGCCUCUAGUUUGGCGAUUGGCUAGAGGAAGAAGAAAGGGAAGAAAGAGAAAGAAAAGAAAAGAAAUGAAAAAGAAAAGAAUAAAAAGAUAAAUAAAUAAUUCCAAAAAUAUUAAGAUAUUAUUUAAAAUUGUUCACUUCAGUGCUGGUAGUGCCAUGUAGGAUGGCCAGCCUUCAUGUGAGCGAUUGCAAGCCAAAAUUGACUAGAUAGAUUGAAUUGACACAAAUGCAAAAUGUCUAGGAUUUAAUUGGCCAAAAAAGAAAGAGUUUAAGAACGAAUUGACGUAAUUGCAAUAUGUUUAUAACUUUUUCGGUAAUUUUUCCUCCAUUUUCUACAGCCCCAAGUUGAGCAAAAUUGAAUCACAUUAGUAAUGCAUGUCUUGAAAGAUCUCAUCCCAAAAACAAAAUGAGUAGAUUGUGAAAAAUGAAAUCAUGGAUUAUUUUUUUUUUCUGAACCACAAGAGGCAAUUAGAAAAUGAGCCCAUGCCUCAAUGAUAUUGGUAGAUCUUGAGUGAGAUCCGCAUGAUUUAACAAUUGUAAUGCAUUGAGCUCCCACUAAGCCAAUGUCUCCAAUGAUUUCUCGAGCCCAUUCCGGUAAGAUAAAUUGAAUAAACGAAGGCCUCUAUUUUCCAAGAGCCGGUCGCUUUGCUGGGGAAAUGAACAGUAGUUCCCCAUAUGACUAUGCAAUUAAAAGAAAGAUGUACAUGCUAACGUAUAUCGUAAAAAUAAUUUGGACCAUAAUUAGUUUUUGAGCGAUGCAUCUUAAUUUUUCAUUAUUCUGGAAACCUCAAAGCAUUUAGUCUUUUAGUGGGAAUGAGAAGAAAAAAGUCCAUCUUAAGUGCGUUUAUUUCUUAAAAAAUGAAUGAUUUGAAAAUUAUGUUUUUAGAAGUGACUGCUUCUAUUAUUUGAAAUAAUAGAUGAAUGAAAAUUAUUUUUAUCAUACAUGAAAAUAUUUAGAUAUAAAUUAUUAUCGAUAAUGAAAAAAAUUUCUAUUGACUAAUUAUUUCAAGUGAUACAAGUGAUCAUUUUUAAAAAAAUAUUUUUCAAAUUAUUUAUUUUUCGCUAAACAAACGAAAACUUAGUUGAAAGAGAAAGCUAAUGGAGUCCAGGAGCGAUUCCUCUUCUAGAUUAGGAGGCCACCAUGGGCAUUGCACAAAUAGCCCCGAUCGAUCUUUCAAUGCUUCAACAUUUCUUUAAUCUAAAUAAAUGACUACCCAUUCAUAUAUAUUUCCAAAUGGACAGGAAACCCUACCUAUGUAACCAAAUUCCAUUAUUCAAUCUAACAAGUGGAGUUUAGUUUCAUUCACUCCAAAUUUUGCCUUCCAAGCAAGUGAAAAUCUAGGACUAUUUCAUUCACUCUAAAUUAAAGUCUAGAUAGAUAAAAUUCAUUUCAUUUUGUGUUUGCUAUUCAGUCUUUCUUAUAUGCAAUACGUACCGGUAAACCAUCCUCCUCCUUGAUUUAUGGGCUUCGCACAAAUAGCCCUGAUCGAUCUUCCAACGCCUCAACGUUUUUAAUCAAAAUAAAUCACUAACCAAUUCAUAUAUAUUUCCGGAUGAAGAGGAUAUAAUUUCUAUUAUUCAUUCUAAUAAUGGAAGUUUGGUUAAUUCACUCUAAAUAUUUUGCCUUCCAAGCAAGUGAAAACGUAGGACCUCACUAAUUUCAUCCUUUUGCUGGUAGGGUUCUUGAUCCUCAAAAAACUCUGAACAAACAUUCAUCUUUUCUCUAGAUAAUGUUUUCUUUGCCUUGAUUACAUCCUGGAUUUCAUUUUUUUUUUUUUCCUUUCAGAGGGGCAUUUAUCCAUUAUGCACGCCCGCCAAUUACUAAAAGCACCAUUAGGAAAGAAAAUUAUACUACGUGAAAAAAUUGCAUUUCAUAUUCUUUCCUAAAAUUUAUUUCAUUUAUCUACAGUAUAUAAUCUUUAUUUUUAAAUGCAUCUAAUUCUUUAUUUCUUUGACGAAACACAUAGUGGGUAAACCGUCAUCCUUAUAAACUACAAAUUCCACCAUAUUAUCAUGUUGUAUUUUUUUUUUCUAUUUGUAAUUUGAGGUAGUGUAUUAAACAUGUUAACAGAAUUGAUUCUACUUAGGAUACAAACAAAAACCAUUUGGCUAUGAUGGAAUAUUAUAGAACAAUAUAAUUAGUCAAAAUCAUGAUAUUUUAGUGUAGUUGGUUCAUAAUAUCCGAUCACUAAUGACAACCAACCUUAACGACUGUUUACUUGUUAGUUUUCGCUAAUCCCGGUGGAAUGAGCUGUAAGAAAGGCAUCCUUUUUACGACAAUCUAGCGUCAAUUUGACAAUAUAUGUAAUAGGAUUUUCUAAUUAGUUUUGUCUGUUUGGGAGGUUCGCAUCAAGGCAUCUUCAAGCGGGAUCUUUGAUAACACAUUGUCUGUACCGCAAUUGAAAGGUUUAGCUAUUACUUUAUUUCACAUUAACAAAGUGUCCUGCAAUCUAUUAACGAAAUUGUACAUAAUCCAUUUCAACAUCUUUUACUGCCUCCGUAUUCGUACAAUCCUCUCGGGAUAUAAAGAAAAGGAAGAACCCACUCAUUCCGAAAAUAAGAAAUGCGGGGCGUUCUCCUCAUCAACCUCUCCACAUGUAGGUGAUUAUGAAGGUGGAACCUAUUACUAAGAGAACCAUUAGCAAAAAAGUUACACUACUGUGUAAAAAUUGCAUUUCAUAUAUACUUCCCCUUCUGUUUUAUCUUUACUAUUUACAAGUUAUUGUUUAAUGCAUCUUCUUAUGAAUAUCUUUCUUGACGAAACACGUUAUCAGUACACUGUCAUCCUCAUGAAUUACAAUGUCCCUCAUAUUAUCACGUCUUUAUCUUUUUGUUUGUAAUUUCAGGUAGUGUGUUAAACAUGUUAACACAAUUGAUUCCACCUAGCAAAAAGAAAAAAAUGAAAAAAAAACCAUUUGUUUAUGAUGCAAUAUUAUAGAACAAUAUAAUUGGUCAAAGUCUUGAUAUUUUAGUAUAGUUCGUUUAUAGUAUCCAACCAUUAAUGACAAACAACUGAAACAAGUAUUCAUUGUUAGUUUUCUUUUCUAUUUUUUUUAAUUAGUGGAAAAAAGCAAUUCAAGUCAAGUGUGCUGGAUCUCAAAUUUCAAUCAAAGCUUCACCUACCCUUGCUCGAAGCUUCAGAUCUAUAUAUUUCAUCGUUCACAUAGGCCAACUAUAAUGCCUUGUGAGUGUGUAAAAAGGAAAAAGAAGGAUUGACCGCAUUCAUCUCAUUAUGUAAUCAGCCGAAUUUAAUAUAAGACCACAACUCAAUUAUAUGUUAAUUGUGCAAACAAUGUUGUCAUAAUUGUCCAACUUGUGCAAGGCAAGCACAAACAAAACCACUGAUAUUUACUAUCUAUCGAUUGUCAAUUGCCUUGAUAAUCCAUAUCCAUAUGCUGUAGAUUCUUUGGCCACUGUUGAUAUAUCAAAUGCCCGAAUAUGCUUGUCACUCCCUUCAAAUUGCAAUACAAAUUCUCACCCAAUUCCACUUUUUGCAAAAACGUCCGCAUCUAAUCGUCAAUCAACCUUAAACAUCUUUAACAAGUGGUGACUAAGCAUGAAUUUGGUGGUUGUCUUCUUAUUUUCUGAUCAAAUAAGUUUCUUUAUCGCAAGUUGACAACUUUAUGCCAAUACAAAUGACACCAUCGUUAGGUGCUAACAUGCAUAAACAAGGGACCUUUGUGAUAUAAUAAAUCUUAUCUGACAUUGAUUCUGCACAUCCGUCCUGCAAAAAUAGAGUAGGCGUUAUCAAAAUCUCAUGUUUAUUAUAUAUAUAUAUAUUUAGGUCAAAAAAUGACAUUUUAUUUAUAUCAUAAAUGGGUGAGGAUCCAGCAGCUCCCAGGAGUGGGCAUCAUUACAUAGCAGGGCCCAAACUCAAAGGGCUUGGGGUGGAGAAGAAAGCCAAUUGGACGGUAAUGUCUGUUUCCUCUGCUCGCGCGGCUCAGUCUGCAACGGCAUUUUCGGUUCUUUGACAGGAAUGAAGGCCCACCAGCGGUAAGUUCCGAAGGUCUUUGCACUCUGUCCAUACAGCACGUGUGUCCCAGUUAAAGUCUCCCGCGUACUUGAGAGAUCUUACCAGACUUUUGACAGUCGGGACUCCACCGAAACCACACCCAUCUGCUUCUUCUUGAUGUACUUCAGAGCUUCUAACAGAGCUACGGUUUCCAGCUGAGCAAUGGAAGCCGCCCGAACUGUUUUGGUGAAAUCGUCCACAGGGCGGCCUUCGAAGUCACGGAUGAUGCAGGAUAUCGCGCCUUCCAUCAACCCUGCACAAAUCAACCCAUCGACGUUGAUCUUCAUGGUCCCUGUCGCUGGAGCUACCCAAAUCUGAGGUAUCUCGGUUUCGUCUGACUUUCUUGCUUGAGGGUGUUGAAAGGCCCAUUUUCCAUAGCUUUUCUGCUGAAAUCGGGCAAGAUCUACUAUUUUGCAGGCAUCCGGCUGACUUCCCCGAUAUAUAUAGUUAUUUCGCCCCUUCCAAAUUUGCCAGAGGAAGUUUGAAAUACCUUCCAAGGAAGGUAAUUGAGUGUCUUUCCUUAUAAAGAGCGCCAACCACGCAUCAAUUCGGGUGACUUCCUUAUAUUAGUCAGUAGAGAAAAUGGUGACCAACGAGGGACACUAUUGCUCGUUGGUUUUUUUUUUCAUCAUUAAUAGAAUAAGCAAGUCAAGUCAAGAAGCAGCUGCAUAGAAUCCACGCACCUUCCAUAUAAUGCUGCGAAAUUGCUCUCCUGUUCUUUUAUUAGUAGAGAGUGCUGUGUGUUGGUAAUAAAACGUGGAAGGCCGAGAUCGGUGGAAAACAGCAGUGGCUGGAUACUUUUUUUUUUAGCACUCCUCAAAUAGUCGGUCACUCCUUGCUCCUCUUCUCUGUUUUCCUGCUUUGAUUGCUCCAUUUUCUCCAGAUUAGGGUGUGUGAGAGCUCUUGUAUUUUUGUUUGAAUUAAUGUUGCUCCCAAUCAAAUUCUGAGAUACAUUUCUGCAAUUUGCAGAUCCGGGUCUGAUGUGAAUCGUUGCGGAAGGAUCGUUCUACGAAGGCCCAGAUGGUGCGAAUUGCAAACCUCGACCUCCAAUCAAACCUGUGAUUGGCAACCUCGGUAUGAACGUGACCUGUUGACGAACACGUGUCAACCAACCAACGUUAUAGACGCCACGAGCGAAAGAAUUCGCUAUCUCGCUCGAUAAGUCGAAGAGAAUCUUGAUUAGGUCAAGUCCUCAAAAGAACGGUAAAAAGAGAACCUCUCAAUUCUUUUCCUCCAAAAAAAAUAAAAUAUCUUCGUCCUCAAAGAAAUUUGGCAAAUCCUUUAUAUAGGCUGCCACACAAACCCUAAAAACCAACCCUAAAAAUCUAAUGCGAUAUAUUCUAAAAUAUUCCUAUUUUAGAAUAUUCUUAAACAAGAAUAUAUAUAUAAAUUGACUUGGUCAAUUAUUUGGUGACAAGAUAAUUAAAUUGCACCAAGAUUUCCAAGAUUCUUCAAGAUUUGAUCCAAGGUCAUCUUCACGCCAAAGAUCACGAACCAUGACGCCAACAGCUUGCUUGAAUUGUUUGGCCCGCGCUCGAGUAAUCGAACCAGUAGGAAUAGACAAUGGGUCCCUAGCACCUCCUCCUCGAUAUGACUCGAUGUCCACAUCAGGGUCUGUGAAAUCUGCCUUUCCUCUAGAGCUCUGCUUGAUCAAUCUCCUACUUUGAAAGAAAAUAAAAGGUAUUUUUUUUUGUCAAUCACUGCAUGAUGUACAUCCAAACAAGAAGAAGGGAAAUGAAGAGUCCCUUCUCUUCCUUAUGGUCCAACUCCUUUCUUUUCUUUUCCCUUCAUUUCCCUCUCAACUUAAAUUGCCAAACAAAGUGGAAAAGAAAAGAACCCAAUCAUUUAGAAGAUCUGAAUUCCGGGGCCUCUUCCUCAUCGACCCGCCUUGCAUGGAGGACAUUACAAAGGCGGAGACAAACAGCAGAAAGGGAAUGACUUCGAAGUGCUCUUGAGCACUCCUCAGGUAAUCAAUGACUCCUUACUCUUCUCUUCCCCUCUGUUUCCAGCUUUGGUUGCUCCAUUUUCUUCUGAUGACUUGUGUGAGAGUUUUUUUUUUUUGAAGUAGCUCCGAAUUGAGUUCUGAUGAGUUUUUGAUCUGGGAUUAUAUAUAUGUAUGUUUUCUGUUUCCUGCUUUCUUUUGAGUCUCUGCUUCAUCAAUCUCUUUUACUCUUUGAAUUAGUAUAAUCCUCUCGAGGUGGAAAAAGAAAAACCCACUUAUUUAGAAGAUUCAAUUUACGAGGCGUCUUCCUUAUUCGCCUCUGCACAUAGUGGUGACUAUGGAGGCAGAACCAAAAAGUCAAAAGCAAAAGGUUACGAAGUAUAUAUGAACUUUAGAGGGCCAGACACCCGUAAGGGUUUCGUCGAUUAUCUCUAUACUAACCUUGUCGAUGCAGGAGUUCACGUGUUUAGAGACGAAGAGAUCUCUAUUGGUGCAAAGAUUGGUUUCGAUUUUCCUUUCGUUAUUGCACAGACUAAGAUCUCGAUUGUGAUUCUCUGAGAACUUGGCUUCCAGGGCAUGGUGCCUUAAGGAGCUAGUUCAUAUAUUAGAGUGCAGGAGAAGCAGAGGGCAACUAGUGUUGCUGUUGGGAAUAACGGAUCCCCAAAAACCGGAUUCAACACUAAAUCGAACCCCUAAAUCAAUGCGGAAGCGAAGCCCGGGAAAAACACGUAUCACCGAUCCUAAAGCACACCACGGAAUUGAGCGUACCUUGUUAGCCACAGAUUAAACACCAAUGCCGAAGAUCGAGGAAGAAAUUCUAACCCCGUUCAAUCCGAUGACGUCGAUUGGCCUUGAAGGGAAGACGGGUCGCCUUAAGCAUUUUGUCUUUUUCUUUUGGAGGGAGAGAAUAAACGUACGUGCAUUAAUUGAUCCAAGAGGUGUCUUCUCUCUCUCUCUCUCUCCUCCCUUUUAUACCUUCCCCCAUCCACGGGCCCUAUUCUCGUGGGCCAGGCUUUUUGGGCCCAACUUGGGCGGACGGGCCUUAAGCCCAUCUCAUAUAAAACCAUCAUCUCCCACUCGCACAUGGUGAGCCGAACAGAAUUCUCUUUACCUCUCUUCAACAUUCAUAUCGGUGAAUAAUCCGUGCGACCAGCAUACUUUGAGAGCUCGUUACUAUACAUCUGUUAGGAAUAUAUAGCAGCUCAUAACGGGCAUCACAUCCUGAGUAGAUUUAGUAUGCAGUACCCUAGAUCGAUUGAUCACAUUUAUAUCUCUCUUGAUCUCUUUCAAACAAUGAUAUAUAUAUAUAUAUAUAUAUAUAUAUAUAUAUAGUAUUCACAAUUAUAAUUAUCCCAAAGACAAUCAUAAUUGGUUAACCGGUGAAUACAAAACUAUGAUGUGAUUCUCCAAAAUCGAUCUUCCUCUUUCCUUCAAACUCUCAAUUUCAGUUCAGCUUGCUUUUCUAGAAAUGCCCCAUUAGAUUGAAUCAACUCAUGACCAUUGGCAACAUCCUAAGAUAGCAAACACUAAAUAGAAAUCUUGAGAAUAAGUAAGAGUCAUGAGGGGACCAAAAAUUGAGGAACUCUUUUCCUCAAGAGCCUCACACGACAUAAAAGUUGAGAUCAAACUUUUGUCUCUCUUAUUGGUCGUCUCAUGCAUACGUAGUAUGAAAUACGUAUUACGGUAAUAACUCCUUUCCCAUGGAGCGUAUGUCUACACCUUCAAUACCGUACAGAUGAUAGUUCAGACAUACCCAAUGUCUAACUUGAGUUCACGUAUCUACUCAACCAUAAAUUCAUCAGAACUCACAUCUGGCAUCAUAGACAGAUAAAGUAAAAUAUGUGGGUUAUUUUACUUUCGGACAUAGUUAGUAUUAUGUCCUCAUCUUAACACUUAGUUAAGGCGACAUACAUAUUUUAAGCUUGAGCUCUCGAUUAUCACCUAGAUAAUAAGCUUAAAAACAGUCUCAUCUCUAUUUAUCGCACAGUAAAUAGAGGCGAUUACCCGUGUGAGUGGGCUAAUUUUAUAUCUGUCCGACAUACUUUCUCAACUUAAAAUAAUAUACUUAGUAUUAAGAUGCAUAAAGAUCAAACAAAGAUUCAUAGGCAUUAAUGAUGAAAAACACAAAUUCAUCAAAUGUGAACACUUCGGGGAAAUUACAAUCCAGUACAUCAGACUCUACGCAAUCCUAGAGAUUUCAUAUGGCCACAAAACACAUCUCUAGGUAUUGGCUUUGUCAUAGGAUCUGCUACCAUUCUAUGCGUAGUAUGUACUCUAAGUUCACAUCUUUUCGUACAAUCAUAUUCUUGACAAAAUUAUACUUGGUAUCUAUAGGUUUGGUCUUGCCAUGAUAUUUUGGAUCUGUGGUGUACACUCUUGCUGCUUGGCUAUCAUAAUUAACCAAUAAUGAAUCUGCAGCACUUCCAAUAACACCUAAAUAAUCCAAUAAAUCUCUUAAGCCAAACACCUUCUUAUACUAUUGCUGAUAAUGCCACGAACUCAACUUCUAUCGUGGACAAGGCUAUACACUUUUGUUUCUUACUGCUCCAACAUAUGGUGCCAUUAUUCGGUAAGAAAACAAACCCAGAGAUAGAUUUUCUUUCAUCUAAAUCUCCUCCUCAAUCAUCAUUAGUAUAGCCUCAGAGUCGCAGAUCCUUUACUUAAUGACUUAGCGUAUAAUCAGCAGUCCCCUUUAGAUAUCUCAGUAUUCUCUUAACGGCUUUCCAAUGUGCUGGACCUGGAUUGGAUUGGUAUCUACUCACCAUUCCAACUGCAAAACAUAUGCCAGGUCUUGUACACAUCACAACGUUCAUCAAGUUCCCAAUAGUACUUGCAUAAGGAACAUGCUUCAUUUGUUCCUUCUCUUGUGGAGUCCCUAGACAUAGUCUAUGGCUCAACCCUUCACCUUUUGCAAUAGGAGUGUCUAUGGGUUUACAAUCUUGCAUACUAAAUCGUUCAAGAACUUUGUUUAUAUAAGUUUCUUGCGAAAGAGACAACGAUCUCUUCGAACGAUCUCUUGAAAUCUUAACUCCAAGAAUGUAUGCAGCCUCACCCAUAUCCUUCAUCUCAAAGUUGGAAGAUGACCAACUCUUGACAGUAUUAACAAACUCCAUAUUGCUUCCGGCAAUCAGUAUAUCAUCAACAUAUAAUGAUAUGAUCACAAAUUGAUCCUUGGAUCUUUUGAUAUAUACACAAUGAUCCUCAUUUAUUAUUGUAAAGUCAUAUGCCAUUAUGGCAUUAUGAAAACGUAUAUACCAUUGUCUCAAUGACUGCUUAAGGCCGUAUAUCGAUCCCAAAAGUCGAUAUACAUUUUUCUUGUUGGCCUUUCACUAUGAAACCAACAAGUUGUUCCAUAUAUUUCUUCCUCUAAUUCUCCAUUGAGGAAACCAGUCUUUACAUCCAUUUGAUGCAACUCAAGAUCCAUGCUAACCACUAUUGCCAGAAUAAUGCGAAUCGAGGUAAAGCUCACUGCAGAAGAAAAUGUAUCCUCAUAAUCAAUUCAUUCCUGUUGAUUAUACCUCUUCGCCACAAGGCAAGCCUUAUGCUUUUCUAUCGAGCCAUCAGCCUUUCGCUUUAUUUUGAGAACCCACUUGUUCCCAAUAGCUUUGUGUCCUUUUGGAAGAUCAACCAGUUCCCAGACUUAGUUUGAUUUCAUUGACUCCAUUUCCUCUUCUAUUUCAUGAAUCUAUUUUUCCUUACUAUGGCAAUUCAGAGCCUCAUUAAUAUUUCUUAGCUCAUCCUUAUCUUGUGGAGCAAUCAUAAAAGUUUCCCCUUCAAUGUCAAAACGUCGACGGGGAAUACUUUGGUGACUCGUUCAUCGUAUGGGAGAUUGUAUACUUAGCACAUCAUUCCCCAUUAUGCUCCCACUUGGAUUAGGUAAUGAUGAUGUCGUCUCAUCAAGUGGUUGCAAUUGAGAAUGAGUUGAAUUUAAUUCAUCACUUCUCAUAUUACUCCCACUUGGAUGAACUCCACUAACAUCAUUAUCCUGAUCCGAGGUCUCAAAUAGGGGUAAUCUUCCCCUAUUUCGCCCUUCUUAGGAAAUUCAUCCACUAAGAAUGUGACAUCCUGUGAUUCAAAUUUAGCUAUACUCCCACUUUCCUGCUCACCUACGAACACAUACCCUUUCGAGUGUUCGGAGUAUCUCAUUAAAAUACUCUUCUUUCCUUCGGGACCCAAUUUCCCAAACUUGUGAGAGGACUCAUGAGUAUAGGCAGCACAACCCAUGGCUUAAGAAAACUUAAGUCCGGUUUUCUACCUGUCCAUAACUCAUAUUGAGUGGAAGUAACUGAUUUGGAAGGCACCCGGUUAAGUAUAUAGGCAGUAGUUAACAACGCAUCACUCCAAAAAGUGAUAGGCAAGUUAGCAUACGCCGUCAUGGACCUAACCAUUUCUAGUAGGGUUCUGUUUUUUCUCUCUACAACACCAUUUUAUUGAGGAGUAUAUGGAAUAGAUAACUGUCUUCCUAUUCCCUUUUCAUCACAUAAUUUUCUGAACUCAUCAGAUAAAUAUUCUCAACCUCGAUCAGAUCUCAAUGCUUUUAUUUUCUUGUUUAAUUGAUUUUCAACCAAGUUCAUAAACCUUUUGAAACAACAUAAUGCUUCAGAUUUAUGAGAAAUCAAAUAGACAUAUUCGAAUCGAGUAUAAUCAUCUAUAAAAGUGAUGAAAUAAACAGCCCCAUGCCUUCUUCUCACAUUCAUUGAACCACAAACGUCAGAAUGGAUUAAAUGCAGAGGAACGUCAGCUCUUUUACCUUUUCCAAAUAAUUUCCUUGUCGUUUUCCCUACUAGGCAAUGCUCACAUAUGGGCAAAUCGACUUUUUCAAUUUUGCCCAACCAGCCCUUUUUGGCUAGUCUAUUCAUAUAUUAUUGGCCAAUAUGACCAAGUCUAGCAUGCCACACAUUCACAUCAUUAUCAUAUGAAGUAUGAGACGUGAAACAAGGGAACAACAUAUAUUGACAUCACCACAGUCAACAUUUAGUACAAUAAAACCAUCUAGAAAGUGACCACAAUCAUAGUAGUUUGUAUCCAAAUACAAAUCUACACCGUUAUUACGGAAGUUCACACUAAAACCAAGUUUAACCAACAUCAAAACAGACACUUAAAUUUCGACGAAUCUCCAGAGCAUUUAGAACGUCAUGUAGGAACAAGGUGCGUCCACCACACAUGUUCAGUUGGCAGGUGCCAAUCCUUUUAACUUCAGCUCUGGAGUUGUUUCCCACAUAAAUCAACUUAGUUCCAGUUGGUAUUCGUCGGAAUUCCACGAAGGAUCAUCUAUCCUUUGCUACAUGGUCUGUCACUCCUGAAUCUAUAGUCCACAAAGGAUUGGAUUCAGUCUAUAAAGCAGAACUUGACACAAAAGCAAAGUUCUCAAAUGUGCAAGAGGUGUAUACCUUCUUUGGUUCACGACAGUCGCGAGCAUAGUGACCUCUAUUGUCACAAUUGUAACACCUCACCCUUAACAUUUUCUUCACUUGAGGACGUUUUCCUCUCUUGUGUUGGUCAACUCUUGAUCUCUUGCAAUAAGGACUUGAUCCUUUGCAUUCCCAUAUAUUGAAUGAAUCAAUACGCUUGCGCUUAGAGCUCAAAGCCCUUUCUGAGCUAGAACCAGCAUUGCAAAUUUCUAUUUUCAGUUCACAUGCCGUUAGGCAGUCCUCUACUAGCUCAAGGUGGCGCACAGCAUCCUCUAGAUUUUCCAUAAUAUGGUCAAGAGCUUCUAGUGCUUCUAGCUUUUCCAGCACAUAUUGAAUCUUCAUAUUCAAUAUUCCACAAUUGUUGCCGUUCAUAUCAGCAAUUACGUUCUUAGUUGCUGAAACCAUCGAUCUGAACACAUCGGACUUAUAUGCACGAAUAAUUAAUGCCAAUCAUUUAUGCAUCCCUUUUGCACAGACCCAUCAUAUUAAUAAACAAUUUCAAGUAAGGUUUUAGAAUCAAAAGGUCACUACGUUUCCAAUCAUCCUCCAAAAAUCCUAACUUAAAACUAUCAUUAAUAUGAUUUUCAUAUGCAAAAUCAAUUCUAUGAAACUACAAAAACUUCUAAACUACCCACAGCUAAUUACCCACAGCAACCAGCAAUAACAGAAAGCAACAAAUAAUUGAUAUCCAAUAAAACAAUAAUGCUUUCAACAUAAUACAACAAUCCAUUACACUAAGUAAUAUAUCCGAAAAGAAAUAUCAACAUAGAAAGAGAUAUGCAACACUAAAAAACAUCUCAAACUAAUCUAAGAAAUAAAUAGGGAAAGUCCCUUCUAAUCUAUCAGUCAAAGUAUCUGAGAAAACUAAAGGCACAUUUGCCAACCAUGGGAAAACUUUUGGAGAGCUCUCGUGUCGCCACCAAGCGCAUUCACUCUGCGCAUGUGGCGCUUAAUCUAAGGGUUGAAGUUUUGGCCAACUCAAUCCUAUAGUACUCUCUUACAAAAGCUUCCACUAGCCCCCUGUAAUCCGGGACCACGUUGACCUCCCAUAACCGAUCUAACACUGCUUGCCAUUCAGGUGGAAGAGUGUUCAUCAAAGCUCGCACCUUCUCAAAAUCCGGCAUAAGAUAACCAUUCCAAAUGAUUUCCUGUAUCAUCUGAUUGACCUUGACCAUGUAUGAUACUAAAUCACCAUCAAGCCACUGAUAAUCAGCUAACUCUUUCAUCAGCCUUUUUAGUCUAGCUCUUCCUUCGUCCGUUCUCGGGAUUGCAGGUAUCCGUGCAUAACGCAUCAUAGUUCCUGCGACAAAUGCAGAACUAAAAUGGAUAACUUAUAAUCCAUAAUAAACAAAAUGGAAAAUACAUAAUUUUCCAUGAUUCAUGCAACAAAUGCAGAAAAAAAAUGGAUUACCUAUAACCCACACAGACAUAAUUGAAAAAAGAAACAAAUUCUUUUUUUUUUUCCGGGUCAACGGUCAACGGUCGGUCAACAGUCAACAGUCAACGCUCGGUCAACGGGUCAACGGUCAAAGGGCGGCGGGUCGGACCGGUCGGCCGGUCGGAUGAACCGGCCGCACGUGCCGCGUGCAUGCGCGGGCUGACGUCAUGCAGACGUCAUCGGGCACGCGCCGGGCGGGUGCCGGGUGUUGCGGUUUGGGUCGGGUCGGGUCGCCGGUCGGGUGGCCGGCCGGUGACCGCCCGGCCAACCGUCAUCGUUGCUGACGUCAUCGAUGACGUUACCCCAGCGGUUAUCGACCGUUGGGUGACGUCAUGCUGACGUCAGCACGUGUCGGUCUGUCGACCGGCACGUGUGCCGCACGCGCUGGGCAAGCCAGCGAUUCCGGGCGUGUCGGGACCACGUAUAGCGCCUUCCGGCCGUGCGUGUGGGCGCGUGCGGCGUCACCCGGCGGCGCAUAACCUGUCCCUGGACUCGUCUCGACGAGCCAUUUGUCCCUAUAUUGUUAGAAUUCGAUUUCGACUUAUGAAAACUCGGAAAAAAGGACGAACAGCGCUCGGGUGUCGGGAUUUCUCGCCCUGAUCCGUGUCGGCCAAUUUCUUUGCGAAAAUUCAAUCAAAAAACGUCAAAGGGAUCGGGAAAACAUGAACUAGAGCUCUGAUACUAAUGUUGGGAAUAACGGAUCCCAAAAAAUCGGAUUCGACACUAAAUCGAAUCCCUAAAUCAAUGCGGAAGCGAAGCCCGGGAAAAACACGUAUCACCGAUCCUAAAGCACACCACGGAAUUGAGCGUACCUUGUUAGCCACAGAUUAAACACCAAUGCCGAAGAUUGAGGAAGAAAUUCUGACCCCGUUCAAUCUGAUGACGUCGAUUGGCCUUGAAGGGAACACGGGUCGCCUUAAGCGUUUUGUCUUUUUCUUUUGGAGGGAGAGAAUAAACGUACGUGCGUUAAUUGAUCCAAGAGGUGUCUCCUCUCUCUCUCUCCUCCAUUUUAUACCUUCCCCCAUCCACGGGCCCUAUUCCCGUGGGCCGGGCUUUUUGGGCCCAACUUGGGCGGACGGGCCUUAAGCCCAUCUCAUAUAAAACCAUCAGUUGCCUAUAUAUUACAAGGUGAAACCCUCACAAUUGAAAUAUCUUACCGGGAGAUUUAGAGGUGCUAUUGAUGCACAUAAAAGGAAAAUGGGCGAAAUGGUUGUGAAUUACUGGAUAGAAGCGCUCCGAGAAGUCACUUCGGUGAAAGGAUGGAAAUCGGAAGAAAUUGGGUAGAUUAUUCUCCUCCAAAACAUUAUUCAAUUUCUCAUCAAUAAAUAUUUUAUAAAAUAUAUAUCGCGUUAAAUAUUGCCGUCCUAUAUUGACAUUUAUUGCUAUUUAACAGACAUGAAGGAGAAUUGGUUAGAAGUGUUGUCAACGAAGUUAUGAUCGCGUUAAAUGGAACCAAAAGGAUUAUGAGCUCGAUAGACAAUAGUGAAGUCCCAACCAAAAAGGCGAAAGCAAAGGCAUGUGAAGUGUUCUUAAGCUUUAGGGGGAAAGACACCAGUGAAGGUUUUACCAGUUAUCUCUAUACUAUCCUCGUGGAUGCAGGAAUUCACGUGUUCAAGGAAGACAAUGACCUCUGUGAUGGUGAGCAGAUUGGUUUGGAGCUUCUUGGCAGCAUUAUGCAAUCGAAGAUUGUGAUCCCAACUAUCUCAGAGAAUUAUGUUUCCAGCCAAUGGUGCCUUCGUGAGCUGACUUUGAUGUUGAAUUGCAUGAGAAGUGGAGGCCAAAAGGUGUUUCCCAUAUUUUACAAAGUGGAAGUCUGGCAGCUGCGAAAUCUUAGAGGGAGAUACGGAGAUGCUUUUAAUAAGUGGAAAAAGAAUUUGGAUGAAAAAGUUGUGGAGGAAUGGGAAGAAGCGCUUCGAGCAGUCUGUUCCUUGAGAGGAUGGAAGUCAUAGAGCUAUGAGAAUGGUUACAUUAUUCUCCACCAAAACAUUUUUAAUUUCCCACAAAUGGAUCUUUCUUGAAAAAAAUAUAAAUUUAGCCAUUCUAUACUGAAAUUGAUUGUUAUAUGACAGGUAUGAAGGAGCAUUGGUAAAAACUAUUGUCGAAGAAAUUAGGAGCGAGUUAUAUGGAACUUCUCAGCUAAUAAAAGAGUUGAUGGGAAAUUACGAGCUGGAUAGAUGUUAAAUUUAAUGAUACAAGGAUUGUCGGAAUUUGGGGAAAUAUUGGCAUCGGUAAAACAAUUCUUGCAAGGGUCGUGUACAACAAGCUUUCUAGUCAGUUCAAACAUCUUAGCUUUGUGGCAAAUAUUCGAGAAACAUCUUUGCACAAGGGUAUUGAAUGUUUGCAAAGACAGUUCAUUGACGAUAUACUAAGGAGUCCAAACGACGUGUCUAUCGACAAAAUCAGUGUCAUCAAGUCUCAAUUUAUAGAUAAGAAAGUUCUUGUACUUCUUGAUGAUAUAGAUGCCAUUACCGAUUUUAAUGCUUUGAUUGGAGACAUUAGUUGGGUUAAAGUAGGAAGUAUAGUCAUUGUCACAACAAGAAACAAGAAAUUUCUCGAUGAGGCUAAGGUGGACCACAAGUAGUCAAUAAAUUGACUCUGAAUGAAUCAUUGAUUUUAUUUAGUAGACAUGCAUUUCAAAAGGAUUAUCCUAUUAAAGGUUAUGAGAUUCUUUCUCAUAGUAUUGUAUCCAUAACAGCUGGACUUCCCUUGGCUCUUAAAGUUAUAGGUUCAUGUUUAUAUGAACAAAGCAGAAGAGUAUGGAAUAAUAUAUCAAAGAAAUUAAUGGAAGUGCCUCAUCAGCAAGUACAAGAGAUGUUGAGGAUAUGUUAUGAAUAAUUAGAUGAUAUGGAGCAACAAAUUUUUUAGGAUAUAGCAUGUUUUCUUAUUGGAUCAUCUAAGCAAAGUCCUACUUAUAUGUGGGAUGCCUGUGGUUUUUUCCUGAGAAAUGGGAUUGAAGUGUUGAGUCGUAUGUCUUUAAUUGAGAUUGAUGAAGAUGACAAGCUAAGGAUGCAUGAUCAACCGAGAGAUCUAGGACAGAAAAUUGUUCAUCUAGAAAAUCCAAAGGAACCACAAGAGCGUAACAGAUUAUGGAAAUAUGAAGAAGCAGCGUAUGUGCUUGACAGCAACAAGGUAAGUGUUUUCCUCUACUCGUCUUACUCAAUGAAUGUGAUUCCAUUUUCCUUUCUUGUUUGAGAUUAUAGUUAGUUUCGAAUCCCCAAAACUAGCUGCUUCUACCAACAAAAGAGCUCGUACGAUUAAUUGUUGUUCUUGCCUGAUUAUAGGACAUAACUGAGGAUUGUGAUUAGAACACAUUCCCUUUUGGUAACUUCAAUGCAAGAACAAAACUAAAAAAGCGUUAUGUUUGAUAGAGCACUUUCAGAUAAAACCUGAGGACUAUAAUUUAUGGGGGCCAUGCUUUUCCCACAUACUAGUUACACGCAAAUUUUUGGAUUCUUCUUUUGAUUUUUUGUGAGGUCUUUUCUUUCUUUCUUUUCUUCUACUAAGUAUUGACUUCUUUUGAGUUGUUUGCUAUGAUAAAGGAGACCAUCAUGCUUUCCACAGAUUUCGAUAAGUAUCCAUGAGAUCGAAUAUGGAAUUCUGUUUACUUACUUGAAAUUCAUUUGUAAUUAUUAGCUAUCCUGGUUCAUGUAUUUUUCGAGUUGGAUUAAGUACAGAUUAGGUCCCCCAUCUAUUCUUUCUUCGCUCAAAGUAGUCCUUCAUUUUUCGCAGUUUGUGCAAAUAAUUCCUUUAUCGUCAAUUGCUAAUUAACAUCAUCAAAUUUACUCUUGGGGCUUUCGUAUUCAUUUAUGAUAUAUGCACCGCUGUUAGUAUAACCCUUUAAACAUAUAAACAUAUACUAUUUUCGUUCAAUAGAGAUUUCAUAAUAGUGGAUAAUUUUAUUUCUCUGAAUUUGCUAACAAUUUUUUUGUUUCUUUUGUGAAGAUGGAUAAUUUUUCUAUUCCCUGAUAACAUUUAUUUGUUAAAUAUAGGCUAUCAAGCUAUAAUAAUUAUUUCUGCAUCUCUCAAUUCUUAGUGAGUACCUUAUUUUAGCAAAUAUUUAGUUAAUUUAUAUCAUCAUUUGUUAAAUAUAUGCUAUCAUAUUACAUAAUUCUUUAUCGAUCUGUUAUCAUCACUUUUGUAAAACGAAAAAAAUAUUUUCUCAUAAUGAGUAUCAACACAACUUUUCAAUGAUAACAGCUAUUACUUAUCAUACAUUUCGUUAUAUUCAAUAUUCAAAUAUAUGUAGUGAUGCAACAGAACUCUUUAAAAAUGUACUUUUUUUCUUCUAUGACGGCUAAUUUCAUUAUAUUAAUUCAUUUCUAAAGCAUGUUAUAUAUAUAUAUAUAUAUAUAUAUAUAUAUAUAUAUAUAAUGAUGGAUAUCUUUUUCUAUUUAUUGAUCUUUAAAUAUUCUGCAUUGUCAAAUUUAGUCCAAUAUGAUAUUGAUCUUUUUGAUAUUAUUAUUUGGUAAAAAAAUUAUUUAACGGUUCUUAUUGGUCACAUAUGAGCCCAUUGCACAUAAUAAAUGAAAUAUCCAGAAAUUGUAUAUAUAUAUAUAACUAAAUUUAAUAUGCAUACAACUAAAUGGCAUAUGUUUUGUGGUAAGACCUCCGGAUUAAAAUAAGGCAUUAGAAGAAAAAAGUUGAAUUUUACAAUAAACUGGAUUGAUAGAGCCAUAAAUAUUUUACUUAGAUAUUUUAACAAUCAAAAGCUUUUAGCUUUUGCUGCACACUCCAAUCUCAAGAUUUCGAUCAUCCAUAUUCUUAAAACUGUGGAAACAAUAAUGAGAUUAAAAUUGAGAAGAAUAAUGGGGAGAGAAAAAGUAAAAUCCACUAUAAAAAUUCAAUUAUUACAAAAGGUGGUUAAAAAAAUCUAAGACUCUUUCCAUUUUAAAUUUUUAAGGUAAUAACUUGAGAAAAAUAAUAUUUAUAUUGCUCUUAGGUCCUAACAUUGGCCCAAACCCAUAAAUAAUUCAAGACAACUCAACAAACCUCCAUCUUGGCUUGAAUUUUACAUAAGUAACAAAAUCUUCUCCUCCCACUAGAGUAAAAAUUUGUUGUGGCAAAUAUUAACCAAAUCCAAGCAUCACAAAUAUUAACCGAAUCCAAGUGAUGCUUGAAUUUGGCAGCGGGCAAGGACUUUGUCAACAUAUCAACUAGAUUGUUUUCUGUACCAAUCUUAGCCAUCGAUAAGUCUUGAAUAUAAUAAUACCAAACAUCAAUGUGCUUCGUUCGCUCAUGAUAUAUUUGAUCUUUAGUAAGAUGUAUAACAUUUUAACUAUCACAAUGGACAAUAGUCACACCAUAAUCCACAUUGAGAUCCUCAAAUAAAUCUCUUGACUAUAUGGCCUCUUUAAUUGCUUUUGCAAUAACUAUAUACCUUGAUUUUAUAGUAGAUAAAGCAAUUGUAUAUUGUAAAGUAGCUUUCCAACUUAUUGUACAACCUUCAAUAGUAAAGAUACACUCAAUCAAAGACUUCCUUAUAUCAAGGUCACUAGCAUAAUCAAAAUUAAUAUGUUUAGUAUGAUUGUCACUAGUUUUCCCAAACUCUAAACUAAAAUCAGAAAGUACCUUUCAAAUAUUUCAAAAUCAACUUCACAGCUUGCCAAUAAACUUUGCCUGGGCGUGAUAAAUAUCUAUUUACUAUGUUAACAAUAUGUGAUAUGUUGGGUCGAGUACAAACCAUGGCAUACAUAAGGCUACCAAUUUAUAUCCUCAUCGGUUUGUGGAUAUAAACUUGCUGAUAAUUUAAUAGCAAGAGAAGUAGUUACCGGUUUGGCAUCUUUCAUGUCAAAACAACAUAACACCUUUUCAAUUUAGUUUUUUAGGGAGAGAUACAAAAAAAAUUUCCAUUUUUUCCAUCUCGCCAAAUUUCCAUGUUUAAGAUAUUCUUCGUUGCAUCUAAAUCUUUCAUGUCAAAUUCAAUGCUUAACCGUGCCUUCAAAUUCUAUAUAUCAGAUUUAUCUUUUGCUGCAAUCAACAUAUCAUCAACAUAUAAUAAUAGAUAUAUAAAUGAGCCACUUGGAAGUUUGCGCAGAUAUAACAACUAUUGUAUUUGCUAUUAUAAUAGCCAAAUUGCGCCAUAACUAAAUCGAACCUUUUAUACCACUAUCUAGGCGAUGAGUGCCUAUGGAGAUUGUUCGAGAUAGAAUUGCAGAAGGUCGGAUUUCGUAUUUGAGGAUGAGUGCCUCUAAUGUCUUGCUCCAUAAGAUUGUGAUUAACUGUCUGAGAUCCAAAUCCACAUCAAAGACUAAUGUCUCCAAUUCUGAAGCGAAGCUGAUGUACGCCAUUAACCUUGGUUACAAGUUCUCUCUGCCUCAUACCAUAAUGUUUCACAUGUAUCGGUCAAUGGUAAAAGAGAAGGGACAACUUCCUUACUCUGCUCUUGUUACUCGUCUAUUCAAACAUCUUAACAUUCAGCCUUCCAGAAUUUUAUGUAUUCGAACCAGUGUUCUAAUGGUGAUAGGACUGAAGAUAGUUUCAAAGAUGCGUCUGAAGGAGCUAAAUAAGGCUUUAGAGAGAUUUAAGGAGAAGACACCUGUCAAGACUCGACAAGACCCUGUGGAUGCAAAAAGAAAAUGGAAGGAGCCCAUGAUAGCUCCAUCUAAGAAGAGGAGAGUACUCAUCUUGCAGGAUGAAGAAGAUGAGGAUGACAUAACUAUCUCAGCCCUUGCCUUAAAGAAUUUACAGCGUCUUGUUCCUGAGACAGAGACUCAAGAAAACCAAGACAGAGAAGAGACAGAGCAGAGGAGUGAAGAGAGGGAAAUGAUGAGGAAAGAAGAAGGAAGAACAGAAGAAGGAAGAAUAGAAGAAGAAGAGCGAAGAGGAGAACAAACAGAAGGAGAAAGUCAUGGUGAUUCUCCAGCAGAGGAAGAAGAACAAGAUCAUCGUGACAUUGGAGAAAAACCAGAGCAAGAAGAGUACUUUUCUCCACCUGAAAGCAUUGAAAUAGGAGAAGCUAUUGAUAAAAGAGGUACUCCUUCACUUGCUUUUACCAGUGAUGAUGUUAGUCAUUCUCCUGUCAAUCCAGAGGAAGUGUAUGCCUCUCACUUUCAUGAAGAAGGUAAUGAGGCUUCAUCUCCAAGUCUGGAUGUUCAUGUUGAAGUUCCAUCAUCUGGCAACACUCCACAAACUGAUCAUGCUGAAGCAAGCACUCAAACUGACAACUGAACAAACUUUAAAAGAUCGCUUGAACUUCUUCUGGAAAUCAAAGGUCGGAUUUAUGCCUUGGGAUGUGAAUUUCAGAGCAUGCAGAAUGCUCAUCAAGCCACUUCAGUUUCUUUGCACGAUCAAGUUCAAGCCCUUAAUCUUCAAGUUCAAGCUAUCGCAAGGUGAGAUUUAGCGCAACUGAAAGAGGAUCUGAAAACACNNNNNNNNNNNNNNNNNNNNNNNNNNNNNNNNNNNNNNNNNNNNNNNNNNNNNNNNNNNNNNNNNNNNNNNNNNNNNNNNNNNNNNNNNNNNNNNNNNNNNNNNNNNNNNNNNNNNNNNNNNNNNNNNNNNNNNNNNNNNNNNNNNNNNNNNNNNNNNNNNNNNNNNNNNNNNNNNNNNNNNNNNNNNNNNNNNNNNNNNNNNNNNNNNNNNNNNNNNNNNNNNNNNNNNNNNNNNNNNNNNNNNNNNNNNNNNNNNNNNNNNNNNNNNNNNNNNNNNNNNNNNNNNNNNNNNNNNNNNNNNNNNNNNNNNNNNNNNNNNNNNNNNNNNNNNNNNNNNNNUUUGCUUAAGUGAUGUCUGCAGGUCUAAAGUUUCCAAAUCUGCAGGAAAGUUUGUCAUCAUCAAAAAGGGGAGAUUGUGAAGAAAACUUCCUAUUUAUUUUGAAGUUGACAAAACGUUUCCAUCAGUCUAGUUUGAAAACUUGAAGACUCUAUCGUCAAAGUCUGAAGACCUCCAGACUCAAGAUUUAAAGUCUGCCCUCAUUGACAGUUUCCAGACCGACGAAGAAAAGUAUUGUCUGUUGAAGAAGACUUAUCCAGAUGCGGGCAUAUAAUUAAGGAUUUAAUUCAUACAGUUGAAGAAGAUCUCACGGCUAGAGAUUACACCUUGAGAUCUAUUAUUUGCUCUGAAAUUAAUUCAAGCAUUUUAGACCCGUUGAUUGGCGAAGUAUACUUGGAAGGUUCUACUUAUGGAAACCUAGAUCCUGAUUGAAUGGACGAGCGGGAUUGGUGGGCUAUCAUCAUAUUCCUUAAAUAAUUUGAAAUCUCCCUAAUUGAUUCUGUCCAACGGGUUGAUUGGAAGAACUCCUUUGGAAGGUACCAAUGGUUAUGAAGGCAUGAAGGAGUAUAUAAGGAAAACUCUCCAAUUAUUCGAGUGUGUGAAAAGAUAGAGAAAUUUCAAAGUCUAAAGCUCCAUGUUCUUUGAUGUUUCAAUUGUUGAGCUUAAAUUUGUACUCAAAAGAGAGAUUAAAUACUUGUGAGACCUUGGGGAAGUGUAGCAAAGUCUCUACAUUGUGAAAUCAAGGACGUGAGACUGCAAAAUCUCUUUUAAUUCUUAGUGGAAUUCAGCUAGUGGACUAUCAGCGUGAGAGAGUUGACGUAGGCUUGAUCUAAGCCGAACCAUUAUAAACCUUGUGUUUUGAUUCUCUAUCCCUAAACUCUUUACUUUAAAUCGCAUCUCUAUAUAACUGUUUAUAGUUGUUCACAACUUCAGUUUGUUAUUCUUAGAAGUCAAUUUGUUUUGAUAAGAUUUACAAAAACUUCUUUGAUCACCUAUUCAGCCCCCUCUAGGUGCUCGUACUAGCCCUUUCAGAGGGAUCCUCUAAUUCAGGAGUUCAACUUUAAAAUCUUUGUCGGGAUCAAAGGAAGCUGUUGAAUAAAGGAGGAGCAUCUAAAACCAAUUAGCCAAACAAAGCUAACAAUAAAUCAAGACUCUGUUUGAAAUGUCAUGGAUUUGGUCGCAUCGCCUCGAGUGUCCUAAUAGAAAGAUCAUUUCUCUUGUGCGAGAUGAGCAACAGGGAGAGUCACAACACAACCCUUUGCUCCAAGAAGAUUCAACACAACCCUUCGCAGCACAACCCUUCGCUCCGAGAAGAUUCAAGGAGCCGCGAAGAAAUUGUUGACAGAGAUCAAGGAGAAGCUCUUGUCAUUCAAAGGAGCUUGCAUGCUGCUCAUCUCGAGGAUGAUGAUUGGCUUUGCAACAACAUACUCCAUACAAGACUGUACUUCUUAUUUUAAAGUACGUGAUGUCACAAUUGAUAGUGGAUGUUGUGAGAACGUUGCGUCGACCACCAUGGGAGACAAGUUGCAUCUCAAGGCGGAGGAUCAUCCACAUCUUUACAAGCAUUCUUGGCUCAAGAAAGGGAAUAAGAUAAAAGUAAAUAACCGGUGCUUGAUUUCAUUCUCUAUUGGCAAAAGCUAUAAAGAUGAGAUUAUGUGUGAUGUAUAACACCUAUCCCUUUGUCAAAGACCGCGUCAAGAUUACAUUGGGCCCUUGCAAGACGGAGAGAGUUCCCAAGCCUCCUCAUGGGAAAGGAACAAAUCUUCUUUCCAAGUCUAAGUUUUCCUAAGCAUCGGAGGAUGCUUGUGAGGCUUACGCUUUUUUUAUAGUGGAAGAAAAUGAAGCAAAAGAGGAGAUCCCAACCAUUUUGCAGCCGUGGCUUGAGGAUUCCUGUGAAGUCAUGCCGAUGAAAUUCCAUCCAACCUUCCUCCUUUGAGAGAGAUUCAACAUCAUAUCGAUUUUGUGCUUGGUGCUUCUGUUCGAUCGAUUGAGCUCCGAGAAGCAUAAAGAACUUCAAAGGCAAGUUGAUAAACUCUUGGCCAAGGGAGCAAUACAAGAAAGCUCGAGUCCUUUUGCUGUCCCGGCACUUCCAGUUCCAAAGAAAAAUGGUUCUUGGCAAAUGUGCAUUGAUAAUAGAUCGGUGAACAACAUAACCAUCAAGUUUUUUCCUUUUCCUUGCCUUGGUAUUUGCUUGAUCAACUUCAAGGAGCUUGUGUGUUUUUCCAAGAUCAAUCUUCGGAGCAGCUAUUGUCAAAUCCUGAUGAAAGUAGGAGAUUAAAGGAUGACAGCUUUCAAAACUAAGAAUGGUCUUCUUAAAUGCAUGGUGAUGCCCUUCUGACAUUUCUAAUACUUUUAGUACUUUUAUGCAUCUUAUGAAUCAUGGUUUUAAACCUUUCAUUGGCUAGUUUGUCGUGUAUACUUUGAUGACAUCGUGAUUUAUAGCAUAGCAAGGCCCAAGUGGAGCUUUUGGAGUAUCAAAUUCUUCAAGUGCUACGGGAACAUCGUUUGUAUGCCAACCUGAAGAAGUGUCACUUUUGCACAAAGAGCCCGGUGCUAUGUUGUCUCCAACGAUGGUGUUAGAGUAGAUCUUAGAAAGAUGGAGGCAAUAAGAAGUUGGCCAAUUCCUAGCUCGCUGAAUGAGAGAAAAGCUGAAGAAUGUUUUUGACCUUUUUUAUUUUUCAAAUAUCGUCCGAAUGUUAUGUUACACAAAUAAGGCCAGUUACUCCAUUUGGACGUAGCAUCUGAACUUUAAGCACAUAGACCAAGCAACUAAAUAGACAAAAAAAAAAAAAAGACGAGGAAAAAAUACACACCAAAAAAAGAAAAAAAAAAGAAUAAUAGUACAAGGACCAACAUUGCCAUGACGUCUCAUCUUCCACUUUCAAUUUCGAAGGGCACUUGGUUUCGUAUGCUAUCAUCAUUUCCUGAUGCAUUGCUUCUGAGGAUGCCAUCACAUUUGCUUGAUCUCUCACCAAGGAAAUGCUCAGCUUCUUCAAGGUCACUGCUCCGAUUCAACCAUGGAUGCCUGUCCAUCACCCUCAUCAGUCCCUCCAAUUCCAUUGCCACUUCCUUCAUGGUUGGCCGAUCUUCGCCUUUCACUGUCAGGCAUUGGUUUGCCAGCAUCGCAACUUUCAUAAUCUCUUCCGGGUUCCCCUCGUUCAGCACCAUCGGGUUGAUGAUUUCGAACAGCCUCCCGCCCUUUAUUGCAGAAGCAAAAUAUAAGGACAAGUUCCUCUCAUUCUCAGCCCGCUCAAAGGACAAGGCCCUCAGUCCGGUCAGCAACUCAGCCAACACAACCCCGAAGCUAUAGACAUCGCUCUUCUCAGUCAACUGGCUCGAGCGGAGGUACUCGGGAUCCAAGUACCCAAGCGUGCCUUGAACCAGUGUGGUCAGUUGUGUGCCGUCGAGGGGGACUAGCCUGGAGGCUCCAAAAUCAGCGACCUUUGCGGUGUAGUUUUCAUCCAACAAUAUGUUUGUGCUCUUUAUGUCUCUGUGCAAAAUCUGAGCGGAUGCAUCGGAGUGCAAGUACGAAAGCGCACCUGCGGUCUCCCCUGCAAUGCGCAGACGAGCCCUCCAGGAUAAUGUGGACUCGUGGCCGCACUUGUGUAUGUGGUCAGAAAGGGUGCCAUUGGUCACAAACUCGUAGACUAAUAACGGGACCUCCGUCUCGAAGCAACAACCGAUUAGCUUAACCACAUUGCGGUGAUUAAUUUGGGAGAGGAUGAUCAGCUCGUUGAUGAAUUCUUCAACCUGACUUCGGUCCAAAAUCUUGGCCUUCUUGAUGGCGACAACCGUGUUGUCCGCUAAGAUCCCUCGGUAUACAGUUCCGUGGCCUCCCUGGCCUAGGAUUCGGCUUUCAUGGUAGUGGUCCGUGGCCUUCUUGAGCUCUUCAUCGGUGAAUAUUCUCGCCGAUUCAAUGGAGCCUUCGUGCUCAGAAAGAAUUUUCUGCAACAUAAGGCGGCCCCCAUUUUCUAGGAAGAACUUCUCUCUCCGUCUGCUGAUUUUUCUUUCUCGAAGCCCCCAAUAUAACCAGGAAACACCCAAAAGAACCAGCAGGAAGCUUAUGCUCACGCCUAGUGAAAGACAUUAUAUUCGGUGAACAAACAAAUUAGUUGUCCAUCACACUACAUAUGUUUUCAAAACCAAGAAAAGAAAAAAAAAACAGAAACGAACUUUGCUUGACUCUUUCUUUUUCAUUACUCAAACAAUCUUGUGUUAAUUUACUUCUCUGUCCUAUUUUCUUUUUCUUCUCCAUCAACUUGAAGCUUUUUCAUUAAGAAUAACCUUGAUAAUAGCAAUAUAAACCUAAACAUAUAAUUAUGCUGAGAGUAACUUAUGAUGACAGGAACGAUUCAAUGCAUCAAGUGGAUAAAACGUACUUGAUUCUUUUUCAACAACAGAAGAGCAAGUUGUUGAUUUUGUUAAUUUCGAAUUGAAUAACUUGAGAUUACGACACAUGUAUAUAAUAUCAAUUUAAUUCACGGACACAAUUAAUUCAAAGAGAAAUAUUUACGUCCGAAAAACCUCAAUAACUAAUAGCAAAAGAUGGAACAAUGGCAUAAUAACAACAUUUAAAGAAUGUGAAUAAAUUACAAGAUAAAAGAAGCUUUUCUAUGAUGAAAAAGUUUGAGCAAUGUGUACGACUUACUGACUAGCACGAUGUCCAUUGAGCGAAACCUCUUUGUAGGAGUACAACCGUUGCCAUCUUUUUUUCCAUCUCCUCGGGAUCCCUUCGGACAUGAACAAUUAUACGUUCCCGGCAAGUUCGUACAUAUUCCAACACAUGGUUGUAAAAUCAUACAUUCAUCGAUAUCUGGAGGAAUAUAUUCCAAAUGGAAUAAGCAAUCCGACACCAUUUCAAUUGGAAGAAAGUUGAAAAAGUAUAUAGAAUUCCAUGAUUUGGCAACACUUUCAAUAUGAGAGGACAUAUCAAGUUAAUUUACUUUUCCUGAGAUCGUGAUACCUCACCACACUUUUUAAGUGAUAGGUCACUAUCUCAAGAGCCUAAGCGUAACCAAGCAUUUGAUCUUUGUUUAGAAUAGAAGAUUUAAGAAUUAUCCAACAAAAUUGUGCCAUUACUAAUUAGAAUAACACAUUACAUAGAAAAUAAUUCAAAAAUAAUUGUCUAUAAGUACAGAAUAAUGCUGGAUGUAUUAACAUCGGUAGAUGAAAUUGAUUUACAAGCUAACUUUACCGAUUCAUAUUGAGGGUUCGGUAUGGACCAUCUGUUUAUAAAAUCAAUUGCGCUCGACUGAUUCAGUUUGUAAAAAAAUUGUACAGAUUAAACUUAAGAGAGAAGAAUGUCUAGCUAUAUCUGGAAUGAUAGCUGUGAAAAUUUACAGAUUAUUACUAAACGCUUCAUAGGUCAUAUUAAAUUUCAAGCAAUGAAAUUCCGUGCAUUUGAAAGGAAAAAAAAUAUUUUUAACAGCCUAGAUUGAUAUGAUUUUUAAGAUUAUAAAUGUUACGUGAUUACUAGGAGAAUCGUUUGAAACAUGUACCAUUCAUCAAGUCAAAAUUUGGUCCUCUGACUUGAAGUUUCUAAGAAUUUCUUUCUCUGGGUUUUUUAUGCAAUUGGAUCCAUUUAACAUGGUCGCCCUUAUGGAAAUAAUAUCCACGAUUCUAUACAGAAGCACUCGUUCGGAUGUGAGGUGGGUCUAAUGAAAAGACGGGAAAAGGUACCUUGACAACCGUUUUGGAGAUAGGGGUUCCCUUGAAAACCCUUCAAGCAGUGGCACUGGUAGCCAUUUCCAUUCUCAGCAUCUGUACAAUUGGAGUUCUCUUGGCACAUGUAGGUCGUUGCAUUCUUCUUUGCAUCAUCGCAUGUUUGAUUUGGAAUUAACCAAUCGACAACUAGAGGGACCAUAUCAAAUGGCGGCUCGCGCAGAUUGUCCGUAGAGAAGCUAAAGAAGCCGUCUUGGGCAACGAAAGCGUAUCCGCACGGAUUGAAAUCAGUGAUGCCGAGAUGAUUGUUGUAGCUAGUGACAGAGAUGUUGUAUCGGUAGGCGUCUCGAGGAAUGCCAGUCUCGCAGCAGCCGAUGCCCGAGCACGACCCAUUAAUCACGUCCAAGACGUUGUCGCAUGAGGACACGCACCCCGUCAUAUACGUGCUUCCUUGUCGGCCGCUAAAGGUCGCGUACGUGUCGCAUCCCACGGCGAUAAAUUUGUUCUUGGCAGAAGAUAUGGGGAAUAUGGGAAGAGCGAACUCAGGAUCAUUAUUGUAUAUGGAUGUGCCGGACGAAUUAUAACAAUCUUUGGCUACAAACACCGUUACACUAAUCUCGUGACUCUCCAUAGAUAUAUCGAGUACUCGGAAAUUAGAAUCUUUACUGUACAUAUGAGGAGUGGGAGGAUCAGUCGAGUCGUUGCAAAAGAUGAGGAAAGACUCUGAUUCUUCUUUGAAGUAGCAGUCGUCGCCGGCAUCAUUCAUCCCGAAUGGGUACGGGAAGGUGAGGUUGCCACAUCUGUUCGCGCAUCCGGGCUUUGUUGUUUGGACUACAUCCGCAGUAACUACUGAGAAUAGAGCCACCAAUGAGCACAACAGCAGCACAACUCUCAAGGGAAGUCUAUGGAGCAGCAUGGAUCCACCCAUAUUCUUCCUGAAAUGAGAUGAUAUUUUGCAACGAGAUGAUGAGCUUCAUAGCCCGAUGACAACCUUUAUAAGCGAUGAUGGAGCUUCUGGAAAGCUAAGUAGUAUAUGCAUUAUUCAUAGUCCCCACUAUAUUGACUGUCUUCACGGUGAUUACAUCAUUACUAAUCAAUCAUACGGUUUUGUCCACUCUCUAUGGCUCUUCACUAAAGAAGCCUUGACAAGCCUAUCGCGAUUCACGUUGUGGCGUCGCAAUCAUUCGUAGGGAUUUCCAAACUGACUUGCAAAUAAUAAAAGUCGUGAUUAGAUAGAUAUUUUUUUCUUUUCAAUCUCAGAAUUAGUUUCGACGGGUGGUGCUCAUAAACUAUUGCAUGCACAUCUCUAAUGUAUGAACUCCUUAAAUAUUUGUACAAAUAUCAACACCGUAUUUAAAUCUUUAUGCGCAGAGUAAAAUAUUUCAAUUUAUGCUAUGUACAAUUAAAAAAAAAAAUAGGUACAUCGAUGGUAAGUACUAAAGAUUAGUUAGAUAAAGCAAGAAACUGUUGAUUCGGGUCAGUUCGAAUUUGAAUUUGAAAAUCAAAACAGCACCAAACAAUCCAAAUAUAGAAGAUGAAUGAGAAUGAAAUUUGCGGUGUUUAGAUAUGAUUUGCUAAGUAAAAAGACUUCAAGAGUCCGAAAUUGAUUUUGAGAAUUUUUUUCAGAUUCGCCUAUAAAGUUUCAAGUAAAUCCUAAGUCAAUGCCAUCAGUUUUCUUGGCAAUUUCUCACGUACGAGAGUAUGUCUCAUCAGGGUGUUUUCAUUAUCCUGCCAAGACUUGAAAAGUCAAGCAAGUAUGAAGCGCAUGCAAUGGGAGAUCACAACGCUAAAAUUCGUUAAAAGGACUCAUUGCCCUCAAGGAAAGCUUAAGAGGUUUCAUAUUACAAAAUUAUCAAGAAAAAAAAUUCUAAACCUAUUAUACUUGUACAAAUUCAGUCAUAAAAUCUUCAAUUGUGCUAAUUAAAACUCAAACCUUUUGAAAGUUUACCAAUUUAUUUUUUUUUGAUCAAAUUUGAUCAGAAAUCUCCAUAGUAUAUAAUUUUUAUAAUUUUUGGGAAAUUGAUUUGGGACUUUGGGAGUCUAAAAUUGAUUUUCAGAAAAUUUUUAUGGUCGAACUAAAGUUCCAGGUAAAUGCCAAGUCAAUGGGGUCCGUUUCCUCGACAAUAGGUCACAUCAGAAUUUGUUACUGCCCACCAACUUUGACUGUGUCAUUGAUAGAUUCAGGGUGCUUUCAUUACAUUUCCAAGACUUGAGAAGUCUAGCAAAUCAACGGUAAGCGUAUGCAGUGGAGGAGAGAUCACAACCCCAAAAAAGAGAAUGAGAAAGAAGAAAAAUCAACAAGAGCAGAGUGGUUUGAGCUGGGGAUUGUCUACAUGAAAUGUGUUUCAAGUUGGAUGGAUUUUAUAAUCUGAAAAUUUGUAUUUUCCUGUUUCUAGUCUGUAUAUAUGCAUUCUAAAACAAAGUAACCGGUAGCUUCAAAAUAAUUAAUCAACUAGCUUCAAAGAGAUAAAAUAUCAAAUUUUUUAAUUGUUGUGUUACAAAAUUAAGAUGUUGAAAUAAGAUUCCGUUAUGUACUUUUAAACUACGAAAAGAUACGUCGCAUGUGGAUAUUUUUUUCCUUUUUCUAGGCUAACAUUUCCAACUAAUAUGGAUUGUGAAGGGAACAUUGUCCAAAUAGUCCUAAACCAAUUUAGUCCUAAACUUUUCAAUUUUGCCAAUUGAGUCAUAAACAUUUUCACAUUUUGCCAAUUCAAUUCUAAACAUUUUUCAUUUUUUGGCUAAAAAUUACUAACGUGGACGACUGGUGUUAACGUGGCACUUUUAAAAUAAAAUUUUUUGAUAUUUUUUAUGGUUUUUCUACUUCUUUUUCUUUUUUUUGGUUUUGGAUCUAGUCGACAAAGGUUGUCGGCCAACCCUUGCCAGCCACAAGCGAGGGCCAACAAGCGAGAGCCGAUCAACCCCUACCAGCUCUGGGCGAGGGCGCACAAGCCCUCGCCUAGAAAUAACGAGGCUUGUGACACCCUCACCAAAUCUAGUAAGGCGAGGGCUUGGCGACCCUCGCUGGCUCCAAGCAAGGGGGGUGACCUCGCUCAAGGCCUUUGCCUAGUUAGAUCUAGCGAGGGCAAUGACCUCGCUUGAGGCAUUUGCCUUGCAUGCCCUCUCCUUCGCUGGCGAGGGUGUCGCGACCCUCGACCAAAGCUUGCGAAGGGCACAGCACCCUUGCCCAAAGUUGGCGAGGGUCAACUAGCCCUCACCUAUGGCUAGUGAGGGUUGCCGACCCUCGCCUAUGACUGACACUAGCCCUCACCUAUGGCCAAGGCCGGCCAAAUUCGAACCCCCCCCCCCCCAAAGCAAAAAAAAAGUUAAAAAAGAAAAAUCAUAAAAAUUCAAAAUAUUAUUAAAAUAUGAUUUAAAAAGUGCCACGUCAGCACCAGCCAUCCGUGUUACAAUUUCCAGCCAAAAUUGGCUAGAUAGAUUGAAUUGAUAAGAAGUGAAAAGGUUUAUGAUUGAAUUAACAAAAUUGAAAUAUUUAUGACUGAAUUGGUAAAAGUGUAAUAGGUUGAUAACCUUUUGGAUAAUUGUCCCAAUUGUGGUUGAUAUGCAUUUGUGGAGAAUUAUCAGCAUCAAGAAUUUAAUUUUUCUUUUCCUUUUUCUGGUCCAAUGACUGUAGUUAUUAGCUUAUUUUAAGCUGUGGAGUUAACAACGGCAGGUCCUGGAGACUUUCAUGAGACGAUUCCACUACAAAUCCUUGUGUGACGAAGUCUUUGUGUGGUGUGGUGCGAGUUUAAAUUUUCCAAAUGCACGAUUUAUUUGACAUAUAUUUCUUCAAUCUUUCGUCGCUGCUCAUCCGAAAAAACAGGCCAUUGUGGGCCAGAGACUGGUGCACACUUGUCACAGAAGAGCUGCUCUUACUUUCCAAAUAAUCCGUGGGAAACAAUAAGUCUUGGUCUUCUCCUUUCCCAAUUGAUUUUUAUAGUAUGGUACAUUGGGGAUGUUACUUCUGCGCAGGGAAAUUUUUUUCUUUCGAGGCGUUGAUUAAUGCAAAAAGUGAAAGUUGAUAGCGAAAGGAGAAGACCUAACCUCUCUCUUUCAUCAAGAAAGAGACUUCUUGUUUAACUCUAUAUUUGAACAAUUCCAAAACUUAAUAAUGCACCUUAACUCUCAGUCGUCAGGCAGCAAUUAUCAAUGAAAAAGGCACACUAGUUCGUAAAUUUCAUCAGUUAAUUUACAGUAAUACAUAAUUAUCUUCGGCAAUGUCUCUCUACAAAUCCUUAGAAUUCUUUGGAGAGACUAAUUGAAAAUCCCAACCGCCAAUGUAAUUGGACAAUGCAUUGAGAGAUGAUGUGCAUCCAAACUCAAUAACUUAUUAAUGAGGGCUUUGACACUCUCCAUCAUAAGCAUCUACAAACUUUUCAAACGGGUUCUUUGCCAACUAAUAAGCUAAGUACCAUUGUCAAAUUUCCAAUAGAAAUCUAGCCGCAGGAAAUUUUUUCAACACUCACAAAUUGACACAUGAUGCCUACAUGGGCAGGUCGAAUUACUUUGAUAAUCUAAAUCUAUCAGUAAGAAAAUUGACAUUAUUUGGAGUCUUUCCUUGAGUAAUAGUAAAAUUGUAUCAGUUGAUAACAGAGCCUAAAUCUGGCUGGUCCAGCCGAUUUGAGAAGACAAGUGCAACAUCUCCAACAAGAAUUGGAGCAAUCUUGAUUGUUAAUGUCAUGCCCCGAACUCCGAGCGCACGCACAUCUCUCGGUGGUCGAUUAAAAAUUUGCGACGUCCCAGGAUGCGUCGCUGACCCAUUCUUUUUAUCUUUCAAUUAAGCAAAUACACCACCCAGUCAAAUUUGACCAAAACUCACUAUAGUAUAUAAUUUUUAUAAUUUUUGGGAAGAGGCUAAGCCAAGGCGGUCGGUUUCCUUGGCAAUUUCUCAUGUGCAACAAUAUAUCUCGUCCGGAGUUAUUGCCCACCAACUUUGGGUGCAUCAUUGAUAGUGAGUAUAAAUGAGACAGGAUGCUUACUGCACCAAGACUUGAAAAGUUAAGCAAGUACUAAGCGUAUGCAAUGGGAGAUCACAGCUUGCACCAAGACUUGAAAAGUUAAGCAAGUACUAAGCGUAUGCAAUGGGAGAUCACAGCUUGCACCAAGACUUGAAAUGUUAAGCAAGUACUAAGCGUAUGCAAUGCGAGAAUUGGACCAAAAGGAUUCUAAAACCAUGAAUCGAACCAGUGCCCCUAAAACUGAACCGACCAAUAUAGUUAAGUUCCUACGUGGAUCAUGGAACCGGUGGCAUGUUCAGAUUUUUUUUUUUACUGUUAUUUGUCAUUAAUGUUGAAGACGAAUUGAAGAUGUUCUUGAUAACCAAGACAUUUCUACAAUCAGCCAAUUACGUGUAGCAUUGUAGGUUUCACAUAAUUUUUACAAUCAGCGAAUUGAAGAUGUUCUUGUCAUCUUACUCACAUGCAUGAGUGAAAUAGGAGUUGUGAGACUUGUGCUUGUCUGCAUGCGUGAGUGAAGUCCGAAAUAUGAGAUAGAUUACGGUUUUUUUUUUUUUUUUACAAAUUAAAGGAAAUUAAAAAAAAAAAUUGGUCUAACCCAUGUGGGCAAUCCACGCCUGAAAUUGGGAAUCAGAUUGAAAUUCACUAGUUUCAAUUUUAUAGAAUUGAGAACUAGAUCAGUGCCCCUAGGAACUGCCCAAAAUUGGCCGAUCUAGUCCCAUUUAAGUGGCUCCUUUUGCUUACCCCUAGUCAUAACUCUAAAAUAGAAGAAUGCCGAAGAAAAAUCAUGAAGAGCAAACUGCUUUGAGCUGGCGAUUGAUGAUGGGGUUUACACUCCUAGGAGUGAAAUUUCUAUUGCAUUCUGGAAAAGAAUAACGCAUAUUUCAGAGUGAUUAAUCAACUAGUUUUAAAGAGGUAAAAACUAAACAUUUGCCAUUGCCGUGCUACGAAAAAUAAGAUUCUUAGAUAACAUUUCAUUCUAUACUUUUACAUUAAGAUAAGAUACGUUAGACGUAGGUUUGUUUUUUUAUUUUAUUUUAUUUUUUAUCUUGGUUGUUGGCCUAGGAUUUCUAAUUAAAAAUAUGGACUGUGGUGAUACAUAUUUGUGGAGAAUCAUCAUUCCAAGGAAUUUAUUUUUCCUUCCAUCUGGUAUCCGUGUUGUAAAUCUUUUGUUGCAUUUCCAUACUUUUGAGGAAAACACCAUCUUGCUGACAUCGUGGUAACGAAGAAAAACGCAAUCAUUAUUGCCAAAGUCAUUUUGAAGAAACUAGGCUAAUCGAAUUAGGAGCAAAAUAGUGUCUCAUAUUGGACCUUAGUGUAAAUGUGACUUAAACCAGAAAAAGUAAAAAAAAAAAAAGUAUAUAAUCUAUUGUCAUGAUACCAAUUCAGCUCUUAACCUUUUAAAUAAUCAAUUUAAUUCUAAACAUUUUCAUAUUGAUACCAAUUUAGUCCAUCCGACCAAUUUAAACCAAAAAUUGCCAAUGUGAACGCCAGCUAUCCUACGUAGCAUGAUCGAUACUGGCGUGUAUAUUUUUAAUAAUAUUUUAAUAUUUUUUGAAUUUUUAAAAUCUUUUUUGCUUUUUCUUUUUUCGACCUCCCUCUUCUUUGCUUUUUCUUUUUGCCAGUGGCCAUUGCUAGCCAUCGACCAUAGCCAUGGUCGGCUAGGGUUGGCCUUGGUCGGCCUCACCGACCAUAGCCAUGGUCGGUGUGGCUAGCCUUGGUCGACCUCACCGACCACAAGCAAUGGUUGGCCUCGCUGGGUCGCCUUUGAGCGAGGGCAAGCGCCGAUCGUCCUAGCGAGGCCCCCUCGUCAGAUCUAACAACCAACCAUCGCACAGGUGAGGGCGAGGCUAGUUGGGCCUCGCCAUCACCCACGUGGGGCUCACCAAGCCUCAUCCUCGCCGAAGCGAGCCUCGACGAGGCCGACCCGUACUUAGGCGAGGUGUAAUGAGGCACCCUGGCCUAGGAGAUGGUCAGCCUCCUCAAAUCCAGUGAGGGGGCCUCACCUAGCCACACCUGGACGGCCGACGCUCCCCCUUGACCACGCCCUCGCCCAAAGAAAUUACCAUCGGAUAGUUGCAUAUAUGUCGCAUUGCUAUGUAUACAAAGAAAUUACCACUAUGCAAGGCGCCUAUUUAAGCAAAAACAUACGUUCUUCAUUCAAAUUAUUUGAUGGCAAAUUGAAUAUUAGUAUUGUGUUGCUGAUUGGAGAGCUUACCUUGUACUCUAACGAUUAUACCACACAUAAAUAGACAAUGUUUCCUUUUGACAUAUUAGUUCUAGAAUAUAUAGAAUUAAUGGGUGAAAUAUCUUUUAACACACUGUCAUAAGGCUUUGUGGCAGAACGUCAAUUAGAUAUAACAAAUGUGACUAUCCAUCAACAAAUUAACCUAGCCCGAACCAGUCAACCUACCCUAGCUAAAAACUAUUCAUUCAGGUUGGUUUCGUUUCGAUUUGAAAUCUGAAAAGAACAAAAUCUAACCAACCUAUAUAUAGCAGAAGAACAAAAUCUGCAGUGUCCAAAUCUACACAAUAGAAAACAUAAUCCUCAAAUCAAAUUACAUUUUCCAGUUCAAAGUAAAACCAAAGAUAUGGUCCGAGAUCUGAUCAUUGCUAACUAAAAAUAUCAUUAUUCUUUUUUUUCCUUCUCUUUUUUUUUUUUAAAAAAAUUGUUUUGUGGUGGAGUUUCUCCCAAAGACCCUCCUAAUAUAACAUGAAAAUUUCCAACACAAUAAGUAUUCAAAAGGCUCACUCAAUUAAAAGUUGGAUAAGGAACAUAAAAGCAAAUUUUCUUUUGACAAUACACCCCAAACAACCAUAGCAAUCACUUCUCCUUUUUUUUCUUCUUUUUUUAUACUCCAUCCUUCCUCCCAAAUUUCUAUUAAGCUCAAAUAAUUUUUUAUCCAAAAAAAAUAAAUCAACGUGUUCAUAGGGCAUGGGACAAUGAUAUAAUUUGAUAACUACUGGGUUAAAUUUAUAUGGGUGCCAAUGAAAAAUUGGGUAAUAAUUAAAGCUCAACGGGGUGACUGGGGAUAAAUAAACAGGUUAGCUUGAAUGGCUCAAUUGAUCCAAAAAUUGCCUAAAUCAUUUUUUCAGUUAGAUUUAGCUUAGGAUUUCGCCUCAAGAGAAAAUCAAACAAAUUCUAAAAUUUGGGUGAAAUUUAAGAAAAUCACAUACUUCACAUGAAUGUUCUCUAGAUUUACACAUAAUUAAAAAAAUAAAGGACUUUUAGUGCUCAGUAAGUAAAUCAACAUAAUCAAAAUUAAAAUUAACUCACACAUCAAUUGCAAGUUUCUAAGAAUCGCAAAAAUUCAUAACUAGAAAUGCAAUCAUGAUAAAAAAAAAUUAGCCAAAAAAAAUUGUCUCCUCCCCCCCCACCCCCCUCCAAAACUGGAAGAAUGAAGUAGGGUCUCCAUGGCGAAUAAAAAAAAUGGGAAAAGAAAAACUCCCUGGGUGGAGGGAAACCUCCUAAGAUAACCUGGAGGAUUAAAUCCUGGAAGGUGGUCCCCAAAAAGAUUAAUUUUGAUAAAAUUAAGAAAAAGUAAACCUUUUUUUUUUUUGCCAAACAUUAAACUUACCAUUAAACAAAAAUAAANNNNNNNNNNNNNNNNNNNNNNNNNNNNNNNNNNNNNNNNNNNNNNNNNNNNNNNNNNNNNNNNNNNNNNNNNNNNNNNNNNNNNNNNNNNNNNNNNNNNUCUAGAUAAUGAAGUUCAAUGGUGGUCUAUGCUGUGUAACACUCAAAGUAGGGUUUCAAAUGUGAUUGUUCACCCUGACUGUGCCUUAGUGUCAUGCUCAACUUUAACUGUUCCGUAUGGGAAUACCUGUGUAACUGUAAAAGGACCAGACCAUCGAGACCGCAACUUUCCUGGAAAAAGUUUAAGAUGAGAGUUAUAAAGUAAGACUUUUUGAUCAAUUUUAAACGACAAAAGAACGCUUCGAGUGUCAAAAGUUGGCACAAAGGGACACUUAAGUGCCAAAAGUUACGAAAUGUACACUUAAGUGCCACAUUUGAAGAAAAAUGGAUCACUUAAGUGCCACUCCGUCCAAAGUCCGGUCAAAAGGCUGACAUGGCAUUUUUCCGACGAAUUUCUAGCAAAGUUAACCCAAAACGAUGCCGUUUUGCAUGCUGACGUAGCCAAAUAAUGCAAAAAUGGCAUCGCUUUAGGAUGACGUGGUAAAAAAAUAAUAUAAAAAUUAAAUAAAUUAAAUUUAAAAUUAGAUUUAGUUAAAAAAUAUUAAAAAAUAAUAAUUUUAAAAUUAAAAUUAGUUAAAAUAUUAAAAAAUAAUAAUUUUAAAAUUUAAAAAAUUAAUAAAAGGGGGGGGUGGCUAAGGGCAACCACCGCCGCCUCCUUGCUGUCGCCAGGAAGUGCUGGCGACGAAGGGGGGAGGGUCAACCAGGGUCGCUGGCCCUUGGUCAGGGGUCGACGACCCGGCCAACCGGCAGUGAGGGGGAGCGAGCACUCGCCAUAAUUUGGGGCGAGGGUUGCAGCCCUUGCCUAGAUCUGGCAAGGGUCAACAGCCCUCGCCCGACCAAGCCAAGGGUCACCGCUCGUCGGGGCGAAAAUAGAGAAAAGUUAAUCUUUUUUUUUUUUUGCAAAACAUAAACUUAACAAUAAACAAAAAUAAAACAUAAUUAAAAUGCUUGAGUUGCCUCUCAAGAAGCGCUUGCUUUAUAGUUUUCAGCCAAACUAUCUCAGAUGUCGCUAUUCUAGAUAAUGAAGUUCAAUGGUGGUCUUAUGCUUGUUGUAACCACCUUCAAAGUAGGGUUUCAAACGUUGAUUGUUCACCCUGACUGUGCCCUCAGUGUCAUGCUCAACUUUAACUGUUCUGUAUGGGAAUACCUGUGUAACUGNNNNNNNNNNNNNNNNNNNNNNNNNNNNNNNNNNNNNNNNNNNNNNNNNNNNNNNNNNNNNNNNNNNNNNNNNNNNNNNNNNNNNNNNNNNNNNNNNNNNAAUUUACACAAGCCUCAUUGCGAAAUUCCUUCAAUUCAUUCAGUUGCAAUAAUCUUUCUUCACCUGCAGAUUGCAUGUCAAAAUUCAGGAAUUUCAAUGCCCAAUAUGCUUUAUGCUCUAAUUCCACUGGUAAAUGACAAGCCUUCCCAAACACUAGCCUAAAAGGAGACCUCCCAAUUGGAGUUUUAAACACUGUCCUAUAGGCCCAAAGUACAUCAUCAAGUUUUAUUGAUCAAUCUGUCACACCCUGAUCCUCGGGCACACGCACAUCCUUCUCGGUUGGUCGGUUUUAUAAUGCGAUAUCCCAUGAUUAUGUAUCGCCGACCCUUUUAUUUUUAAGCACAUGUGAAAAUAGUUAUAAUCUCCAGACAAUAAAACGAUGUGAUAGAAAAGCAAGACCAUAUUUUUCAUAUUGAAACUUAUAACCAAACUUUUCUACAAAAUACAAACCAAAUUACUUUACAACUAUUCACAACUUUUUACUCUAACUCUAUUAACAUCAAGACAGGAUUCACAAAAGAGGAUAGGAUCUCAGUCCUCAUCCGGAUCGUACUCGAGAUCCCUCUCGAUAGUAUAUUCUUCUUCCAAAAAUCCUUCUCCUUAGGUUUCCCUUCAGAGUUCUCCUUCUCAGAUUCCUCCUUAGCUCCUCAUCGGGGUCUUGAAAUGUUUUCCCCAAACUAGGAUGAGACUACGUCUCAGUGAGUUCUACCCCACUAAAACUCAAUUAGGGAACCAAUACACUACUCGGUUGCCUAAGCACACCAUAAGUCAAAGGACUUACCUUGGCCUCAGUCUUAACCUACAAUUCAAGGUUAUAUAUGAACGCUUCACAAAUCAUAACGAACAAUCAAUCAAAUCAUGACAAUCUAAUCAAAUCAUUGAUCAAUCGAACUAGUCGAUUACAUGUCAGAUGAACCAUUCCAGAUCAUUGAUUCCACACCAAAUAACCUUCCAUCGAGCACUCGGUCACAGAGCCACAUCAAUGCUCUCGGGCGUCAAGUUCGCCAAUGUGAUGUAAAUAACAGAUGGUCUACGUGCGUUCUUUAAGGCGCCGUUUUCGCACAGUGAUAUUCCUCAUCACGAAACCACGCCCAUCAUAGAUCACAGACAAUCUAUGUGCGUUCUUUAAGGCGCCAUUUUCGCACAGUGAUAUCCUUAAUCACCGAACCACGCCUGUCUGUACUUUGUACUUGAUCGGUCUCAGCCGAUAGAAUUUUCAGUUAGUUCUCGCCACUCUCUCCACUUACAGCUCAACAAGGUAAUCAAAAUGCUAAAUAGUCAUACUCGGUCAACUACCAAUCAAUAAUUCAAUUUCAAUCAAUUUAGGGUAAAUCCCUAAAAUAUCACAAUUUAUUUAAUUCCAUGCAACGUAGAGCUCAAUUAAAUAAACAGACUGUGCCACGACAAUCAGCAUGGGAUUUCGAUCGUCGGCUAAGCCAGCCUUAAUUUCUGAAAAAUAAAUAAUUAAUUCAUUAAUUUCGAAAAUUAAUAAUUAAUUACAAUAAAUCCAAUUUAGCUCAAAUCGGAGCUCAAUUAAAUAAAUGGACUUCACCACGAUUAUCAGCAUAAAAUUCUGAUCAUCAACCAUCCUAGUUGAAUUUUCGGAAAAUAAAUAAUUAAAUAAUUAAUUCCAAAAAAUAAUAUUUAAAUACCAAAAAUUCCACUUAGGCCAGAAUUGUCAAAUUGAAGCCCGAUUAGGGUCGGGAAAAAUCCUAGGCUACCCUCAAUAAAUAGUAGACCAUGUCUACUUGCUAAAUACACAUUCAAUUUAUCUAAUUUGCAUCACAUUGACUAAUAAACACUAAUCAAUACUAAUUUAACCGCCUAAACCUAAUUAAUUAAAACUAAACAACCCUUAAGUGUAAUUAGUCCGCUAAACAAGGAUUAGUGAGAUUAUUCACUAGAAUCACAUGCAAGUCGGACCAAUCCGAUGGGGAUGACGCGAGGAACGAUAAACCUCAAAGCGGGUCUCGGGUUCUGGGCCUGGAAACGGCCCAAAAGCGGGCCCGAAGUCGCUGGAGACCCACUCCACAACUUGCUGGGUUGCUGCAAAAUAGAGGGGAAAAAGAGAUGGUUGGGGGCAGCAAGGGGUCAGGAGAGUGGGCGAAGCUUUGGUGAGGCCGGACGGUGGCUGGAGGGGGUUGGGCCACAGCCUAAGCUGGUUGAACAAGGUUAGACAGAGGCGGAAGUCACACGGGGGAGGGAUGGCAAUGAGCAGUGGGCGCGCUAGCGUGCGCACAGUGGCAAGUGGCGGACACACGAGCACGGGCGGCGAGACGGGCGGUGACGGCUUCGGCGAGCUGCUGCUGCUCGGCUUCUUCCGCUUUUGGUUCGCUGGUUGCACGAAGAAGAAAGAAAAGAAGGGGUUCGGUCACGAGGGGGAGAAGAGAGAGGAGAGAGAAGAAGAGAUAAGUGAGAGAAGGGAAAGGGUUUGACUAGUCAAAUGGGGAGAGAGAAGAAGCCAAAUUGAAUUUGGCAAGGCAAGUGUUCGGUGGGGGAGUGUCCGCACGAAGGGGGAGGGGAGAGGAGAGAGAAGAGAGAGAGAAAAAGAGAGAAAAAGAGAGAAAAAGGGAGAGAGAGAGAGAAAAAGAAAUAAAAUAAUAGCCUUAUCCUUUUUUUUUUUACUUUUCUCUUUCCCUUUCCUUUUCUAUUUUCUUUUGAUCUUCGAUUUUUCCUCUGAUAAUUUCUUUUUUGAAAUUUCGGACUCGUCAAUAAAUUGACAGACGAUGAGACGGUCCUAAAAAUGAAUUGUGACAUGCUCGAAUAUUCGAUUCCCGAAACCAAUUUAAAUUUCAUGGUUAGAAUCGAUCAUACAUGAUUUUAGUCCAAUCCAACUAAUUGAGUAGCUUUUAAGGAUUUUACUGUAGAUACAUCCCUUAAUGGCUUCACCCAAUAGGUUAGUUAACUCGUGAGUGAUCGGCUCAGAGAAAAAGGACCAUAGGUACAUUGAUGACGUGCCCAUUUCACUUUAUCGAAAUGGGGUCGAAUUUCCCGAUGUCAUAACUCUUCCCCUCUUAUAAAAAUUUUGUCCUCGAAAUUUAAACCAUUACACACUUUUGUCAAAAAGGUGGGGGUACAAUUCUCUCAUCGACACUUCAGUCUCCCAAGUCGCUCCUUCAGUGCCAUGGUAUUGCCAAGACCACUUUGAUCAACGGAAUGGUCUUUGUACACCGAACUUGCUCUUUAUGAUUGACAAUUUGAACCGGGCUUUCAACGUAUGACACAUGGUCAUCCAUGUCCAAUUCCUCAAAAUUGAGUACGUGGGUUGGAUCAGGCUCGUACUUCCUUAACAUCGACACGUGAAAGACAUCAUGCACUUGCGCCAAUCUUGGCUGCAACGCAAGACGAUACACUAGGUUUUCGAUUCUUUCAAGAAUCUCAAACGGACCUACGUACCUCGGACUCAACUUGCCUUUCUUACCAAAGCGCGAAGUUCCCCUCAUUGGUGACACUUUCAAAAAACGUGAUCACCAACUUGGAAUUCCAAAGACCUUCGACGCUUAUCUACAUAACUUUUCUGCUUGCUUUACGCUGUCUUUAAUCUAUCUCUAAUCACCGUCAUGGCAUCUACUGAUUGCUGAACCAACUCUGGGCAUGUUAUCUUCCCUUCUCCGACUUCAUCCCAACAUACUGGAGUUCUGCACGCUCUGCCAUACAACGCUUCAAAAGGAGCCAUCUUGAUGCUUUGCUGAUAACUGUUGUUGUAGGCGAAUUCAACCAGAUGAAACUGAUCUUCCCAACUUCCUUUGAAGUCUAUUACACACACUCUCAUCGUGUCUUCAAGAGUCUAAAUUGUCCUUUCAAACUGACCAUCCGUCUGAGGAUGAUAUGCUGUACUGUACUGAAGCUUUGUACCUAAAGCACUCUGCAAGCUCUUCUAAAAAGCAGCAGUAAACCUCGGGUCUCUGUCGGAUGUUAUCGUAACCGGCACUCCAUGCAUACGAACCACCUGACGCACAUACAUGUUUGCGUGUCUAUCCAUACUCAAGUCCUUUGGAAUUGCAAUGAAGUGAGCCGACUUUGUCAGCCUGUCGACCACUACCUAAAUUGAAUCAUUUCCUCUUUGACUCUUUGGUAGUUCAGUCACGAAAUCCAUCGUGAUAUGCUCCCAUUUCCACUCUGGGGUCGCAAGAGGUUGUAGAAGUCCUCUUGGCUUGCAAUUCUGAGCUUUUACUUGUUGACAAGUCAAACACUUAGCGACAUGCUUGGCAAUGUCCGCCUUCAUACCUGACCACCAAUAGUGUUGGCGCAGAUUCUGAUACAUCUUAGUGCUUCCAAGAUGAAUGCUAUAAUUGCUACAAUGUGCUUCAGAUAAAAUUUCUUCUUUAAGCUCUAUAUCAUCAGGUACAACUAAACGUCCACAGAGCCUUAGUACACCAUCAUCAAAAACCUGAAAAUCAGCCUUUCAUUUAUCGGUAUCCUCUUGAAGAAUUCUUUGUACACCUGGAUCUGUCGAUUGAAGUUGCUUGAUUCUGACUUAGACAUUCGGUUCAAUUCUGAGGGUCGCUAUAAGACUCUAGAGGUGGCCUACCUCAAAUUUGAAUUCCGAAUCUCGAGCUCUCUCGAUUAAGUUCCACUCCUUAACCAAGAUCUGCACCACUGAAGACUUCCGACUUAAUGCAUUGGCGACCUUGUUCGCCUUUCCCAGGUGAUAUAGAAUAUCACAGUCGCAAUCCUUCAACAAUUCCAUCCAUCGGUGCUGUCUCAUGUUUAACUCCUUCUGAGAGAACAAAUACUUGAGACUCUGAUGGUCUGUGAAGAUCUGAAACUUUUCUCCACACAAGUAGUGCCUCCAAAUCUUCAAUGCAAAUAUUAUGGUUGCAAGUUCUAAGUCAUGCAUUGGAUAAUUCAAUUCAUGAGGUCUCAACUGCUUGGAAGCGUAUGCAAUAACUCUACCAUGUUGCAUCAACACGCAACCCAAUCCCCUAAAUGACGCAUCACUAUAGAUCUCGAAUCCUCCAGGACCAGAUGGAAUCGUCGGCACAGGUGCGGUAGUAAGCUUUUCCUUCAGCUCUUGGAAACUAGCUCACACUUGUCUGUCCAUAUGAACUUCUCGUUUUUCUUCGUGAGCUUUGUCAGAGGCGACGCUAUCGAUGAGAACCCUUCCACAAACCGUCUAUAAUAAUCUGCUAACCCCAAAAACUUCUGAUCCCUGUCAUUGUUGAUGGUCUGGACCACUUGAUCACAGCUUCUAUCUUGCUCGGGUCGACGAAGAUUCCUUCUUCGGAAAUCACAUGACCUAAGAACGCAACACGAGUUAGUCAAAACUCGCAUUUGCUAAACUUAGCAUACAGUUGAUGAGUUCUUAAGGUCUGGAGUACUACUCUAAGAUGAUUCUCAUGCUCUUCAUCACUUCUUGAAUAGACCAAGAUGUCAUCAAUGAACACGAUCACAAAUUGAUCCAAAUAUUCCCUGAACACUAUGUUCAUCAAAUCCAUAAAGGCAGUUGGAGCAUUCGUCAACCCGAACGGAUCACUGUAAACUCGUAAUGGCCAUACCGGGUACGAAAUGCUGACUUAGGGAUGUCCUCCUUCCUAAUUCUCAGCUGAUGAUAUCCUGUCCUCAAGUUGAUCUUCGAGAAUAUCGACGCUCCUUGUAAUUGAUCAAACAAGUCAUCUAUCCUCGGCAAUGGAUACUUAUUCUUGAUCGUUACCUAAUUGAGCUGCCGAUAGUCGAUGCACAAACGCAACGAACCAUCUUUCUUCUUAACAAAUAGAACUGGUGCUCCCCAAGGUGAUGCACUAGGACGAAUAAAUCCUUUAUCCCAUAACUCUUGCAUCUGCACCUUCAGUUCUUUCAACUUAGAUAACGCCAUCUGGUAAGGUGCCUUCGAAAUUGGUUCAGUCCCUGGUGCUAGCUCAAUUACAAAUUCAAUCUCUCUUUCUGGCGGUAACCCUGGCAAUUCUUUUGGAAAGACAUCUGGAAACUCCUGAACCACCGAAAUAUCUUCCAUUUGUAACUCCUCAAUUGUUGUAUCCACGAUAAUUGCUAAGUACCCUCGACAAUCCUCGUCUAACAAACGAGCUACUUCCAGCGACGAGAUUAAGGAAAUCGAAGGUCCUCCUUGAUUCCCGACAAACUCGAAGCUCUUAUCCCCUAAUGGGUCAAACUGAAUCGUCUUGCGAUAGCAGUCCAUUUUAGCUCGUUGAUUGGUGAGCCAGUCCAUGCCAGUUAUCAAAUCAAAAUCAUACAUGGCUAGGACUAACAAGUCAAUUUUCCACACUCGCUCACCAAUCUCUAACUUGCACCCCGAACAUCCUAAAACAUCAAUAACUUUAGCUUUCAAGGGUGUAGAUAUGCAAAUUAUCGACUUCAACAAUACAGGACUCAACCCUAGCAUCUUAACAUAUUGCUCGGCAAUGAAGGAAUAGGUUGCUCCCGAAUCAAACAAAGCAUAAGCAGGUUGGUCAUUGAGUGAGACCGCCUGUGNNNNNNNNNNNNNNNNNNNNNNNNNNNNNNNNNNNNNNNNNNNNNNNNNNNNNNNNNNNNNNNNNNNNNNNNNNNNNNNNNNNNNNNNNNNNNNNNNNNNUCCUUGCAGUGCAUUUUGAGGGGCAUACUCUCCUAUCUGUCUCAUCGGUGGCGGCGGCGGCAACUGAGGUUGUCCUCUCUGCUACUUUGGACAAUACCUUGCAAUGUGGCCAUGUUGGCCACAUUCGUAACAUGCUUCUAUUCUGGCUAGAUACGGAGUUGUCCCGUGUUGUCUUCCACAUGAGCGACAAGAAUUAACCCUAUUAGGCAUUGGUCUAGUGAAUCCGCUUCUCUUGAAGGGUGGAGCAUUGGGCCUACCUCCAGGCAUGGGUCUCUUCCCUUGACGGAUAUUCUCUAGAUGGAAGCCAAACCUCGAUCCAAAUGAGGUAGCUUGUUCAUUCAAUCCUCGCUCUAUCAUCUGGGCUCGACGAUAAACCUCCCUGUAAUUUUUCAAGUCCCAUGGUAGCAAAGGUUGUUUCAAUUUAACACGAAGACCGCUUUUGAACUUCCGAGCUUUCUCUUUAGAGUCUUCUAUCAGCUUAGGAGCAUACUGUGAUAGUUCUGCGAACUUGACCCCAUACUGGUCAACUGUCAUGCUCCCUUGGUGGAGACAGUGGAACUCUUCUAUCUUUUGUUCCUGAGCAGUACUCGAAAAGUACUGAUCAUUAAAGGCUUUGAGGAAGGUGUCCCACACUUAGACCUCACCUUCCGGAAACACUAUAUCCUUGGCGGAUCUCCACCAUAUAUUAGCGUUACCUUGAAGUUGGUACACAGCUAUUAACACAUUUUCCUCCUCAUUGCACAUCAGAAGUGCAAAUGCCUUCUCCAAAUCUUGUACCCACAGAGACGCGGCCUCAGGGUCUCCGGUACCAAUGAAUUUCAGUGGAUUCAUUUUUAAAAACUGAUCCACUAACUGGUGAAUCGGCCUCCCAGCGGCUACAACUCCUGGUAGUAUUUCAGCAGGAGCGACGGCAGGUGGAACUGCAGGUGCGGCGACAGGGGCAGCUUGAGCAGUAGCGACAGCUACGGUAGCAAUGGUAGCGUUGGCAGCGGCAGUGGCGGCAGCUUCAACAGCGGUAGUAAAGGUGGUAGUUUGAUCUCGGGCCUGUUGCCCCAUCAUCCCCCACAUAGCAUUUAGAGCCUGGUUGAUUCCGACAGUUCCUUGCUCACCCGGGGCUACUACCCCAGUACCAACAGGAGGUGGUGCUACUCUAGCAUCUACAACAGGUGGAAUCAUUCCACUCACGCUAGCCUCUGUUGGCGCUCUACCUCGGCCACCUUGGGCACCAACUCUUGUUGGCGUCCUUGUCCGAGUUACUGAGGACAAGGUCCUCUGUCUAGGAGUUCUCGGCUCCUGAUCGCUCAUGGUGUCAUUUUAAUCUACUAACACCUACUUCCAAUUCAAAACUGAAUUAGAAACAGAGCGAUUCAAACAACAAGCAAUUUGAGUACUCAGCUAACACAGACAUGCACCAGCAUGAAUUUAAAGGCAUUUCCUACUUACUAUCCCAUGGUAAACGCUCCUUAUCACUCCAAUAUUGAACUAAGCUUUGAUACCACAAAAAGGGGAUGUCACGCCCCAAUCCUCGGGCAAGCGCACAUCCUUCUAGGUUGGUCGGUUUUAUAAUGCGAUAUCCCAGGACUAUGUAUUGCCGACCCUUUUCAUUUUUAAGCAUAUGCAGAAGCAGUUAUAAUCCCCAAACAAUAAAACGAUGGGAUAGAAAAGCAGAGCCAUAUUUUUCAUAUUGAAACUUAUAACCAAACUUUUAUACAAAAUACAAACCAGAGUACUUUAUAACUAUUCACAACUUUUUACUCUAACCCUAUUAACAUCAAGACAUGAUUCACAAAAGAGGAUAGGAUCUCAGUCCUCAUCCAGAUCAUUCUCGAGAUCCCUCUCGAUAGUAUCUUCUUCUUCCAAAAAUCCUUCUCCUUAUGUUUCCCUUCAGAGUUCUCUUUAUCAGAUUCCUCCUCCUCAGCUCCUCAUCGGGGUCCUGAAAUGUUUUCCUCAAACCGGGAUGAGACUACGUCUCAGCGAGUUCUACCCCACAAAGACUCAAUUGGGGAACCAAUACACUACUUGGUUGCCUAAGCACAGCACAAGUCAGAGGACUUGCCUUAGCCUCAGUCCCAACCUGCAAUUCAAGGUUAUAUACAAACGCUUCAUAAAUCAUAACGAACAAUCAAUCAAAUCACGACAAUCUGAUCAAAUCAUUGAUCAAUUGAACUAGUCGAUUAUAUGUCAAAUGGACCAUUCCAGAUCAUUGAUUCCACACCAUAUAACCUUCCAUCGAGCACUCGGUCACAGAGCCACAUCAAUGCUCUCGGGCGUCAAGUUCGCCAAGGUGACGUAAAUAACAGACAAUCUACGUACAUUCUUUAAGGCUCCGUUUUCGCACAAUGAUAUUCCUCAUCACAGAACCACGCCCGUCAUAGAUCACAGACAGUCUAUGUGCGUUCUUUAAGGCGCCAUUUUCGCACAGUGAUAUCCGUAAUCACCGAACCACACCUGUUUAUACUUCAUGCUUGAUCGGUCUCAGCCAAUUACAGCUCAACAAGGUAUUCAAAAUGCUAAAUAGUCAUACUGGGUAAACUACCAAUCAAUAAUUCAAUUUCAAUCAAUUUAGGGUAAAUCCCUAAAAUAUCACAAUUUAUUAAAUUCCAUGCAACGUAGAGCUCAAUUAAAUAAACGGACUGCGCCAUGACAAUCAGCACAAGAUUUCGGUCGUCGACUAACCCAGCCUUAAUUUCCAAAAAAUAAAUAAUUAAUUCAUUAAUUUCGAAAAUUAAUAAUUAAUUACGAUAAAUCCAAUUUAGCUCAAAUCGGAGCUCAAUUAAAUAAAUGGACUUCACCAUGAUUAUCAGCAUAAAAUUCUGAUCAUCAACCAUCCUAGUUGAAUUUUCGGAAAAUAAAUAAUUAAAUAAUUAAUAUUAAAAAUUCAAUUUAGCUCAAAAUAAAGCCCGAUUAAAUAAAUGGACUUCACCACAGCCAUCAGCAUAAUAUUCCGAUCACUGGCCAUCCUAGAUGAAUUUUCGAAAUAUAAAUAAAUAAUUAAUUAAUUUCGAAAAAUAAUAUUUAAAUGCCAAAAAUUCCACUUAGGCCCGAAUUGUCAAAUUGAAGCCUGAUUAGGAUCGGGAAAAAUCCCGGGCUACCCUUAAUAAAUAGUAGACCACGUCUACUUGCUAAAUACACAUUCAAUUUAUCUAAUUUGCAUCACAAUUGACUAAUAAACACUAAUCCAUACUAAUCUAACCACCUAAACCUAAUUAAUUAAAACUAAACAACCCUUAAGUGUAAUUAGUCUGCUAAGCAAGGAUUAGUGAGAUUACUCACCGGAAUCGUGUGCAAGUUGGACCAAUCCGAUGGGGACAACGCGAGGAACGAUAAACCUCAAAGCGGGUCUCGGGUUCGGGGCCCAAAGUCAUUGGAGACUCACUCCGCAACUUGCUGGGUUGCUGCAAAAUAGAGGGGAAAAAGAGAUGGUUGGGAGCAGUAAGGGGUCGGGAGAGCGGGCGGAGCUCCGGUGAGGCUGGACAGUGGCCGGAGGGGGUCAGGCCACGGCCUGAGCUGGCCGAACAAGGCUGGACAAAGGCGGAAGUCACACGGGGGAGGGAUGGCAGCGAGCGGCGGGCGCGUUUAGGGGUGAGCGGUUCCAGGUUCCGGUUCGGUUCCGUCCGGAACCUGGAACCUACCCUCGGGUACAGGUUCCUCAAAAUGAGGAACUUGGAACCUACUCGUGGGAACCGAGAACCUGGAACCCACCCUGGCACAGGUUCCAGGGUCGGUUCCAGGUUCCAACAGGUUCUUUUUUUUUUCUUUUUUUUCAGAUUUGAACUAUAACAUAUGCGCACGUUACCCAAAAAAACUAUAACGUACGUGCACGUUACCAAAAAAAAAAAAACUAUAACAUAUGCGCAUGUUACCAAAAAAAAAUAUAACGUAUGCGCACGUUACCAAAAAAAACUAUAAUGUACGUGUAUACUACACGGUAACUUCCCAUUGACAUGUUAUCUUGAUACAUUAACUUCGCACUGCACAACAAUAAUAAAAUAUAAUUAGAAAUUUCAAAACAAAUAGCAAACUAGAAAGUAGAAAUAAAACACCACUAGAAUAAGAAUGUCUAGAGGUACAAGUUUUGAAAACAAUUUCGAUUAAACCCUUAAAUGAACUCAGAAAAUUCUGAAAUUUGGACACGUUGUAUUUAAGACCUAGAGGUACAAGUUUCAUGAAGAAAUUGUAGUCCAAUUCGUUCUGGAUUAAAAGAUAAAAUUGAUUUACUUUUCCUAUUCUCUACUUGCGCAGUUUUUGCAACAUUUUUGGUUAAAUAGGCAAAUGAACUACAAAAAUUACGAAAUUUAAAUAUGUUGUAGGGAAGACAUGAAGAGAGAUAUUUCAUACAGAACACAUUUCCAAAAGAUCCUCAUACAAAUGAUAUAGUCCACGCAUUGCAACUUACAAGAUCCGAACACAUCAGAUUGCACAGUUUUAGAAACAUUUCCGAUUAAAUACCCAAAUGACCUUAAAAAAUUAUGAAAUUCGACUAUGUGAUAGCCAAGACCAUAAGGUAGAUACUUCAUGAAAUCAUCGAAGUCAAAUUCGUCUUAGAUAAUUAAAUAUGGACGGUUAAAAUCCCUGUUUGUAGUACCGUAAUUCCAGAUCUAAUCAUCUCCAAAGGACCACGAUUUCACCUACCUAUUCUUGUUUUUUUUCUCUAAAUUUUUGAUAUGUUGUACCUCAGGAUGUCCUUUACAACUUUUGUUAAGAAACCGAAGUAAAAUUUCGACAAAAAGGUUGCCUUACAGUCAAUGCAUUCAUCAAGGGUCGGUCCCAAAAUCUCUAGAUCCAGUCUUUCCAAAGAAUAACGAUUUAACCCACUUAUACUUGUUUUUUUUGUCCCAAAUUUGAGUAUGUUAUACUCCAAGAAGUCCUUUACAACUUUCAUUUAGAGGUCGAAGCCAAACUUCAACUAGAACAUCACAUACAAGUCACUAGAACAUCGAACAUCACAUACAAGUCACUAGAACAUCCAAGACGGUUUUGGUUCCGAAACCGGUUCCGGUUCCUAGAAAAAAGGAACCGGAACCAGAACCGAUCCCCCUUGGAACCGGGAACCGCGCUCAGCCCUAGGCGCGUUGGUGUGCGCACGUCGGCAAGUUGCGGACGCAUGGGCGCAGGCGCUAGUGGCGAGACGGGCGGCGACAGCUUCAACAAGCUGCUGCUGCUUGGCUUCUUCCGCUUCUAGUUCGCUGGUUGCACGAAGAAGAAAGAAAAGGGGGGGGGGGGUUCAGUCAUGAGGGGGAGAAGAGAGAGGAGAGAGAAGAAGAGAUAAGAGAGAGAAGAGAAAGGGUUUGACUAGUCAAACGGGGAGAGAGAAGAAGCCAAAUUGAAUUUGGCAAGGCAAGUGUUCGGUGGGGGAGUGUCCGCACGAAGGGGGAGGGGAGAGGAGAGAGAAGAGAGAGAGAAAAAGAGAGAAAAGGGAGAGAGAGAAAAAGAAAUAAAAUAAUAGCCUUAUCAUUUUUUUAUUUACUUUUCUCUUUCCCUUUCCCUUUCUAUUUUCUUUUGAUCUUUGAUUUUUCCUCUGAUAAUUUCUUUCAUGAAAUUUUGAACUCGUCAAUAAAUUGACAGACGAUGAGACGGUCCUAAAAAUGAAUUGUGACACGCUCGAAUAUUCGAUUCCCGAAACCAAUUUAAAUUUCAUGGUUAGAAUCGAUCGGACGUGAUUUUAGUCCAAUCCAACUAAUUGAGUAGCUUUUAGGGAUUUUACUACAUAUACAUCCCUUAAUGGCUUCACUCAAUAGGUUAGUUAACUCGUGAGUGAUCAGCUCAGAGAAAAAGGACCAUAGGCACAUUGACGACUUGCCCAUUUCACUUUAUCGAAACGGGGUCGAAUUUCAGGAUGUCACAGCUUUCCUAGAGGCAUUCACUAUUUUUUUUCUAAAAUUCUCUUGAUUUCCCUAUUUAAAAGCUCUACUUAAGCACUAGUCUGAGGAUGAUAAGGGGCUGCAACCUUAUACAUGACUACAUAUUUACUCAAAAGUGCUUCAAAUUAUUUGUUGUAAAAAUAUAUCCCCUUAUCACUUAUAAAUUGCCUUAGGAGUGCCGAAUCGGGUAAAAAUAUUUUUCUUCAAAAAUUUGACCACAACCUUAGCGUUAUUUGUUGGUAAUGCUACAACUUCUACCCACGUAGACACAUAGUCCAUAGCCACUAAAAUGUAUAAAUUUCCAUAAGAAGGUAUAAAGGGUCCCAUAAAAUCAAUACCCCAAAUAUCAAAUAAUUCACACACAAUAAUGUUGUUUAAAGGCAUCUCAAUUUUUUUGAAAUAUUUCCAGUUCUCUAACACCUAUCACAUGAAACUACAUAAGAGUAUGCAUCUUUAAAAAGUGUAAGCCAAUAAAAUCUAUAUUGUAAAAUCUUAGCUGCAGUUUUGUUGGCACCAAAAUGGCCACCUACCUCUCCAUCGUGACAAUGAUGUAGAAUGUUUGUCUUCUCUUUGCCUAGAACACAUCUCCUUAUGACUUGAUCUGCACAUACUUUAAACAAGAAGGGUUCUUCCCAAAAAUAAUUUUUAACAUCAUAAAAGAAUUUUUUUUUCUUCUAUUGAUAUGAUAAUUCAGAAGGAAUAACAUUACUUACUAAAUAAUUUACAAAGUCAGCGCACCAGGGAAUUUUUGUGGACUUAAUGAAAAAAAAUUUCUCAUUAGGGAACUCUUCCAAAAUUGGACUUACCUCUUCUUUUGAAUUUGGAAUUCUUGAUAAGUAAUCUGCAAUUAGAUUUUCAAUCCCCUUCUUAUCUUUGAUUUUCAAAUCAAAUUCUUGCAGCAAUAGAAUCCACCUGAUCAACUUGGGUUUUGAUUCUUUCUUUUCAAGCAGAUACUUAAGAGCAAAGUGGUCAGAAUAAAUUAUAACUUUUGAGCUAAUUAAAUAAGAACGUAAUUUGUCAAAAGCAAAAACUACUGCCAAAAGUUCCUUUCUAGUUAUUGAAUAAUUGAAUUGUGCACCAGACAAGAUUUGACUAGCAUAGUAUAUGGUUCAAAAAAUUUUAUUCUUCCUUCAUCCCAAAACAGCUCCUAUUGUAGAAUUGCUAGCAUGACACAUCAGUUCAAAAGGUAAAUCCCAAUUUGGUGUUGCCAUAAUUGGUGCUGAUAUUAACUUCUCCUUUAAAGUGUUAAAAGCCUGCAAGCAUUCAACAGGAAGAUUAAAAGUAGCAUUUUUUUUUCCAAAAUAUUAGAAAGAGGUUUAGCAAUUUUUGAAAAAUCUUUUAUAAACCGCCUAUAAAAUCCUGCAUGCUCCAAAAAUUCUCUGACAAGUUUCAUAGAUAUUGGCGGAGGCAAUUUUACAAUGACCUCCACUUUGGCUCAAUCAACUUCUAUUCCGUUUUGAGAAAUUUUAUACGCAAGCACUAUUCCUUCCUGCACCAUAAAGUGAAACUUCUCCCAAUUCAAAACAAGGUUAGUCUCCUCACAUCUUUGUAAGACCAAAGCCAAAUUAUUUAAACACGAAUCAAAUAAUAAGCCAAAAGCGGAAAAAUCAUCCAUGAAAAUCUCAAUAUAUAUUUCAACCAUAUCAGAAAAAAUAGCCAUCAUGCAUCUCUGAAAAGUAGCUGGUGCAUUACAAAUACCAAAGGGCAUUAUUCUAAAAGCAAAAGUACCAUAGGAACAAGUGAAAGUAGUUUUCUCUUGAUCUUCUGGUGUAAUAGGAAUCUGAUUAUACCCCGAAUAUUCAUUAAGAAAACAAUAAAACUUAUGUCCCGCAUGUCUUUCUAACAUCUGAUUAAUAAAUGAUAAAGGAAAUUAAUAUUUUCUAGUGACAUCAUUCAAUUUUCUGUAAUACACACACACACACCACCCAGUAACUAUUCUAGUUGGAAUCAAUUCAUUAUUGUCGUUUUUCUGAAUAGUCAUACUACAUUUCUUUGGCACAACUUGUAUAGGACUUACCUAAGAACUAUCAGAGAUAUGAUAGAUGAUACCUGCAUCAAGUAGCUUAAUUACCUCAGCUUUCACUAUUUCUUGCAUCUUUGGGUUCAAACGCCUCUGAGGUUGGAUAAUAGGUUUAUAUUGUUCCUCCAUCAAAAUUUUGUGCAUGCAAAUUGAAUGACUAAUUCCCUUGAUAUCAGCUAUUUUCCAUCUAAUUGCACCCUUAUGUUCUCUUAAUAAUCUAAGUAGUUUCUCCUCCAUCGAAUUUGUCAAAGAAGAAGAUAUAAUUACCGAUAAUGAAGAAACUCUAUCAAAAUAAACAUAUUUUAAAUGAGAAUGUAAGGGUUUGAAUUAAAAAAUUAGAGGCUCUUCAAUUGAUAGUUUAAGCUUUGUAAUGUGCUAUCCCAACUCCUCAAAAUUAAUUGCCUUUUAUCUUGAAUAUGGUGGAAUUGCCUCCAUGAAAUUUGCAUGCUCCUUUAUCUCCCCCAUUCUGAAUAUCUCCGUCCCUUGGUUGAAUCAGACAUACUUCAAGUGGAUCUUUAAAAAUAUUUUCCUGAAAAACCUUAUUCACCAACUUGUCAAUUGUCUCAAUUCUAAAACAAGAAUUAUCAUCAUAUGGAUAUUUCAUUGCUUUAAAAACAUUCAAUGAAACGAUAUCAUCUUGAAUUCUAAGAAUCAACUUCCCUUGUUGUACAUCAAUAAGAGCUCUUCUUGUUGCUAGAAAAGGUUGACCUAAGAUAAGUGGUACCUCAAAAUCUUCCUCCAUGUCAAGAACUAUGAAAUCUGCAGGAAAGAUAAAUUUGUCAAUUUUUACCAAAACAUCUUCCACAAUACCUCUAAGAUAUUUAAUUGAUCGAUCAGCCAGUUGAAGUGACACUGUGGUUGUUUUUACCUCACCCAAUCCUAAUUUCUUGAAAACUGAAUAAGGCAUCAAAUUAAUACUUGCACUUAAAUCACAUAAUGUCUUUUCAAAGUAAGAAUCUAGAAAUAGUAAAACUCCCUAGAUCUUUUAAUUUUGGAGGCAAUUUGUUUUGUAGGAUGGCUGAACACUCCUCGUUUAACUUCACAGUUUCAUAAUCCUCCAGUUUCCUUUUGUUCGCCAAAAUCUCCUUCAAAAUUUUUGCAUAACUAGGCAUUUGCGCUAAGGCAUCUACAAAAUGAAUGUUAAUGUGCAAUUUUUUUAAAUACAUUAAGAAAUUUAGAAAAUUGCUUAUCUAUUUUGUGCUGCUAGAGUCGCUGAGGGAAUGGAAUUAGCAGCACAUAUGGCUUGGGAUUAUUUGGAAAAAUUUUACUCUUGCUUGUCUCCUUUGAUUGUUUAUUGAUCACAUCUUCCUUGUCUCUAAUAAUCUCCUGUUUGACAUCUUCUUCUCCCACUUGUUUACCACUUCUCAAGGUAAUAGCCUUUAUGUUUUCAAUUGGAUUUUUCUUUGUAUUGCUGGGCAAAGAACCUUGCUAUCUCCCUGACAUCAUGCUUGCUAACUGACCCACUUGCAUCUCCAAAUUUCUAAUUGAAGCCUCUUGGUUUUGAAAUCUCACAUUCGUGCUUUUGAUGAAGUCAUGAGUUGUGUUAGCAAGUUUGGUGACUAUAUCUUCCAAAUUUGACUUUGUAUCUUCUAAUUGUUUGAAUCUCGGUGGUCUCGUCACAUUCUGAUUAUUCCAUGAAAAAUUUGAAUGAUUGCACCAUCCCAUAUUGUAUGUAUUGGAGUAGGGAUUAUUCUAUGAUCUGUUAAAAUUCCCAACAAAAUUAGAAUUUUCACUAGAUUGUUUAAAAGUAUUACCUACCUAACACGCUGUGCUAACAUGUCCUCCACCACAAAAAUCACAUGUCAAAUUUUAAAUUUUCAUGAUUGAAACACUCAUAUUAUCUAGCUUUUUGUUGAGUGCUUCAAAUUGUGUAGCAAUUGCAACAAAAGCAUCCACUUUGUGAACUCCGCUAACUUUUUGCAUUAGUAGUCUCUCAGUAGGCAAAUAAUAACUAUUGGACGCCAUCCCCUCUAAUAAAUUGUAGGCUUCUUCUAAUGUUUUAUUAUUUAGAGUUCCUCUUAUAGCUGCAUCAAUCAUAAAACGGAAAUUUGUACUAGAGCCAUUAUAAAAAGUUUGUACUUGCAUCCAUAUGGGUAGUCCGUGAUGUGGGCAUCUCCUAAGAAAUUCUUUGAACUUUCACAUGCUUCAUAUAAUGAUUCAUUAUCCAUUUGCAUAAAAUUAGUAAUAUCGUUACGUAUCUUCGCAGACUUUGCAUGUGGAAAGAACUUGCCAAGAAAUUUCUUAGCCAUAUCAUUCUAUGUAGUAAUUGAUCUCGUAGGAAGAGAAGAAAGCCAACUCUUAGCUUUGUCUCUAAGAGAUAAUGGAAAUAAUCUCAAUCUAAUAGCGUCAUAUGUAACUCCAUUAUAUUUAAUGGUAUAACAGAUUUCAAGAAAAACAUCGAUGUGAGCAUUUAGAGCAUCGCUUGGUAGCCGAUCGAAUUGCACUAAUUAUUGAAGCAUCUGAAUGAGUGACAGUUUGAUCUCAAAGUUGUUUGCUUGAAUUGCAGGUCUUCUAAUACUUGAUAUGGUGCCUUAAACUGUUGAUGCAGCAUAAUCUCUUAAGAGUCUACAUGGAUUUUCAUUAUAACCGUCUGCCAUCUUCUUAGCAUGAUUUCUCUGUUCUCUUAGUCGCCUUUUCAAUGUACGCUCGAUUUCUAGAUCAAGCUCAGCAAGUUUCCCUUGUUGGCUGUCAUAAACUAAUGUACACCCUGAAAAAUAAAACAAAACAAAAGUUAGAUUAAACUUAGAAUUAUCUGGUAUCAAUAUUAAUUAUUAUUAAACAAACGAUCCCUGACAACGGCGCCAAAAACUUGUUUGUAAAAUUAUAAACGCAAGUGAACGUGUCGAACAAGUAAUAUAAUGAUAAGAAAAAGUAUCGUCCCACGAAGAUCGAUGAUUAAUAAACUAAUUAAAUACUAAAAUAGAUUAAUUCUAAAAUUUAUCUAAUAGAUCAAAUUAUAAUUUAGAAUAAAUUAAAAAAAGUUGAAGACUAAAUGCAGUAAAUCAAUCAGAUAAAUAUGUUAGAGCAUCCGAUUUCACCAUAACCACCAGAUAUGAAUUUCAGAUUUUGUGGGUACAAGAACAAUAUCAAAUAUGUGAUAGCGGAAUUUCUUAAUCUAUUUACUAUCCUAUCUCUAGGUAUAACAAACCUACUCAGCUUAUGAAUCCACUAUAUUUCCAUGUGAAUUAAAAUAAACAUGAGUGCAUUAAAACUAUUAAUAUUCUCGGCGUACAAUGAGUCUUUUUGAUUUGCCUGGCAUGCCCUCACCUUUGCUAGCGAGGGCAUCGCGACCCUCACCCAAAGCUCGUGAAGGGCACAACACCCUCGCCUAGAGUUGGCGAGGGUCGAUUGGCCCUCACCUAUGGCUAGUGAGGGUUGCCAACCCUCCCUUGUGGCCGACGUUGGCCCUCACCUAUGGCUGAGGCCAGCCAAAUUCGAACCCCAUAAAAAAGUAAAAAAAAAAAAGAAUCAUAAAAAAAUUCAAAAUAUUAUUAAAAUAUUAUUUAUAAAGUGCCACGUCAGUGUUGGCCAUCCAUGUUAGCAAUUUUCAGCCAAAAUUGGCUAAAUAGAUUGAAUUGAUAAAGAAGUGAAAAAGUUUAUGAUAAAAUUAGCAAAAUUGAAAGAUUUAUUAUUGAAUUAGUAAAAGUGUAAUAGGUUAAAGACUUUUUGGAUAAUUUUCCUGAUUAUGGUUGAUACGCAUUUGUGGAGAAUUAUCAUCAUCAAGAAUUCAAUUUUUCUUUUCCUUUUUCUGGUCCAGUGACUGUAGUUAUUAGCUUAUUUUAAGAUGUGGAGUUAACAAUGGCAGGUCCUAGAGACUUUCAUGAGACUAUUCCACUACAAAUCCUUGUGUGAUGAAGGCUUUGUACAGUGCGGUGUGCAUUUAAAUUUUCCAAAUGCAUGAUUUAUUUGACAUAUAUUCCUUCAAUCUUUUUUUUUUUUUUGUAAAGGGUAAUGAUAUAUUGAGCUUUAACCAACAAAUAUACAAGAUCCGGCACCACAAAACUUGCACUCAACAAGACACAAACGUCUCAUUGAGUGAAAGGGCACCGGACACAAAACACCACAAAGCGGUCAACUCAAGCAAGGGCCGAAACAGGAAGCCCAAGAAAGUAGCCAUGCAGGGCCGAGACAACAAACUAAAAAGACAGACUAACCAAAAGGCCAUGCAAGGCCAAGAAGAACAACCCACAAAGCUAGACUAAGGCGCCUAGGUGGUCGGCAUAGGAGAGCUGAAGAUAGACGGGUCAAGGCCCCAAUUUCUUUGUAACCUCCUAUUUCUCAGGCAAUCUUCCACGCUUUUGAAAGUUGAGGCUUUAUCCUUCACAACUUUAAUAAGAUGCUUCUUGAUAGCCGCAACCAAUAUUCCUUCAAUCUUUCGUCACUGCUCAUCCGGAAAAACAAGCCAUUGUGGGCUAGAGACCGGUGCACAAUUGUCACAGAAGAGCUACUCUUAGGGCACGUUUGGUAAUAAUUCUGUUCCUGAGAAUAGAUUCUGAUCAGAAAUGAUUCUUUUUAUUUUGUUCCCGGGAACAAUUUCUAAGCAUUUUAAGUCGUUUGGAAAGUGUUCAAAAUUUCUAAUUCUGGAAUAAAAUUGUGUUUGGUAUCGUGCUCAUUGAAUCUGUUCCAAAUCAAUUUCUUUUAAUUUUUAAAUAAUUUUUUUUUCUUUUUUUCCUUUUUUCCAUUUAUUUUUUCUUUUUUUUUUCAUUUUUUUUUUCAUUUUUUUCCUUUCUCUCUCAUGUUCUUCUUCUUUCGGUGCCUAGUCGCUGGACCGACGACCAGCCAAACGAGGGCCUGUGACCUCACUAGAGCGUCAUCAGCCCUCGGUGAGGUCGGCCUUGUCAACCGAGCCUCACCAGCAACUGGGCGAGUUCGCUUGGCCACUAGCAAGCUCACCGAUGGUUGGGCUUGCCUUUGGCGAGCUCGCCGGUGUGGUUGCCAGCAACUGGCGACAAUGGUGACGGACAACAACCACAGGAUGGCGGUCAAUGAAGAAGAAGAAAAGAGAAAAGGGAAGAAGAAAAGCUGGUUUUGAUUCUUAGAUUUGUUCCCGGAACAAGAAUCGAGUUUUUUUUUUUCAAUCUUAAUUCUGCUCCAAAUCUAUUUCCGGGAACAAAAAUUUUACCAAACGCGAUUCUGUUCCCAAACUGAUCCCGGGAACAAAAAAUCAGAAUCAAACACUGUUUGGAUGGUUACCAAACAGUGGCUUACUUUCCAAAUAAUUUGUGGGAAACAAAAAGUCUUGGUCUUCUCCUUUCCCAAUCGAUUUUUAUAGUAUGGUACAUUGGGGAUGUUACUUCUGCGCAUGGCAAGUUUUUCUUUCGGGGCAUUGAUUAAUGCAAAAAUUGAAAGUUGAUAGCGAAAGGAGAAGACCUAACCUCUCUCUUUCACGAAGAAAGAGACUUCUUGUUUAACUCUAUAUUUGAACAAUUCCAAAACUUAAUAAUGCACAUUAACUCUUAGUCAUCGGGCAGCAAUUUUUGAUGAAAAAAGGCACACUAGUUCGUAAAUUUCAUCAGUUAACUUACAGUAAGGUAUAAUUAACUUUAGCAAUGUCUCCCUACAAAUCUUUAGAUUUCUUUGGAGAGACUAAUUGAAAAUCCCAGCUGCCAACAUAAUUGGACAAUGCAUUGAGAGAUGAUGUGCAUCCAAACUCAAUAACUUAUUAAUGAGGGCUUUGACACUCUCCAUCAUAAGCAUCUACAAACUUUUCAAACGAGUUCUUUGCCAACUAAUAAGCCAAGUACCCUUGUCAAAUUUCCAAUUGAAAUCUGUUUGCAGGAAAUUUUUUCAAGACUGACAAAUUGACGCAUGAUGCCUACAUGGGCAGGUCGAAUCACUUCGAUAAUCUAAAUCUAUUAGUAAGAAAAUCGACAUUAUCUGGAGUCUUUCCUUGGGCAAUAGUAAAAUUGUAUCAAUUGGUAACAGAGCCUAAAUAUGGCUGGUCUAGCACAUUUGAGAAGGCAAGGGCAACAUCUCCAACAAGAAUUGGAGCAAUCUUGAUUGUUAAGGCCUGACGAUCCCCACCCUAACCAAGAAGAAGAGAUUAACACUUUCCAUGAUGUUUAUUUUUUACGCAGCUUGUGAAGUGGCUCCUUUGCAUCGCUGGUGUUGGAAUCGCGAUUCUAAUGAUUUCGAUGUUAAAGUAGACAUUUCAAACUUCCAAGGCACUUUUCAAAAGGAGGUAAGGAAGUCUUGAUCAAAGCAGUUGUGCAAGCUAUUCCUCAGUACAUCAUGUCUAUCUUUAAAAUUUCGAUCUCCCUGUGCAAAUCUAUUGAACAGAAGGUGGCUAGAUUUUGGUGGCAAUCUCAAGGAAACUAAGUCAGGCAUACAUUGGCGAAAUUGGGACAUUCCCUUACUUCGUGGUAGCUUGGAUGAUCAAACAAUCGACGAAAUCCUCAAAAUUCAUAUCAGGCCGCAAUACACACAGGAUCAACUAAUUUGGAAGGGGAGAUCAAAUGGUAUUUAUACUGUUAAAAGUGACUAUAAUCAAAUUAGAUAAGGAGAGAGCAGAGUUAGUCAACAUCUGGCUUCAUCCUCCUUUCAACCUCCAAAACGACUAUGGACAAACAUUUGGAUGGUGCUGACUACUCCCAAAUUACAUAUCUUUCUAUGGUCUUUAUGCCAAAACACUCUAGCAACUGGCAAAAAUCUAUACUAUCGACAUGUUAUAACAGAUCCUAUAUGUUGGUUAUGUCGAGACUGUUGUAUUUCUAUAGUCCUUGAAUCUACAGAACAUCUAUUCUUACAUUACCCUUGGACAACUAACAUAUGGUCUCAUUUGCAGCUACAAUUCAAUGUUCAGCAAGUUCAUGCGCAUCGGUUCGAUGUCUGGCUACUGCAAACAUUAGAUAAGGAGAACAACUCAUGGGUUCUUGUGGUAAUUGUAUAUGUUUUGUGGCACAUCUGAAAAGCCAUAAAUGAUUUUGUUUUCCGCCGGAAAAUCCCCAACCCAAAUCAAGUUGUAUUUGUUGCUCUCACCCAUGCCUGAUCUUACCAGAGCUGCCAUGUGACCUUGCUGCAACAGAGUUCAAAGAAAUAGUAUCCAAUUGGCAACUAGAGAGGAGAUCGAAGUUAGGCGGCUAAUAAAACCCUUACCGUCACAGGCUAUGCUCGACCAUGUUCUAGGGCGCCACUAAAUUGACACCUUCGACGUCCACCUUCGGAACAAAUCUAGCGUCCCCCUGAUCGUGGUGUGCUGAAGAUAAAUAUCGAUGCUUCCUUCCUUACGGCCUUAAACAAAGGUAUUGUCGCUUGUGUUUGCCGUGAUUCCUCAAGUAAGUUGAUCGAUGGCUUUGCCUGGCGCACCAUCUUUGUUUCACCCCUGCAAACAAAAAUACAAGCCCUCAACUUUACACUACAAUAUUUACUCAAGAAAUGAAGGAAUCAACAUCAUCUCCUUUUAGCAUCCGACUAUCUAGCAGUGGUAACGGCGCUGCUUCAUCUUUUCCAUAACCUACAAAUGCGACACUGCAGAAGAGAAACAAACUUUGCGGCCAACUGGACCGCAAAGGCCCAUGGACAAAAUCUUCUCCCCUCUAACUAGGCCAAGUUCCCCCCUCCCGCUCUUUUCGAUCUUCUAAGUACUGAGGCGUUAAACUCCUGUAUUUUUGCUGAUCGUGUAUGAAGUUUUUCACCUUUCUGAUAAAAAAAAAAAAACUUCCAAGGCACUAUGCAUCGGAAGACUUCAUAGAUUGGCUCGACAAAAUUGAGCAAGUUUUUUAUUAUGAGAAUAUGGUGGAGAAUCGAAAGGUGAAGCUUGUGGCCAUCAAGCUUAGAAAAGCAUGCUUUGAUUUGGUGGGAAAAUCUAAAGUGUCAAAGAAAUCGUGAAGGAAAGCAGUGUAUCGAGACAUUGGAUAAAACAAAGGAGCUCAGGAGGAAGCAUGUCUCAAAAACGAAAAAUUGUCCAAAAAGUCCGAGAUCUAUUGUACAAUGGCUUAUUUAGCUCUAAACAUUUCAAUUGUGCUAAUUUAAUCUUAAAUCUUUUAAGAACUUAUUGAUAUAGUUUUAAACAUUUUAGUUGUGUUGAUUUAGUCAUAAAACUUUUGAUGAUUUGUUAAUUUAAUUCUAAAUAUUUUGACAGCUUGCCCAUCUAGUCAUUUUGACCAAUUUUGGUUGAAAAUCGCUAAUGUGGAUGUCGGCCGACCACCGGCCAUCUAUAUGGCAUAGCCAAUACUAAUGUGGACAAAUUUUGCAAUUUUCUUCUCGUCUUUUUAAUUUUUUUCCUUUUUUUUUCCCCUUUGGCUUGUGGACGAUAAUUAGCGAUGGCUAACAAUCAGCCACAAGCAAGGGCCGAUGAGGGUGCCUACAGCCCACAAUGGAUCUAGAGAAGGCUUGCUCGUGGCCUGGGAGAAGGCUGUCCUCAUCAGAUCGAACAAGAGCUCGACCUUUGCCUGACCACAGGCCAAAGAGAAAGAAAAGGAUAAAGAAACAAAAGGUAAACAAAUGGAAAUUUUUUAUUAAAAAAAUGCAAAAAUUAUCCACGUUAGUGCUAGCCAUGCCACCUAGCCAUGCCACCUAGGAUGGUCGCCCGUUGUCGAGUGUCCAUGUCACUAUCGUGACCUCUCUUUUGCCGUUUGGGGAAAAAAGAAGAGGUUUAGGAGUAUUCACGAGGCAGGCCAACGGCCCUCAUGUGACAUUGGAUUUUAUAUUUUAGUUCUUAACAACAUAUGUAUUUCUAGGAGUCGUAACUAGCCUAUUUGGGUCAUAUGUAUUUCUAGGAGUCAUAACUAGCCUAUUUGGGUCAAUUAGAAACCAAUCAAGAUGCGAGAGUGUUGUCUCGAUUCCUACGCAACCAGAGAUUUCUAGGAACGGGGACUUAUUUACGCCAAUGUUUCUAUUAGCAUUUUUGCGGUACUGCUAACUUGACUAAAAAUGAUCUUUUUAUGUGAAAACUCAAUUUUUGACCCAAAGUUGACUUUUGAUGAAAGGAUUGACCAAAAAGUUAACUCAAAAAUCAACCAUUUGACUUUUCUAGUUUUUAAUUAAAAGAAUGAAUAGGAAGGUGCUUAACAAUGACAAGACAGAAGAAAAAAAUGAAAACAACACUUUUUUGUUCAAAAAACAAGCUCUAUUGCAAUUGGCAACCCGAACCUCGAGUUUUUAUCUUUAUCGAUGCGUCAACUAAAAAUCAAGUGUCAACAACCUUAAAAAAAGUUUGGUUACCAAGUUGGUGAAUAGAGGGGUAAGAAUCUCAGACAAAUUAUUAGCCAUAUGAUUAAUCAAAUCAUUUUGUGUUCUUCAUACAUCCUCCUCACGGUGGCCAAUACUGUUGAAUUUGGGUCAAAUCCCUCCCCUAAUCCUUGGUAAAGUUCCGGGGGAUAUCACCGAAAUUCAAGCUCAAAUUGACAUCAUCAACUGGGUCUGCCUCCUUGUUGGAAUUUUCAAAAGAAGUCGGCCUUUCUCCCAAACCUUGCAAGGACUGAUUGUCCUUGCCAAUGGUAGUGCCACUCUCCUUGUUCCUUAUUCUUGCCAUAGACACCUCCUAGGAAUGGACCAUGAUGGUCCCACCGGAUGUGCCAAAAAAAUGUUAACAACUUCCUUGACAAAUAUCUUUUACCGAAGAGGCAAAUCUUGGGCCUUUUUAUGUAAACUAGGUUUUGUGUCAUUUCAAAAAGGAAGCGGCUAGUCUUACUCUAUAGACAAUAAAGAAAAGGAUAAAUAGGAGAUAAAAUGUGCGAUAAAAUGUAAACGUGCAAUAACAAGAUAGUCAAAAGAUAAAUGUUCUUGUGUUUUAGGAAAAGGGUCCUUUACAAUUGUGUUUCUUUGGCUAUUUAUAGUUAAUCUCACAAGUAACUGUUCUUUAGCAGUUAUUAUCUUCAAUUUCGAAUCACUUCUGGAGACUUUGGUACCACACCAAUAAUUGCAUCACCUUAUCCAUAGUGUCAUGGGCACCAAACUCUCAAAGUUGUCUUCAUUUUAUCGCUUUGAGCCGGAGCAAUUACUAAUUCCAACUCCUCUGUAUCUCUUGUAAUCGGCUAUUCUUCUCACGACUUGGGCUUAAUGGGCUUUCCUCUUUUCUACGCCCAAUGAGCUAAUUUUCGCGCCAACAUCAGUUAUCCAUUAAGUAUGAAGUUUUGACAAAUUAUACCACAAGCAAUGCAUCAGGACAGGUGAGUCCCUAAAAAAACUAAUAAAAGCAGCAAACCGAAACCGAGCGGCUUCAGAUGUGAACAAUGAAAAGAACUAUGUUCAGCAAAAAAAUCAUCGUAACGAACAAAGAAGUUCUUAAGAAGCAAUUAUAUUUUGACAAGAAAAUGCAGUAAUACUGUGUCAGAAACCGAAUGUUGUAUCAACAUACAAGAUUGUACCGAAGGCUUGCAACUUUUGGUACUAGUUCAGAACCUAAGGAUAUAAUCCUUCAAUCCUAAGACUUAAUAGGAUCCACACAUCUCCGGUCAAUCGAAGUUCAUCAUGAAUGGUUACCGAAUUUGUUGACACCUAAAUUUCGACGAUCCUCUCAUUCAUUUAUUGCAUAAAAAUUAAGAGACUAAACUUUAGCCCCUAAACAAAAAUAAUAAAUCGCAUUACAUAUAGUUAUUAGGAGCAUAUCUCAAUAUACUUGCAUAUUUAUGGACUGGUAGCUGAUGGGCUUAAGUUUUGAACAUAAUUGCAUUGAAUCGGGUUGGCGGCGGAUGAACUCGGGUAAAUGGUUUUGAGCUUUAUUGAAGUUAAGCCUGCAGAAAGUGAAAGAUUGGAGUAAGCUUCGUAAUAUAACCAAGUUUGAUACGAAUUUGGGAAAGAUUGAGCACAUUUUUCACAUGGGAUCUUAACAAGGCAUGAAAAAUCUUUGAGGAAAAAUAAAUAUCUUUAUUAAUAGAAGAUAAUCUCGGUCAACUUGGUGCAGAGAAGUGUGAUAUUUCUACGCAAAAAUAUACCAAAUUAAAGAUUGGGACACAUAUUUCUUGUUUUAAAACAAGAAAGAGUGCACCAAUAAAGAAAAUUUCAUGCGUCCUACGCAUCCAAGGGCGUGAGCAGAAAAGAAAAGAAUUCGUGGCCGAAAAUCAUGAAUAUAUGGUCAAUUGGGAGUAUUCACGCAUUUGAGGAAAGGAAGGAAUAAAAUAUAUUAUAUUGGGUCCUUUCCUUUGAAGGCCUUGGUUGUCCUAUAAAUAAGGAGAACGCUAACACUGUUGUGGGGGGUCGGCACUUCUAUUCUAAAAGGCACGUUGAGAGAUUUACAUGUGAGAGAGAGAGAAAAGAGAAGGAACUCUCUCUGCUGAACCGAGGAGCCCCAUGUUGUGCGAGGCCCUUUGCUGCAGCGUCACACCCGAGCCGCCUGAUUUACCGUCGCUACACUGUCUUUGCUGCGUUCCCCCUGCAGCAACGACAGACUCGCUGCUGUGACCUCUUUGCCUUUCCGACAAGCUGCUGAUCUGGUGCCAACCUCCUACCGUCAUGACCAAGCCUUGACGAGCCCAGCUCAACCGAGAUGUUGAUGGAGCUACUGCCUUCCUCGCGCUCAAUUGUUGCUUGAUUCGCUGUUGCCCUGAUGGGAUCAUAAUUUCUCCUUGCCGCAAUCACUCAAGCAACCCUCACAUCCCCGAUGAUCCAUGAUCUGCUGCUUUUGCUAUACCACGAACCAGCACACCCCAGGGACGCUUGAACCACUACAUCCUAGUUUGGAGUCGGCAAGGACUCCCGCAAGUUCCAUCUAGCCUGGCGAUGUCCUGAAGUGUUUUCUUUUGACUCACCGACAAUCACCAAACAGGCUUUUGCGCUUUGUUCAUAUUCAUUCUUUGCAGGUUUCGUCGGAGUCCAAAGAGGCCAACAUCUCUUGACUAGCAUGAAUACCACGUCAUAUACUGUGGCCACCACUUGCAAGCCUGGAGUCCAUAGUCCAAAGAGUCGUUAGAAUUUUGAUGAAAUAAGUCUAAGUGGUGAAUUGGUCUUCUACAGGUAUUGUCCAGAAGUGAAAUACAAAAGAAAAAAUUGUCAAAGCUUCCUCUCUGCGGCAUCACCUCGACGUCUUUGACUUUAGAUGAGCGGUCCACUAUGAUCCAUCUUGGGCGUCCUCGUUGCUGCCGGUCACCCGCCACACUGUGUUGCUCGCUGCAUGCCGUUGCUCACACCGUCGAGCAUUGCAAACCACCAUCGGUCACCAUUCGUGAUCCAUUGCCCGGCGCUCGAAUUUGGAAAGUUAUUGUCACAAUUAGGUAAUACUCCUUACUCGGUGCCAUUGAAUAUUUUAUCACCUAAUUUGUCUAUCUUAUAUCCAUUAAGCAUAUUUGAAUGAUAGGCAUAUCUCCCAAUUAAGAUUUAUUGCCCAAUUCGCAACCACACCUCGGUUUUUUAUUUCAUCUAUAAGGCUUUAGAUGAAAUAAUUAAUCAAGCAGGAAUAAAAUUGAUAUUUUGAUCUUUAAGGCUUAAGAUCAAUUUAUCGAUUAUUAUCACUUAAUCUAAAUGGUGUGUGAUAUCUUUGAUGAUUUUGAAUGGUCUAUCUUGUCUCCAUUGCUUUAUUCAUCUUGAGAUAUGUUUAAGUUAGAAUAUCGCAUGCUUUAGGGUUAUUUGCAUAUUUAGAGUAAGCAUUUUAUUUAUCAUGAAUUUUCGAAAUAAAAAAAAUAAAUUUAGGAUGUUAGAUUUUCAUUUCAUUAACCUAAAUUGCAUGUUUAAUUAUUUAACAAUUUUAAUUUCGAAUUUUAAAAAAAGGAAAACUUAGAAUUGGACCAUUCUUUGCAUGUCAUCGCAUAUUAGGAUAGAUUGCAUGCUUAUUAAGUAAAUAAAAAUCAUGUGCACGUCAUAUAGCAUUAGGUUCAUGAAAUGCAUGUCAUUUAAUAAUUAUUGCUAGGUCUAUUUAAUUAGAAAUUACAUGUCAUUAGAAUUAGGUCAUUGAGUUAAUAUUGCAUUGCAUAUUGCAUGAUUUUCAUUAAUUAAGUGAAAACAAAAAAAAAUUGCGUGUUAAUUAGAAACCAUAUCUAGGGUUGUUGAUGUGGAUUUUAAUUUAACAUUGUAGAUGUUUUCAUUGCUUUGAGAUAAGUUUUUGCAAUUUUAUUUAUCGUUUAUCUGGGUGUUAAAUUGGUGGAUUGCGCACCCGCAUGAUCACCUCACAUGUUAGGGAAAUAGAUUUAAAAUCAAAUGGUACCGAAAGGGCAUUAGAGGAAUCUAGUGUAACCAAGUCCCUGUACUCAUAAUCUCUGGUUCGUAGGAGUAAAGUAAAACUCCUGUUACUUUACUUGGUUUCUAAUCGACCCACCAAAAAUAUAUUAGUGGCAACUCCUAGAUAAAAUCUAUAUGUAUGUUAAAAAAACUUGAACCUAAGUCGCGAAUUGGUAUAGGCUUAGGAGAGCCGAGUUAAGUCUAGGCUUAACAAUUCAUUAGCCAAACCCUAGGUGGUUUACACCCAAAAAUUUGGUCGCGACAGAAUUAGAUUACUGCUUCUUGGCUUUCGGUAGGAAUUCCUUUUCUUUUCUUUUUUUCAGUUGAAUACUAGAAGUGGUGCACAUGGUACUCUUGCACCAAAUUAAGAAACAGAAUUCAAUGGACUCGAAUUCGCUGAAAUAUUUGGCUUGAAGGAUUUACAUCAAUCAUUUGCAAUGCCACAUUCAAUGCUAAUCAAUCAUAUUUUUAUCAUCUCAACUCUAAAUUCCCAUUGAAGAGCAAUCCCUUUCUCUCUCGACUUUGAGAGUUUUCCUCUAUCCAUGGUGGUAGCUACCCCCCAAAACCCUAAAUCUCCAGGAGCUUUCCUUUACCCAAAACCACAAUCCCCCUCUUUGAACCAAUGAAGCCCAUCACAUAAUCCUCAGAAACCCAACCCUAAUAUCUUUCUCUAUAAAAAGGUGAAGUCUCAAGCAAUGGAACAAUCCUGCCAUCUAUCUUCAGAGAAUUCUACCAAUGCUUGAUGAAUCAUAGCUCUGGCCUCGCAAAAGGUGGGAUGUGACCCUUCUCUUCAUGGUCAUCUUAUGGGCAUUCUGAUUAUGAUGUAGUGGAAUGGGCUUUGACGUUUUUUUCUCGAAAUACCUAGAUGGAAGUAGACUGUAUGUAGUAAGUAGAGAGGGUCUUGCCUUGUUUGAUCUUGUGUUGGUUCUUGUUACUGGCCUGNNNNNNNNNNNNNNNNNNNNNNNNNNNNNNNNNNNNNNNNNNNNNNNNNNNNNNNNNNNNNNNNNNNNNNNNNNNNNNNNNNNNNNNNNNNNNNNNNNNNNNNNNNNNNNNNNNNNNNNNNNNNNNNNNNNNNNNNNNNNNNNNNNNNNNNNNNNNNNNNNNNNNNNNNNNNNNNNNNNNNNNNNNNNNNNNNNNNNNNNNNNNNNNNNNNNNNNNNNNNNNNNNNNNNNNNNNNNNNNNNNNNNNNNNNNNNNNNNNNNNNNNNNNNNNNNNNNCCUGGGCCAUAUGUGGUCGGAGAAUGAUGUAGUCGAAGUGAUCAAAGAAAUCCCCCCAGAAAAAAAGAGAACAAUGUAAUCAGACCAUUUUUGGGAAGCUAUUUUCCAAACCAAAUGUCAACUUCCAUGCUUUUCUUCAAAUUAUGAAGAAAGCAUGGAGAACAGAAUAGGUGAUAUGCACACAAAAGGAACCAGGUUUUUUCUCAUUCGUUUUUCAAUCGGAGGAAGACAAUGAGAGAGUUAUGAAAUCUGGGCCCUGGUCUUUUGCUAAUAAUCUAUUAGUACUUAAACAAUGUAAACUUGACAUUCUAGAGCACUGUUAUAAUUAUUCUCAAAGUGCUUUUUGGGUGCAUAUGAGAGGGAUACCCCCUGGGUGGAUACUAGAAGAAGUGUUUACUGAUCUAGCAAGAAAGGUAGGCAGAGUUCUAGAAAUUCAGGUGGACUUUAAGGGAAACGAACUACAUAAAAGUGGAAAAGUAAAAGUGGAAGUGGACUUAUCAGCUCUACUAAAAUCGAGGGCUAUUCUGGAUAUUGGAAACAAGAAGCUAUGGGUGGAGUUUAAAUAUGAACGGCUGCCGCACAAUUGCUAUUCGUGUGGAAGAAUUGGUCAUUAUGCUACUAAUUGCGAAGAAAUCCUGUAUGGGCAAACAGCAUGGGCUGAAAACAAAGCUGGAAAAUAUGGACGAUGACUUAAGGCAAAAGUGUAAGACCACAGCCCCCACUGGGAAGCAAUCUAUGGCAAACUAGAAGAAGAAAUUACUGUGGAAGAAACAACACUAGAAAUUCCUCCUAUAACCUACUAAAUGGACCUAGUGGCCAGAGAUGAAAUCGACAACUUGGCAUCCCCAAAUCGCAACAAGAAAAGGGCUGAAAACUUAAAUGUGCAGGAGGCACCAAAAGAACCAGCAGACACAACUAUGAAGAUUACAGAUCAUAGCAAAUAGAUUAUGUGCUUCAAAGCUAAUAGGCCGAUCCUCUCAAAAGUUGGGAAAUGCAGCAAAAAAAGUAUGAAGGUGUAGAGGGCGAAAAAAUAGAAAUGCAUAAUAGAACAAACUCCCAUGUUGAUUGAUGAGAUGGAGCUCUUGGAGACCCUUAUCCAGUUGAUCAAAGAUGGUAAUGAAUGGGCUAUGAUGACUAGCCCUAAUAAGCCACCGGCGACGAUAUGAAAAUCAUAAGCUGGAAUUGUUAGGGGCUGGGCAAUCUCCUAACAUUCCAGGAGCUAAGAGCUCUAGUAGCUCUUGAAAGGCCCAACCUGGUCUUCUUGAUGGAAACAAAGAACAAAGCAACGAUGGUGGAGGUGUUAAAAGGUGACUCAACUUCCAAAAUCUAUUCCUAGAAAAUCCGGAAGGAAUUGCGAGAGGUUUAGCAAUUUUGUGGAGUGAGGAAGUGGUGUUAAAGGUAAAUGACAGCUCUAAAGAAUUUAUUGAUUUGGAGUGCAGAGAUCCAGAUAGUGGCUAACAAAUGAGGAUAACUUUUCUCCAUACAUCGAUGAACUUCAGGGAGAGACUAAAGCUAUGGCAAAAGUUGAAGGAUUUUCAAUUAUCAAAUCAUUUACCGUGGAUAUGCAUGGGAGAUUUUAAUGAAAUUUUAUAUAUUUGGGAGAAGGUGGGGAAAAGAGAAGCUGAUAAUCAUAGAAUAGCAGCGUUUCAAGAUUUAUUAAAUGAGUGUUCCCUAAUAGAUAUGAACAGCAAAGGCUGUGCUUACACUUGGGCAAACAACCGGGAAGGGGAGGCCCUUAUUAAAAAAAGAUUAGAUAGAGUCUUAUGCACACUGGACUGGAGAAUUACCUUUCCCGUAGCUGAAGUACAGGCUCUACCAGUAAUUGACUUGGACCACAGCCCUCUUCUCCUGGUAUUGCACCCUAAAAGUAAGAAAAGGAAGAGGGAAUUCAGAUUUGAAGCAUACUGGUUAGAAGAUCAAGAGUGUGGAGAGAUUAUCAAGAGAACUUGGAACAAAACGCCAUUAAGCCAGAUAAGUUUCUCUAUGAAAGUCAAUGAUAUUUCUACGGAGCUUGUUAAGUGGAGCAAAGAAAAAUUCACCAACGCACGACGUCAUAUCAAGGAGCUAAACAAAGAAUUAAUAGAGAUGACCAACAAGAAUUUUGAAAAUUCCAGCAGGAAUGAAGCAUAGAAUAUUAUCGACAAGAUAGACAAACUAUGAAAACAAGAGGAAAAUCUUUGGGGGAUGAGAGCACGCAUCAAUUGGCUGCAAUGGGGAGAUAGGAAUACCAAGUUCUUCCAUGCCACAACUGUACAAAGAAGACAAAGGAAUAGAAUUACAACGCUGCAAAUGGAAUAUCAAAGCUGGUGUAGGGAUCCGGCGGCACUCAAAAAACACAUAGGGUUUUUCUAUUGAAACUUAUAUAAAUCGGUGGGUCCUAGGAACUAUCAACCAAUCCUAAACUAGUGUCCCAGUCCAGUAAGUGAGGAAAUAAAUGAAAAUCUAAUGGCAAAUAUUACCCUUGAAGAGGUGAAAGACAUGGUUUCCUAACUGGGCUUUUUAAAGGUCCCUGGGCCCGACGGUGUAAAUGGGCUUUUUUUAUCAACAAUCUUGGGAGGAUAUUAAGCUGGAUUUGUUUCAACUAGUGCAGAAUUUCUUUGAAACAGGUAUCAUCGACCCCCUCCUCAACAAAACACACAUUUCCUUGCUACCAAAAGUAAAAAACCCAGAAAAUAUAGGCCAAUUCAGACCUAUUAGUUUGUGCAAUGACAACUGCAAAAUCAUCUCAAAAGUUAUGGCAAACAGACUAAAGAUUUGGCUUCCAAAGAUCAUAGAGCUUGAACAUAAUGCCUUUGUACAAGGGAGGCAAAUACAAGAUAAUAUUUUCAUAAUUCAUGAAGUCUUGCAUCAAUUGAGAAUAACAAAAAGGAAGAAAAAGUUUCAGGCGAUAUUGAAACUCGAUAUGCAAAAAGCCUAUGACAGAAUCAAAUCGAACUUUUUGAGGGAUUGUAUGCUGAAAAUGGGUUUUUAUGAGCGGUGGGUAUCUCUAAUCAUGCAACGUGUUUCGAUGGUGUCCCUAAGUGUGAAGAUAAAUGGGGAGCCUACUCCAUAUUUCACCCCUUCAAGAGGAAUUAGACAAGGUGACCCUCUUUCCCUAUAUUUAUUUAUCCUAGUAGCAAAUGUUUUGACUAGGAUGAUGAACCAAGCCUUAAAGAAUAGAAGCAUUAAAGGGAUAAAGCUAAACAGGUUCUGCCCUACACUGUCUCAUUAACUCUUUGCAGAUGAUGCCAUAUUUUUCUUGAACGGGACUAUAGUAGAAUGCCAAAACUUAGCAAAUAUUCUCAACCAGUACUGUUUUGCAUCGGGCCAAGCCAUUAAUCUAAACAAAUCAGGGGUAUGUUUCAGCGGCACUUGUCCGUUAUUUCUGAAAAGAAACUUAGCACAAGAACUUAGAGUCCCAAUAAUAGAAAAAAUAGGGAAAUAUCUUGGAAUACCAACAGAAUGGGAUCACUCAAAGAAGGAGAUGUUUGCAUGGAUUCUAGCAAGAAUAAACUUGAAGCUAGAGGGAUGGAAAGAAAAAUUACUAUCCAAAGUAGGUAAAGAACUGAUAAAGAGCGCUGUACAAACCCUCUCUCAUUAUGCGAUGUCAGUCUUUAAAUUGCCUAUCUCCAUUUGCAAAACCAUAGAAAAAGAAUUGCUUCAUUUCAGUGGCAGAAAAGCGAUUCAAAAGGGGUCUGCAUUGGAAAAAAUGGGAAACAUUAAAAANNNNNNNNNNNNNNNNNNNNNNNNNNNNNNNNNNNNNNNNNNNNNNNNNNNNNNNNNNNNNNNNNNNNNNNNNNNNNNNNNNNNNNNNNNNNNNNNNNNNNNNGUGAAGUAGAAUUUUGAAGGCAUUUAUUUUCCAAACGGAGACUUGUGGAAGGUAAGAAAAGGGCAACGACCGUCUUAGGGAUAGCAAAGCAUUUUAACAGGGAGAUAAGCCAUAGAAUUAGAGGUUAAAUGGUCAGUUGGGGAUGGCCAAUCUAUUAACAUACAAGAAGACAAAUGGCUAAAGUCUGGAGUGCUUGGAGGCCCAGCUAACCAAAAUGAACCAAUUGUGGUGGCAGAACUUAUCAAUGAAGACUCGCGGGUAUGGAAGGAAAGUUUAAUCCUAAAUAUUUUUGAAGAACAAAUAGCAAAUGAGAUACUUGCAAUACCCAUUAGCCUAUCCUCGAAGGAUGAUUAUCUAGUAUGGAUAGGUAAUAAAUCAGGGACAUACACUGUGAAGAGUGGGUACAAUAGGGCCUAUUCUAACGCCACAAGAACAGAACAAAAUAGAGCAACAUGUUCUUACAAGCCUCCAAGAUCCCUCUGGACAAGAAUUUGAAGUCUAUCUAUUCCCCUGAAAAUGAGACCUUUCCUAUGGAGCCUUCGCCAAAACGCCUUACCAACAAGGGAGAAUCUGCAUGAAAGGAAAAUGCUACCCAACCCCUAUUGUCCGCUUUGCUCUACACAUGGAAACAACAGAACACCUAUUUCUAUUUUGCAAAUGGACGAAAAAAAUUUGGGCAGAUCCACAAAUCAACAUUGAGAUAGCUAGUAUAAGCACCUAGAGGGGGGUGAAUAGGUGCACAAACAAUUUCUCGAGCUACGGAAGCAAUUCUAGGCAAACGAUAGAAAAGAAAAUGCGAUCAAAGCGAAGUAAAUGUUAGGCAAGAGAGAAAUGAACACAAGAUUUAUAGUGGUUCGGCUUAUUCCAAGCCUACGUCCACUCUUCCGCACUGAUAGCCCACCGGUUGGAUUUCACUAUGAACAAAAGAGAAGUUACAGCACAGCUUUUCCUUGAUUUCACAGUGUAGAAGUUCUACCACAUUUCCUCAAGGUUUCUCACGAAUAUAGACUCUCUUUUGUUUACACGAUUUUGCUCAAUAAAUGAAUUGACUAAGAACAAGGAGCUUCAGACUUUGGAAUUCUUCUAUUGUGCACUCCCUCGAACAACUGGAACGCCUUCCUUAUAUACUCCUUCAUGCCAUCAUACUCGUUGGCACUUACCAAAGAAAUUCCUCCAAUCUACCCGUUGGAUGGAAUCAAUUAGGAAGAUCAUUCGAGCUAUUAAAGGAACAUGUCGAUAGUCCAUCAAUCAUGUUUGCCCAUACAAUCAGGAUCUCGGUUUCCAUAAGUAGAUACUUCCAAGUAUACUUUGCCACUCAUCAGAUCCUUAAUCUUCGAAUCAAUUAUGAUCAAAUAAAGAAUUCCAUUGUGUCAUAUCCAGCCAAGAGAUCUUCUCCAGUCGAUAAGGCCACAUCCGUNNNNNNNNNNNNNNNNNNNNNNNNNNNNNNNNNNNNNNNNNNNNNNNNNNNNNNNNNNNNNNNNNNNNNNNNNNNNNNNNNNNNNNNNNNNNNNNNNNNNNNNNNNNNNNNNNNNNNNNNNNNNNNNNNNNNNNNNNNNNNNNNNNNNNNNNNNNNNNNNNNNNNNNNNNNNNNNNNNNNNNNNNNNNNNNNNNNNNNNNNNNNNNNNNNNNNNNNNNNNNNNNNNNNNNNNNNNAAAACUUUGACCUGCAAAACAUUUCUUAAACACAUAUACAUAUCUUAUAGAGAUAAAUGACUAAAUGAAUAACGCUAGAAUCUGCAACCACAGAAAAUAGGUUAGUCUAGUAUACAAUAAAGCCAUCCAUAAGAUAUCAAUAGUAGUUAAUAAUAAGCAGUCAAAUCCAAAUCCAAAUUUAGUCCACAUCUAGACACAUGACUCAAAAGUCAAGUCAAAACAAACCACAAACCAAACAAGCCAAAAGUUCGACAAAGUUCGACAAAUUUGAAUUCAAAGUUUUUCAAGUCUCACAACUCUCCCCCUUUUUGUCAGAAUUAAAAAAAUGAGAUGAAAAUGAAGUCAAGGAUUCUUGGGAACACGAACAAGCUGGAAAUCUCCCAUCGACUGAACGAUACUUUCCAACCUUUUUAAGUCUUCCUUCAGCUGAGCAACAUCCUCACUCUUAGCAUUAGCCUGAAUCUGAAGAGAAAUGGCUUGGAUUUGAUCAUUUAAUGAACCCGAAGAGACUUGUCCUGCAUUUUGCAAGUUCUGAACUUCACAUCCCAAUGCAUAUAUCUGACCUUGCAUCUCCAAGAGAAUAUCCAUCACUCUGCGAAAGUCUGCUGAAUUGUCGGUCUGCGUACUGGCGUUAGCACGAUCUGAUGGAGUAAAUGCAGACGAUGGUAUAUCAGCAUAAUCACGCAGAUUUGGCGAAGAAACCUCAUGACCUUCCUCAGGAAACUGAGAGGCAUAAAUAUCCUCUGGAUCUGCUGGGGAUUGACUGACUCCCUCACUGGUUGCAGGAUUUGAAGUCAUUCCUCUUUUCUCUUGGUCUCCCCUUGUGUUCAUGCCNNNNNNNNNNNNNNNNNNNNNNNNNNNNNNNNNNNNNNNNNNNNNNNNNNNNNNNNNNNNNNNNNNNNNNNNNNNNNNNNNNNNNNNNNNNNNNNNNNNNNNNNNNNNNNNNNNNNNNNNNNNNNNNNNNNNNNNNNNNNNNNNNNNNNNNNNNNNNNNNNNNNNNNNNNNNNNNNNNNNNNNNNNNNNNNNNNNNNNNNNNNNNNNNNNNNNNNNNNNNNNNNNNNNNNNNNNNNNNNNNNNNNNNNNNNNNNNNNNNNNNNNNNNNNNNNNNNNNNNNNNNNNNNNNNNNNNNNNNNNNNNNNNNNNNNNNNNNNNNNNNNNNNNNNNNNNNNNNNNNNNNNNNNNNNNNNNNNNNNNNNNNNNNNNNNNNNNNNNNNNNNNNNNNNNNNNNNNNNNNNNNNNNNNNNNNNNNNNNNNNNNNNNNNNNNNNNNNNNNNNNNNNNNNNNNNNNNNNNNNNNNNNNNNNNNNNNNNNNNNNNNNNNNNNNNNNNNNNNNNNNNNNNNNNNNNNNNNNNNNNNNNNNNNNNNNNNNNNNNNNNNNNNNNNNNNNNNNNNNNNNNNNNNNNNNNNNNNNNNNNNNNNNNNNNNNNNNNNNNNNNNNNNNNNNNNNNNNNNNNNNNNNNNNNNNNNNNNNNNNNNNNNNNNNNNNNNNNNNNNNNNNNNNNNNNNNNNNNNNNNNNNNNNNNNNNNNNNNNNNNNNNNNNNNNNNNNNNNNNNNNNNNNNNNNNNNNNNNNNNNNNNNNNCUACUCACACCAACCUUUGAUCCAUUGAUAUUUUCCUCUCUCAACUCCUAACACAUCUGCCAGCAUAUCCAUAUCCACAACAAAGUCUUGAUCUUUGAUACUGAAGGAGAAUCUAUUCGCAUCCAAGAAACUAAGAUUUGAAUAGAAAUAUGCAGUUAGUUGAGGAUAGGCCUCUGUGGUGUCAGAACAGAAUUUCUCAAGUUGAAGAUGACCGAAAUUUUCCCUUAAGUUCACAUUUACAGCAUCCAGAAAGUCAAAAUCCACACUUCUAGGGUUUAUCACCCCAUGCUUCAGCAAUUUUGAGUAUAGAUCCUUCUGUUCCUUCGAUCUAAACAACUCUCCCCUUUUUUUUCCUCAAUUUUCCGCCGCAAUUCCCAUUCUCGGCUGAAAUUCGCUGUAUAAUUUGUCAUCAUCAUUUCCAUCCACCAGAUUAGAUCCCCAAUCACGAGGGUCACUUGGGAUAUUCGCAAGGGAUUCUUCUGCCACCCCCUUACGAGCAAUUCCCAAACUUUCCAUUUUUCGCAAAAAGAUAUAUUCAUUUCCAUAUUCUUUGUCCUUAAGAAAAUCAUCCACAUAGUUUAAUGGAGUACUAGUUCAUUUUAAAGCACGAUACAACUUACAAAUAAAAGAGGGCCUUUGACCUCUUACAGGAUCUACAUCUUCAAUGAUUUCUUCAUUUUGAUGAUCAACAUCUUGAGGACUAGAUGAAGGAGAAUGACGCUGUUGAGAAUGUUGUGGGCUCUGCUGCUAAUUUGGAGACACUUCUUCUUCAGUGAGAUCGAAGUGCGUAGGCCCCUCACUCAUUCGCCGUGGUCCCCUGCUUGCGAUCCUCGAAGACUUUCUUAAAAACAACAUCUUUCUUAGUCUUUGAAAGAUUCCUUGCUUGACUUUCCCAAGAAAGAUGACAAAUUUUUCAAAGAUUAAACAAGAGAAGAAAAUAGGAUUGGAAGAUCGGUGCUUUUUAGGGUUUUGGAGUCAAGCGAAGAGAAACCAACUGUAUAUAAGACAAUCGAAAGAAGGGGAUACCAAUCGUUCUAAUGGAAAGUGAAAAGAUACCUUUAAAAAAAUAACUGCAUUUUUUGAAAAAUGGUCAUUUCAAAAUAACUUCUUUAUCUAAAGGAAACGAUGCAAUAAUCUCGUCAAUUAAAGAUAGCGGUUGAGAUAACAAUAAUCAACACGGUUGAUGAACGUACCUUUUCAAGAUGAGAUUAGAGAGAGAAUAACUUAUAGUCAAAGUCUUGCAGUCAAAGUCUUAUAUGUCUGAGUCUGAGAGUCUCUAGACUUUAACUUCUUCGAACCUCAAAAUGUUGAGUCUAGAACGGAUAAUUUUAAAUUGAUUUUUCUCCAAAGGCUUUGUAAAUAUAUCCGCCAGUUGGUUCUUUGAAUCAACAAACUGAAUCGUAAUUUCUCCAUUUUGAACAUGAUCUCUAAUGAAGUGAUGUCGAAUCUCUAUAUGCUUUGCUCUUAAGUGAAGAAUUGGAUUUUUGGUAAGAUUGAUAGUGCUGGUGUUGUCACAUUUAAUCUCCGUGCAUGAAUCUUCAAUUCCAAAGUCUCUUAGCUGUUGUUUUAUCCACAGAAUUUGUGAACAGCAACUUUCAAAAGCUACAUAUUCUGCUUCUGCUGUAGAAAGAGCUACUGUACUUUGCUUUCUUGAAAACCAAGACAUUGUCCUGCCUCCAAGUAGUUGACAUGUACCUGAGGUGCUCUUUCUAUCAACUCUGCAUCUGGCUAAGUCUGCGUCUGAGUACCCAAGAAGAGUAAAGUCUCCCCUUUUUGGAUACCAGAGACCGAAGCUUGAAGUUGAUGCAAUAUAUUUGAUAAUAUGCUUUGCAGCAUUAAAAUGUGAUUCUUUAGGGUCUGCUUGAAAUCUGGCACAAAUGCAAACACUAAACAAAAUGUCAAGUCUAUAAGCAGUAAGAUAAAGAAGUGAACCGAUGAUACUCCUGUAUAACUUUUGGUCGACUUUCUUUCCUCCUUCAUCUUUAUCUAUCUUCACGGAGCUUGACAUUGGUAUAUCAGCCUUUUUGCAAUUGUCCAGUCCAAACUUCUUCACAAUAUCAUUAGCAUAUUUUUCUUGAUGAAUAAAAGUUCCUUCCUUCAAUUGUUUCACUUGAAGUCCAAGGAAAAAGGUUAACUCACCCAUCAUGCUCAUUUCAAAUUCAUCCUACAUAGUCUUAGAGAAUUUCUUACAUAGACUUUCAUUAGAGGAUCCAAAAAUAAUAUCAUCGACAUAUAUUUGAACAAGUAGAAAACUCUUGCUUUCUCUUUUAAUAAAAAGAGUAGUGUCUACUUUACCUUUAACAAAUCCAUUUUCAAUUAAAAACUUACUAAUGUGUCGUACCAAGCUCGAGGAGCUUGUUUCAAGCCGUAUAAAGCCUUUUUGAGUCUAAAAACUGAGUUUGGUUUCCUUGGAACUUCAAACCCAGGUGGUUAUUCCACAUAGACUUCCUCUUGGAUGAAUCCAUUUAAGAAGGCACUUUUGACAUCCAUUUGGAAUAACCUGAAAUUCUUAUAACAAGCAAAAACAAGUAAUAAUCGAAUUGAUUCUAACCUUGCUACUGGUGCGUAAGUCUUAUCAUAGUCUAUCCCUUCUUCUUAUGUGUAUCCCUUGGCCACGAGUCUUGCCUUGUUUCUUAUGACUUUUCCUUUCUUGUUCAUCUUGUUCUUGAAAACCCAUUUAGCUCCAAUAACAGACUUACCAUUUGGUUUAGGAGUCAAUUCCCAUACAUCAUUAAUACUGAAUUGCCUGAGCUCUUCUUGCAUAGCUUCAAUCCAGCUUUCAUAAGAUAAAGCUUAUUCUAUGCUUUUGGGUUCUAUUUCAGAAACAAGAGCCACAGCACUAGACUCUUCGCGCCUUUUGGAUCUUGUGCGAAUUCCUUCAUUGAUGUCGCCAAUAAUAAGAUCUUUGGGAUGACUGGACUUAUGUUUCCAGUUGCUAGUUAAUUUGUCAGAUUGAUGGUCACUUCCUUCACUUGAAUCUUCAACAGUCACUUGUUGCUGGUCCUUCAAAGUCUGAGUUGUUUUAGACUUUGUAGAUUCUAGAGCAGGUUCAGAUUCUUCAAGAUGAGUCUAAAUGGAUUCAUUUUGCAUAGAGUCUUGAAAUUUAACAUUCAUUGAUUCUUCCACUAUUUGAGUCUUCUUGUUGUAGACUCUAUACACUUUGCUUGAGAUUGAAUAUCCAAGGAAAAUGCCUUCAUCUGACUUUUCUUCAAACUUACCAACUCGAUCAUUUGCACUUUUCAGUAUAAAACAUUUGCAUCCAAAUACAUAAAAAUAUGAAACAAUAGGCUUCUUUUCUAUGAAUAGUUCAUAGGGGGUUUUUUCCAGAAUAGGCCUUAGAAAAACUCUAUUUAUAAUGUAACAUGCUGUAGAAACUACUUCAGCCCAAAAACGUGAAGAGAUGUUACUUUCAAUUAAAAGAGUUCUAGCCAUUUCUUGAAGAGAUCUAUUAUUUCUUUUCACAACUCCAUUCUGCUCUGGAGUAUAUGGAGAGGAGAAUACAUGUUGAAAACUAGAUUCAUCAUAGAAUUUUGUAAAAUCAUGAUUUUCAAAUUCACCUCUAUGAUCUGUUCUUAUACUCGAGAUAACAUAUUCUUUUUCAUUUUGAACCUUUUUAGCAAACUUUUCAAAGUAAGAGAAAGUUUUAGACUUACUUGCCAAGAAAUAUACCCAAGUAAAUCGUGAGUAAUCAUCCACAAUUACUAGGCAGUAUUUCUUACCUCCAAUGUUUUGUGUUCUGGUUGGUCCAAAAAGAUCCAUAUGCAGAAGCUGCAGUACACGGUUAGUGGAAACUUGAUUUAUUGGUUUAAAGGAAUUUCUUACCUGUUUUCCCAAUAUACAUGGUGUACAUAGAUUAUACUUUUGGUAUGAUAAAUUGGGUAGACCACGAACAAGCUUCUUUGCUGAGAUUUUGGCUAUUUCCUUCAUGUUGACAUGCCCAAGCUUUCUGUGCCAUAAGUUUGCUUCGUCUUGGAUUGAGAUUAAACAUUGUGAUUCAUCUAGUUUCACAUCCAAGAGGUAGAUAUUUCCAUGUCUUUGAUCCAUGAAUGACUGAGUAGAAUCUUUACUAAUUCCAGAACAUAUUCCCUCUUGAAAGUUGAUUUUGAAACCAGUAUCACAUAGCUGACUAAUAUUGAGCAAAUUGUAAUUGAGCCAUUCUACUAAGGAAACAUUGCUGAUUGUGAGAUUUCCAAUCUUUACAGUUCCAAAUCCCACAAUUUUUCCUUUGCCGUUUCCUCCAAAAGAGACUUUUCCACCAUUUACUUGAACAAUCUUUAUGAAGUAAUUUGAGUCUCCUGUCAUGUGUCUUGAGCAUCCACUAUCUAGAUACCAUUUUACCUUUUUCUUGAUAGUGACAUGCAUUUAAAAAAGAAACUCAAACCUUCUUUGGUACCCAUAUUUUCUUGGGUCCAUUGGUGUUAGUUUGAUAUACGGUUUUUGCCCAUUCCUUUUUAACAAGUUUCCAAAUCAUGGGACAUUCUUUUACAAAAUGAUCUGCACUAUUGCACUUUGAGCAUCUGAGAGCAUUGUGACCAACUGGUUUUACAAAGUUCCUUUUAAAAUGAUUUUUGUAAGCAUCUCUUGUUGGUCUUUGUUUGAUUCUUUCCUUCACUUUAGGAAAAUCAAUUAAAGGAAUGGUUUCAGCAGUCAUUCCCAAACCAGAUUUAUUGAAAUAAGAUCUUUGAACAGAGAGAAUUUUUUCCAGUUUCUCAGAUCCUAUAGAAAAUCUUUUGGAAAUAUUUGAGAUAUCACAUUUCAAGAAUGCAUUUUCUUUUAAAAGAUUGUCUUCACUUUCUUUAAGAGAAGAAGCAUUCUUGUCUAAACAUUUCACUUUUUCUUUCAAAAUAUUUUCCUGUUGUUUUAGAGCAGAAUUUUCCUUCUUGAGUUCGGAAAUUCUUUUAAGAGAAGUCUUAAGACUAAAACACAAUUCAUCAAUAUACUUUGAAACCUUAAUAGGGAUUUUGAAGUUACUUACCUCAAAUUCGCUUUCUGAGUCUAAAUCUGUCUCGGAAUUUGAAUCUGAAUCCGAUUGAGCCAUCAGACAUAUAUUGGCAUAUUCAUCAUCACUUUCUUCACACUCUGUAUCACUCCAGGUUUCAGCUUUAAGAGCUUUUCGAUUUUUUUUUCAGUUUUUCCUUUCUUCUUUCUCAGAAGAGGACAGUUGGGUCUGAUGUGUCCCUUUUUCUUGCAUUCAAAGCAGACUACAUCUUUGUUUGAUUCAUCAUCCUCAACAGACUUAGUCUGUUGCUUUUGAAAACUUUGUUUCUUUGGAUUGAAUCUUCUUCCUUUUUUGUUCAGCUUUCUUAAUCUUCUUAUCAUGAGAGCAAGUUCCUCAUCAUCCAUAUCGUCUUCAGAAUUUGUAACAUCAAAAAUCAUCAUUAGAUUUUAAUGCAAUGGAUUUCUUACCUUUAGGGUCUUCGUCUUCAUUGAUUCAUUCCACUUCAUAAAACUAAAGAGUCCCAACUAACUCAUCAACCAAAUAGUGGCAUGAUUCUUUGGGUCUCUCUGAUUGAGGUCUUUAUGUGAUUCCAAUCCUUGGAGAGUCCACGCAGCAGCUUGUUUACUUUCAUGGGAUCAGAAAUUAGUUGACCUUGGUUUUCAAGACCAUUCACGAUUUCUGUAAAGCGACUGAACAUAUCCGUUAUAGAUUCUCCUAGUUUCAUUUUGAAGACUUCAUAUUGACCGAGGAGAAUGUUGAUUCUAGUCUCUUUUACUCGAUCGGUUCAUUCAUAGGUAAUAUGUAAUCUAUCCCAGACUCCUUUAGCUGUAACACAAUAAGAUAUUCUAUUAUAUUCAGUAGGGGAUAAAGCACAAUAUAAAGAAUAAAUUGCUUUUGCAUCAAGAGCUUGUCUCUUGACUUUCUCCUCCUAAGUUAUUUCGCUAGACUCAACAACAUUUUUUCCUCUUUCUGAGAUAGAUGCAGCUUUAGGAAUGAUUCCUUGUUCUACAACGUCCCAUUCCAGAGGAUCCUUUGAUCUUAGGAAUGCUUUUAUUUUGUUCUUCGAUAGGUUGUAAUCAUUUCCAUCAAAGUAAGGUGGUCUGGUAUUGUUUUGCCUUUCUACCAGUCCUGGAGUCAACAUACUAGCCAUGGAUCUUAACUCUGAAAUAAAACACUUCAACAAAAGUGAGUACACAGGCUCUAAUACCAAUUGAGAUAGCUAGUAUAAGCACCUAGAGGGGGGGUGAAUAAGUGCACAAACAAUUUCUCGAGAUAUGGAAGCGAUUCUAGGCAAACGAUAGGAAGGAAAAUGCGAUCACAGCGAAGUAAAGGUUAGGGAAGAGAGAAAUGAACACAAGAUUUAUAGUGGUACGGCUUAUUCCAAGCCUACGUCCACUCUUCCGCACUAACAGCCCAUCGGCUGGAUUUCACUAUGAACAAAAGAGAAAUUACAGUACAGCUUUUCCUUGAUUCCACAGUGUAGAAGUUCUACCACACUUCCUCAAGGUUUCUCACGAAUAUAGACUCUCUUUUGUUUACACGAUUUUGCUCAAUAAAUGAAUUGACUAAGAACAAGGAGCUUCAGACUUUGGAAUUCUUCUAUCGUGCACUCCCUUGAACAACUGGAACACGUUCCUUAUAUACUCCUUCAUGCCAUCAUACCCAUUGGCACUUACCAAAGGAAUUCCUCCAAUCUACCUGUUGGACGGAAUCAAUUAGGAAGAUCAUUCGAGCUAUUAAAGGAACAUGUCGAUAGCCCAUCAAUCCUGUUCGCCCAUACAAUCAGGAUCUCGGUUUCCAUAAAUAGAACCUUCCAAGUAUACUUUGCCACUCAUCAUAUCCUUAAUCUUCGAAUCAAUUAUGAUCAAAUAAAGAAUUCCGUUGUGUCAUAUCCAACCAAGAGAUCUUCUCCAGUCGAUAAGGCCACAUCCUUAAUGAAACAUCCAGUUUUGGAUAACCUUUCUUCAACGGAUUAGAAACUGUCAAUGAGGAUAGACUUUGAGUCUUGAGUCUAGCUCUUCGGAGGUCUUCAGACUUUAAACAGCAGAGUCUGCAAGCCUUCAGACUAGACUGAUGGAAACGUUUUGUCAACUUCAAAACACUUCAAGAGGAUUUCUCCAACAAACAUCAUUAGAAACCCAAGCAACAUAACAAGGUGUGAUCAAUGGCUAACGGAAGUGUUCGAAAGAAGUGACAUCUCACCUGAAAGAGAACUAGUUGCUGCUGUAUUGUGGAAUAUCUGGAAGACCCGAAACAAUUUCAUUUUUCGAGCAAAGCGUCCCCAACCAAUUGAUCUUGUAGAUCUCGCAAUAGCACAACAAAAAAAUUUCAGUAGAUGGCAGAAUCAAAAAGGGCAAAAACCCACAACUCGAAGCCUACCGAUUAGAUGGACGCCGUCGGACAGAGACGAGAUGAAGCUAAACGUCAACGCCUCAUGGACUCCAGGCGAUUUCCUAGGUUCAGUAGCGGGAAUUGGGCGAGAUCCGUCGGGUCUCGUGGUUGAGGGCUUCGCAGUGCAGAUACGGGCGUCUUCUCCUCAACAAGCAGAAGCCUUAUCUUUGCUGCAUGGUUUCAUGUACUAGAGAGGAAGAGAAGCCGUGCAUGUAGGCAUAGGAACUGGUCAAAGUUGCAGAUGGGUGCUCGAAAGUGACAAUUCAACUUUGGUGGAAGCUGUGAUGGGUCAGGCCGAAACAUCGUGGGACUUGAAGGAAAUUGUGGAACCGUGCAAAGAAGAAUUAUGCCUUUUCAAAUCAGCAAGGGUAGAAUAUUGUCCUUGCGAGGCAAACCGAGCGGCAUAUUGGCUAGCUAACUCUCACCGAACCAAAAAUCUCCCUGUAAAUUGGGUGACUUUUACUCCUCUCUCCCUUUCGGAAAUUCUAUGUUUAGAGUUUUACCCAUAGUUGCCUUGUAAGGCUCACUUAUUUUUAUGAAUGAAUGCAAUAUCUAUUUUCGACCCAAAAAAAAUUAUAAAUUCCCAAUCCUUCAAAGAGAACGUGCUGAAAUAUUUGGCUCGAAGGAUUUACAUCAAUCAUUUUCAAUUCCCCAUUCUAUACUGAUCAAUCAUUUUUUUAUCACCUCAACUCUAAAUUUCUAAUCCUUCAAUGAGAACGUGCGAAAGCCAGAAGAAUUUCAUUAUAAACCACAUAAGUACAUUUACGCGAUUAAAAUCGAGAGAUAUUUACUAACUGAGCUUCUGUAAGCUAGAAAUUACGAGAACCCUUUUUUAAUUAUCUUCAUACGUGUGCUUUCUAGCGUUUAUGCUCCAAAAAAUGAGAUCCAAUUUCUUUUCAGGAAGGCAUACAUAGAUAAGUAUUUCUCUCCUCCGUGAGAGCUUCUCCAUUAUCCUUACUCCUCAAACGGGCUCUCUAUAUUAUCAUGAGUCAUUUCCAUGUGCUUUCUAUUUUAGUUGACUAGUCCCCUCGCCAUUGUUCCAUCCCAUUAGUAUUCCUAUCACUACACAUUGCCCCUAACAACCAUUCGACGAUAUUUCUGAGUCGAUUCUCUGCUGACCCAUUUCUUUUUUUCUCCUUACAGGAUGGCUGCAGAGGUUCCAUUUAACAUCCCAAGCAUCUCUGCCAGACGAUCUUCUGGGGGGAUCAAAUUGGACUUGGAGCAAGUUGAUGAUAAGGAUGCUGAGAUGGUUUUGAAUGGAAGGAUUUUGUCGGAGGAGGAAUGCUCGAGUCAAGCUGCAUAGCUAAUGUUUUAAGGAAUGCCUAGGCUGGUAUUGGUGAGAUUCCCAUAACCCCUCAAAUUCAUAGGACAUAAGGAAUGGAGGCAUUCCAGCCCAAACAUACUCCCAUCCUCGCCUCAGCAUAGAUCGUGCCAAAAUGAAAAUUGAAGUAACAUGCCUGCCCACGCAGGACUAGGACGCUGGUGGUGGGCCGAUGCUGGACCAAUGCUUUUGGCAGCGGUGGUGCUCCACGAUAUAUCGGCCUCCGUUCAUUCCAAUAGCGGGUGCGGUUCAAUCUGGAUUGCGGAUUGCUUCUUCAGGCCCCAGGCAAUGCCAAAAAAUGGCUUCGUUAAUCGACGGAGCGGACCUCCCACGGCCAUGACUAUGAAGUUCGCCAGCCUCAUGAGAUCGCAGAUCUCCGUCGGAGUGAAUCAACACAGGUUGCGACGUCCAUGGCCCUGGUUCAUGACCAUAGCUGAAAUUAAAUGAGCGGAAACAACAGCUUCCAUUCCUAUUCUUACAAAAACAGGUCCGGUAUGAAAAUUUAAUGUAAGAACACACGUUUGAUAUGUCAUUUUUAUAUAUUCUUACACCUCGGUCUCUUUAUAUACUAUUCGUGUUUAUUAAAAAACGAUUACAUAAUCCUUUUAGAAUAAUCAUCUUAAUGAAUGGGAAAUUACUGAAGUAUAGAUAUUUGUUUCAGUUGAAAUUACUGAAGUUUUCCAAAAACGAAUAGAUAGUUUUCCAAAAAACAAUGUGGGAAAUUACUGAAGUAUGGCUUUCACUUAUGCAAAAAAUCUUCUUCUUUUUUUAAUUGUUCUGUGAAGGCUGUAUUUCUUGUAAUUUUGCAAGUAAGGGGAUUGCAGUGUUGUAAGAGAUGGUUGAGUCUGUAAGUUGAAGGCCGGAACACUAUAAAUUUAUCUUACAAUAUCAUCCAUCUCUUCACCUUUUUUAUUAUCCAUAUAUAUAUAUAAACUACUGCAUCUAUAUAACUAUGUUUCUUUUGCAAAAGCUAAUUUUCUCCCUUUUAUGAGAUGUUAUAAUUCUUUUAAAAUUCACCCUUCUUGAGUUUUACAUUAGUAGUCAUCUCAAGAGUAGAGGAUUAUGUUAGUUUUGUUUUUGUCGUUGGAGUAAUCUAUUUUAUCCAUACUAACAAGAAUUGUAUACUGAUACAAAAAACAAAAAAAGAUUAAUACUACAAAAAACUCAAAAUUGAUAUAUUUAUAACAAAUUUAUUCCAAUUUUUUUUAUUAUUAAAAAUCCUAAAUUGGUACAAUGACAAUAAAUUUAUCCUCCAUUAAUUUUCAUUAAAUUGAAUUAAUAUCAUGAAAAAACAAAAAUUGGUACGCCUUUAUAACAAAUAGAGAAUAAGACCCCACAUUAAUACACCAAUAAAUUGUUAUAUGUCAUUUAACUUAUUAAUUUGAUGAUAAAGUUUAAUAAAAACUCAUAGAAGAUGAAUUUGUCACAGAUGUAAUAGUUGAAGGUCUUUGGCAAUCAAAAUUUUAAUUUGAGAUAAAUUUAUAAUAAGCGUAUCAAUUUUUGUGGUAUUAAUCCAAAACUAUUUCCUUUUCUUUUUGAAAACAAGAGAACUAUUUACCGACCAAAAGAAAACUAUAUAAGAAACCUGACGUUAAGGGUGAAAAGAAAAGCCCAUGUGAUUUGUUUUUUUCUUUUUUUGGUCGGAAAAAGCCAUAUGAUUAAAAAAACUCAAGAAGGAAACGAGACCAAAAGCUUCAGAUGGGAGUCCAUUUCUGAUUCUUAGUCGUCAUUCGAGUUCGCGUGUAUUGUCUUGCGGAAUCGCUUUGCCACCAUCGACCUCGUACCGAGCUAGAAGACCCUUUGACUUCAAUCGUAAUUUGUCGAAGACGAGGCAUAUUCUCUUCGAUCACGAGCUUUCCGAUUUCUUUGUUGACUGCGAAUUGUUCGUUCUUGGUUCGGUUCUUCGAUACCCAGAAAUCGUUCGAUCGAUAUUUGAUCAAAAGCAACAAAUUUUUCAUCUGGGUAUGCUUAAAAGAUUGGCUUUGAUUGCUUUCGUUGCGGUGGUAGGUGAGUCUGUGCUCGCGGUACAUUUUCGUGCUUGAUUCUUGAGAAAUUUGCCCGGAUAUGAGAGGGGAGUGAUUUAGGAGUGGUGAGAAUGCACGACUUAUAUACCCAAAUGUUCGCUGGGUAUGCUUGAAAGAUUGGCUUUGAGUGCUUUCGUUAUGGUGGUAGGCGGGUCUGUGCUCGCGGUACAGUUUCGUGCUUGAUUCUUGAGUAAUUUGCCCAGAUAUGAGAGGGAAGUGAUUUGGGAAUGGCGAGAAUGCGCAAGAUAUAUACCCAAAUGUUAGACAGCAUAAGGCAUGAUUUUCUUUUUUCUUUGAGCUUUUUGAUAUAUUGGUUCACCGUUCAAUUUUUCAGUUGAAUUUGGUGGAAAUCAGAUUUCCUGUAGCAGACUUAAUUCGGGAGGAUAUAUUGAAAUGCAGGUAUUACUGAUUACCUACGGCUACCAGCUCUUUGUUCCGCUGUUUACACACGAUGGGGAGUGAAGUCUAUUGUUUUCAAAAUUAUGCACCCAGAAUCAGAUCAUUCUUGAAAAGAAAAAUUCUUAUGGUGAAAUUUACGCUACGUUAUCAUAUUUAUGUACUGAGUAAGUCAUUUUGCAAUGCCGGUUAUCUCAUGAAGCAGCAGAUUUGAUCUCCUGCAAUUAUAUACAUGGAGGAAUUGCUUUCUGCUUUUUUCUUUAUGACCCCAGGUUGGUUGUGGAUCCUAAUGUCGAUGUGUGCUUGUAUUUGUAGACAUCGAGGGCAAGGCCAUUCAAGGAAUACAAAGAGGUGCAGCGAGAGAAGGGAGCUGAUCCAGACAUUCAGUUGGUUUGCAAUGACUCAAACAUAUUUAAGUGGACUGCUCUUAUCAAGGUGAGAUUGAAUGGCUGAUGGAGGUAAUUGUCAAGAAAAUGGUGCUGUUGCUCAUAUAAAAGAUAUGGUGAUUCUCUCUUUCAUUAGGGACCAUCGGAGACUCCUUUUGAGGGUGGUGUUUUCCAGCUCGCAUUUGCUAUACCUGAGCAGUAUCCACUGCAGCCACCUCAAGUUCGUUUCCUGACUAAGAUAUUUCUCCCCAAUGUGCACUUCAAGGUAUAAUUUGUUUGUAUAGGAAUGCUUAUUGAUGAUAACUUAGUUGGAACUAGUUGCAGUGCAUGUGAAUAGGUCAAAGGGUGAACUGAUUUACUGUGUUGUUUGGCGAUCAAUGUUUCUUCUCAUCAAUAUCUAUUAUGUUCAGAAUCAGAAACUUGAAAGAGUUGCUAGUUUUAGGGUGUUGAUUUAUCUGGCACUUAAAAAAUAGAUAGAGGUGCAGAAGCUGAGAAUUGGAGACUUCUUUGACACUUUGUCAGGAAACAAUCUUGACCUGUAUUUUUCCAAAUUCUGUUUCCAGAGAAUCUCUGCAUGAAUAGAUUUUCUGAUAACUACUAGCUUGGGAAAAUCAACAGAGAUACCUGAUGCAUAAGUAUGAGAUGCUGUAAGUGUUUGUUUGACUAAUAGAUUGACAUUUUAAUUUACUUUAUACAGACAGGGGAGAUAUGCCUUGAUAUUCUGAAGAAUGCAUGGAGUCCUGCCUGGACACUUCAGUCUGUUUGCAGGGCUAUAAUAGCUCUCAUGGCCCACCCUGAUCCUGACAGCCCACUAAAUUGCGAUUCAGGUAUCAAUGAGUUUUUUUUUUUUAAAAAGAUAUAACAUCUGUAUCUAAAAACUCAUUAUUCUUUCAUUAGUACAUAAACCUCAACCAGAAAUUUCCUUACCUAAAGUCUUUGUAACGCCUAUUAUCUAAGUGGCCUGGUGUUUAAUAUUUGUUGCUUGCACCUCUUGCAAGGAGUGCAUACUCGUAUGCUUGCAUGUUCACUGUUUCGUGAUAAAAUGUGGCACUGUCACUUCCUUAAUAAUAUCUAGUUGAAUGUUGUCUCACUUACAUUUAAACUAUGCAGAGUCAGGGCCAAGAGCCUAAAGUUGGUAGAGUCACCUUUCUUGGUAUAAAAAUCUUGAUUCGGGGUUUCCUCCACCUUCCCACCUUGUGAAUACCACAACAAGAACAAGAAGCCAUUGCACUUUAUGGAGUAAUAUUUCCUCCCCUCAGCCAAAAAGAGAAAAAUGAAAUUCCCUCUAUACCGCCUGGUUACAGGAAAAGAGCAAAACUUUAUAGUGUAGUUCAUAUGAGAACAAUCAUACUCCAUCCUCCUUGAUAUUGACAUAGACUAGUUGUAUCAGUGCCAAAGAGGAGUGCCCUUGACAUCUUGCGGGGAUUCUUGAUAGGCUGCUUUUAGAAUGAGGUGCAAGAGUGUCUUUGAUUGAACUUUUCUGGAAAUAACAAGGGUAAGACCUUUGUAAUCGUUUGACAAGUAUUGAGAGAGAGCGUGAGAUUUCAGUGGGAAUCUUUCAUGCUCCUUUUCCACAUUUUGUUUCCUAAUCCUAUCUCAAACGAUACUUCAUAUCAAAUCUUUAUUUCCAAUAGUCAGUUUGUUGGAUCAGAUAUAGAGGACAGUAGUGCUGCGACAAGUGAUAAUAGUUGGAUGUCUUUGCCUCGAUUGAGUAUUCACAUAAACACAUUCUGUCGUUCUGUCAAUUACGCAUGAGAUUCUGGGGAUUAGAUGAAUUAGGUAUGAUAUGAUGCUUCGAUUUCAACUCAAACUCUAUCUGUUAAGAACCUUGAGAGCUAUUCAUCUUAAUCAUUCAUGCAGUCAAGCAUUCUCAGGGUUUGUUGAUUGCCUUCUGGUGGGCCAAUAUAUUAUAUGGCAUAAAAGAGAUAAUUUCAACAAUGAAGUGAUAGAGAAUGGUAAUAAAGAACAAAUGCUUGUACUUGUUCAAUGUAACAGUUGAUGGUUAUUUUUUCCUAAUGUCCUGCCUGUAAUGGUCGUAGUGUAUUAGAAGAGAGAUCAUGUUUUCCUGAGGUAAUCCUUCAGAUGAGAAUGUGGAGCCCCUGGGCAGGACUGCCUGCUCUGCAUGAAUCCACUGUUGUGUCGAUCAUGUUCUUCUACUGCUGUCCUUAAUACAACUCUUCACUCUGCUCGACCAUGUGUGGUGAGGCAAACCUCUCGUUUCCUUUUAUUUCUCUCUAGGCAGCUCUCUUGCUCAUGUUGCUGCUGAGCUCUUGGAAUCAUCUUUGAUGGGAAUUAGGCUCCUUGAAAGGCUAACUGUGAGAUAUCUUGUCUGAUCACUCAUGGGAGGAAAUAAAAGAUUAAAUAAAAGAAGCUCUCACUCAACUGACAGGAAUUGUUCACAGCCAGUGAAAGGAUGAAUUUUGGUGCAGCUAAGAAGAUGAGAAUUAUAAAUAAAGCACAAUUGCAGAGACUAUCAACAGUUGAUCUUCCUGAAUUUGAAUGAAAUUUAAAAGAAAAAUUCCCUUGGGGGUUGCCAAACUUGAAGGAGGUUCUUAGUUAACAUUAUUUUCUUUAUGUCGGGUUCGGUUGAAGUGAGUUUAUAUCCCCACCUCUCUCUCUCUCUCUCUCUCUCUCUCUCUCUCCAGGGUAAUUCCAUAACUCAGGUGUGGAACUUCUUCCUAGUAGUCAUUAGAAAUGCACAUGCUAAAUCUCAUAAGAAGGGAUGGCUUAUUAGUUCCAAAUUGAUCUUGUAAUCCAGGGAUGAAUCACUUCUACGUCAAGGAUUAGCUUAGAAUGAUGAUUUGCAGUGUGUACUUGCCAAGCAUGAAGUCAUUGCUUCUGGAAGUUCAGUUCAGGCUGAGAAAACCUCGCUGGGACCUUCUGGCACCAUGACAGAUGUCAAAGGUCCUCUACUUGAUAUUGUAGAUAACAGCACAAAGCCUGAUGAAAGGUAACUGUUUCAUUAGUCAUGAUUGCAAUAUAUAAACCCCAAAUACUUGUUCUGUGGCAAAUUAUGACGUUCAGCUGAAGUCUGUGAACUGAGCAGUGCUACUCUUAUGAUAAUUUGAUAUGGAUAUUUUUUGCUAAUUUUCUGCUGUUUGGUAAAACUUGGUGGAUAUUUAUACAUUGAGGCUCCGUUUGUUUCAUAAAAAAAUGACUGGUUUGGAAAAUUUUUGCUGAAAAUGACCAUUUAUAUUGCUUAUAGAAAGGAACGAACGAAAAAUAUUUUCAUCGUCCACAAAAAUGUUUAUACACAAAUUGUUGUCGACAAUGAGAACAUUUUCUGUUGACUAAUUAUUUUAAGCAAAAGCUAUAUGAUGAAAAUGUUUUCCAAAUCAUGUAUUUUCCGCAAAACAAACGUAGUGGAAAUUUAUCAUCUGUCUUUGAUCCUCUGGUUGUCAAGACCUUGUCUGGUGCAACUUUUGCACAGCAGAUUUGGCUGUGAAAAUGUGUGUCUGCAGCUUUUAUGAGCUGUUUGUCAAAUUCUUUACUGCUGCAGUGCCCUCAAANNNNNNNNNNNNNNNNNNNNNNNNNNNNNNNNNNNNNNNNNNNNNNNNNNNNNNNNNNNNNNNNNNNNNNNNNNNNNNNNNNNNNNNNNNNNNNNNNNNNNNNNNNNNNNNNNNNNNNNNNNNNNNNNNNNNNNNNNNNNNNNNNGCUUUACCAGGCAGAUCCUUAGUAGUACUAUUGAUGUGAUUUAGGUCUUGAGAGAAGAAGAAAGGAGAGAGGAAGAAAUGUACCAAUGCAUCUUGUACAUGUGCUCAUUAUAUACAUGCAAGUACAAAAUGAUUGAAGCAUGCUGCACUAAACAUUUAUCUUGUGGCUUAAAUUGAUCUAAGAUCUCAAAUAUUUGCUCUUGAAACUUUGUGUCUAAAAAGGCUGAUUAAACUUUGGGAGAUUGCUGUCCAACAUUGUGCAUUCAGUUCUUGAGUUCCGAGUGUUUCUAUGUCUCCCAAUUUGCUCAUAGGAUCGCUAGGGAUCAUACUUAAAAAGCUAGUCUAGAUUGACAAGAGAGCAGCCAUUUUUUUGGGUUAAACACCUGCUGUCUCUCUCCACUUAUUACUUGAGAUUUACACAAAGAUCGGUUCUGUUAGUGUUAUACAGCAAGAAAUUUAUUUGAUACAGGAUAAGCAUGAGUAUACAUAAGAAUUCGGAUUUACUAUAAUAGAAUGUAAAAUGAAGUUAUCACAACUUCACAAAAAUUCUAUUCUAACGGAAAAGAUUUACGUGGUAGAAUAAGACCAUUUAAAUUACAGACUUUGUAAAAAUAUUAUAUUUAAUAAUUGAAUUUUGUUAUAUUUUUGUGCUAUCUUAUGAAAGUGAUGCAAGCCUAGGGGAGGCUUUUUCAAACAAUAGGAUCGGGAGAGUGACUCGCGCACAAGAAACGGGACGAACAGUAAUUUCAGCACUGCGCAAGCUCAGGAGAAUAGUCGUAUCUUUGUCGAUACAAAUCGGAUCAACCUGAUUCCAAAGCCAAAUGAACAAAAACUUCUGGAUCUACAAUUUCUGUGUUUUGGGUUUUUUGAAAUAAGCACUGUAGGAUAGUCGAAAUUGGGUUGGAAGUAACGAACAGAACAGGAAAAGAUAGGAACUUCGUUGGUUGCUCUUCUAGGCCUCCAAGGAAGUUGAAAGGGACACCGAUUCUUCUAGAUCGAUGACUGCAACUCUUCAAGGAUGCAGAUUUCAAAAGCUCCGACUCUUCAAGGACGGAGUGAAAAAUCUUCUAGGUUUUCAAGGGGAUGAACUCUACAAGGUUCACGAUACUUGCUUCAAAGCAAAGUUUUUCAUUCAUCAAAAGCUAUCUGUCUUCUACAAGAAAUUGGGCUUAUAUCAUCAAAGAAAUAAAGAUAGAGCAUUGAAAACUAGGAGAAAUAAAGGAGCAUUGAAAUUAGGAGAUAUAGUAAAGGGCAUGGAAACUAUAAACUAGUAAAAGCGUCACGCGAGCUUCCAAGGUGUCUUUCAAGCUUCCGGGAUGGACUCAAGAUGUCAUUAUGGCUUCUCGGUUUCGUCGAGCUUUAAUGCGGGCCGAUCUUCUUGGUCGAGAGAGCCGGUCUUCAAUGUGGGCUGCAUCAGAAAGUUAAUAUGAAUAUUAUACUUAUUCUUGUGGAUGUGAUACUAUAUAAUCACCUAUUAACAUUGGCAUGUUAUAUCCUUAAUAGACUAAUAAUAAGAUGCAAAAUAAGUUCCAAGUUCAGCAAACACCCAGGAGAGGGAAGUAAAACUGAAAAUCAUGUACAUAUGUGCAUUUUACCUGAAAGUACCAGUAAUUUACUAUUAGAGGAUAUUGAACACCAGUUUCUGGCCAGUUGAGCUAUAAGAAGUGGGAUUUUCUGCAGAUCAUCAUCAAGUGCCGGUACAGGGUCCAUCAUCAAGUGCCGGUACAGGGUCCAGCUAAACUUGAUCCAAAAACGGACCUUCUCAGUGGAGAGGACUACAGCUUUCCUAAGGCAGAGACUUCACUAGCACUAGUGCCUGUUGGACACCCACAGUCAACUGCAUCUCAGUCACGGCAGAAUGGACUUGUUCUUUUCGAUGUGUUUUCGGACAGUAACAACAAGCCCAAUACUAUCAAUACCCAGAGUGGCUAUCCAACUACACAAAGCAAUUCUUCUACUCCUCAAUUCCAACAGCAGCAGAAUCUGCAAGCUCCACAACUUGGGGUUUAUGCUAAUGGCAACAUGCCAAACAUGGGAUCGAACGAGCAUGAUCAAUCACCUUAUUCUCAAAGCUCUGUUCCUGUUUGGAAUGGCCAUAUUGCGCAGCAGCAACGGCCUCCCUCUCCUGUCUAUGGUGCACUUCUGCUUCUUCAUCAGUACUUGACAUUACUUUCUUAGUGAUGCGUAUUUUGUCGGUUGGCUUGUACUGUACAACCUUAUUUGGCAUGUACUAGGGGCAUGCUUGGUAUUCUUUUCCAGAUUACUGAGUUGCUAUGAGACUUAAGUCCUUUUGGCGAGCGUUGACCUCUUCUUUGUGGACAUAGCUGAACUCCUAACAAACAAUCUUACAAUCUGUUGAGCCUACGGUUUUGUGGUGUUUCGCAGGUGCUCAAACUAGUGAUUCGCUACCACCACCCCCUUGGGAAGCUCAGUCAGUGGAAAACAGUCGGGUGAUGGGCAGUCAGUACCCCCAACCAAUGCAAGGUUCAGAGGUGGUCGUCCUGCAUGCACAACCUGCACUGAGUGGAUUGCAUCUCCAGGCACCUUGUCCAAGGGAAUGAGCAAGCGAUGGACAUGUACUUGCAACCAGUUGCGGGUGGCCACAUGCCAUUGCUGAAUAGCCAGGUUGUUCCAAUAAACCAAAUGGUAGGACUUACCACCUCAGCCCAUCCAAGGAGGUCCUUAUAUGGGGAUGGUUCCUCUGCCAAUGCAAGUAGAUCAGAUGGCUUAUUUAUAUCCCCAGCAAAUGUAUGGCAGCCAGGUGGCAGCCUACGGCUAUGGCCAACAAGGUGCUCAGUACCUUGAUCAGCGGAUGUAUGGGCUGUUGGUUAGAGAUGACAGUAGCCUCAGGAACUCUUCAUACCAGGUGUCCACUUCAUCGUACAUGCCACCCAUGAAGCCUUUGAAGCCAGAGGACAAGCUAUUCGGAGAUCUCGUUGAUAUGGCUAAAGUGAAAUCGUCUGCAAAAUCUACUCCAGGCAGAGCUGGUAGAAUGUAGCAGUAGUAUUUGCGAACCAUGUUUUGCUUGUUAAGUUGAUUUCUUUUGAUUUUCUUAUUUCAAAUUUUUCUAUUAUACAUAUUUGGCAGUUUCUUCUGUUUGUGGCCGUGUAUUGGCACUGCUUGUUUGAGAUCAUGUACAUUCUUUGUAAAGGGAAAGAAAAGGAAAUCUCCUCAACCUUUUAUCUCUUAUCAGGGCAGAACGGUUAAUAAGUGCACGUCAUUAAGUUGAUCUAAUUCUUAUAGAAUUUCGUAGUUAGAGUUGGUGCUAUAGAAGAUUUUUAUGAGAAUUAGAGUGCUGAGAGAAGAAUUUGUCAGAAUGAUACCAGGAUUUUCAAUCUAGCAUGAUUAUUGGCUUUUGAUUUUGAGCAUACCGUCAUCGCAAUGGUCUCUCUUAUCUCCAGAAGAUGUACUUGUCAAUGAAGGUUGGAUGAGUGAGUUUGUAUAGGUGUGUGUACGUUAGAGGAACUCUUCUUCAGCAGGGGAAACUAUGUCUUGCUGUUCUGAUCUCAUUUUCGUGAAAUGUAAAUUGCUUGGCUUUUGGUGGUGUUCAUAUUAUGCUAUACUUAGUAUCAUCGCUAUAUUUGUGGAAUGUUUUGGCCGAAAGUUAAUCUCCGUCGUUUUUCUUAGAUUUUAUGUAAUCUUGGAUUUAGCAAAUUCUCGGCAAAGUUUACGGUACAAGAGCUUUCCUGGGGUGACUGUCUAUUUUGUUUUUUUAAUUGCCCUAAAAAGGAACAGUGUUGUUUUCCAUCAAUGAUGCUUCAAACUUUCAUGAUUGUGGCUAGAUAGACCUCCUAGAUUGACCCCAGGACAUUCACUUCAAGAUGAGGGGUGAUUCUCCCAUGAUCAGAUCCGGGACUGACUUCAUUGCAGAGGUGACCCUUUCUUCUCGUUUUUGCUUUCACGACCAGGUACGAGGAGAAUGACUUCAUAGCGAUUCACGGGUACCAAGAUCCUGAGAGCGUUUGGAUGAGACCAUUGCGUAAAACGGAGUGAAGACGUUAAAGUACCUAAAGAUGCUCCGGCAACGGUGAUGCUUCCAGGGAAAUUCUCGCAUGCGCCCGAUAACGCAAAGCAUCGGAUUCGAUGAGUCUCGCAUGAGGCUCGCAUGCUCUAUGGUUCAUACGUGCAUCGGGUGUAUGAUGCAAAAAUGGCCCGUGAUGCGAAGACGAGAAACGAAAUACUUUACCCGUGAAGGAGAUAUAUUUUUUGGUCAGACCGACGUUUUUUUAAUCCAACGGGUUAGCCAAAUUUUAAGUAGGCAGGUGCCCAAAGAUGCAUGGUGACGACCAAUCAUUUAAUGAAAAUGACGUUAAAUAAAGAUCUAUUAUCAGGCUCAAUUACAAGUUUCACCAAUUGAGUCACAUGUAUAACAUAUUCAUACCUAAUGAUUUUCCGCAAAGUGGUGAUGAAAGGUUGUGUUUGAUUAAGAAACAUUUUAAAUUAAAAAUAAGUUGAAUGAUUUUCUUGUUUAUAAUUGAAAAACAAUAAUAAACAUAUUCAAAGGGCAUAUAGAGUGCUGCUAGGAUUCAAGUAUUUUUACCUUCGUUUAUUAUUUUUAUAUUUUUUCUAUGCCACAUUAUCCAUAUUUAUUUAACACCAUUUCUGGGGAGCAACAUUUUCAAUGUUUAAAUGCUCCUUAAACCUUUAUAUAUUUUAUUGUUCCAUGAUAACUUUCACUCAUAACUUAUACAUUUAAAAUAGAUUUCAAUUAGCUAGAGCUAACAAAAGUAGCAUAUUGAUAACACUGCCAAAUUACUCAAUUUUUAAUAAAAAAAAUAAUAACUUUACUUUUUAAUAGACGUAAGCAAAUACCAAUUACUAACAGACAAUUUUCAAAAACUCACCUUUUAUCAUAUGAUAUGAAUGGGAUCAUCAUGGAUAUAAUGAGAUGCAAUUGCCAUUGAAAUUGCACAAAAGUUUCAAAGGCUCUGAAACCUAAUUAUCAGUUUUGUGGCUAAGAAAGAAACUGUAAGAACAAUCAACAUCAUUUUUCUGAUUAUGCAAAGCAAAAGAAUAAAUAUAUAUCUCCCCUUUUAGAUUUGUGAGGAAUUCCCUUAUGAGGUUUUGCAAAAUGAUAAAUCGAUCAUAGGCUACUAAUAUGCUUAUUGUGGAAUCAACUUGUCAACUCACAAAUUAAUAUGUAGAUGGAGUAUGGAACAGGUACCUCUAGAGGUUGGUAGUGCUCUGCUUCCAUAGAAGGUGAAUAAGAUAGAAGACGUGAAGAGUAUCUAAGGCUAGAUGGGUGAACAAGCUGUAGAGGUUCCUUAAAGCUUGGAUGGACAAGUAGAAGUUAUUAGUUUUGUGGAACUAGAAGCCUGACAACAUGCUUGGAGGGACUUGUAUGUAGAAGGUGAACAGUCAAUUCAACGUGGAGGGUGAAAAGACUUCUUUUUUUUGGGGAUUAUGCAUCAAAUAGUGAAGCAUGUAGCUUUUCUAAUCUUAGUACUUAUACUUUUUUUUUUUGAAGCAAUUGACACUGAAUUUUUUAACAUUUAACAAUAGAAAUACUAAGGGAUCGAAUAAUAAUCAUUUUAUUUCUUUAUUAUUUUGUUCUUGAGGAUAUGUUUGGAAAAAAAUUCGUUUGGUAAUUUUUUUUUUAUUUCUACGACAAAUUUUUCACUCUGAAAGUCACAAAAAUGAGAAUUAAAAAUUUUCUAUUUGUCUAUUUUUGAAAUAAAAAUAAAAAUAAAAACUCUUAUUAUCGCUCGCCUUAGUUGUUGCUCGCUGGCCACUACCUAGAAAUUUUGAGGCUUAUUGAAUGAAUUUCUAUUUCGAAAACCGAAACUAUGUUGCUAUCAAAUAUCAAAUGCGUAUCUCUACUAAAAAACUCAUCUAAGGAAUAUAAAUUGAAAAAUCUAUUUCCACAUAGAAAUUGUUUUCAAGAAGAGAAGAAUUAGCAUUCGCGCCCUUAGUUCGAAAUCAUCGAUUAUUUUUAAUGUCCAUUAGAUGAAUUACCAAAUUACUUUAGAACCAAAAGCCAUCAUUAUUUUGAUUUUUGUAAGCCUUGUUUACCGGAGAAUAAACAUCAAAGUAAUCAAGUCCUCCUUUUUUACGAUACUUUUUAGCCACCAAUCCUGUCUUAUGUAUAGUUCUAUUGUUAGGAGGAAGAUUAGUUGAUGACCCUGUAUUAUUUCGCUUGAUAGAUUUUAUCUUAUCAUCCGUUGCCAUUUUCCACAUAUGCGCGUCCGGUCUAGAAUUUGUUUGGAAAAAGAUUCUUUAGAAAGAGAAAGAUAUUGUUCAAUUAUAACUUGUUUUCCUUCAUCUAAAGAAACAAUUUCUUUUCCUAAUAUUCGUCUAUAUCGAGACUAUUAAACAGGGCGGGCUUAAACUAAGAUUUCAAGUAAGCUUUUACAUGAUUUUCUUAUGUUUGGAAAAAAAGAAGUACUCAUCGACAUAAUGAGAUCCAUAUGUUCAAAAAAUCCUCCACUUCUUCCUAAAUUCAGAAGAACAGAAAAAACGAAUAAAAAAAUCCUCAAGUAAAGAAAGCCAUGACCUUAAAAAAUAAAAAGGCAUGUACAAGAAAUCGUCCACUUCAAAACCUAAAGAGCUUGAGUAAUGUCAUCUACCCCGACUACGAUGAUACCAAAAUAAGUUCAGAUCUUUUCACAAGCUGAAGUUCAUUAGUCUUACAGGGUAGGAUGGGUUCCAAUCUAAAGCUGAAACUAGUAUUGGCAAAGGCAUAAUGUACUCCAAAAUCCUAGACGUUACAUCAUUUACUUGAGGAGACUCACGAGCAGGGCCGGAGCCAAUUCCUUAUGACACCUUGGUUGGUCUCAUUUCUCAAUAAAAUUGCCAAUUCAAAGGCCGAAAUCGAGAAUCAAGCUAGUGUUGAUCAAUCUGGAAAUUUUUGAGAUCGUGAACUAAAUCAAUUCUCCUUGAAAUCGGCUUGGAAUAGAGCUGAUUGAGCCAGUUCCAAUUUUACCUGAACCUUUGCUCACCCCUAGUGUGGAAGGCACUUUAGCAAAUUAGCAUUAUAAAAUAAGCUUCUUGCUUCAUAAUGACUAUAUUUGAGAACACACCUCAAGGAUGAAAAUUAUAAAAAAAGCUUCUUACCUCUGAAAAAAAAAAAAACAUUUGAAAUGAUAUUUUCCAGAGACAUGGAGAAUAGAUGCAUAUUUUUUUCAAAUGCAUUAUGUUUGUUAUUUAUACAUCACAAAUAUAUGAUCACUCAUUCUACUCUUAUGGUUUUUGCUUUGUCAGGGUUCGUACUUUUGUCACUCUUUCGGUUGGUCUUUUUGCUUGAUCUCAGUGGUUCCGAAAUUAGAAUUCUAGAAAUUGUAGGGAUGUUGAGCUAGUGGCAGUUUGGUAAUGUGGAGGGAGAGUCAUUGAUCGAGAGUUUAAAUGAGCUGGAGGUUGAUUUUAAGUGCGAUUUGGGUUCGCUGUUCGGACUCGAGCGGCAUCAUCAGAAAAUCAAAGUGAGGGGACCAGUCAGCAGAUGAUACCUGAUAUCGGCAUUUUAUUUACUUUGAAACAAUCGACCAGCUUGAAAUUUAAUUUGAUUAUUUAAAGAAGCUGCAUUUAUUCUCCUGUUUCAAUUGCUCGACUCAUUCCCAAAUCAACUACUGAAUUAGCUUUCCUCGCUCGAAGUCGGCCUAACCAAUAACCAUCCAUUCGUCAUCAAUGUCAGAUACCCUGUAGCCUUUCUUCCCUUCACAAGCCAAGGGCAAGAUUAAACUAUUUACUCCCCUCCGUCCAUAAGACCGAUGAUCUUUUGCUCCCUAGAGGCAAAAGUAAGAGUUAUAUUAAACCGAUCCAUCUAAUCAAAGAUAGAUUACACUUCAUAAAGUCUUUGAGAGCUAGAAGGUAAUUUAUGCAAAUCGUUAGGUGUUCUCGGCAAAGUGCCGAUUGGACAUUAUCCAUGGGGAGGGUGGAUGCAUUUGGUGAAUUUGAGGUAUAUUGAGAUCCGACAGGAUUGAGAUUUGCAAGCUGUUUCUCAAAUUGGACGGCGAUUGAAAUGAAUUUAGAUGUUGGUUUGGCAUCGGAAGCUCAAAAUUAAUGGCCAUUAGAUGAUUGGGCAUGUAAAUCAUUUUACUUUCGGUUAACAUACCCGUGGAUAGAGGUGUUAAAAUGGGUCAUAAACCCACUUAUGACCCAUUUAAAUCUUAAAUGGGUCAUAAAUGGGUCACUUGUUUAAUACAAAAGAUAGUUAAAUGGGUUUCACAAUUAAAUGUUUAAGAUAGGUGGGUCUUAAGUAGGUUUUUAAAUGGGUUGGGUUGAAAACUCAUCUUUAACAAAAACAUUAUAAUUCCUCCCUUCUUUCUUUAACUUUAUAAAAAUCUAAAUUAUAAUUUUUUUAUUUUUAUUUUCUCUUUUCUUUUUCUUCCUUUUUUUUUUCUUUCUCCUUCCUCCUUCUAGUCGCCGGCACGGCGACGGCUGGCGACCGGCCAGGCGAGCCUCGAGCUCGCCGGCGUUGGGCGAGGUUUGAGCCUCGCCAGUUCUGGCGAGGGGCGAGCUCGAGCUCGCCGGAUCUGGCGAGACGAAGGGCGGCAUCGGGCGAGGCUCGAGCCUCGCCGAUCUAGCGAGCCUCGAGCUCGCCUGUGGCCGGUCGCCGGCUGUCGUCGUGGCCGGCGGCCGGCCAAAGAAGAAGAAGAGGGAAAAGAAAAAAGAGAAAAAGAAAAAGAAAAUUAUAUUUUAAAAAUAAAAUAAAAAUAAUUAAAAUUUUAAUUUAAAAAAAAUAAUUAAAUUUCGAUUUUUUAAAUAGUUAUUUUAAAAUUUAUAAAAAUUUUCCAUUAAAUUUAUAUUGUAUAAAACUAUUUUAGCAAUACAAUUUAAAAAAAAAUAAUAUAUAUAUAUAAAAGCUUAGAAGUAUUUUAAUAAUAUAAUCUUUAAAAAAAAACAUAGGAAUAAGUUUUUCUAAAUUUUUUAAAUAUGAAAAUAUUUUAUUAAUAUGAGUUGGGUCGGGUCGGGUAUGGGUUGGGUAUGGGUCAGGUCGGGUUUGGGUCGAAAAAUUUACAUUAAACAUAAAUGGGUCAUAAAUGGGUUAAUGGGUUAAUUUGGAUUGGACCAUUAAUGACCCGACCCAAACCCGACUCGACCCACCCGUUUAAUGGCUCUACUCGUGGAUUGUGCUAGAGUUGUUUCAGUAUCGUCUCUACCUUCUUUUAUUUUAUUAAAUUUGUAUACCACAAUGCCUUAAUAUGUCCCUAAUACAUAGCCACAUUCUCUCGCCUGAUAAUUUAAUUUUUUCGGUAAUUAAGAUUUAAUGUGGCAAUGAAGCCCAAGCAAGUGAAAACUUCAUUCGACCGAUAUCUCAGUAAAAUGGAAAAAUUAUCUAGAAAGUCCUAAAUUUAUCGUGCUUUUACCCAUUCAGUUAUAAAUAAUUUUGUAAAUUUAGUUAUAAACCUUUUCAUUUUUUAUCAAUUGAGUUCAUCCGAUUAAUUUUGACUGGAAGUCACUAAUGUGAAACUGGUAAUACCACAUAUGACGGUUGGCUCUAUCAUGGACAAUAUAUAUCAUAUUUUCAUUUUUUUUGAUUUUUUUUCUUUCUUUUUCUUUUCAUUGGAGGUUAGGUUGGUUGGCCUUGUCAUAUUUGGCUUGGGUGAAGUUGACUCUCGCCUAGGUGAGGACUAGCCCUAUGAGGGUCGACUCUUGCCUAGGUGAGGACAAGCCCUAUGAGGGUCAACCUCACUUGGCUGUGCCUCACCUGUGGUGGGCAAGGCCAACUUGCUUAGCCAUGGUCAAUGCUGGCCAUAGCCACUGCCAAAACAAAGUAAAAUGGAAAAAAAGAAGAAGAAAUAAAUCAAAAAUAAAUUGCAAAGUAUUAUUAAAAAUUGUCUAUAUCAGCACUGGUUAUUUGGCCAGCAUUGCAACAACGUCAACGAAUUCUAAUCAAAAUUGGUUGGAUGGACUUAAUUGACAAAUUGUGAAAAUGUUUAGGAUUGAAUUUGCAAAAGUGGAACAAGGUUAGAAUUUUUUGGACAAUUUUAGUAAAAACUAGGAAUAUCCCGAAUAAGGGCCUAAAAUGCUUCUAUUUUCUCCAAUAAGGGCUUAAAAUAAAUUUUGUUUCAAAUAAAAAUCUGAAGUGGCCGGAUGCCUCUUAAAGAGUAACAAAAGUGUGUGAAGGGAGGCUCAAGCUAAGAUUUUGCUCGUGAGCACAAUGGUAUAAGCCUGCCUAAUUAUGAGACUAAUUGGUCGAAUAGAGACGAAAGUUGACCAUAGUGAUAUGGGAGUCCCAUGUGGAAGGGCUCUCACUUAACAGAUCAAAGGUAUGUUGAUGAUAACAGACUGAUGACUCCCAAGAGCUCUUAUUGAUGGAGUUGUUUGGCACCUUGAUGUUGACUCAUCACAUCUUGGAGGUGGAAAGGUUCCCAAGAGUUUGGUUGUUCACCGAUCAAAGUAGAAGAAAAUAAACUGCCAUUUGCCUAGGUAAGAGUCUUAGUAAGAGAUAGAAAAGGAAUAGUUGCCUUUUGCAAAGGAGAAGCUGCUUGAUCAAGAGGCAGAAGAGCCGCAUAACUUGAUUCACAUUUUCUUCUUGAUUAGAGGGGUGUAGUAGCACUGGAAGAGAGGUACAUCAGUUUCAAAAAAAUGCCUAAUCUCUCAGACUGAAGGACAUUUUCAUCUUUUAUUUUUAAUUUUUUUUCAAAGAAAAAUUUCAAAUAAGAAUUCGAAGUGGAGCCAUAUUCUCAAAAGAGGGUUAAAGUGGAUACUGUCUUAAAUAAGGACUUCAAGUGGCCAAUUUAGUUUCAAAUUGAGCCUGACUUCAUUUACUGGCCAAAUCUUGUUGUUGACACCUAAAUUUUGGCUACCCAUUUAGUUAUUUAUCGCGUUAAACAUUAGGGGUUAAUUUUAUCCUUGAAAAAAAAUAGUUAAUUGCGUGACAUAUAGAUUUAGGUGCAUUUGCAUUUAUUUAUUGGGCUGGUGACAGAUGGGUUCAAGUUGAUGGUGCAGAACUUUAAUUUGAUGAAUUGGCCUAAGCCCGUUGUUCUCUAAUGACCGACAAUUGAUUUAUUUGAUAUUUUUAGAAAAGAUUCGUAAUAUCCUUCCAAUAUUCGAUAAACAUUUCAUAUAUUUAUGCGAUAUAUACAUUAAGUGAAAUAUUUCGCAGGAGAUUGGAAGAUUUCAGAGGAAAUAUCAAAAUAAUCAAACUAGGAUAUAUGGAACGAUAUUUUUUUUUGCCUCAAAAUGAGAGAAAUUGCAUGGUCAUUAAAGAUUUCGUGCGGAAAUUUUCUUUCCCUAAUAAGAUCAUACUAUAAAAUGCCGCUUGAUCGAGUAAAAAGGGGGGCCACGCAAAAUUGAAAACACGGCCACAUUGAGGGGGAUCUCACAAUACACAGACACACGUGAGGUAAGAGAGAAGGGUCGCGCCUUGCCAUCAUCACGCCCACACCGGUGACGCCGCCGCUGCCCCUUGACGACAACCCCAUUGCAAACGUGCCUUGACACGUCUCAGCAUCGGACGCUAGAGUUGCAGCCCUCUUUGCCGCUGUCUAUGUUGACGUGUCGGUUACUCGGCGAGCAUUCCACGACGUUCCAAGUUUCAUCAAGUCAAAGGGAGAGAAUUUGUAAAGAGAAUCCAAGCAGAAAAGACACCAACACAAGCAGCACACUCCGAAUGCCUACACGAUUCCCUUGAAAAUUCUGGGCUAAAUUUAAGACCAUAUUCUGUCCACACAACAGCAGGAGGACGUGCAUAGACUUGUGGAGAAUUUCACUAAAGCAUCUCAAUCCAAUUGGUGGCAAAAUUGGAGAAAAUUUGGGGAGUGAUGUGCUGAAGCGGUGGAUAUCGUCUUCUCUUGCAUGGUCUUUGUGGAAAGUCCCUUGGCGAAGAAGCCAACGCUCGCACAAAAAGAAAGGACGCCACAGUUGAGAUACACGACUAAAACUGAGAAACGCGCUUGAGAAAUCGAGAAAAAAGGUGGAUCGUGAGAGACUCCAUCGACGACAGUGAUCUUUUUUCGGUGUUGGGAUCGUGUUCGUGAAGGCCACCCAACAUCAAUUAAUUUGCUGUUCUUGUUGCUUUGCCACGCCAAUUCCCUGACACCUCCACCGUCCACGAAUCAAGGCAGUCCACGGCAGGGGGAAUUCCUGUUGACUUGUUCGGUCAAUUGCCAAGGAUCCCAGCGGCACCGCAGCUGCUUGACGACUCGGCCACUCACGGUCACCUCCAGAGAUUUCCCAGAGAAAUUGUCCGCAUCGGAAGCCUUGACAAAGUGGUCAUUGAUCAGCCCCCUCGUCGUGCUUAGUUCACCGACCCAUUAGCCACGAAUUGCUAUCCAUGAGUCCCGCCAGCACCACCGAGCUCAGAGCCAUCACCACCGCAAUUUGUGUGAUUUGUUGUCCAUCUAAGUUUGGAAACAGUAUCCGAGCGAUAUUGCAAUUUAGGUAAUAAUUUUCAUCAAAUUGAUCUUCAUAUAUUUUUAUUGUCUAAUUUACAAAAUCGCUAUCUCGUACAAAUCUUUAAAUGAUGAUAUCGUAUCCACAAAUAUCAAGCAUAUUUUCAAAUUAGGGAUUGAUCCCUAAUUUCACAACGUGCAUAUAAUUGAUAGUUCGAUUUUCGUGCCCGAAAUCUAAUUCACAAUCACACGGAAAAAUUGCCAAUUCGAUAUUACGCUUGAGAUACGAUUCGUGAUUUUAUUUAAAAAAUUGGCAAAUUCGAUCUCAUGCGCGAGAUAUGAUUCAUCAAUUUUGUUCUCAAAAUUAAAUGGACAUGGAUGAUAUUUUGCUGGAUUUGUUGCCGUGCUGUUCUUGAUGCCUUUAUUUGUUUGCUCCCAUAAAAGGAAAAAAAAAACAUUUGAGUUAGAUUAGAUGCAUGUUAGGAUGUUACUUAUUUUAGGGUUAUUUUGCAUGUCUAGAAUAGGAAAUUUAUAUAUUUCGAAUUUCUUAAAUAAAAAAUACCAAAAACAUAAAUUUAGGAUGUUAGACUUUCGUUUAUUAAUUAAAAUUGCGUGUUAAUUAUUUGCCAACUUUAAAUUUCGAAUUUUAUAUAAAAAAACACAAAAAUAAUUUUAGAAUAGAAUCGCAUGUCUCAUUUUAAGUUUAGGUCAAUUUUUAGAUGGAUGCGUCUUAGAUUAGAGAUUGCUAGGUUAAGAUAAUGUCAUAUUUUAAAUUAGGAUUUAGUCUAACAUAAUCCUUAAUUUGAGUUGGAUAGAGCCUUAAUCUAGUUAGGUCAUUUUUGCAUUUUUCUUAAUUUCAAAUUUCAUGAAAAAUAGAAAAAUAAAAAUUGUCUUAGAGUAGAUUCAUUUCAUUCUCUAGGAUAGAUUACAUUUUUUUAGGAAUUGAAAUAUCGAUUGCACGUCGUAUAGAAUUAGAAUAAUUUAAAUUAGAAAUUACAUGUCAUUAAAAUUAGAUUAUUUAGAUCGCAUUUAAUCAUUGCAUUUCUUUAUGAAUUACUUUAGUCAUGACGUAUAGUUAGGUCAUGUUGCCAUGUCGCAUGCAUCACAUGAUUUUUAUUAAAUAAAGUGAAAACAAAAAAGAAAUUACAUGUUAAUUAGAAAUCAUAUCUAGGAUUCUUGAUGUGAAUUCUGGUCUAACAACGCAGAUGCUUUCGUUGUUAUGAGGUGAGUCCUGCAAUUUAUUUACUGCUUGGGUGUUAAAUUGGUGGUUUGCGCACCAUGAUCGCCUCACAUGUUAGGGAAAUAGAUUUAAAAUCAAUUUAAGAUGCUUGUCAAACAUUUUUUAAAAAUAAAAGAGAAAGACACCAAAAGAGGCGUUAGAUUUCUCUAACGUAAUCAAGUCCCUGUAACUUACCUCGUAACCAAAAUCUCUGGUUCGUAGGAAUAAAGUAAAACGUCAAAAAUAGAUUAGUGGCGACUCUUAAUUUAAAAAUCAUCUGCAUGUUAAGAAUUUGAACGCGAAUUAGUAUGGGUUUGGGAGAGUCCGAGUUAAGUCUAGGCUUAAUAAUCCAUUAGCCAAACCUUAGGUGGUUUAUUCGAAAAUUUGGUCGCGACACUUGUCCAUGUCCGAGGGCAUUCUCAUCCAAGUACAUUUGUUUCUUUAUUUUUCUUUUCUUUCUCUCUCUGUUUUAUGUUUUCAUUUCAUUUUUUUUCCUUUCUCUACGCCAUCAUCUUCUGUGAUUUCAAGUAUAAACACGCUGGCAAAAAAUUUUCUAGCUGUCUCUCGCCCAGCUCCAAAACCCCGCUUCCUGUUUCCUCGCUACGCAGCCAAAACUUCCUAACACUCUCAAAAGAUUAAUCGGCGAUAUUCAACAACCGUAUACAAAAAAUUUCACAACCCUAUACAACUUAUGACCCGACACAAAACUGUUUGUCGCCCCCUAAAAACUUUUCCACAGGAAUCAUAUGUUGAUUCAACUACUCUCUGUUUUAGGGAACACGGGAACUGUGUUGUGCAGCACAGUCGUCCCUGGAAAGACCAUCACCCGGUGAUUUCUUCUUAAUUGUUUCAACUGCAAAAGAAAUGAAUGCAUGAGACCGAGCGUUUUAAAUCUGCCGCUCAAGAGGGGAUAGAUGAAUGCACGUUCACAAACCUCCUCUGGGGUCAUCUUGCCAAAACCAAAUCGGUUCGUCCAUAUCGAUUCUGCUUCCUCUGCAGCAGGAAGCACGAGAUUCUUGACAUUGAGAGAUGAAGAAGCUUCCUCUGGGUUGAACUAAGAGACGCCUUGCUAAUGGUUUGCGUAGGGGUGUCAAAAAAACCCAACCUGACUCGACCCCGACCUUGACCCGAACACGAAACAAGUUGAGUACAUGUUUCAGGUAACAGACAUAAAGGGGUGCAUGACAACCCAAAAUUUAUGUUCCAAAAAUAGUUUUUCUGUUCCAGACCUGUUUCUGGAAGAAAAAUUCGUUUGAUAAACCUAUUCGGUUUUUCUAUUUCUGGAAUAGAUUUAUAUUCAAGAAAUAAGUUUUGAAGAGAAAUCAGAAGCUAAAAUUUUCUACUUCUGAUUUCUGGAAGAGAAAUUAUAAUUUCUUUCACUAAACCAUAAUUUUGGUGAGUCCUCCCUCAUCUCCUCUACGUCUUUGCCUCCUCCUCUUCCUCCGCCUCUCCUCAUUUUAUUAAAAAUAAAAAUAAAAAUAUUCAUUUUAUUCAUUUAAAAAUAAAAAUAAAUUUAUUAAAAUAAAUAAAUUAUUUUUAUUUAUCAUUUUAUUUUUAUUUAAUUAAAAAAUUAUUAAUUUUAUUGAAAAUAAUUUAUUUAUGAUAAAUAAAAAUAAAUCAUUUUUAUUUGCCUUGAGUGUUUUGCCAAAUAAAAUUAUUUUUAUUUUUUAUUUUCAUUCAUUUUAAAAUAAAUUUAUUCGUAAAAUAAAAUAAAAUAGAAUAAAUAAAAUGAUAUUUUUAUUUUAUUUUUUAUGAUUUAUUUUAUUUUAUUUUAUUCAUUAUUUUUUUUGUUACUAAAUCAUUUUUAUUUUUAUUUUUUAUAUUAAAGGUCGUCGAUCGUCGCCGCUACCGUCCAAAAGGAAGAAAUUUUGAGUUGUUAUCAAACGAAUUUUUAUUUUUAGAAGUAGAAAUUUUGUAUCAUUAUCAAAUGGUUAUUUUUGCUUAGAAACUCUUCUAAAAAUAAAAAUAUAAAAAUCCAUUUCUGUUCUAAGAACUAUUCCUGAAACAUGGUUGUCAUGCGUGUCCAAAACAAGCGGAACACAUGUUUCGGGUCGGGUUCGGGUGUGGAACAGUGUUCGACCCGGAACACGUUAACAAGGAACAAACACAAACGGACGUAGCCGUGUUUUCGAAAACCCCUCCCCUUCGGCUUCUUCUCCGAGGACUGCGCUUAUCGUGGAUUCCGCCGCCCUCCGAUCGAGACGCCUCCGCCUCGCCGUUGCCGUCCAGGUCUCCAUCUCUCGUCUCAACGCCGGAACCCUAGCUGCCGGUACCAAUCCCUUCCCGCGGCAGGAUCGCCCGGUUCCUCAAGGCCGGCAAGUACGCCGAGCGCGUCGGCGCCGGGCCCCGGUCUACCUCUCCGCCGUCCUCGAGUAUCUCGCCGCCGAGGUACCUUUCCCGAUCCGUCUCUCGUUCCGGCUUUUUCGUUUCUUUUUGCCGAUCGGCUGUUAGAAGAAAAAAGAGAAAGGGGAAAUCACACUUUCCCUUCCAUCCGAAGCCUCCCGGUACGGCUGUUUGCACUUUCCUCUCCCACUUCGCUCGCUGCUUCGAACCUACUCAAGAUUCUCUCCGUCUCUGCGAUCCACCAAAAAUCCCCGACCCUCUUCGCAAUCAUCAAUGGUGGGUUGGUUUAUGUGCUUUUCCUUCCUUUUCAUCAUUCCAUUUUCCGCGCGUCCAUUCUUAUAUCAAUAGCUCGCGUUCUGGUUGUUGCUGGGUCUUCUUGAAUCUCGAUUCUUUUUGUGAUUCUUCUCGAGCUUUUGGGUCCGGGUCAGAUGCUGUUUCCUUUGGGGGUUCUGGAGCUGAGCGAUCUGGCUACGUGAUCGCAAAAUUUGGAUUUUUUCGAUCUCAUUUGGUUUGUUGUUUUAAUUGUUGUUGUUUCCCUUGCGUGUCUCUUUCAGGCUUUGCCGAAUCGUUGGCGAUAAGGGCACGGGUGGCCCUGGCCUUCCCAUUGCGAAAUGCUGCAUACCCAGAUGGACAAUUUCGACAAGCAGCCUACCCAGAUGGACAAUUUCGACAAGCUGGCCUUCGCAGUUCAUUCCCAGUAAGCCAAUUUGACUUUUUUCUAUAAAGAGGAAAAAGAGGAGAGAAAUUUCCAGGCUCUGCUAUUUUUUUUUUUUGGGGUUAAUUCUCGUUUCCCUUUUCUGGUCGUUGUUAUGUUUCUUGCGGUUGAAUUCUGUGUUUUCAAUUCAAUUUCGGAACUUGAUUUGAGAGCUGGGAUUUGUGGAUGUGAUUUCAUAGUUUUGGAGCUCUGAACGUGUUUCUGUGACUUCUCUAGGAUGAUGACUGUGUACUUUGGUAGUUUUUUUCUUGGGUGAUAACUUUUGAGGUUGUGACUUUGACUGGUUUUUUGCUGAACCUUUUGGUAUAUUUGUCUUCUCUGAUAUUGAAGUAGUUGGUUAUGUUCUCUCUAGGUUAGGUGUGAACUGAUAUUCUCGUUCUUUCUAUUGGUCACUAAUUUGCUAGCUUGGUGUUGCUUGUCCUAGCUUUUAGGUUUCAUAGCCUAAUUCAUGAAAAUUGAACCAUUUCGUCGUUUGGAGGACCUUUUAUUGUCUCUGCUCAUCCUUCUCUCAAUUCAAGAGGCUGUAUUUGAGUUAGGGCGAAAUUAUAUCCACGUGCUAAGUUUCCUACUUGUGGUCUUUGUUGUUGGCAUCAGUUGCUUCACAGGAAGUACAGUGGAAAUUUCAUUGUGAACCUUUUGGGUAAAUGGAAAGAAUCUGAGUACUCAGGUGGCCAAUCUGUCCCUGUUGGUGGUAUCGCCUACUAUAUCACCACUCCAUCAAGGUGAUUAUCUGUUCCUUUUAGAAAAAUGAUGUUCAGUCUGGCUUUGUUGAUUUGAAAACUCACCAGUUGACAUUUUGCUCUAUCCUCCUGCAGCUUGGCUGAUAUGGCAGCCAAUCCCUUCCAUGCGCUCUUCUAUCUUGUGUUUAUGUUGUCAGCUUGUGCACUGUUCUCCAAAACAUGGAUUGAAGUUUCUGGAUCCUCUGCUAAAGAUGUUGCCAGACAGCUCACGGUAUGAAGUGUGUGAAACUUUAUUUCUCUUGACAGAGUCUGCUAAUAAUUGAAUGAGAAACAACCUUAUGUUUCAAAUAAUGGGGUAUCAAGAGUUGCGUGCUUGCAUUUUGAGGCCACAAUUGUUUGGCUUUUAUGUACGUUUAGCUCGAGUGACCCUGGAUUUAUCAAGUUCAUUGGGAGCUUUACCUUUUCGACAAUCAUCUUUUACUAUCCCUAUUGUUUGUUGAGCUUUUAAAUCUCUGAUAAGCUGAUUUGCAUCUUCCACGUGUUUCUGUGUUUUGCUGGAGCCACCUACUUAUGACUUGUUCUUUGUCGUUUCUUUUGGUAAAUUCUAAUUGCUUUCAAAAUUGUCUGCCGGUCCUAAUCUGCACCUUUUGUCAUGCAGAUUUGCACAGUUCCAUCUUUUCCCUAACAUCUCUCUUUCCUUGUCAAUUUUAGGAACAACAAAUGGUGAUGCCAGGCCAUCGUGAGUCAAACUUACAGAAAGAGCUCAAUUGCUACAUUCCCACUGCUGCAGCAUUUGGAGGCAUGUGCAUCGGCGCACUGACUGUUUUGGCAAAUUUCAUGGGGGCAAUAGGCUCAGGGACCGGGAUUCUUCUCGCCGUCACCAUCAUUUAUCAGUACUUUGAUACCUUUGAGAAAGAAAAAGCAAGUGAACAAUGUGGAUUAGCAUGAAGCAGCUUCAUCACUGCAGUAUUAGGUUGGUAUGUUUCUUUGGAGUAUCUAGAGUGGAGCACGAUGUAGCUGGUCUUUCAUGAACUUAAGUUGAAUUCUGCAAUUCAGCACUUCAUUAAUGUGGCUAGUCGGGUAGGUGUUACUGGAAUAUACUGGUGUUACUGGAAUGAUACUUACUAUUGCAAAAUGUAAUUGUCUCUUCAUAAAUCAUGAGAAUCGAAAAGGAAUUUGCGGUGGUCUUAUGGAUGAGUUUGAUAAAAAAACUCAGUUUUCUUUUGGAUAUGGAACCUGCCCAACAGGUUGAAGUGCCAAAGCUUUAGGUUUCUUGGAAUUUUUUCUUCACUGCUCUUUGUUCUUCUACUUGGUGCUCUGCUAUUGAGUUUUUAUCAGUUAAAAAUACUUAGAUUGAUCACUCGCAAGAAUGGAUGUUAAAAUCAGGUUCUUAUAAUAACCUGUUCCCAUUAAAAAAAAAAAAAGCAAGAAACCCAUCAACCCGACCCAACCCGGAACACAUUAGAUGGUCUAAUGAGUUUCGGGUCGGUUCUAAUGUGUUCCGUGUCGGUUUGGGUUGGGUCACAAUGUGUGAUCCUUUGUGUUUCGGGUCGGGUCGGGUAACAACAAAAUCCCGACCCGACCCGACCCAUUGACACCCCUAGGUUUGCGUGCCAAUGGAUAGUGGGGUCGACUUAGUUGAGGAAGAAGAGUACUUUUACGAGGCAUUGCUUGAUAGUGACUAUUCUAUUAUGUAUGACUCUGAAAUGGUGGCAAAGGACCUCUCCACUUGGAAUAUAAGAACAGAGCUCUUUGGUUUCAUUUCUUUGAAUUGGAUGAGGUAGAGCGAAGAUUGGUGAAGGAUAAAUUGGGCAACUAAGCACUGUUUUUGAGUCAAAAUUAUCCCGCAUCCUUAUUGACUUCUAAAAUCCCAGGUUGUAGGAGAAACGACAUUUGAUAUCUUGAUGGUUUCACAGUGAAAGGGGGCACCAACAUGAAGAAGGGUUACGAAUUGUGCGGAUUCAACUUGAAAAGUAGAGCUACUCAACAUGUUAUUACACUUGUCUUACAUGUAGCUGAUCGCCGUUGCCCCUUUGGACGGGGCACUGGUUUAUUUCUUUAUCUGCAGGAGUUCACCGUUCUACUAAUCAUGUUGUUUAUGAUUGAUUGUUAGCAAAAAUAUAUUCAAAUAUCACUAUUGCAUGGUAAAGAAAACAAAUACAUGAAACAAAGAGAAAAAGAAAAAUAAACAAAAAAAAAAAAAAUAGUACGUGGACGAGAAUGCCCCUAAACGUGAAGAAGAUAUGGUUAAUUGGUGAAGCCAGGGCCUUAUUUGAGACUAAAUUGCCAACUUGAGGCCCUAAAAAACAAUGUCCACUUUAAACCUUCUUUUGAGAAUAUGGCUACAAUUCGAAUCCUUAUUUAAAAUUUUCUCCUUUUUUUUUUUCUCUAUUUAGUUAUUUUUCUUUCCUUUUUUCUAUUUUUUUUCUUUUUCUUUGACCCUUCCCGCCACCAUCCAUGGUGGAGGUCGCUGGAUUUGGGUGAGGGCCACCUCACCAAUGUUGGGUGAUGGCCGCCAUCGCCUAGGCUAACGCCAACAAGGGCUACCCUCACUAGGUUCGGCGAGGGUUGUCGAGGGUUGCAUUUGCCAAUGUUGGGCAAGGGUUAUUGUCGCUGGAUCUAGUAAGGAAUGCCCUCGCUGCCCUCGCCUGAGGUAGGCAACCUCCCUUGGCCAUCAAAAAGAAAAGAAAAAGAAAAGAAAAUAGAAAAAGAAAAAAAUAUAUAGUUACAAAAUUUUUGACCAAAGUACCACUUCUUCAUUGGCCGGAAUAGUCACCGGCUAGCCAAAGGAUCUCAUUUAAGACGAUUUGGGCCUUUAUUUGAGAUGAUUUGAUCAUUUCGGGCCUUAUUUAAGAAAACGAUAGUACUUCAAAUCCUUAUUUAGAAUUUAGAAUUUUCCUUGCAUCUUAAUUUCAUUACAACUCAUUUUUACUCCACCCUCGAGGGAUCCUCUACCCACGCCCAAGAAUUUAUGGUGUAAUGUCACCGGUGGUAUCUGUUAUUGACAGCUAACUGUUUUGCCCCAACAUCUCCUUCUCAUUUUAAAUUCGCCGGUAAAUCGGAAUCUAACCCCUAAGCAAACACUUCUAUAAUGUAUGCCUAGACUUCUCAUUUCUUUAGUUUUCAGAGACUAGGGUCACUUUUUACUUAAAAUAGGACGUCCGCAUGGAAUAUUAAAUUAGGCAAGAUCGCGAAUUUUUGUGAACCAGCCCAUUGUGUUGCUCCAGGUCACACCCACAAGCCCGUCUCACCCACCUUACGGGAAAUGGCAGUAUGUAUGCCAUACAAGGACCGCUCCAAGCAACGAGCGAAUGAAGACAUUCAUGGAAGGUCAGCACGACCAAGAUCAGUCGAGGUUAGGAAAUGUUUCAAUGAAUUGCAUAAUCCUCUCCGCAAUGAUGAAAAUAUGAUUCUUUAGGAUUAGAUCAGUAUCAAGCACACAUACAUACAUUAUGCAUAUAUCCGGCCUAGAUACAUCAUACAAUCAAGGGGAGGAGUGAACCUAGCAUGCUUCUAUGCAACUUUGGGUCUACAGGUUUACUCUUUUGAUAUUUGUUCAACUUCGUAGAAUGAGGCAAGGAUGUGUCCAUCCUCUUCUAAUUCUCUAUACCGAAUUUAUUUACAAGUUCCUAUGCAUAUUCUUGGCGAAUGAAGGUGCCAGCCUUGGUUUAAAUUCAUUUUGCGUAACCUCUGCAAAAUCCUUACCCAGAAUCUCAAUAACCUAGGUAUUCCUUAGUUCGAAAUAUUUUCAAAAUUCUUUAAAUCUUGAUUUGAUAAUUGUGAAAGUCAUGAUUUGGAUUAUAUUCAAAAUGUCUGCGAUACUUGUGAGUGCAUUUAUGCGAACCCCGAGCUAGCCUUGACAAUUGAAUGUUUUCCAUAGGCGAGACAUCACUCUGUCUCAAAAAUUUUGUGGAUGAUUUCAAGAAAAUGUCUUUGAAAUAUCACAUGUACCCUCAUGUAUAUAAUCACGUCAUUCAUUAGAAACGCCCGUGUUCGUGAUUGGCAAAUGCCCUUAGUAAUAAGUGACCUAUCCACGGUUCACUUUCUUGUUUGAUUAGUUGAGAAAUAAGGUUCAAAAGACCUGUAUGCAUAUUUUAUUCAAAUUCAUGCAUGUGACUUCUAGAUGUAUGUUAGGGCCGAUACAUGAUACCAAGGGUAGAUCUUGGGAAUGAUAUAGAACGUUUUGUUAGGGACUUAUAAGUAUUAUUGGCCAUACGAGAACACAAGUGAUCAAUAAUGGUUGUAAGUCAUAAAAUGAAUCGAGUAAGUGUUUUAGAGGGACUUACGCAUGAACUAUAAAGGCCUACCCGAGGAUCAAAUCGAAUUUGUGAAUUAAACUUCCUUUGAUUGAUUGACUUUGGCAUGAUGCUAUGCUUAUGGUUGUUUUGACAUGUAUACUUAUUUUUUUCUAUUGUAUGUGCCUAGUUACAAUCCUUAGACUAGAUAUUAGAUUAGGAUCUUGAAGAUGGAGGUGACAUGAAGAUGGUGAAAAAGUUGAUGUCUAAUCUGACUAUGCUUUUGUACUAUUUAUUCCCGACAUUUGUCUCAGAUUCUUGUUUUUGUAUAAAAGCCCGACGAGUUUUGAGAUUUUUCUUUAUUGUCCUUUAGUUUCGUUUCUCUUUCUUAGGACUGCAUUAUAGAUUUACUGCUUUCUUGGGUUAUUUACUUACUGUCUCGCAAUUUCAAUUCAAUUGAUUCAUUUAUUUUCCCAUUUUCUACAAUAAAGUAGCAUGUAAAUGCCCAACCACACAUGAUCGCCUAGUUUAGGAUAAACAAUCCUGAAAAAAUAAAGAAGAAAUGCAUGGACACCUUAGGUAAACAUAACAUGCUAUACGCGCCAACAUCCCUUCAUGGUCAUGCAAUUGCAACAUUUCCAAGUAGUGUCGCCAAGCCCAUUCAUUUUAAAAUGUGCAUGCGGAACGUAUUAUAAACCCUGGACACUGGACAAAAGCUCACGGGAUAGGAAAGCAGAAAACAAACCCAUUCAUAAUCAAACAUGCUAUAUUAACACUAGAGUUUACGUACACAAAAAAUGGUCAGAGUUUAUGUACACCAAAAAGGGUCAGCCUACAAAAAGAUCGGUUCACCAAAAAGAAGGAACAAUCCUAUAACCCUUAGCCGGACUUAUUCACUGAUCUCACUUCCGACUCGUUAACCUCUGGAGACGACGGGUCCUCCACUCUACCAUCAAGAGGGUCAGCUACGUCCUCCCCUAGGAUGGCCUCAAUCAUAACAUGUGGAAUAUCAAAACCACUAAGAGGACCGAUCCUGAAACCAUUGGCUCCAAAGCGGAACCAUGCCCUGUAUCGAUGAGGCACCCUGACAAACAAUGCCUCUUUGAUCCAGACAGUGGUCCUAAUAAGCCCGUAGAUCCAAUGACUCCCAAAAUCAGGAAAACUUUGCACCUGCUUGGUAAUCUGCACGGGAAGACCAUAACGCUCCGGGGCUAUCGCCAUCUACGGUCUUGAAAUAUUUGGCUCACAAUGGGGUGAGACAUUGUCUCAGCAAGUGCAUCCCCUAAACUCCUAUUAGAAAGGAAAUACGUCUAAGGGUGGCUUAGCCAUAUCACUUAUGAGACUUACCUUGCUUCAAGACUUUCCUGCAAAUUAGUACAAUUCAUAACACUUAAUCACAUGUAGUAAUAAGAACUUAACAACUGGAGCACAAUCACUUUCACAUAAUCAACAACACUCAACAUGCAUUCCAAUUGCUAUUCACUACCACACAUGAGCAUAGCCUACUCGCAAUUCAGCUAUCUACUGGCGUUUAGCCAUGCAUAAUCUUCCCACCUUAGAGCAUGACUUCGUCAUUACAUUGACAGCGUUCCUGAAGGAGCAUGCGCCUAGAAUCGACUGCGACCCGCAUCCGUUGAAUGGGGCAUCUCAUAUAGGGGCAAGUCUGACUCAACUACUCAGGACAAAUUCCUCUUAAUCAUCACACAAUAAAUUCAUAUUCGGCUUAGGAUACUUUGCAUUUUACUCAAGGCUUCUAAUUAAAUAGUGAUCCUGACCUAUUUUAUUCAUAUUAAAAACGCCCAAGAAAUUAUUCACGUGUGUGGGGGCAUGUUUCGAACUGGAAAACUAAUAUUUUAAGUUUUCAAACCCCACUAUUUAAUAUAAUAUUUAAAAUCCAAUUUCGGUGUCAAAACCCGACACGUGGGAUUUUAUGAAUAAAAUCCGCAUUUUUUCAAAUCAACACUCAAUUUGCAAUAUCCAACUAUCAAUUGCAUAAUCUGAAUACAUCACAGCGAUCAGCACGAAAUUUUGAUAAUUUUGAGGUGUCAGAAUAAUUUCUGGAAAAUAUUAAAUAAUUAAAUUUAUUCCGAAAAUUAAUUAAAUAAUAAUAUUUUGUUAAUUUAUAUAAUAUAUUUUAUUAUUAAUUAAAUAAAUUCGAAAUAUUUAAUUUAUAUAAAAUAAUCAAUUAAGGUCUAAAUAGAAUUAUACUAAUCUAAACAUCUACUUAGCCUUAAUUAAUUAUAUCAUAAACUAAUCACACCCCUUAAUCUAAUCCACACUUAACUAAACUAAUUAAUCCACCUACUCUUACUUAGCUUAGCCUAAACACCCAACUAAGCAGCAUUAAGCUUCUAAUCAAGGUUUAGAGGCUAAACUCACCGGAAUCGCUUUCCGAUGAGCUCACGGCGAAGACAAUGGCAAGGCGGUUGACAAACCUCCACGUGGCGGUACCAAGCGAGGACCGUAAGACACCUAAAACAGGCCUUGAAGAUCCGGCACUUGCUGGAACUCCAGCUGCUGCUCAAGAUUGAACUGAAGAGGAAGAUGGGUAGAACGGCGAGGAGGAAGACAGCUAGGGGCGACGGUGGCUCAGGCGGGUUGAGGAGGUGGCUCCGGCGGCCUUGGUGAUGGCGAGCAGCAACUGGCAACGUUGGACGAUGGCUUGGACGCACGGCUGUAGAGGAUGACGGCCAGGAAGCUCGGACGGAGGUGGAGCAGUGAGCUGGCAGGCGGAGCAACAUGCGCAGAAGGGCGGCGAUGGCGAGACCUCCAGUGGACGUGCGGGCGAGCGUCGAGCGAAGGGGGGAAGUUGCCGGUCAGUUGCUGCUCACCUUUUUCCUUGCCCCAACUGGUUCUCAAGGUUGAAGAUGAAGAUUGAUGGGAGAGCCCCACUUUUUGAGAGCCAAUGAGCUACUUCCACUUGUCAACACCCCCUCCAAAUUGGUCCCAUCAUGACCUCACAUGAUAUCACCGUCCACUCACCCCUAAUCUUCCUUAACAAGCUUUCAAUGGGUCCAAUUUGUCUCAUCCAUGAUGGCAUACGAAUUUAAAAAAAUUUGUACAUCAAAUUCCUUCCAUUCCAUUCAAUUCCCUUCCAAUUGAGCCAAAUUGAUGUCCAUAAAUUUAUCUAAUGUAACCACUCUUAAAUUCACAAUUUCCCUUGACCAUAGAACCAUCUUAGAUCCCAAAAGUGCGACAAAAAAUGGGCUUACCAAUUUUUCGAGCCAAAAUAACCAUACUUUGAUUUUUCGCCGAAAAACUAAAUUUACAGAAAAAUCCUCUGAAGAUGAGUCGACGUUCCCAACAUGAUUUGCGACAUGAUAGGACUUUGGUUUCAAAUUCAUGAUUAAUUUCAUUCUGGUGUGAUCCUAGCGUGUCCUAAUCUAUCGGGUAGCUUUUAGGAAUUUUUCAAGCAUUUGACCCGUGGUUGAUCAUUUUCAAGCCACAAAGUACAUCUUCGACACAUUGGCGACUCUCGGUUGUCGUGAAAAUCUCGAAGAUUCAAAUACAGACAUAUGGUACCAAAAUGACAGAAAAAUCGGUCUAGUGCCGAUCAACAAGUGUUGUGCGAUCUAGUGGCAUCACCCACACUUGAUCACAUGCCUUUGUUAAGUUGACUUAUCUCCGGUCUCUAAUUGAUUUUUAACUGUGCCGUAAUGGCUUUUACAGAUUAACUCGGUUGAGAAGUCGUUGCUUGGUCGAAUUCUCAAGUCUGAUGUGUUAAAAUCCCUUAACGGAUUUACUUGAUAGACUAGUUUCCUCGUGAGUGGCCAACUCAAAGAAAAGAACUAUAUGCGCAUAUAUGAAAUGCCCGACUCAUUCUAUUAAAAACGGAAUUGGAAAAUAAGGAUGUCACAACUCGGUACCGAAAGGGUGCUAAUAAAAAUAUUAGCGUAACCUAAGUCUCCGAACCUAGAAAUCUGGUUGCAAAAGAGUCAAAGGAACACUCCCGACCCUCGAUUGGGAAGUCCGACUCCCAAAAAUGAGGCUAGUGAUGACUCCCAACUUAUUUCUGGGUUGUCUUAUACAAUUAGACCAUAUAAAUCAAUUCGUCGUGAGAGGUAUAAACUAUAAGAAAAGGUUCACAAUUAUGAUUUAGCAUACUUGAGAUGGUGAAGCCGAUAAAGAUAAAGUGAUGCCAUCUUUGGUGGAGGAACAUCUUGAGAGGGCUAUCACAGUUGUUAAAAAUAGCCUUAAACUCACCUUUACAUCUAGAUUCCUUUCGACCUUAAAAUCGUCGGUUAGGACAUACCAGAUGUCAAGGUAGGAUUGUGACACUCCAUUAUCAUGCAAGAUACGAGCUUGGGAGAACUCACGAUGAAGAUUAAGUGAACUCAUACAAGGUUCGUUCAGGGGGUGAGGUAAUGACAUUCAUGUGAUUGAGAAUCGUGAAGGAACUUUCGUGGUCAAGUAUCCCUAAACUCGACAUUUCCCCUUUCUCUCCUUGUGGGAGGAUUGACGGUGAGAUCGGGUCGCGAUAGGCUUCGCAACUCCACUGGAGACCGGUUACUAGAUUAAGAGGACUUGAAACCGUUUAAAAAUGAUUGUUGUGUCUAACUAAUGUGUCUUAUGUAGGAUCGCUUGCGUGUUAAAGUCGCAUGGAAAAUGAGGUAAGUCGCUAACCACGUGUUAAAUGAUCUUGUAUGUGGGAGUUACAAAGGGUGGAGUAAGUGUAAACCAUUUGUCUUGCAGGUGGUGAAAGGAUGUAUGCGUGUAUGUUGGGUUAUAUUGAAGUGCUGGAUGAUUAAAAUUUAAACGUAUGUUUACGAGUUUUAGCACAACACCACACACAACCGCGGUCUAAAUCCCUAUCAUCCCAUUUAGGACUUUAGGAGGGUUUAUGGGUGGAACCCAUGAGUGAAUACUCAUGGUAAUCCAUUACUUACAUACACCUGUGUUGACACCUAAAUUUUGGCGACUUGUUUAGUCAUUUAUUGCAUUAAAAAAUUAGGGGUUAAUUUUAUCCCUGAAAAAAAAAAUUAAUUGCAUAAAAAUUUAGGUGCAUUUAUUUUGCAUUCUUUGCAUUUAUUUAUUGGACUGGCGACAAAUGGGUUUGAAUUAGUGGUUCUGAACUUUAAAUUGAUGAGUCGGGCUAAGGCCACGAAGAGAGCAAAUCGGCUUAAGCUCGUAUCAUCGGUGAGAUUUUACGAAUUUAACUUUGUGAGAUUUCAAUUAAAAAAUAAAUAUUAUGUUUGGAAAAACAAAUAUUGCAUUUUGAAAAAAAAUCUUUGUGGAUAUAGUUUUGAAAAAUUAAAAAAAUCCUAAUUCGUGGCCUAUAAAUAGGUUAAUUCGCUAGGGUUUAAGGGGGCACACAUUGAACAUACGGCCAAGAAAACACGCGUGAGAAAUCAAGAGGAAAGGGGGCGGAUCGUGAGAGCCAUGGGACUCCUUCGACGUCAGGGAUCUCCAUGCACGCCCACAGCUCUUUCUCGGUGAUGCUAUCGAGUUCGUUGAAGGACGCCUAACAUCAAUUGCCCGCUAUUUUCGUUGAUCUACCACGCCAGGUGUUCUGCUGUCGUCCUAUUGCAGUCCUCAGCUUCUCCAGCAAGCAUUCAGACCUUCAAACGUCAACCCAAUCUGCUGUCCCCGCUGCUCUGCCACACCGGGUGUUUCGUCGCCAUCCCACCGCUGUCCCGCUUGCCACUACGCUUUCCUCGUUCGAGCUGCAACGCCGCACCCCGCACUGGACUGAGAUGACGAGCCACUGUCCUAAUCUUCACCACCAUGACGUGGGUAGUUCCGACGAUGUGAACCUGUUGCUCCCUGCCGCGACGCCCUCGUUGCUUGACGUUAUGUGUAACUCGUGAUCUCCUGCCGUGAAAGCCUAGCAGUCCCUUAGGCAUUCCUACAGCGUUCUUCAAUCUAGAGUCCACAAAUUACAGCCGCUACAUUUGUUCUUUUCUUCUGCAGGUCUUCUCGGGGUACCCAAUAGAGACGUCCACGGGAUAAACCCGUAGAGAGAGAGAGAGCCGCGUGCUUUCACUUCUCUACUGCACCCAUUCACAAAGACCACACAUGAAGACAGAAGAGAGAAAUCAUGGGCAAAGAUUUUCCUAGUAAAAGAGGGUAGUCAACUUUUCAAUAGAAUUCGCGGGUCUAAUUUGAAUCACCUGCAGGUUUCUUUGGUCUUGCUGUGAAGUAAAAUAAUUCCUCACGCAUGAGUCCAUUGUCGGUGAACAUCCAUUGCCGCUUGCUUGUACAAACACCCCAUCGCGGCAAUCCUUCACCCAGAAGCACCAUUGCGCCGAAUCUCGCUCACCAUCCUUGAGUCGAUCCCAUUGAGUUCAAGUUUGGCAAUAUUACUUGCGAAAUUAAGUAAUUAUCUUAUCUAAAUUUGAUUUGGAUAUUUUGUUGCCUAAUAUAUGUCUAUUAGUAUCUAAAAUGCAUAUUUAUAAGUGAUAGACAUAUCUCCUAAUUAAAAUUGAUUGCCUAAUUCGCAACCGCACAUGGAUUUUUUAUUCCAUCUAUGAGGCUUUAGAUGGAAAAUUAAUCACGCGGGAAUAAAAUUGAUAUCUUGAUCUUUAAGGUUUAAGAUCAAUUUAUCGAUUUUAUUAGCGAAAUAAUCAAGUUGAUUUGAUAUCAUUUUUAGAUUUGAACGAUGGAUAAUAUAUUUGAUGACUAUGAAUGAUUUGGUGCUUAUUUUUUAAUUACUUUAUUUAUCCCAAAAAUACAAAAAAUUGCAUUUGCAUAUCAUGUAAGUUAGAAUGGAUUGCAUAGUUAGGUUUUUUAAUGCAUGUUUAGAUAGCAUCUAGAUUAGAUAAUAUUCCUUUGAAUAAAAUUGCAUGUUUCAUUUUAAGUUUAUGUUGAUUUUUUGUAGAUAGAUUGCAUUCUUUUUUAAUAAAAAAUAAAACAUGUCAUAUGCAUGUCAUAUAGAAUUAGGUUCAUGAAAUGCACAUCAUUUAGUGAUUAUUGCUAGGUUCAUUUAAUUAGAAAUUGCCCGUCAUUUUAGGUCAUUAAGUUAAUUUAGAUCGCACAUUUAAUUAUUGCAUUUCUUUAAUUUCGAAAAGGAGAAAAAAAACCAAAAAUGUCUUAGAAUAAAUUAAUUUUAUUCUCUAGGACAGAUUGUAUGCUUAUUAAGAAAACACAAAAAUAUCGCAUUUGCAUCAUAUAGUUUGGGUCAUAUUGCCAUGUCAUAUCAUUUUAUGUUAGAUUAGUAGCAUACAUACAUAAAGCAUGAUUCUCAUUAAUUAAUUGAAAACAAAAAGAAAUUGCGUAUUAAUUAGAAAUCAUAUCUAAAACCGUUAAUGUGAAUUCUGAUCUAAUAUUAUAGAUGUUUUCGUUGUUACAAGGCAAGUCCCGCAAUUUAUUCAUUGCUUUAUUGGUGUUAAAUUGGUGGUUUGCGUACCUGCAUGAUCAUUUCACAUGUUAGGAAAAAAAAUUUAAAAUCAAUCCAAGUUGUAUUAAAAACAUUUUUGAAAAUAAAAAAAAUGGUACCGAAAUGGCAUUAGAGAAAUCUAGUGUAUUCAAAUCCUCGUACCCAAAGUCUCUAGUUCAUAGGAGUAAAAUAAUCCUCAAAUUAUCUUACUUAGGUGUCUAAUCGACUUACCAUAAACUGAUUAGUGGUGACUUAUAUAUAAAAUCUAUUCGCAUGUUAAGAAAUUUGAACCUAAGUCGCGAAUUGGUAUGCGCUUGGGAGAGCCUGAGUUAAGUUCAGGCUUAAUAAUCCAUUAGCCUAAUUUUAGGUGGUACACCCAAAAAAUUUGGUCGCGACAACUCGCUCAUCCCAACCAAUAAAAAUAGCACUGAUUGAUGAUAGUAGUAGUGGAUAAAUUAUUUUAUUCAUCCCUUGAACCUUUAGUACCCUCACUUUAGGCAAACCUCACAGUUCAUGCGACAUGUGAUUUGUGAUUGCCAUGUGUCUAGUGAAUAAGACAUUGUUCCUUUCUUAUCAUUGUUAUAUUAUCUAUUUUUCCGUACUUUAAUCACACGCUUUAUAUUUCAAAGAUGAUAUGUUUUAAUCAUGAAUGCCCUUUUAGGUUUAGGUUUAGAUGGGUAAGCCUGAAUUGGACAUCAUCCCUGUGUUGAGCAAUCUCAAGACUAUAUGGGAGAAUCUCGAACCAAGAUAGGAAAAGCGUAUAGGUUUCCUCCCAACCUUGCUAAAGGUCGAACCUCAUAUUGCGAUGGUGAAGGCAUUGGCUCAUUUUCGUAAUCCCAUGGCCUCCACCUUCAUGUUUAAUCGAUAUGAAGUAACCCCCACAACUGAGGAGUUUUGGAAAGCCAUUGGGUUAGGCAAAGCUUUCUUAGGUUUCAUUACUUCUCCUAUUAGUCAAGAUCCAAUCUCUCUCCUAAGUCAAUUUAUCAAUAUCUUUACCAACAAAAUAAAGGCCAUUCUUAAAGGAAAUUCGAAUUCCAUGCCCUAUACAUUCCUUGAACAACACCUUAUUAGCCUAAAGCCUAAAUCUGGACACCAAAUUCCUCGCAUUUUCCUUCUCAUAUUCUUCGACUUUGUGGUGUUCCCAUGACCCGAAAAAUAAUGGAUCCUUUAAUCACUCAAAUUAUCAAUCGGGUUUGCGCUUUUAGGUGCUUUACAUACAUGAUGCUUGACUAAACUUUCGUGUCUCUUAAUUGUUUCAAAGCAAAUGACUGAGGAACUCUUAGAGCCCCAUUAGGACUUUUCCAAAUUUGGCUCUUUUCCAAAAAUUAAUUUGGAUCUUCUUAAAGGAAAUUCGAAUUUCAUGCCCUAUACAUGCCCUAUAAAUUCCUUGAACAACACCUUAUUUACCAAUUUAAUUUUUUUGAUCAAAUUUGAUUGGAAAUUGCUAGCAUAUAUAAUUUUUAUAAUUUUCGGUAGAAGAAUAAGUGAAGGCGGUUCGUUUCCUUGGCAAUUUUUCUUGUAUGAUGAUAUGUCUCGUUCGGAGUUUUUUGCCUACAAACUUUGGGUGCAUCAUUGAUAGAGAGUACAAAUGAGACACGGUCCUUAUUCUCCCAAGAUUUGAAAAGUCAAGUAAGUACUAAGUGUAUGCAAUGAGAGAUCACAUAGAAGUGAUUAGUUCUCGGGUGAUUCGGUUCCCAUCUUGAAAUCAAGAAUCAGAUCAAAAGGAUCGAUUCCUUGUUUCUAAAAUCAAGAACCAAACCAAUGCCCCUGGAAUUGGAUCGACUAAUCUAGUUCAGCUCCCGGGUGGGUCAUGGAACUAGUGGCAUGUUCAGAUUUUUUUUUUUUUUUGUCAUUAAUGUUCAAGAUGAAAUUGAAGAUGUUCUUGAUAACCAAGAUGUUUCUGCGAUUAGUGAAUGAGGUGUAACAUUGUAGGUUUCACAUAAUUUUUUUUCCAAUUAGUGGCAAAAUUUGGUUAGAAUGAGCAAUUGAUGUUGUGUUUUGAUUUAUUCUUGUCAACUUACUCACAUGCGUGAGUGAAAUGGGAGUCAUGCAACUCAUGUGUGUUUGCGUGCGUGAAGUCUGAAAUUUGAGAUAGAUUAGGGGGUUUUUUUUUUUUUUAUACAGAUUAUAAGGAAAUACAAAAUUUAAAAAAAUCAGUCCGGCCCGAGUGGGUGGUUCCACACUUGAAACUAGAAUUGGACCAAAUUCAUUGGUUCCAAUUUUAUAGAAUUGAGAACCAGACUAGUGUCCCCAGGAACUGCCAAAAACCGGCCGAUCCGGUCCUGUCCAAGCGGUUCCUUUUGCUCACCCAUGAUCACAACUCUAAAGUAGAAGAAUGCCAAAGAAGAAAAAUCAUUAAGAGCAGACUGCUUUGAGCUGGUGAUUGGUGAUGGGGUUUAUACUCCUAGGUAAGAAAUUUCUGUUGCAUUCUGGAAAAGAAUAAUGCGUAUCUUCAGAGUGAUUAAUCAACUAGUUUCAAAGAGGUAAAAAAUAAACAUUUUCCAUUGUCAUGCUACGAAAAAUAAGAUUUUUAGAUAAGAUUUCAUUAUAUACUUUUACAUUAAGACAAGAUACGUCAAACAUAGGUUUGUUUUUUUUAUUUUGUAUCUUGGUUGUUGGCCUAGGAUUUCUAAUUAAAAAUAUGGAUUGUGGUCGAUACGUAUUUAUGGAGAAAUGUCAUUCCAAGGAAUUUAUUUUUCCUUCCACAAUUUUGAGGAAAACACCAUCUUGCUACCUCGUGUUAACAAAGAAAAACGCAAUCAUUAUUACCAAAAGUCAUUUUGGAGAAACCGGGCAAAUCGAAUUAGGAGCAAAAUAGUGUCUCAUAUUGGACCUUAGCGUAAAUGUGACUUACAACACGUGUGUCAUACACCUUAAUUUACUUUAUUUAAUGCUUCAUUCGUUUCACAGAAAACAUUUCUCAAGAAAAUAUUUUCUUCAUUUCCUGACAUUCGAUUCACUUAGAUAAAUGAAGCAACAGGAGUUGUCCACAUAAGACUUGUCUUAGUGAGCUUCAUAUUGUGGAAUUUUUUGCUUCGGAAGACUUCGUUGAUUGGCUCGACAUAAGAAUAUUGCGGAGAAUCGAAAGGUGAAGCUUGUGUCCAAGAUGUAUGAAAUGCAUGCUUCGAUUUGGUGGGAAAAUCUAACUUGUCGAAGAACUCCUGAAGGAAGGUGAAUCGUAACAUUGGAUAAAAUGAAGGUGCUCAAAAAGAAGCAUUUCCCAGAAACUUAUCAGCAAGAUGCCUUCGAUAAAUUCCACAAUACGAAGCAAGAGGAGUUGUCCGGAGAAGAAACCACCAAAUUUGAGCAUUUCAUGUUACGAUGCGAUGUGGUGGAGGCAGAGGAGCAAACUAUAGCUGGUAUUUUAGGGGUCUUCGUUUGAAAAUUGCCGAUGUUGUCCGAUUACAACCUUAUUGGACUUUUAAUUAGGGCUUCAAAUUAUCAAUGAAGGUGCAAAAGCAACUUAAGGAGAAAAGAGAGUUUGAAUCAGGAGCCUUUGUCGGGAUCGAAGGAAGCUGUUGAACAAAGGAGGAGCAUCUAAAACCAAUUAGCCAAAUGAAGAUAACAAUAAAUCAAGACUGCUUGAAAUAUCAUGGAUUUGGUCGCAUCGCCUCGAGUGUCCUAAUAGAAAGAUCAUUUCUCUUGUGCAAGGUGAGCAACAGGGAGAGUCGCAACACAACCCUUUGCUCCAAGAAGAUUCAACACAACCCUUCGCAGCACAACCCUUUGCUCCGAGAAAAUUCAAGGAGCCGCGAAGAAAUCGUUUACAGAGAUCAAGGAGAAGCUCUUGUCAUUCAAAGGAGCUUGCAUGCUGCUCAUCUCGAGGAUGAUGAUUGGCUUUGCAAAAAGAUACUCCAUACAAGACUGCACUUCUCAUUUUAAAGUACGUGAUGUCAUACUUGAUAGUGGAUGUUGUGAGAACGUUGCGUCGACCACUAUGGGAGACAAGUUGCAUCUCAAGGCGGAGGAUCAUCCACAUCUUUACAAGCAUUUGUGGCUCAAGAAAGGGAGUGAGAUAAAAGUAAAUAACCGGCGUUUUAUUUCAUUCUCUAUUGGCAAAAGAUAUAAAGAUGAGAUUAUGUGUGAUGUAUAACACCUAUCCCUUUGUCAAAGACCGCGUCAAGAUUACAUUGGGCCCUUGCAAGACGGAGAGAGUUCCCAAGCCUCAUGGGAAAGGAACAAAUCUUCUUUCCAAGUCUUAAGUUUUCGUAAGCAUCGGAGGAUGCUUGUGAGGCUUACGCUUUUGUUAUAGUGGAAGAAAAUAAGCAAAAGAGGAGAUCCCAACCAUUUUACAGCCGUGGCUUGAGGAUUUCUGUGAAGUCAUGCCAAUGAAAUUCCAUCCAACCUUCCUCCUUUGAGAGAGAUUCAACAUCAUAUCGAUUUUGUGCUUGGUGCUUCUGUUCGAUCGAUUGAGCUCUGAGAAGCAUAAAGAACUUCAAAGGCAAGUUGAUAAACUCUUGGCCAAGGGAGCAAUACAAGAAAGCUCGAGUCCUUUUGCUGUCCCGGCACUUCCAGUUCCAAAGAAAAAUGGUUCUUGGCAAGUGUGCAUUGAUAAUAGAUCGGUGAACAACAUAACCAUCAAGUUUUUUAUUUUUUAUUUUUCCUUGCCUUGGUAUUUGCUUGAUCAACUUCAAAGAGCUUGUGUGUUUUUCCAAGAUCAAUCUUCAAUGAAGUAGGAGAUUAAAGGAUGACAGCUUUCAAAACUAAGAAUGGUCUUCUUAAAUGCAUGGUGAUGCCCUUUUGACGUUUCUAAUACUUUUAGUACUUUUAUGCAUCUUAUGAAUCAUGGUUUUAAACCUUUCAUUGGCUAGUUUGUCGUGUAUACUUUGAUGACAUCGUGAUUUAUAGCAUAGCAAGGCGCAAGUGGAGCUUUUGGAGUAUCAAAUUCUUCAAGUGCUACGGGAACAACGUUUGUAUGCCAACCUGAAGAAGUGUCACUUUUGCACAAGGAGCCCGGUGCUAUGUUGUCUCCAACGAUGGUGUUAGAGUAGAUCUUAGAAAGAUGGAGGCAAUAAAAAGUUGGCCAAUUCCUAGCUCGCUGAAUGAGAGAAAAGCUCAAGAAUGUUUUUGGCCUUUUUUAUUUUUCAAAUAUCGUCCGAAUGUUAUGUUACACAAAUAAGGCCAGUCACUCCAUUUGGACGUUGCAUCUGAACGUUAAUCACAUAGACCAAGCAACUAAACAGACAAAAAAAAGACGAGGAAAUACACACCCAAAAAAAAAAGGAAUAAUAGUACAAGGACCACCAUUGCCAUGACGUCUCAUCUUCCACUUUCAGUUUCGAAGGAUAUUUGGUUACUUACAUCUCUUGAUGCAUUGCUUCUGAGGAUGCCAUAACAUUCGUUUGAUCUCUCACCAAGCAAAUGCUCAGCUUCUUCAAGGUCACCGCUCCGAUUCGACCAUGGAUGCCUAUCCAUCAUCCUCAUCAGUCCGUCCAAUUCCAUUGCCACUUCCUUCAUGGUUGGCCGAUCUUCGCCUUUCACUCUCAGGCAUUGGUUUGCCAGCAUCGCAACUUCCUUAAUCUCUUCUGGGUUCCCAUUGUUCAGCACCAUCGGGUCGAUGAUUUCAAACAGCCUCUCGCUCUUUAUCGCAGAAGCAAAAUACAAGGACAAGUUCAUCUCUUUCUCAGCCCGCUCAAAGGAGAAGGCCCUCAGUCCAGUCAGCAACUCAGCCAACACGACCCCGAAGCUAUAGACAUCGCUCUUCUCAGUCAACUGGCUCGAGUGGAGGUACUCGGGGUCCAAGUACCCACGCGUGCCUUGAACCAGCGUGUUCAGCUGUGUGCCGUUGAGGGGGACUAGCCUGGAUGCUCCAAAAUCAGCGACCUUUGCGGUGUAGUUUUCAUCCAACAAUAUGUUUGUGCUCUUUAUGUCUCCGUGCAAAAUCUGAGUGGAUGCAUCGGAGUGCAAGUACGAGAGCGCACCUGCGGUCUCCCCUGCAAUGCGCAGACGAGCCCUCCGGGAUAAUGUGGACUCGUGGCCGCACUUGUGUAUGUGGUCAGAAAGGGUGCCAUUGGUCACAAACUCGUAGACUAAUAACGGGACCUCCGUCUCGAAGCAACAACCGAUUAGCUUAACCACAUUGCGGUGAUUAAUUUGGGAGAGGAUGAUCAGCUCGUUGAUGAAUUCUUUAACCUGACUUCGGGCCAAAAUCUUGGCCUUCUUGAUGGCGACAACCCUGUUGUCUACUAAGAUCCCUCGGUAUACAGUUCCCUGGCCUCCCUGGCCUAGGAUUCGGCUUUCAUGGUAGUGGUCCGUGGCCUUCUUGAGAUCUCGGUCGGUGAAUAUUCUCACAGAUUCAAUGGAGCCUUUGUGCUCAGAACGAAGUCUCUGCAACAGUUCGUGGCCCCCAUUUUCUUGGAAGAACUUCUCUCUCUGUCUCCUGAUUUUUCUUUCUCUAAGCCCCCAAUAUAACCAGGAAACGGCCAAAAGAACCAGCAGGAAGCUUGUGCUCACGCCUAGUAAAAGACAUUAUAUUCGGUGAACAAACACAUUAGUUGUCCAUCACACUACAUAUGUUCUCAUAACCAAGAAAAGAAAAGAAAAAAACAGAAUCGAAAUUUGCUUGACUCUUUCAUUUUCAUUACUCAAACAAUCUUGUGUUAAUUUACUUCUUUGUCCUAUUUUCUUAUUCUUCUCCAUCAACUUGAAGCUUUCAUUAAGAAAAACCUUGAUAAUAGCAAAAUAAACCUAAAUAUUUAAUUAUGCUGAGAGUAACUUAUGAUAACAGGAACGAUUCAAUGCAUCAAGUGGAUAAAACGUGCUUGAUUCUUUUUCAACAACAGAAGAGCAAGUGGUUGAUUUUGUUAAUAUCGAAUUGAAUAACUUGAGAUGACGACACAGGUAUAUAAUAUCAAUUUAAUCCAUGGACACAAUUAAUUCAAAGAGAAAGAUUUACAUCCGAAAAAUCUCAAUAACUAAUAGCAAAAGAUGGAACAAUGGCAUAAUAACAACAUUUAAAGAAGGUGAAUAAAUUACAAGAUAAAAGAAGCUUUUAUAUGAUGAAAAAGUUUGAGCAAUGUGUACGACUUACUGACCUAGCACGAUGUCCAUUGAGCGAAACCUCUUUGUAGGAGUACAACCGUUGCCAUCUUUUUUUCCAUCUCCUCGGGAUCCCUUCGGACAUGAACAAUUAUACGUUCCCGGCAAGUUUGUACAUAUUCCAACGCAGGGUUGUGAAAUCACGCAUUCAUUGAUAUCUGGAGGAAUAUAUUCCAAAUGGAAGAAGCAAUCCAACACCAUUUCAAUUGGAAGAAACUUGAAAAAGUAAAUAGAAUUCCAUGAUUUGGCAACACUUUCAAUUUUGAGAGGACACGUCAAGUUAAUUUGCUUUUUCUGAGAUUGUGAUACCUCACCACACUUUUUAAGUGAUAGGUCAUUAUCUCAAGAGCCUAAGCGUAACCGAGCAUUUGAUCUUUGUUUAGAAUAGAAGAUUUAAGAAUUAUCCAACAAAAUUGUGCCAUUACUAAUUAGAAUAAUACAUUACAUAGAAAAAAAUUCAAAAAUAAUUGUCUAUAAAUACAGAAUAAUGCUGGAUGUAUUAACAUCGGUAGGUGAAACUGAUUUACAAGCUAACUUUACCGAUUCAUAUUGAGGGUUCAGUAUGGACCGUUUAUAAACUCAAUUUCACUCGACUGAUUCAGUUUAUAAAACAAUUGUACGGACUAAACUUAAGAGAGAAGAAUGUCUAGCUAUAUCUGGAAUGAUAGCUGUGAAAGUUAACAGAUUAUUACUAAGCGCUUCAUAGGUCAUAUUAAAUUUCAAGCAAUGAAAAUUCGUGCAUCUGAAAGGAAAAAAAAAGGUAUGAUUGUGUUUAACGGCCUAGAUUGUUAUGAUUUUUAAGAUUAUAAAUGUUACGUGACUAAUAGGAGAAUCGUUUGAAACAUGUACCAUUCAUCAAGUCAAAAUUUGGUCCUCUGACUUGAAGUUUCUAAGAAUUUCUUUCUCUGGGUUUUUUAUGCAAUUGGAUCCAUUUAACAUGGUCGCCCUUAUGGAAAUAAUGAUCCACGAUUCUAUACAGGAGCACUCGUUCGGAUGUGAGGUGGGUCUAAUGAAAAGAAGGGAAAAGGUACCUUGACAACCGUUUUGGAGAUAGGGGUUCCCUUGAAAACCCUUCAAGCAGUGGCACUGGUAGCCAUUUCCAUUCUCAGCAUCUGUACAAUUGGAGUUCUCUCGGCACAUGUAGGUCGUUGUAUUCUUCUGUGCAUCAUCGCAUGUUUGAUUUGGAAUUAACCAAUCGACAACUAGAGGGACCAUAUCAAAUGGCGGCUCGCGCAGAUUGUCCGUAGAGAAGCUAAAGAAGCCGUCUUGGGCAACGAAAGCGUAUCCGCACGGAUUGAAAUCAGAGAUGCCGAGAUGAUUGUUGUAGCUAGCGACAGAGAUGUUGUAUCGGUAGGCGUCUCGAGGAAUGCUAGUCUCGCAGCAACCGAUGCCCGAGCACGACCCAUUAAUCACGUCCAAGUCGCUGUGGCAUGAGGACAAGCACCCCGUCACAUACGUGCUUCCGCUGAAGGUCGCGUACGUGUCGCAUCCCACGGCGAUAAAUUUGUUCUUGGCAGAAGAUAUGGGGAAUAUGGGAAGAGAGAAGUAAGGAUCAUUAUUGUUCAAGGAUGUUCCGGACGAAUCAUAACAAUCUUUGGCUACAAACAUCGUUACACUAAUCUCGUGACUCUCCAUAGAUAUAUCGAGUACUCGGAAAUAAGAAUCUUUACUGUACAUAUGAGGAGUGGGAGGAUCAGUCGAGUCGUUGCAAAACAUGAUGAAAGACUCUGAUUCUUCUUUGAAGUAGCAGUCGUUGCCGGCAUCAUUCAUCCCGAAUGGGUACGCGAAGGUGAGGUUGCCACAUCUGUUCGCGCAUCCGGGCUUUGUUGUUUGGACUACAUCCGCAGUAACUACUGAGAAUAGAGCCACCAAUGAGCACAACAGCAGCACAACUCUCAAGGGAAGUCUAUGGAGCAGCAUGGAUCCACCCAUAUUCUUCCCGAAAUGAGAUGAUAUUUUGCAACGAGAUGAUGAGCUUCAUAGCCCGAUGACAACCUUUAUA